UGUACCUAACCACACUGCAAUUUCCAUAUUUGGCCGCUACAUGAAGAAUGUUCUGCCCUUUCUUAUUGAGGAAUUCUUUUGGAUAUGGGAAUUUAUCAAGAAAUUCCUUCACUACAUCAACAGAGUGACUUUUGCAUGCUACAUGGAUAGGAUAGUCGCCUUCAAGGUUUGUUUCAUAAGCACCAUCGUGAAACUUCGUUAAUAGGAAUCGAACUCCUUCCAGAAAACCUAUGGAUGAUGCAUAAUGCAGUGAAUUUCCCAACUCUUCCUCGGUGAGACGUAAUAGCUCUGGCUUUUCCUUUCCAAUUUUCUCCAAAAUAUCUGAAAAUCAAAAGAAAAUGUUCCAAAUGAAUAUAAAGAUGAUAGCUUUGCAACAAUUGUUUGUAUGUAAUUCAUUUUCUAGUGAGUAAUGAAACUGUGAUCACCUCUGUUACGUUGCUUGAUGGCAGCAUGAACAGGGACUUUCCUUUGGUAGGGCAUCACCCUUUUUUUAUAGGGAACGAAGCUCCCAAAUCAAGAGAUCAUCAAGUAUCUCUUUCUUAUUGCCGUUCUCAACUGCCAGAUAUAAAGGAGACUUGCCAUUUAUUGUUGUUGUAAUAGGCCACUUCUGGAUCUCUGGAAACUAGGAGUUUGGCAACUUCUUUGUUAUCGGCGAUCACUGCAUCAUGCAAAGGAGUGUUUCCCUUUGUAUUUUUCUUCAUGAUCAAGUCGGAUUCGAUUCCACAAGAGAUUUAAUUGUAUACUGGCCUUUCCUUCUCUGGCAGCAAGAUGAAGGAUUGUGUCCUUCUGGCUGUUUUGAAUGGUGAUUAGAGAAGGAAACGUUCCAGCCAGAUAAGAUGUAAUAUUGUCACUUCCAUAGCUUACAGCUACGUGAAGUAGUGUAUUCCCGCAGGGUGUCACUAGCUUCUCCGCUGAACGUUGCUGGACAAGCCUUUAAACCUCAGUAUUGUCCUGCCUCACACACUCAUGCAACUGACUAUCUAUCAUUGCAUUUGCCAUGUGAUCUCUCGGAAUCGAGUUUUCAUCAAUGUUUAUUGCUACGCUAGACAUGGCAAAAGAAAAUAUGGUGUUGGUUGAAUCAGCUAUACAAAAAUUAUAGUCUAAUACCCAGACCCACCUGUACAGAUUCGGGUUGACGAAAAAAAUAUAUAGUUGACUAGUUAAAAUCCGAAUAUCAAAUAUUUUUUUUAAAUAAAAUAAUACUUAUUUAAUUUUUAUUUUCUAAAUCUUCUUUAGUAGCCUCGUUAUUUUGAUUUGCUUUCUAUUGGGUUAUCAUAAUCUCAGAAUACAAGUUGCAAAUUUGUCAUGUUAACCCAAGUUGACUUAAGUCAAUCCAAUAUGUUGUUAUCUUAAUAUUAAAAAAAAAUUAUCAUCUUUAAUUUUUUUAAUCAAACUAUAUUCUUACAUACAUGUCUUAUGGGUUGUUUUUAGAUCCACAAAGUCAUUCAAGUGCAUCGGGUCAACACUUACAUGGUUUUAAUUUUUUAUUUUACAAAUAUGUAAAAAUAAAAUUAUUUUGGUCAAACUUAAAAAAAAAUUCAAUGGUUUUCAGACCGGUUUUUAAAAAAAAAAAUAAAAAAGAAUUUAACAAAAAAAUUAGGUCGUACAAAUUUUAAAUAAAAAAUAAAUAUCAUGGUUAAUUAAGAACAUUGAAUAAUUUUUAAUAAAUACCCUUUUAUGAAAUAUCCUUAAAAGUCUAAUAUGUUUGGCAUUGCCUUUUAAACGGGGUUGGAUAAAUUUUAAUUUUUUUUAUUUAAAAUUAAUUUUUUUAUAUUUUCAAAUUAUUUUGAUGUAUUAAUAUAAAAAAUAAUUUUUAAAUAAAAAAAUUAUUAAUUUUAAUAUAUUUUCAAAUAAAAAACAUAUAUUUUUUUUUAUUCUAACCACCUACAUAGCAAAAUUGAAAACUUAUUACAACCUGGGAUAUGAAAAGGACAUCUGAAAUAAAAUAAAUACAGAAAGCUGUAAUCUGAUGGCAUUAAUUCCCAUAAUUUAUUACACCUGGCCAGUUGUCCUUUCUCGUAACUUUCUAAUUCACUCAUUAAGCUGAGACAGAAAAAAUGCACUGAUCAGAGUGAUUCUCUAGAGGAUGAAAGGGAAAUUAAUCUUAAUUUAAUUUCUUGCAGGCAUUUCACAUGCAUCUCAUUCAACAACUUCACAGGCUGUCUAUAUCCACAUCCCAUGAGCGGAAUCGAAAAGGCAUCAACCAAACCUAACCAUAACUAGGCAUGUGAAGAAGAUCGUUUCACUGCAUGGGUGCUUUGGGAGGUUUAGUUUGACAGAUUCUGUGAUAUGCAAGAGGUGUGUCUUCUUUAAGAAGAAACCAUGUGUUUGAAAUUAAUACUUUUUGGAACAGAUUUGGGAAUUGAUACAGAAAAAACCUGGAUUACUCGAUUAGUUUAAAUUAAUUAUUUAAAUUUAUUUUUAGAAUUGACCUAAUCAACUAGGUAGCCUAGUAAGGUAUAGUCGGGUUAGGUCAACUAGAUUACGAGUAAAUUAUAUUUCACUAGGUCAAUUUCUUUUUUGUUUUAAUUUAAAACCUCGGCCAAGCCACACUUCCGUUCCGGCGUUAACGUUCCAAGUCAACCCAUUAUACUAGGCUAGGUUUAACAAGAAUGUUUAAGACAUUUUAUUUAACAAUAAAAUAAGUAAUCCAAUAUUUCUAACAUCCGAUUCAACAGACUCAAUGUCUUUCCAAUAUGUUUGAAGGCUUAAACACCGAUGUCAAGGCAGUUUUUCCUAUCUACCAGCCUUCGGACCCCUGACCUAGUUGUGACAAGGCAUAAGAGCUGUGCAAAGAGCUUGCCAUGCUCUCUGCUUAAACCUCUUGAGAUUUUGAGAUAUUAGUCUGGAAAUUUCUUGAUUCCCUCAUAAACAAGAAGGAAAAUCCCAUGAGUUUUCAUCUUCCUGCCAUUUCAUGACCAUACUUUGUAUUCGUAGAAGUUAAACACUUUUACAUUUUCUUAAUUAAAAGAUUCAAAGAAAGUAAGUUUAAUAUAAAAAAAAAAAAAAACAUUGGUAGAAGACUGGAGCAUGCAGCUAGCCUAGACAGAAAAUUAAUUGAUGUACAAUCAUAGUCUUAAUUAAUACCCAGACCCACCUGUACAGAUUCGGGUUGACGAAAAAAUAUAUAGUUGACCUAGUUAAAAUCCGAAUAUCAAAUAUUUUUUAAAUAAAAUAAUAUUGUUUUAAUUUUUAUUUUCUAAAUCUUCUGUAGUAGCCUCGUUAUUUAAAUAUUUCCUAAAGUUUGACACCGGGUUGAUUUUUAAAACAUGUGUACAAUUGCUACCCCACUAUCAGGUCAUUAAAGGGUUCACCUAGAGUACUCCUGUUAUUUCACUUAUUUCUGAAAAAGAAUGCAUGCAUGCAUGCAUUCAUAUAUUUACAACUUUAAUUGUACAAGUUAGACCGUACGUAUUCAGUUAUUGGCAUCUCCUACUGCUCUCCACCUUCCAUGUCCUCUCCACUUGAUGAUGAGGCCUUGCUGUCCAUCCUCCUAUUAAAAGUUGCCCAUCCGUAAAUUUAUUACACACCCUGCACAAUUCCCUUUUUUUAUCUGUUUACUGUGUUAGAAAAUAGUAUGAAAUCAUUCUUGUGAUUUUACCUAAUAAUCAUGAUUUUAAAACUCACCUCACCACCUCCAAUUUAACUAAAAUAAAAUUAAAUAUAAAGUAAUGUUGAGUUUCUGCAGAUUUUGUUAUAUGAAACAAUGACAGAAUGGAUUAAUUGAAGAAGUCGGUGUUGACGCUGAAGAUGCAAGAAAAGCACUAUUAUGAGGCUUAAUCUGCAGUGGACAAGGACUCUCCUUUGUAACCGGCUUGAUGGUCCCCUGUAUUCCAUCUCUUCUUUGUGAACGCAGGUUUGGAAUCCAGAAAGUCAUCACCAGAAUUCCCCCGUUUUCCGUCAGUGCCUCACUUCUUAUAUAUCUCUUGAAGGACAACUGGUCAGGUGUAAUAAAUAGUUUACUAUUUUCUAACACAGUAAACUGCAGAAUUCCAAACCCAAAACCAUUAACUUAUUCCCUUUUUUUAUAUGGUGCAUACAAGAAAUAACAUUGAACAUCCAUCUCCCUUUGAGGACUCUGGCUCUCUACAAUUUCCUUCUUCCUUUUUCUAGAUGAACAACACUGCUCUCUACAAUUUCCCACUCCAGAUUUCUCAUAAAAAAGGUUAAAAAACAGAAUAAGCAACGUGUAAAAUUAGAGGUUAAAGCAUGUUGUUGUAAGUAGCUUCAACGCAUCCAAAACUUAUUUAAUUAACACCAUCUAAACUUAGAGCAAAGGAAAAAAAAAAAAAAGAGACCAUGCUGAAGUCAGAGGUGGGAUAUCCCAUCAAUACAUGCAUUUUGGUAAAAAAUUAGGAAAGAAGUGGAUUUAUGAUUUGUUAUGGGUAUGUAAAAUUUGACAAAAAGCUAAUGUAAUGACAACUGAGAAUAAUAGAAGACUUAACAUAUUAGUUAGUUAACUUGUCUAUUUAUUUAUAUAUAGUAUAAUAUACAAUAAUAAAAGUAAAGAUUACAAUCCUAAAGUAACUUUAAUAAUUUUCUAUAGACACACAUUCCAUAACAAGGACGUAGUUAAAGGUAAAUGACCCUACCAGCAUGCAUGAUUUAUGGCAGAGGUGGGAUAUACAAAGCGAUAAGAGUCAGAAAGCAACCCUUCAGGUAGGGCUCGGGUAGAGAAAGUCUCGAUACCUAAGGGAUCCACAUGGUGAGCAUUACGGAGGACAUCCCAUCAAUCAAUACUAAUAAUUACUUUCACAAUGUGUUUUGCCAUUCCAUUUCAGUAGUAACUUAUAUCUAAUUACAAUGAACACUGACAAAAGAAAAGGAACAUUUUAAACUUGAAGAAGAAGUAUAAAUGUAAUUGCAGGGAAGAAGUAAAAAGAAGUCCUACAAAAUAGCAACAUAAAUGUGAAUUACUGCAGCACUUGCAGCCUUCUCUCCAAAUCCCUCAUGCAGGGAGUAUCUAUAAUGCUUGCUUCAAUUUGUGAACACGGAUUCAGAGUUUCAGCUACAGUUCAUAAUCAAAAGAAAGGAAAAGGGUAAUUGAUUGUUGAUUGUCACACGUGUAUGGCAUUGUGACGAUUAUCUUUCUGGAUUGAGAAUGGUCUAGAAGAAAAGAUAACAAAUUAUUGUUUUUUAUCAGUAAAUAGAGGAAAUGGAAGUUGUCAUUUAGUAUUUUAGUUGUCAUGAAACCUAACUAGUCCCUAUUAUAGGAAAUAUUAUAAAAUUUUCCUCCAAUAUAGUUUUAUUCUGUGUAAUAGGUUACACCAUAACGUGUGUGUGUGUAUAUAAAUAUAUAUACACAAUGCCCUACCUACUUAUAUAAAUAGUAGAGGAACUACCCUGAUUAAGGCACUCACCAAAUUAUUACAUAUCUCUACUUUAACUUGGUAUCAGAGCCUCUCUACUUUAAAUAUGUAUUUUUUUCUUCUACUCUGUUGCAGAUUCUUCUCCCUACCAUGAUCCCUGCUCUUUUAUUUUCUACUACAGAUCUGUCUCUCUGUUGCCUGCUAUUCACCCUCUACUACAGCCUCGCUGUCAACAUCAUUUCUCCAUCUGGGUACUCUGCUUAGUCCCUGCCCGAUCUGGACUUAUGCGUGGAUCUCUCCACAUAUUCUCUUCCACAGCAAACCUCUAUUGAUCUUCCUUCUGCUCUGCCACCCAUUCGGCAGCAUCCCAUGGUGAUGCAUCAUAGACAGCAAAGAUUGCCAACAUCAGCUCUGCUUCUGCUCCCUUCACCAAUUUCAGCUCCACAGGUAAUGUUCCCCUCUGCUUUUGAGCAUCUAAGUUUUAAGGAAGCUGACUAGUACUUGUGUUGGCAUACUGCCAUGAAGGAUGAAAUUGCAGCCUUACAUGCCAAUGUCACUUGGUCACUGGUGCCAUUUGAUCCAUCUAUGAACAUUGUUGGUUGUCAAUAGGUGUAUAAAAUCAAGCGUCGAGUUGAUGGGGCCAUUGACUGUUACAAGGCUCGCUUGGUUGCACGAGGGUUCACUCAACAGGAAGGUAUAGAUUAUUCAGAAAUCUUCAGUCUUGUUGUUAAACCGACUACUGUUCGGCUAGUCCUCACGAUUGUAGUCUCAAAAUGAUGGCAGAUUCCGAAACUUGAUGUUCAUAAUGCUUUCCUCAAUGGUUCACUUCGCAAGGUUGUUUACAUGCAACAACCCUAAGAUUUUGUCGACUUAACUUUGCCCACUCAUGUCUGUCGCCUUCACAAAUCUCUCUAUGGCUUAAAACAAGCAUCGCGGGCCUGGUACAUGCAAGUGAGUGAUUUCCUCCUGACUAUUGGUUUUCGGGCUUCAAAGGUUGAUACCUCCUUGUUUAUUCUGAAUGUGAAUCAUGAUAUCUGUUACUUACUUGUCUAUGUGGAUGGCAUCUUACUUAUUGGUAAUAACUCUCAAUUGAUUCAUUGCCUCAUUACCUUCGUGAUUUGGGUCAUGCACAUUAUUUUUUGGGGAUUGAAGUUGAUCCCACCAGUGUGAGUCUUGCGCUUAGUCAACAGAAGUAUAUUCUUGUUAUUCUAAGCCAUGAAUGAAUGUGAUCGUGUAAACCUGUUGAUACACCAGCUUGUGUUUCCAAACUUGAUCUGUAGUCUACUGAGUUGUUUUUAGAUCCCACUCGCUUCCUCCAAAUUAUUGGUGUUCUUCAGUAUCUCAUAUUUACUUGACUAGACAUUUGAUAUGUUGUAAAUAAGGUAUAUUAGUUUAUGCAUGCUCCUACCGAAGGUCAUUGGGCCGCUGUUAAGCGUAUCGUGCGAUACUUGAAAGGUAAUCCACCUUUGGUCUCCACCUUUCUCAUGACUCAGCUUUGACUCUUCAUGGUUUUAUUGAUGCUGAUUAGGCCUACAGUAUUGGUGAUCAAAAAUCCACGGGCCGGUGGAUACAUUGUAUUUCUUGGCACCACUCCCAUUUCAUAGAAAUCUGGCAAGCAACGCAUUGUUGCUCGCUCCUCCACUAAAGCAAAGUAUAAGGCCUUAGCUGAUGGUACUGUUGAGGUUGUUUAGCUUCAUUAUAGUUUUUCAGAUUUAUGUUUCUCUCCUAGUUCUGCUACCACUAUCUAGUGUGAUAAUUUGGGUGCUACUUAUCUAUCGGUUAAUCCGAUCUUUUAUGCUCGUACGAAGGAUGUUGAGGUCAAUUAUUACUUUGUUCAUGAUCGAGAGGCUAAGAAGGAGAUUUAGAUUCACUUCAUCUCCUCCAAAGAUUAAUUAGUCGAUGUUCAUACAAAGUCACUUGCUUCCUCUGCUUUUGCUUCUCUACAUUCCAAGCUUCACGUAGAUAACUCACCUUCAACUUGGGGGGUGUAUUUUAGGAAAUAUUAUAAAAUUAGAAAUUUUAUGUUUCCUCUUGUAUAGUUUUAUCUUGUGUAAUAGGUUACACCAUAACUUAUUUAUAAUGCCCUACUUAUAUAAAUAGUAUAGGAGCUGCCCUGAUUAAGGCACUCACGGAUAAAGGGACUAAUUGCAAAAAUAAAAGGUAUUAGCACCUCUAAUAUAUCUUACCUAAGGCAAACCAUGUUGUUUAUUUGUCUGAUAUAAACUAAGGUAUUGUUGUGUUUUCUAAUCAUUGAUCUGUCUAAAAUUAAAGAAAAAUCAUUCUCAAUAAAGAGAUCUUCAUCUUAUUAGGUUAAAAACUUAACCAUUCUAAUGCUGAAACAUGAAAAAGAAAGAAAAUUGUCUUUUUAUUUAAUUUUAGAAAUAUAUCUUACGUAUAAUCUUAUAAUUCCAGAUAUUAAACAAAAUGUGGUUCUUCCUAUCACAAGUUUAUUUUCCAAGUGUUAAAGAAUAAUAUAAAUCAUAUCCUGGACCUCACCUAACAGCUUAAGCUAUUAGGUUGAGAUGGUUCUUUGAUUUGAGACACUUGGCCGUAUGCACAAAAACAUUUUUUUUCUCUUUUUUGUUUUUAAUUUUUUUGUAAUUUUGAAAGUUGUGACGAAAACCGGGUAUUUUAAUACUGGAUUUAUAUUUUUACGAUGUAAAACACUACCCGAUAUUAAUCAAAAUGACAUAAAAACUGCACGGAAAAAUUAUAAAAUGCUGAAGCAAAUAUUUUUUAUUUUUUUCUUUUUGAAUGGGCCGAGUCAGGCCCAAAUACAUGUGUGAAUAGUGCUGUAAAAUACCACCUGAUAUUAAUAAAAAAAAAUGUGCUGGAAAAAUUAUACAAUUUUGUAAAAAAUAAAAAAUAAAAAAAAUGAAACUGAAAUGGGCCGGACCCGGCCCAAAUGCAUGGGCUGGGCCAACGGCCCAGACCAGGCCCAAACGGGCUGGUUACUGUGCAUAAGCACAGUAACCAGCCCUUCGUUAUUUGCAGAACGUGAAUUAAUUCACGUUCUGCAUGAAGGUGCUGGCGACCAUAAGCAAAGGAAUACGAUGGCGGGGCAACAGGAUGGCGUACCUGUGGUGGCGUCGAGGUGAUGCUGCUGGCGGCGUUGGCACGGUGGCCGGUGGUUUUCCUUCUCUUUCUCUCUUCUGUUUUUUUCUCUUUUUCUUCUGUUUCUGUAUUGUUUCUCUUCUCUCUUCUCUUCUCUCUUCCCUCUCCCUUUUGCUGUGUUCUCUCUCUCUCUUCUGUUUUUUUCUCUUUUUCUUCUGUUUCUGUUUGUUUCUCUCUCUCUUCUCUUCUCUCUUCCCUCUCCUUUUGCUGUGUUCUCUCUCUCUCUCGUCCUCCCUCCUGUUUGGUCUGCUUCCCCUGUUUUAAUAGGCAAAAACAGGGGAAGGACGUCAUGGUGGGGCGGCCACUGUUGGCCGCCCCCUCCACUAUCGAUCAGUGGAGAAAAAGGAGGCAAGUGGGCGUCGAAUGGUGGGCGUCUUAUUGCGUAAAAAAGGAAAGAAAGUUCGGCGAAAAGUGGAGAAAAAAAUUAUUCUCCCCUGUUCUCUGCGUGCGCAGGGAAGAAGACGAUGGUGCCAUUUCAAAAUGGCAUGAAACAAUGCAUGAAACGGCGCCGUUUUGGUCCAAACGUGCCGUUUCAUUUAAAAGAAAAAGGCGCCAAGAUGCGUCAGAUAUCAAAGAAGUCCCUUAAUUGGCGCGCGUUUUGCAUUUUAGUCCUUGGUCUCGGAUUUCUUCAAUUAACCCCUAAUUGGCCAUUAAACUUCAAUAUUUAUGCAAUUAAGCCCUGAUUUGACCAAUUUAACUUCCAAAAAUUAUAAUUUGACCCCAGAAAAUUAAUUUCUUCUAAUUAAAGCCCAAAUUAACUCCAAAAUCAAUUUUUUUUUGCAAUUAAAACCUCUAUAAAUUCAAUUAAACCUUCAAUAAAAUUUAAUUGAGUCCAUAAACUUCUAAUUUUGCAUUUUUCUUCCUCAAAUUGAAUUUUCUUUAUCAUCGGGGCUCUCAUCAGUCAAUGAUAUACUGUCAAAAAUUAAUUUUUAUAUUUUUGAACAUCCUCAAUCAAUUUUUGAGCAUUUUUAGGGCGCUCUGACAUUUUUUUCACUGUUAUAUUUUUUUAUAAUGUAUUUUUUUUAUUUUUUUGUAUUUUAUUAUUUUUUAUGUGGGGACCUAAAAAUGGGUUACAACAGUUGGUAACAGAGGUGCUAUUACGAUUGGUUGGAGAAUAGCUUUAUGGAGAAAUUCAUAUGUAAGUAGUUUGCUAUGGAGAUCAGUGUAGGAGAUGGAUCAACCUUAGUAGACAAGUUGGUGACAAGAUCUUUAAACUCGCAGCGUAACCCUCGAAACACAUGCAGGUAGAAUUCUGCCAAGGAGAUUGGUCUGUCAGCCGCCACAAGUUCAUCAAACAAUGCAUUUGCCUUCUACAAGUAGGUGCUAACAAAAUCAUCAUGCUAGCGUAACUCUUGGAAGGAACCGUGAAGUUGCAUGAUCAUGGAAUUCGAAGGAGAAGCAAGAGUUGUUUCUAGCGUUCUCCAGAUAUCAUGGGAGGUGUUAUGUAGGUCAAAAAAAUUUAAUUUUAAUUGUCCUGCAUGUCCUACUUGGUCAUUAGUGCCCUGUCAUCCGUCUAUAAAUGUGAUUGGUAAUAGAUGGGUGUACAAGAUUAAACGCCACGCAGAUGGUCGAAUUGACCGAUAUAAAGCAUGGUUUGUUGCCCGCAACUUCUCUUAGCAAGAAGGGAUUGAUUAUUUGGAGAUGUUUAGCCUGGUCGUUAAACCUACAAUGGUUCACCUUGUGCUCACUAUUGUUGUCUUAUAUGGUUGGAAUAUUCACUAGUUGGAUGUUCAUAAUGCUUUCUUGAAUGACAUUCUUCAAGAGGAGGUAUACAUGGCAUAACCACCUGAGUUUGUUGAUUCUACUAUUUCAUCUCAUGUGUGUCGUCUUCACAAAUCUUUGUAUGGCUUGAAACAAGUACCUCGAGCUUGGUACAACCGGUUGAGCGGAUUUCUCCUUUCCAUUGGAUUUCAAGCAUCCAAGGUUCACACUUCCCUGUUUAUUCUCUCUCUUAAUGGUGCCAUGAUUUAUUUGCUUGUGUAUGUGGAUGAUAUUUUACUGAUCGGGAGUAACUCAGCUUUGCUUCAUAGAUUGAUUAUUUUACUACAAACAGAAUUUAAGCUUCGGAAUUUGGGUUCUGUUCAUUUCUUCUUGGGUAUUGAAAAAACCUACAGCUAUGGGUAUCUUAUUAAGUCAACACAAGUAUGCACUCGAUAUUAUCCAAUAGCAGGUAACUGGUUGAUACAGAUUGUUGGAGCACUGCAAUAUCUUACUUCCACUAGACCUAAUAUUUGCUAUGUAGUCAACAAAGUAUGUCAAUUUAUGCAUGCCCCUACUAAAGAUCAUUGGGUUGCCGUUAAAUGUAUCCUACAUUACCUGCAGGCUACAGCAACCUAUGGUCUGUACAUUACUCGAGACUUUCUCUUAACUCUUCAUGGUUUCACAAAUGCUGAUUGGGCAGGUAGUAUUGACGAUCGCAAAUCCAUAGGUGGGUAUCUUAUGUACCUUAGUUCUACCCCUAUUUCAUGGAAAUCCAGGAAACAACACAUUGUUGCUAGAUCUUCUAUGGAAGUAGAAUACAAAGCCUUGGCUAAUGGUACUGCUGAAAUUUUGUGGAUUCGUUCUUUAUUGGCAGAACUUUGGAUUUCCGCUUCAUCCAUGACUACGUUAUGGUGUGAUAACUUAGGGGCCACUUUCUUAUCUACCAAUUUGGUGUUCCACGCUCCUAAACAUGUUAAAGUUGAUUAUCACUUUGUUUGUGAUUGCGUUGCUAAGAGAGAAAUUCAGAUACAAUUCAUCUCUUUAAAGGAUCAACUUGUUGAUGUUCUUACCAAGCCUCUCCCAGUCUCGUUUGGUUAUGUUUGAUCCAAGCUUCAGGUGGAAUCUCCACCUUCAGCUUGACGGGGUGUAUUAAGAAAAGAGACCACAUAUAUGUAAAUACAUUAUAUAGGGAUAGUUAUCAUGUGUAGUACAUUCCACCAUUGUAUUGUAUACAACCCUAAAGGUAUAAAUACAAAGGGAUGGUUGUUUUCAAUCAUUGAUCACAAUUAUACAAAAGACUAUCUUUCUAAUCUUGACAUGGUAUUAGAGUCUUGAUGACCAAACGGUCACGAGUUCGAAUCUCACCAUCCUCAUUUAUUUGAUAAAAAUUAAGCACAAGGUAAUAUAGGUUUGUGCAAUUUUCAAGCCCAAAGGGUUUUUACUUGAAGGGGUGUGUAGAAAAUAAUGUAAAUCAUAUCAUGAGACCUCACCUAACAGCUUAAGCUAUUAGGUUGAGAUUAUUCUUUGAUACCAAGAUAAUUGGUCUAUCAAGACUAACAAGAGUUCUCUUAAGAUUGUCAGUUAUUUCUUCAUCAGUUCAACAUCCAAUCUGCUCAUUAUUGUUACUUACAAUUUUUCUAUAAGAAGAAAAAAGAAUACAGUGCUUAUAACUAGGAUGGGGUGCUACCAGAUCUUUAGUUUUCCUCAAUAGACUUUGUAAGAUUAUCUAAUUGCUUCAAGUACAACACUUAUAAUAGGAUUUUGAAGUCUAAGUAAGUUCUUAGUGAAAGCGGAUGCUGUAAAAACAAAACACUACAAAGACAUUAACCUAACCAACUUGUGUUAACUAGAAUCCCGCUUUUUGAUCAAUUAAUUUCCAAACUAGAUUUACUAACUAUAAUUUUGAGGAUAACAACAUAUUUAAGCUAAGGUAGUGGAAGACUUUAACCAAUGAGGCAGUUUCUGAAAAUUUCUUUUCUAAAUAAAAACUAAAUAUUUUUCAUUAAAAAAAUAUAAAAAUGGCUCCGUAAGUGAGGGAAGAUGAAGUCGUGUUGUGUGCAAGCAGCAUAAGAAGAAAGAUGAACUAGGUUUGACCAACCUUGACAAGCAUUCAGUUGAGCUACCAAUUAAUUUCUGUUGGCUAAAAGAUGCAAAUAAACAAUGAAUUGAACUAAAUACUCAACAAUAAACAAGGUCCCGUUGGAAAAAAUGCUCCUCGAAUUAUUAACAAAUACACUAAAAGAACUUGACUGCGCAAUAUUCAUAUAAUAACCUAAUUUAAAAUAGAGAGAUACUACUAAGAGUUAAGAGGAGAGAUGGGAGGAAAAGUUGAAUAGAAACAAAAGCAUUUCACACCUUUAAAGUUUGAAAGUUACUGAAGUUUGAAGGAGAUAAUUGAAGGGAGGAGAAUGAGUGCAGGCGGUGAGAAAAAAUAUAAUAGAAAGAAGGGAAAUGUUAUUUAUAUAAAAAAAUAUUUAAGAUUAUUUAUAUAUUUAGGAGGCUGCUUUUGCGUCAACUGGACAACAAGAGGAACUUUAGAAGCAUGGGCUUCUUUCACUCACGAGGAUUCACACCAAGAAAAGCUUGAAGCUUUGCAUUUUAAUGGAAGAAAUUGAGCCUAGAGGUGUAAGUAGCUUUUGGGACCCAAUUUCUUGGAAUCAUAUCUCUUGCAAACAUUGCUCUUCCUGUUGAUAGUGUUGUUAACUUCACAGAUAAUGGUCCUUUCUAUUGAUAAUUAUAGGUAUAUAAAGAAUUGAAUAUGAUGAUAAUCAGAAAAACAAAGAACAGAGAAUUUGAGCAAAGAACAAAGAGCAGAAUGUUUUUAUAAGUUACUGCCAUCCCUUAGCUUUUAUUUACAAAUGAAAUCAAUCACAACAAAAUUAAAAAACGCAACUAACAUAAACUCCUUCAUUUAAAGAGUUAUGUAACUUAUCCUAAAGAAGUUUCAAAUCGAAAAAAGUAAAAAUUGACUAAACAACAUCAAGAUAAUGAUGUUACUAAUAAAUAGAUAUUAAUGAAAGAUAACCUACAACUGAUACAUUAAUUUCAGCUUUGGUGCCAUAACUUCAACACUCCUCCUUGGUUCCAAAGCUGCAUAUCCAUAUCCUCUCCCUUAGAUCUUCAAAUCUAUCUUUAGCUAAAGGCUUGUUGAACAGGUCUGCUAAUUGCUCUUUUGAAAUGCAGUAUAUCAUCUUUAGUUCCCCUUCUUGCUGGAAUUACUUGAUAGCAUGGAACUUAAUCUUCAUAUGCUUGGUCUUGUCAUGAAAAUAGAAUUCUUUGAAAUAGCUAUUGCUGAUAUAUUGUCACAUAACAAUUUUAUGGGACUUCGUUGAUGAAAGUCUAGAUCAUUCAACAUUUUCCUUAGCCAUAUCAAUUGCUUUGUUGCCACAUAUGCUGCUACGUAUUCUACCUCUACAGUGGAAUGUGCAACCACUGAUUGCUUCUUUGAGUUCCAACAAAAAAUGCUUCCUCCAAUAGCAAAGCAAUAACUUGAGGUGCUCAUCAUUUUUUCAUUUCUUCCAGCCUAAUCACUAUUAGAAAAACCAAUUAGUUUAACAGAACUUGAUUUCACAAAAUGCAUGCCAAACUCUAAGGUCCCUUUUACAUAUCUCAGAACUCUCUUGGCUGCAACAAAAUAGAUUUGAUUUGGACUUUGCAAGAACCUAGAGAUGUAAUUGACAACAAAACAAUGUCUGGACGUGUAGCAGUUAAAUACAACAAGCUGCCAACUAAACUUCUAUAGGUUUUUCCAUCAGUUUUGGGAGAUUCAUCCUCCUUCAUUAGCUUUUGUUCCAGUACCAUAGUACCAUAGGUGUACUGACUGGUUUGUAAUUUUCAAUUGCAAAAUUUUUAGUAGCUUUAUUGUAAACCUCUUUUGACAUAGAAAAUAACUUUGCUCUAACUGAGUUACUUCCAUGCCUGAGAAUUAUGACAGCAAACCAAGUUCAUUAAUCUCAAACUAAUCAUCAAAUGACAACGUGGGACACAAUCUGCAUUAUAUAUUGUAUUCUCUUCUGUUGAUGGAGGGGUGGUGUUUGCUGUAUUUGUUAGAACAAAAUAUUUUUUUAAAUUGCUCGUCCUUUUACCUUGAAAAAAAUCCUGCAGCAGGGAUGGGAUGGAUGUUUGUUGAUUUUAUCGUAAUGCACCGUGUCAAUGAUUUUGGGACGGCCAUUUUAAUACUGUUCAGACCAACCAAGCUGUUGAUAUCUUUAAUUAACAUUCGUAUCUUAAUUUGAUUAUUAUUAUUAUUUUUUUUACUCAAUCAAACAACAACAACAGGAGUCUAGUAAAUACAUGCUUAAAAUAUAUAUAUAUAUAUAUAUAUAUAUAAGUAGAAGUGCGCAUACAUUCAAUUGGAAACUCAAGAGUUAUUACAAAGUUCAAAUUAUUACCACAAUCGCUAGCCAGACACAAUCCAAGAUGUGAUCGAUCCCAAAAUCCCGACCUCUGAUCUUACUAAAGAUUGUGCUUUAUCUUGUGAUCAGAGAGCUUUCUCUUGAGAUCAGAGGGUAUAUUACGCAGCCACCACCUACUGUAAAAACAAGAAAAUUAAGUAGUAGAUAUAAUGCAAGAGCACUAGUAGAAGAACCGGGUUGCCAAAUAGCAGGAUAAUCGAAGGAAAAACAAAGGCCACCCCUGCAAUGAUGAUUGUUAACAUCCAACCAUGGGAUCCUAUUAAUGCUAUUCUCACAGAAAAAAGGAAUGCCCCGAACAUCAUGAAAAUAGCCAAACAAACCAUGAUAAUUGAAAACCCAACUGUAGAGAUUUGAAAUCUGGGAAUAUUAAAGUUUGGCACAAGAAGGAAUAGAGCUGCCGCCAGAGAGGUAGAUAAAGCCCACAUCGAGAAACAAAUAACCAUACAGAAGAUUCUCAUAAGUGCUGUAAUCGGAGGCAGUAUAAGUGACGUUAAAUUCAUGACGAUGAUCACUUGAGUUAUUGUUAUCCCUUAAUUGUGGCAAUUGUAUAGCACCCGCAAAGGUUACUCCAGCAACAAGCACUGCCACCACUAGAAGAUUCCCUGUCAUGCUCUUUGUUUCCUCUUUUGCUUUUGACAUGGGUAGUGGGUAACAUGGAAAAACCUCUUUAGGGAAUUCUUAGGUCGGGCAUUGAAGAAUAAGAUCGAUAAUGUCAGCACCUGCAUAUAUAGCACGGGGAAAAAAAACUUAAUUGUUUAAUGAGUUCUUGGCACUUCCUCAAUUGCAUCUAAAAACGUUGACCUUCGAAUGCCUUUCCCAGAACAAGUAAUUUUCUGGAAUGGUUUAGAAUUUUUUAAUAUAAUGGUUUACGAGUUAAAUCGAUUGUUUUGUUAAAAGAUUAGGGAUGGCAAGGAAAAAAGAAGAAGCAAUAAUACCAAUGGGAGAUACAAAACCGUUAUUUCGUCCUUUGGUGAUGCCUCUUUUGUAUCCAUCUUAUUUGAAUCAAUUUCUUUGCCCUGUCAAAAUAAUAAUAAUAUUAUUAUUAUAUGUGAAAAUGCAGUGCUCUCCUGUGUGCUAUGGCUAGACAACAAUCGAAGCAAAUGAAACUGGUUCAUGUUUGAAAAAAAGUCAUUUGACAUUAAAUGGUUUUGAUUAAAAUAAUAUAUUUAUUGAAGAUUUUUUAUUUCGUGUUGCGAGAUACUUUUAAUUUUUUAUUUAAUUACAUGACAAUAAAAAUUAAUUUUAUUAAAUAAUUUAAAUUCUAUUAUUGAAAAAAAAAGGUAUCUAUAUUUUUUUUAAUCAAAACCAUUUUCCUUAUUAAUACGUUCCAUUUUUUUUACUAAUGUUUUUAUAAAAUUGUUUUUUUUAAUAACAACCUAUCAUAAUCUUAUAAAUAAUUUUUAAUUUAAAAAAUAAAAUAAUUAUGGAUUGAUGAUUUUCUUGAAAAAAAAAAUAUUAAAUCAGUAAUACUCCUAAAAUAUAUAGACUUUUGUAGCUCGAUAAAUGAUGAUCAAAUUAGUAGCUUUCCAUUUCAUCUGUUUUUAAGUAUUCCUCUUCAGAUCUUUUGGAAAAUUGUUCAGCCCACUCAUAUGGUGUCCAAUUUUCAUUGUUAACAAUGAAAUGUUCGACGCGAUUGUCACGCACAAGAAGAAAUGUAGCCGCGCAUCGGCCAUAACCUGCUGCCAAGUGCAAAGGUGUAUUUCCAUCCUCAUCUAUCGCAUUUAGCAGCGGUGCGACGAGCUUCUGGUCCAGCUUGAGUAUGUACCUAACCACACUGUCAUUUCCAUAUUUGGCCGCUACAUGAAGAAUGUUCUGCCCUUUUUUAUUUAUGAAUUCGUUUGGAUAGGGGAUAACUUUCAGGAAUUCCUUUAACAAAGCAACCGAGCCUCCCUUGCAUGCAAGAUGAAUAGGAUAGUUGCCCUCUUGGUCAGUUUCAUCAGCACCGGGAUGAUACUUUUGUAAUAGGAAUUGAACUCCUUCCACAUAGCCUGUAGAUGAUGCAUAAUGGAGUGGAUUUCCAAACUCUUUGUCAUGGAGACGUAAUAACUCUGGCUUUGCUUCUUCGAUUUUCUGCAAUAUACCUGAAAAUAAAAAUAAAUUGUUUUGAAUGAAUUUAAAGAUAGGUUUGCAAGAUUGGUUUGUAUGUAUAUCACUUUUCUGAUGAGAGGAGACAAUGUGAUCACCUAUGUUACGGUUCUUGAUGGCAGCAUGAACAGGGGACUUUCCUUGUGGUAGCAUGCCAAGUGAAUCUCCAUCUUCUCUUUCUCUAGGGAUCGAAGCUUCCUCAUUCAAGAGAUCAUCAAGAAUCCCCUUCAUAUUGCGAUUUUCAACAGCCAGAUAUAAAGGAGACCUGCCAGUCUUGUUUUUGUAAUAGGCCACUUCUGGAUCUCUGGACAUGAGGAAUUUGGCAACAUCUUUGUUACCAUUGAUCACUGCAACAUGCAAAGGAGUGUUUCCUUCUCUAUUUGUCGUCCUCAGCAAGAAAGCAUUCGAAUUGACAAGGUUUCGAAUUGCAUGACUAAUACUUCCCUCUCUGGCAGCAACAUGAAGGAUUGUGUCUUGCUGGUCGUUUCGGCUGGUGAUUAGAGAAGGGAUCUCUUUAGCCAGGUAAGCAGUAAUAUUAUUACUUUCAUACCUUAUGGCUACAUGAAGUAGCGAAUUCCCACAGGGAGUCACUAGCUUCUCCGCUAAAUGUUGCUGGACACGGCUUUUAAAUUCCUCAAUAUUGUCCUGCUUCACGUACUCAUAUAACUUACUAUCUAUCUUUUUAUUUGCCAUGUCAUCUCUCGGAAUCGAGCUUCCAACUAUGUUUAUUGCUACGCUAGACAUAGCGAAAGAAAAUAUUAUUUGACCUGAAUCAGCUAUACAUAUCAGACGGCAGGACUUCUAAUUUAAAUAGACCAGACUGCAUGUCAAUGGAAUCUGAAAUAAUGUGAAUCUUACUCUUUUUUUUUAUUUGCAAGGAUAUAUACUUUGAUUACUCAAAUACUUCACGCAUUUGUUCUGGAAUCCAGAACAUAGCAAGAGAGAGAGAGAGCAGUCUUGGCUAUGGUUAAAGCAGCAUCUUGAAAAGGAAAAGGGGAAAAUCUGUCCCCUAACUCAGAAAAGAUGAGUGUUCCUAGGGAAAUUCUUAGCUUAAAUUUGUAACUCAAAAAAGAUGAUUGUUGUUAGGAAAAUUCUUAACUUGAAUAUAUAACGCAAAGGAAAUUCUUAACUUGAAUAUAUAACUCAUAUACACUAUGCAGGUGGGAGAAUCCAUGGUUUAAUGAACAUGAUGAUGCACGAUGGCAUGAGAGUCCACAUCUUAUACCUUCCGGUGAUUUAACCAAUUAAUUCAACAGUUUUAAACUCUCAUGUUAAAAUCCAAGAAUACAGUUUUAUAAUUUUUAUUAUUUUAAUGGGAGAUCUCGUGUGCGUUGGACUGCAUUAUAUAUGUAUAUAUAAACGAAUUUUCAACUAUUGAUUUGGAGUGUCGAUUUAAAGUAUUGUAAUAGCUUAAGAUGUUUAUUGAAUAAGAUGAAUCUAGCUAAGUCUUGGCUUUACCCAGCAUGAACAUUUUCUUUUUAGUUACAUACCUAAUAUGAAUUUCAUUUUGUAGUAAAAGUAUGGAACUGAUGGUAAAAAAAAUAAUAACUAGUUUUUUUAAAAAAAAAAAAAAGCUUUGGAACGUUCUGUGCCUUGCCCAGACACUUGUUGGUCGCCCAUUGGACAGCAAGACCGAUUGGUUGCCCAACUUGCCUAGCAACCAACCAACUUAUCUCUCUCUCUCUUUCUUUUUCUUAUUUUUUUUCUCUUUUUAAUUUUCUCUCCUCUGUUUUUCAACAAAUAAAACUACAUGCCACGAACUCUAUAUAUUAUUUUUUUAUAAUAUAAUUUAAUUGUCUUAAUACAAGAGUUAAUAUAUUUUCAUAGUUUUGGAGCACUAAUUAGACAUAAAAAAAAAGAUACAAAUUACAUUAAAAAGCAGGUUCGGAAGGUUCAACAAAAGUAACCUGCUAUCAAGCUAUAAGCCUGAAAAGAAUAAUAAUGAGAGGGUGAGUUCAACAACUUAGUGAGUAAAUAAUAUUCAAUAUACACACACGAGGUAAUACAACAAUGAUAAUACAUAUACAAUUAUGGCUCUAGGUUCUUAUAGGAAGGUUUCUCAAAUAGAUCAUAGCAAGAAUAUCAUAUGGUAAAGCUCGUCAAAAAAUCAAAAUGCAAUAAGCAUGAGACUCUGUACUGUGGGAUGAUCAGUCUACACAGGUUGGUGACUCCCCCGACCAACUAGGGUUCAUAUACGAUAUGCAUAAAGACUAACAUUACCCUGUUAGCAUGUGUAUUCUGACUAACAUACUAUAGGUUCAUAAUCAUAAUCAAACAAACAUAUUCAUAUCUCAAAGCUCAACUCAUGACAUCAAUCAAAUGAGGAGCUAUCAAUUUAAAAGUCAAUUCAAAAUAUAUACUGGUUCAUAUCAAGAAUUCAGAUUCAAUAAUUGAUCAUGCUUUAUCAUAACAAGGAUAAUAAUAAUCAACAUAUAUAUUAUCAAGAAGCAUGAUCCAAUUCAUAUUAACAAAUCAAAUAUUUAUAAUAUUUCUCAUGCAUAUGAAAAAUUAUCCACUCACCUGACUCAAAAGCAAACGGCACUCAAAAGUUGAUACCGAAGGAAAUCCUACUAACGUCCCGCUAGUAAAAUAUCAGGAUUAUCUAAAAAAAAAUUUAGCCUAUUUAAUACACUUAACUAAAGGUGUAUUCCGUAACCCUAUAUGUUUUGAACUAACUAGUCAAUUUUCUCAAAAACCCAAAAUUUAAUGGUUUUCCCGAAAUCUAAUCCAUAAUAAAACAACUAAUAAAAUUGGUAAUAAUUCACUAAAUAAACCUUAAUUAUUCAACAAAAUAAUCUGCAAAAGCUAAUAUUACAACUAGGGACUAAUCUGAAAUUUAUCAUUUUUUAGGGCCAAAUUGUAAUUUUCAUCUAAUUGGAGGACCAAACUAAACAUAUCAUAAAUUCAUGACUAUAGUGGAAUUAUGUCCAUAAUUCAUCCGCAUUUCUGUCCAGAACCUCUAAUUAUGCUCCAGGGACCAUUCUGGGAUUUUUUUUCCCAAAUUUUAGGGUCAAAUUGUAAUUUUUGUCAAAUGGAGGACCAAACUAAAAUUGUCAUAAAUCCAUGACUAUAUUGAAAUUAUAACCAUACUUAAUCCUCAAUUAUGUCCAGAAUAUCUCAUUAUGCUCCAGGGACCAUUCUAGAAUUUUACCAAAUUUUUAGGGUCAAAUGGUAUUUUUUUUCAAAUUAGAGGACCAAAUUGAAAGUUUUAAAAUUUCAUAACUAUACAGUAAUUCUGCCCAGAAUUCAUAUGUUAUUCUUUUCAGAAUCUCGGAAUAUGCUCCAGGGACCAAUUUUUAAUUUUCCAAAGUUUGGGGACUAAACUGUAAUUUUCACAAAUUAAGGGACCAAAUUGAAUUUUCGUCAUCUUCAACCUCCAACCCAGAAUUUUAAUAUAAAACCCACUGUUCUCUCCAAAUUUCUAACACAAAUUAACCAUUCAAACAAAAUCAUAACUCAAAAUCAUCAUCUUUCAAUUCAAUCUCUCAAAAUCAACCAAAUAAUCAAAUAUCAACACAACAAUUAACCCUGGUUUUGUUAUGUUAUUUAUUACCUCGACACUCCUGCACUUGGGAUAAGACAUUAAUCUUUUAAUCAUGUUGAAAAUUUAGAUUCCUUUUAUUUCUUAUCAUGAUCAACGACUUGUAGAUGUUUUUAUUAAGUUAUUUUCUAUUGUUUUUCAAUUCAAAUUUCGGGUCGAUUCUUCACCAUAUAUAUAUAUAUAUAUAUAUAUCAAGGAAAUAUUAAUAUGUUUAAUCACUGUUAUAUAAGGUGUUGGUUAACUAAUAAGUUAAUAUAUAAUUCCAUUCACAACAUGACACUUUGACUAUUUGUUUUUUGUUUUUGUUUCUUUUAAUAUAAGAACUUAUAUAGCCUAUCAUUGAUAAAUAAAUAAAUUAAAUUUGCUUUAAUGGAGUCAUUUUAAUUUGCUUUAACUCAACUUAUUGACAAUUUUCUCUUAAAAUUUAUUCAUUUCUGAUAAUAUAUUGAUAGAACACACAUAUUCAAUUCAUUAUUUCAACUGGAAACUCAAAAGAUAUUACAAGUUCAAAUUAUUAUUACAACAUCUAGACACACAAUAUUCCAAGAUGCUUUUUCACCCCUAACCUUCUAAAAAAAGGCGAUCACACAAAAUCAUGACAUCUGUUGAUGAAGAUCAACCUGGAUAGUUACUUGGGCUUUGUCCAGAGAUCGCGAAGUUUAUGAAGACGUGGAAGACUAUACGACGUCAGGCACCUCCAAUUGUAGACAAGCAUGAAAAACGAGAUGUAGUAGACAUAAUGCGAGAGCUUUCCUUCAAUAAUUUGAUUGACGGAUGGCGGAAGAAUCCAUUGAAUAUAAAGCAAUGUUUGAGCAACGAAAAACGCGAUCCCCACCACUAUAAGGAUGAUUGCGAACACCCCAUAAUUGGAUCCACCUAAUGCUAUGCUCACGGCAAAAAAGAAGGACAAGCACAUCAUGUAAAUAGACCCACCCACCAUUAAUGAUGAAAACCAAACUGCAAAUGGUGCAAACUUGACAUCGUUCAAGUUUGUCCAAAGAAGGAUUAUAGCUGCCACCACAGAGGUAUUUAAAGCCCACACAUCAAGACACAAAUAACCAUCCAAAAGAGAUGAACCAGUAGGACUGUCAAAAGCAGUGCUGUUCCGGGAGGCAGCAGUAGUGCUCGAGUUAUUUUUAUCCCUUAGUUGUGGCAUCUGUAUAGCACCCGCGAAGGUUACACCGGCAACAAGCACCGCUACAACAAGAAGAUUCUCUAUCCUGCUCUUUGUUUCCUGUUUCCUUGGCGGCUUGCCUUGAGUACUAGUGAAACGCUCAUAUAGGGAUUUCUUAGGGCGGGCAUGGAAGUAUAAGAUAGAUAAUGUUGUCAUCUGCAUAGCAAGGGGAAACAAACUUCGUAAUAAUGAGUUUCUGGAACUUCCUCAAUCGCAUGCAAAAGCGUUUGCCUUGAAAUCCCUUUUUUUUUUUUUUAAGAACAAGCACGAUUCUGGAAUGAUUUCUGAAUUUUGAAAAUAACUGUAUAGAAUCUAAAUUAAUCGGCCUUCAAGUAGAUGUUCAAAAGAAUAGGGAUGACUAGAAAAAAUAUAGGAAAGAAGAUGUGUAAUAUUACCGUUCCAUAAUAAUCCAGCAGCUUGUAGUCCUUUGAAUCAACUGCUUUGUCCUGUAAAAAAACAUAAUUUUAAGUUAAUGAAUAGAGCGACCUCUUUUUUCUUUCUUCCCUUCUUUCCUUUUGUGCUAUGGCUAGCCAACAAUAUAAGCCACUGAAACUGAUAAUUAACCUCGAUUUUGUGUAGUCAAUGUAAACUUGUACCUUUCCUUGAGAACCAGUCGAAGCGGUCGCCUUUUCUGUUGUAGAAUUCUUCUUUCCAUCCUUCACAUCUUCUGAAUUAACUUCGAUCUGAGGAAUGAAGACAGAAAUCAUGAAGCAACGCAGAGCAGAUAAUUGUACAAAUUACAUGACAUGAGCUCUUCUGACAAAGGAUGAUUGAGUCUAUCAAAGAACCACUCAACUCAAAAGCUUGAACAGCUAAUUGAGGUUUAAGGAUACGAUUUUAUAUUAUAUCUUUAGUCCUGAAUUUCAGUCAGCUUUUAAGAGUGUUAAGUUAUAUACUCUGUUUCCAUUUUUUCAUGACAUCAUCCUUUAUUAUGUAAAAUAUGAUAUCCUUUAGUGAAAUGGAAUCCUUGUCUACUUAAAUUGUAACAACAUUGUUUUUCAACAGAACUCUCAUACCUGGAUCUCGUCCGCAGGAAUACUGUUCUUUGAAUCAAACUGCUCUCGUUCCUUAGCAAGCUGGCAACAAAGAGGAAACCCAGACACCAAAAUAUUAAAUAAAUAAUACUCUUAAAAUAUGUACUUUUGUAGCCUCGAUAAAUGAUGAUCAAAUAGCAUACCAUUUCAUCUGUUUUGUCAUAUUGGUCUACAGCCUUUUGAGAUUGUUGUUUCGCAACAUCAUAUGGUGUAAAAUUUUCAUUGUUAACAAUUGAUUUUUCAACGCGUUUGUCACGCACAAGAACAAAUGCAACCAUGGAUUGACCAUGUCGUGCUGCCAAAUGCAAAGGUGUAUUCCCAUCCUCAUCCAUCUCAUUUAGCAGUGGUUCUACGAUCUUCUGAUCGUUUUCGAGUAUGUACCUUACCACAUUACCCUGUCCAUUUUCUGCCGCUACAUGAAGAAUAUUCUGCCCCUUUUUAUUCAGGAAUUCUUUAGGAUAUGGGGUAAUCUUCAGAAAUUCCUUUACUACAUCAACAGAGUCAUUUUUGCAUGCAACAUGGAUAGGAUAGUUGCCAUCACUGUUUGUUUCAUAAGCACCAUUGAGAAACUUCUUCAAUAGGAAUUGAACUCCUUCCAGAAAACAUAUGGAUGAUGCAUAAUGCAGUGAAUUUCCCAACCUUCGGCAGUGAGACAUAAUAGCUCUGGCUUUGCUUUUGCAAUUUUCUCCAAUAGAUCUGAAAAUCAAAAGAAAAUGUUUCAAAUGAAUAUAAAGAUGAUAGGUUUGAAACAAUUGUUUGUAUGCAAAUCAUUUUCUAGUGAGUAUAGACAUUGUGAUCACCUAUAUUACGUUGCUCGAUGGCAGCAUGAACAGGGGAUUUUCGUUUUGGUAGGGCAUCACCAUCUUCUCUUGUUAUAGGAAUCGAAGCUCCCAAAUCCAAGAGAUCAUCAAGUAUCCCGUUCUUAUUGCCAUUCUCAACAGCCAGAUAUAAAGGAGACCUGCCAUUCUUGUUGCUGUAAUAGGCCACUUCUGGAUCUCUGGAAACUAGGAAUUUGGCAACUUCUUUGUUACACUUGAUGACUGCGUCGUGCAAAGGAGUGUUUCGCUUUCCAUUUGCCAUCCUCAUCAAGCUCGGAUUCAAUUCCACGAGAGAUUUAAUUGUACGAAUAGCCGUUCUUUCUUUGGCAGCAAGAUGAAGGACUGUGUCGUUCUGGCUGUUUCGCAUGGUGAUUAGAGAAGGAAACUCUUUAACCAGAUAAGCUAUAAUAUUGUCACUUCCAUAGCUUACAGCUACGUGAAGCAGUGUAUUCCCGCAGGGAGUCACUAGCUUCUCUGUUAAAUGUUGCUGAAAACGUCUUUUCAAGGCCUCAGUAUCGUCCUGCUUCACACACUCAUGUAACUGACUAUCUAUCAUUGCAUUUUCCAAGUGAUCUCUCGGAAUCGAGUUUUCAUCUAUGUUUAUCUCAACUGCACUAGACAUAGCAAAAGAAAAUAUUAGGUUACUUGAAUCAGCUAUACCUAUCACUUAUCAGACAGCAGGACUUCUAAUUCAAAUAGGCUAGACUGCAUGUCAAUGGAAUCUGAAGUAACGUGAAUCUUAAUUACUCUUUUUUUAUUUGCAAGGAUACUUUGAUUAUCAAAUACUUCACCCAUUUCGUUCUGGAAUCUUGGCUAUGGUUAAAGCAGCAUCUAAAAAAGGAAAAGGAAAAGGAAAAGAGGAAAAUUCUUAACUUGAAUUUAUAACUCAUAUACAGAGUGCAGUUGGGAGAAUCCAUGGUUUAAUGAACAUGAUACACGAUGGCAUGAGAUUCUUCAUCUUCUCGCGGUGAUUUAACUAUUCAAUUCAAAAGUUUCGAACUCUAACGUUAAGCUCGAGUGGUUAGCGCCUGAAGCAAGCCGAAGUCGCGGGUUUGAUCCCCCCUGGACGCACAAUUUUUAGUUUUCUAAAAAAUAAAACACAUACAAGUUCCCCCCCCCCCUCAAAAAAUAGGUUUCUAUUGAUUUUUUUCAUUUAGUAUUGAUUUCAAAGUAAAUUAAUUUUUUUAUUGUAUAAUAAAAACAAAAAACUCAAUGUAAUGUAAUUUUGAAUAGUAAAUGUAGCGGAUUAACUAUGGUGAACUUGACUUGAUUCUUUACUUCUUCUAGUUUUUUUUUUUUUUUGUUUUUUUGCAUUUAUACAGUCAAUAAGAUCAUGUCGAGAUAAUUUUUAUAAAAUUUAAUUUAAAACUAGAGUUGAGUAAAAUGUCGUGUCAAGUGUUUUUGACAUUUUAAUUUUUAUACCAAAUUUAAUAUAAAGCUGAAAAAUUGAUACAGUUUAGUUAUUAUUUUUAAUGUUUAAAAAGAAUUAGUGAUGAACUAUAUAUGGUAAUAUACAAUACAAGUUGCUUGUUCUGAAGGGAAAAAAAGAAGCACUAAAUCAUCUCCGAAUUUGAAUUCAAUGAUUUAAACUUAACGAACAAAAAGAUGAUAGAAGAAAACAUGCGAUGAUCUCAAUCCAAAAAUAAAGAAAUAAAGGUUCAAAUUUAUAAUUCUCUUAGAAAAAAGUUGAAUAAUUAAAGGUUUAUGAGCAAUUUCACUACAAGAUUUCACAGUUUUACCGAUGGCAAUAUUCUGUUGGUGUGUGAUAGAAUGUUCGUCGGUAAAUUAUUUACCGACUAUAUUACCGACGGAAUAUGUCCGUCGGAAUACCUUUUGUCGGUGAUUCCACAUUCCGUCGCUAUAUCGGUUGGAAAUACAAAAAAAAAAAGUUUUCCGCUUGGAAUAUACCGACGGAAAAUAUUCCGUCAGUGAUAUGUAAAUACCGACGGACUAAAUCCGUCGGUAAAAGUGUCGGUGAUAUUUCAUGCCGACCGAAUAUUUCCGUCUGUAAAUUCGUCGGUAAGUUUAUGCCGACGGAUUAUUUCCGUCGGUGAAUAUGUCGGUGAUGGGAUGGAAUACCGACUGAAUCUGUCCGUCUGAAUAUUCGUCGGUGAUGGUAGCAGACACUGUCCAAUGCUGACGGAGUUAUUCCGUCGGUAAAUCCCUAUGCAAAUUUUUUUUAAUUUUUUUUAAUUUUUAGAAAAAAUAAUAUAAAUUAAUGGUAAUACAAACCAAUUAUGCAAAUAAAAUUUAUAUUAAGCAACAAAAACUCAAAGUUAAAUAAUAUUCAUUACAAAAUGAAUGUGUUUCAAAAAAACAUUAAACGAAAUUUUAAAUGUAAAUAAUGUUUAUUAAAAAUUAAUAUAAAGGUGGAGGAGGAGGAGGAGGAGGAGGCUGGGGGUUAGGCGGCCAAAAAGGAUUAGGCGCACAUGUUCCACCUUGUGUCAUGUUCAUGACCAUUUGACGAAGCUCUUCAUAGGCCGCUCUUUGUUGUUCAGACUCUGCUCUGCGUUGUUCGUUCGCCACUCUAUGCUCUUUUUUUAGUUGUGUGUACGCCUCUGAUAGGUGGUCGCACCUUUGCUGCAAGGCCACGAACUCCUUAGAUUGGGAACUCGAUACUGAUUGGGAGCUCCCGGCGGUUGAAGCAGUACCGGUCGACCGCAAGUUGGCGGCGGUAGUGUUGGAGAGCCCGUAAACCCGAUUUUUAUCGGGUCUACCUGACGAUCCAGCCUCCAUCCACAAAUUCGGAUCGAAUUCCGGAUGGGUCAAAGGAUCGUCCCCGUAUCUCUCCCUCAACCGAUUAUUAUAGGUCUCCUGAAAAAAAAUCAUCAUAUUCAAUUCAAUAAACAUAAUAAUAACUUACAAAAUAAAAUGGUUGAACAAACAUACCACAAACUGUUGAGCACGGUUGUCAACGAACUGUUGCGUCCCCUUUUGGCGGUCAUGACUCCGCACGUGCGUCUCCACAAACAGCUCCAUAGGGCUCGGCUCACGUCCAAGAGACGUAGCCUAUAAUGAAAAAAAUUUAUUAACAACAAAUUAAUUGAACGAUAUAUUUCAUUUAAAUUAAUCUUACCAUCCGUUUCGCAUGUGCAGCAAACGGAACGGAGCCGCUGGUGUGCGUUGUCACCGAGCCAUGAAUUGGCCGAUUCCGGUUGCCAGCACCGAACUGUGAGCGUCGAGUGAACCGCUCAGACGUCACGUGCUGAAGAUAGUGCGGCCAUAUAUCUUUCGGGAUGUAUAUCGGUUUGAAAUCCCUCCAAACCGCAACAUCGUUCCAGCCUUCGAACCCCUUAUCCCUCGCUGUUUUUUUUUGCCUUUUUCUGGGUGUCAUACCAAAAAUCACGCAACCUAAUUCACGCACGAAAAAAUUACAUUUCAAAACAUAAAUAAUUAUGUAAAAAAAAAGUCGUAUUGUUUUCAAUGUUACCUAAUUGCUGCGUGAUUUUCCCACACCCUCCUCACAACAGUGUCAUGUUCAUCGUCCCAGCUGAAUCGAUGCUGUGUAUAAAAAAAUAAUUUUUUAAAAUGUUAAUAAUUUAUUUACAAUUAUAACUAGAAUUUAUUAGAAAUAAGCUGAAAAUUAUAUAUUAAACGAACCUCAAAUCUACGAAACCAUGCAUUGAUUUGAGGCAUCCAUUCAGGAUGCCUGGAUAUCUGACUCCAUUGAAACAAUGGAAUCUCCAUCGACGCUUUAAACGCCGAUGAUAUUACUCGGGCGGCCUCAAUGUUUGUGAACCUGAAAAGAAAUGAAAUUAAUGAAAUAGUGAUUACUUCAUAAAUUAUGUUUUAAAUUUUUUUUAUAUAUAUAAAAAAAACUAAAACCUUAACAAACUUACAUUGAAAGAUCGUCCUUCCACUGUGCCUCGUACUUGCGGGUAAAUUGAUUCCGCUGCGAAGGCACGCCGCUUCUGCGAUGUGAAACAUCGCUGGAAGAGGCAGCAUCGGUUGACGGUGCAGGUGGUGUAGGUGCCUCUUCUUGAGAGGCACCUAAGGAAACAUUAGCAUCGCUGCUAGACGAACUUGAUUCGACUGGACGUGAACGACUAGCUCUGGUUUUCAUUUGCGCAUCUAAACAAUUUUAUAUAAAUAAUUGUAUAAUAAAAUUCAAAAGUUAAAAAAAAAUCGGCAGCACCUCCCCUAUACUGGAUACUACCCAAAUCCACAAACCUGCAAAUAUUAACAAUAGCCACAACCAAUUAACCCAAUCUAUACUAAUUAUUCCAACAUAUUCAACUAUUAAUCCUAAGAUAAAUUCAACGUUAACAAUUACAAUUCACAAAUUAUUCAAUAAUUAUGUCAAUACAACAAAACUAUAAAUUCAAAAUAAAUAGAAACAAUUAAACACAAAUCAUCAAGUUAGAGUAAAAUUAAUAAUUCUUCCAACAUAUUCAAUUAUUAAAUCUAAGAUAAAUUCAACAUUAACAAUAUUAAUUCAACAAAUUAUUAAAUAAUUAUGGCAAUACAACAAUAAAAUAUAUUCAAUAAAAUAAAAAAGAAUUAUAGCCUAACAAUUAAAAUCAAUGGAAACAAUUAAACACAAAUCAUGCAAUAAUAUAAAAAAAAAUACUAAUUAUUCCAACAUAUCCAAUUAUUAAUUCUAAGGUAAAUUCAACAUUAACAAUUAUAAUUCAACAAAUUAAUCAAUAAUUAUAUAUGGCAAUACAACAAUAAAUUGUAUUCAAUAAAUUAAAAAAAAUAUAUAGACUAACAAUUAAAAUCAAUGAAAAUAAUUAAACACAAAUCAUGCAAUAAUAGAGUAAAAUUAAUAAUUAUUCUAACAUAUUCAAUUACUAAUUCUAAGUUAAAUUCAACUUUAACAACAAAUAUUCAACAAAUUAACUAAUAUGUUAUUAUAACAACAAAACAAUAAAAAAUAUUCAAAAAAUUCAAAAACAAAAACCUACAUCAAGAAAAGGAACGAAAUAUACAUACCUUAAUAAUGUGACAAAUUCAAAACGUUAUCUACAUUACAAAAAAAAAAACAACUAAAAUAAAUUAAAAGUAAAUAAAAUAAAUUGGAAAAAAGCACAUACCUUUUAAUAUGAGGAAGAUUCACACCACUAGGUGAAAUUCUUGAAGGAUUGAGGGCAAAAAAAUAAAAAAUCUAAGGUGCAAAAUGGAGGAGAAGAGAAGAGAAGCGGCGCGGGGAGAAGAAGAAAAAAUAAGGCAAAGCGACGGGGCUGGAACUUAUAGGGCAGUUUUACCGACAGACUCACCGACGGACUUAAUAUCCGUCGGUAAAAUGUCAAAAAUUUCGCACCGAAUUUUUAAAAGCCCUCCAUAUUUUUUGAUGUCCGUCGGUGAUUCCGUCGGUAAUAUGACAAGUUCAGAGGCGCAUUAAUUCACAUACUUUGGAAAUCGUGCGGUCCCUCGGUAUUUCUGUCGGUAAUAUGUGUGACCGACAAAUUACCGACGGAAAUAUUCCGUCGGUAUUAGCGUCGCAAAAUCGGUCGGUGAAUCCGUCGGUGAUUGUGGCAUUUUGUUGUAAAUAUUUUUGAACUCUCUGUGAGAUAUCGACGGUCGGUGAAUCCGUCGGUAUACCCGUCGAUGAUUGUGGCAUUUUGUUGUAAAUGUUUUCGAACUCUCUGUGAGAUGCCGAUGGAUUUAAUUUUGUCAGUAUGCCCGUACCUAGAUACAUCCACGAACGAUCAUCCAUGACUUCUAUCAAACCUCUAUAAAAAGGACCCAUUAAGCAAGCUCUUAAUUAUUUCAAAACAUAACAUGUAAUUCGGUAAUUCUACAAAUUAAGUUUUAACAAUUUACAAACAAAUACAAUCUUACAAAAUCUAAAACAAACCAUAACAAGUAUAAAAUUAUACAUUCAUAUACUACAAGUUUGUUUGAGAAAUAACAAUAAAACAUGUACAUCUAGUAAAAAAAAAUACAUAUACUAAAAAAACAAUAAAAUUGACAUUUAAAUGUUAAAAUUUUAAAAGAUAGAAUUACUUAUAAAAAAUGAUAAAAUCCGUUGGUAAAUCAGAACACGGAUGCUGUGACCACAAAACUUCAAGAAAUACAACUUGUUGUGCUGAGAUGAGGAAGAUUUUUGUUUUGGGGCGAGAGGGGGCUGAUUAUUUGCAGAUGGAGAGGGUUAGGAUUAGGAAGAACAAGGAGAAAUGGGGGAGGAGAGUGUCGGUAGAGUACUGGCCAUAUAUUCACUUUUGCCGACGGAGUUACCGAUGGUUUUAUUCCGUCGGUGAAUACGUCGACGAAACCGUCGGUAAUUCUGAUGGGCAAUCGACACGUCACCGCACGGACCUGCUCUUCAAAUCCCUCGGUGAUUCCGUCGGUAUUUUUAACGGUGCACCGGUCACGUCACUGGUACGGAUCUGGCAUUUCAAAUCCGUCGGUGAUUCCGUCGGUAUUAUUGACGGUGAACAGGUCUCAUCACGCGUACGGCUCCCUGGUUUUCAUUCCGUCGGUGAUUCCGUCGGAAAAAUCACCCGCCAAAACCUCCACGCCACCUACCCGCUCUUUUUUCAUUAAUUCGGAAUCUAUUCGUCGGUAAUUACCGAUCGAAUUACCGACGAACAUAGUCCGUCGGUGAUUUCGACCGAAAAAUACCGACAGAAAAAAUUCCAUCGGUGAGUCCGUUGGUAUUUAGCAAAUUUCUGGUAGUGUUUCAUAUUUAAAAGGGUGUUUUUGAAAGUAUAGAAUAUAAACUUAUUGAUCAAAGAAAAUUUUGAUUGAAAUCAUUGGUCUUUUACUUCCUAAAACUCAACCUAUUGAUAAUUUCCUCGUAAAAUUUAUUCAUUUCUGGGAACAUAUUGAUGGAACACAUCAAAUUCGUUAUUUCAACUGGAAAUCGAAAAGUUAUUACAAGUUCAAAUUAUUAUUACAGUAGUUACACAUGUUGGGUAUUUCCAGAACUCAAACACGCACAAAUUUACGUGGUUCGGCAACUUGCCUACUCCACGGAGCUACUGGUUUGUAUUAAUCAAGCUUACAAACAAUACAAACAACAAACCAAGGAGGAGGAGAAAAUUCUUCUCUACUCAACUCAACUCUCCCUAGCUCUCUCUCUCUAUUUCUCUCUGUAUUUCGUGUGUUCUACAGGCUCUCAUUAGCAGCCUCUUCUUAUAGCUAAAGUGGGAGACAAUUCUCUCCACUUUAGUCAAUUAUGACAACUACUUUUACACCACCAUUUGCAGCCAUCUUUCACUACUAAAAAAGGGGACUAUUAGCAUCUGAUUUUAGCAACGGAUAAUUUCGUUGCUAAAUUCAGUUGCGAUUGCAUAUUUAUUAUUUUUUUAAUAUUAGCAACGAAAAAUCCGUUGCUAAAGACUAUAAAAAUUUGCAACGGAUUAUCCGUUGCUGAUUGACAAAAUAAAUAUUUAAAUUUUAAUAUAAAGCUAAAAUUACACAGACCGUUGAUAAGGUAUUUUACUUUUACAAUCUCAACCGUUAAUUAGCAAUCCUAAACUCACACACUCUCUCCCUUUCAGAAACGUAAACAGAGCAAUAAACGAAGAACCCAGAAAAUGCUAAUUAACUUGCAGUGAAUCUCUUCAUCCCCUUCGUCCCCUGAUAAUAACAUCCAUAACAGUAGAAAAACAAUUAACUUAGCACUCUCUCUUCAUCGAUCUGAUCUUCCUUUGUCUAAACAUUUCUCUUGGAAAAGAGGGCGGCCCGCCCUCACCUUAGGCAGACAAGGGAGACAGAAGGGAGGAGAAAGAAGCCACUCUCUCGACGAUUAACGGCUUUCCUCAUCCCGGAUCUCAUCAAGCUAUGCUUUCGCCUUGUUCUUUCUCUUUUGGUGAGCCAACAAUAGAAGGUGCGGCUAGCUUCACAGAAAGAGUAAUCCUUUGGCAAUUCUUCUUUCUUGGUUUCCGUUCCCCUGCCACCUUCAAUCCGUCCUCUGGGAAUGCUAAAGCAAAGGUAAGAAAGCAAUUGGAUUGAAUAGUGUCAGGUUAUGAGCUCCUUCGUGAGCAGUAAGAGGGCAUUCUAACAAAGCAAAGAGAGACCCUAAAGUCAGUCAAGCAGUAACGGGGCGAAUGGUUUACCGUAGAUCGGCCUUUGCCUUUUUCGGGUAUCCAUCUUUUUUUAGACCUGAAGAGUUCUUAUUCUUCAAUAGCAGUCCCUUGCCCAGCUGGGUCGAGGUACCAUGCCUUCUCCUUGCCAGAUGGAGAGGUAAUUAAUUUUAGGAAUUAUUUGUUUCUCUGUUGCAAUUAAACUUACAGUUAAAUUUUAGCAAAUGUUCUGUACUGUUGGAUGUCCAUUUGCCCCAUUAUUGUAUGGACUCUGGUGAGAUAAACCAUAUCAUUGUGUUGAACUUACCUCUGGUUUUCUUUUGUUUGGUUCAAGGUGGACUCCUCUGAUGGUUCUCGUUCAUGGCACAGAAAUGAACUUGAGGUGAUUCUUACCACACAGCAAGAAAACCAGUCUCAAAUAUGUCCUUCUCCAUAUAAUAUCCAUUCCCUUUAUGAGCAUUGUCAAAAAUUGCCAGGUAAAUACAGGUUGUCAUAUUUUGUUGCAAACUUUACAGGAAUGCAUUGACAUAUGGGCUUGUUCCUUUGAAACCAUUUCUUAUUGAUAUCAUAUUUUUCGUAUUGAUCAUCACUUUGAAACCAUUUCUAAUAAACUGGUAGUUCCUGCUUACAGGCAGUAUAUAUACAAAGAAUUUUGUUCUUGCUUAUAGGCUUGUUCCUGCUUCCCUAAUAUAAUCCUCCUAUUGCCGGUCAUGCAUAGACAAACAGGUAUAAUGUUGAUUCGCAAGACAUGUUAUCCGUUAGUCCAUAGGGCAAUAUAGUGUUGGUGUUGAGUUAUGUUUGUGAUUUUUUCGAUCUAGCUUCUACUGAUUUUUUUGUCAAGGAAAUGAAUUCGAGCUGGGGAUCAUUGAUUGAACGGCUCUGAGAUAUAGAUAGAAUGCACAGAGGAGGUGAUCCCAUGGUGUCUUCUCUUAGCUUAGCGUGAUGCACAAGAAUUACGCAUAGCAAGUGAUCCAGUCUUAUUAGAAGUAGCAGUAGCCAAUGAACACUGGGUCAAUGAAAGCAGAAAGCACCAAACAAUGAGACCCUUGAAACUUCUGGAGAAUGGUUCACCCAAGGAGUUACAAGGUGCCACCAUCUUCUUAUUUUUUCAAUUCAUUAUAAAUUAUGGAUUUUAUUGUUAUUUUUUUUUAAAUUACUGAUUAGAUUUAUUAAAAUCAAAAUUUGAAUGACAUAGCAAGAAAUGCUAAUUGAAACACUUUUAUUAAAUCAGAAUUUAGAACCACUAAUUAAUUCAUAUUGUUUUUAUUUUUAUGCUUAGCUUAUAUCCAUGUUUGUUUCUUCAAUGAUAUAUAUGUACCUGUAUGAAGAACAAAGGAAACAAUUUUGCAUUCCUUCUUUAUCUUCUUGUUGAUAUUUCGGUACUCACUAAUGCAUUUCCAAGAAAGUGAUUUUUUUUACUUCAGCUUUGCUUAGUAAAAGUACAGAACAGCAAUGAGAAAUAGGAAAAAAGUUUUAAACUAUUAAUAGUGUGAUAUUUUGUUGAUCCUUGUAGAAUUUUAACAAUGAAACUGUCCUUGAAUUCUAUUGAGACAAAAUGUAACUUCUGAGGUUCAUGAUGCUAACAUCUCUAUGUAGGACUGGAUAUGUUGAACAAACCUACUAAGAAGCUAUUGACUUCUUGAUUCCAUAACAUGUAACUUCUGACUCCUUGGUCUGUUUUAGGUGUUUUGAUUUAACGGUUCUACUCUAAGAAUUUGAAGGGAUAAGUUUCUGCCAUAACAGAAUUACUGCUGUUAUUUUCACUUCCAUGUGCUUACUGGCUCUCUGUAAUCAAUGUUUUCCCACAAACAUAGUUUAGUAGAAAUCAGGGGACUAGGGUGGCAGGGGAUUAUACCUUGAUGCCUUCAAUUAUUGUGCCUUUUACACUAAACACUUCUUUGGUAUUUAGCAAUUAUUUUUACGAGAUUUUGUGGUUUGUAAGAGUACAUACUGUAUAUGGUGUCUAAUUUUGCCCUCUCAAUUGAAGGAUUGUGCUACUUAUACUGGGAGUUCCCCGAGUGUUAGGUGUAGGAGUCCUGGGAAUGAGAGAGAUGACCGAGGUAGGGACAGAAAAGGCCAUAAAGAUGAUGCUAGGGAUGAAAGCAGGAGGGGGAGAAAUGGGCACAACAGUGAUCGUGAAGAACGGUAUCGUGAAACGGCAGAUGGAUUCUUUUUAUUGUAUCUUUUGUUGUUUCUUUUUAUUGUAUUUUGAUUUAUUUGUAUUAAUGCAAGUUUAACUAAAUUUUUAUAAUAUGAAUAUUAUUUUUAUUCCAUUUUUUAUUAGUGAAUUAAUUUAUGUUGGUUAUAUUCUACAACUUUUAAACUAUCCAUAAAUAAUUAAUUAAACAAAUUAAAAUUCAUUUUAAUAAAUAAAAAAAAUUAAUUUAAUAAAAAUAAUAUAGUCAGCAACGGAUUUCCCGUUGCUGAUUGUAAAUAAUUAUUCAAUCAGCAACGGAAAUCCGUUGCUGAUUGAAUAAUUAUUUACAAUCAGCAACGGAAAAUCCGUUGCUAAAAUCCGUUGCAAAUCUGCAUCCGAUAUUUGCCGUUGCUGAUUCCGUUGCUAAAUUAUUUUAGCAAUGGAUUUUAGUUUUAUUUGCAACGGAAUGGUUAGUUGCUAAUUACUAUAUUUUUUAGUAGUGUUUGACGCCACCAUUGCAGCCAUCUUUGACGCCAUUAGGUCGGGAGUGGACCAUCAUCAAGACAGGAACGACCCACAGGUGGAGCAGGUAGGUGACUUGCACCUUCCUUUUUCUUAUGUUGAAUCUUGAAAUAUUUUAACUUGAGUACUAUCUUAUUGUUAGAACUGAUAUUAGAUUGUUGAACGCUUAAAUGUUGAUUAAAGAUUGAUUAGCUUCAGCUAAUGGCAUCCGAAUGGAUGGCCGGGACAAAAGAGUGAUUAGCUUCGGCUAAUGGCAUCCAAACGGAUGGCCGGGACAAAGAAUGAUUAGCUUCGGCUAAUGGCAUCCGAAUGGAUGGCGGGGACAAAGAAUGAUUAGCUUCGGCUAAUGGCGUCCGCAUGGAUGGCCGGGACAGAAUGAUUAGCUUCGGCUAAUGGCAUCCAAACGGAUGGCCGGGACAAAGAAUGAUUAGCUUUGGCUAAUGGCGUCCGAAUGGAUGGCCGGGAUGAAGGACUGAUUAGCUUCGGCUAAUGGCAUCCAAACGGAUGGAUGGCCGGGAUAAAAGAGUGACUUCGCUGCCGAUGCAGAAAUCGGCAGCGACGCAGUUUCCGCUGCCGAUUCUGGAUCGGCAGCGACACAGUAUUUGCUGCCGAUACAGAAAUCGACAGCGACCCAGUUUUCGCUGCCGAUACAGAAAUCGGCAGCGACACAGAUUCCGCUGCCGAUUCUGGAUCGGCAGCGACACAGAUUCCGCUGCCGAUUCUGGAUCGGCAGCGACGCAGAUUCCCCUGCCGAUACAGAAAUCGGCAGCGACGCAGAUUCCGCUGCCGAUACAGAAAUCGGCAGCGACGCAGAUUACAGUUUUCGCUGUCGAUUCCUUGAUCGGCAGCAAUGCAGUUUCUGCUGCCGAUUUUGGAUCGGUAGCGACGGAGCUUUCACCAUGGAAUCCGUGUUCAUACACAAAAACACACACAAUAUAUAUCCCAAGAUGUUUAUUCAUCCCGAAACGUUUUAAAAGAGGCCAAUUCCACAAAAUCCUGACAUCUCUUAUGAACAUCAACUUGGAUAGUUACUUCGGUUUCUCUUGAGAUCAGGAAGUUUAGGAAUCUUAAAGACCUACCUCCAACUGUAGAAAAGCAAGAAAAACGAGAUGAGGUAGACAUAAUGCGAGAGCAUGACUACAAGAAUUUGGUUGAGUAUAGAGGGUGGAAGAAUCCAUUGAAUAUAAAGCAAUGUUUGAAUAUUAUAUGUGUGUAUAUUUAAUUCUACUAUAUUGUACAAGUUUGGAACCUUAUUCUUACUUACAAAAUUAUCUCAAUUAAAAAAUUUAUGGAACUUUAAAUUCAAGAAUGAUUUUUUUUAUUCCAAUAUAUUUUUUAUAAAGUUUUUUGUGCCGAAAUCUUCUUGUCCAAGCAUUUAAAAGUUCAAUAUCACUCUUAUUCUUUUAAAUAUAGUUAUAUAAAUUUGAGUAAUAGAUUUGUGGAAUUUUCAAACUUGAAAAACUUUCAUUUAGUAUACUAUGGCAUAGAGUUAGCACAAAAUCAUUUUUAUGGCUACCUAAAAUUUAAAAUUUUGAUUGAUAUAGUAUUUGAUCGUCUUCACCAAUAUAGUGAAGCUGUUGCUAGUUUCUUUUGAAACAUUGAUGUUACUAUUCUGGCCUAAAUGCAAGUCAAAGAAUGAUGAACUAUAUAAAUGGUAGUUGUUGCUACCCAAUUUUUGACCCAUGUUUUGAUAUAUUUUCAAAAAAUCCAAAAAAAUUGAGAAAAACAAAGAAAAUCCAAAAUAAUGUUUUUUUAUAUAUUUUCGUCAUUUUAGCAUUUUCAACGUCGUCUAAAAAAGAACUUAAAUUGUUAAAAGAUUUUUCAAACGCGUUCGACUUUUCACGCGUCAUUUUUUAAAUCAUUGAUUUUUCGCAUUUGAGUCGACGUUGAUAUUGCUCGUUUUCAAAAAAUAUAAAAAAAUAAGAAAAAUCAAAAUUUACAAAAAGAAAGAAAUUGAGGGACCAAGUUGAAAAACCUAGCAACAUUUUUGCCUAUAAAUACUGGUCUUUAACUCACACAAAGGGGGGGGUUAAUUUUGGAAACACCAGAAAAAUACAAAAAAAGAAAAAACCCUAAACCUAUCUUCUCCCCCCAUUUUUCUCAAGGCAGCAGCACCCACCCUUGACAUUUUUUUUUUCUUUUGAAACCAGCCAAACAGCCCCUUCCCCCCCGAAACCGCCGCUCAUUUUCCUCCUUACAGAUCAGCCGCCGCCUCCUCCAGCUUGGAAUUUUUUUCUCUGCACCGUAGCCCUACCUUCUUCUCCCUCAGUCCCGCAGCCUUUGGGUGGGACUUUCCCGGGCAUCUCAUUUUCUCUUCCAGCCUCCACCCUCACUGCAACCUUAAGCAUCGAAACCUUCCCCCACACCAUUUCAGAUCUGCCCCUUUUCCCCCGUCGGCGGCUCGUUCAUCCCUUCAGCCCACAGACCAGCGGCUAGGCCAGCAUCACCGAACAGCCCCAUCUCCACCGAUCAGAGAACGGGCAAAGCCGUUCUCCAUUUUCGCAGACCCAUGGUCUCCGUCGGACAGCAGGUCGUUCCUUCAUCAGCCUCGUUUCCGCCGGCCAACAACAGUUUUUCUUUCUCCAGCAGCGCCGCCAGAUCUGGCACCCGAAGCUGAGGAGAAGAAGAUGAAACUCAGCCGCCACCAGCAGGGUUGAAGGCCAUCCUCACCAGAAAUCGAACAGACCCGAAACGGGCAGAAGAACAAAUUCAAAAUCAGAUCUAAAACAAGGACUAAAAUCAAUUGCUGCUAUGUGUUGGCUUUGUUUUGCAGGUGACGGACAGCAGGAUAUUGAAGAGGGGAGGAACAUGUUUUCAGCCACCCCCUUGCUGCUGUUUUUUUGACGGCGGCGCGUGAACCCACGCGCCGCCAGUGACGGUGGCGCGUGGGAAGACGCUCCGCCACUGUUUUCUGCCCCCGGAAGCCUUCCCAGUACUGUUCCCGUGCACUGUUCCUGCAUGUUCUAGAAGCUUUAACUUUUUUUAGGGUUUAUUUUGUAUUUUUUUGUAUUUUUAUUUGUUUGAUGUAAUAUUUAUUUAAUUUGAAUUUUUAUUUGUAUGUUGUAAAUGUGGAAAUACCAAAAGAAAAAGAAAAGAAAAGAAACAAAAAAUAGUAAAAGUGAAUGUGUGUGAUUGUAUUUGUUUUAUUUUUUAUAUAUUUUCUAUGAUGAAAUUGCAAGGACUAAAAAAGAAUUUAAUAUUUUGAUUGGAUCACGAUACAGAUUUAUUAACUUAUACGUAAGUUGUAUUUCUAACAUCCGAUGAAAAGACAAUUUUAAAACUUUUUUAACACGUCAAAAAUCACGAAGUAGCUUACCUCAGGUAGUGUGUGUUAGGGGUGCUAAUACCUUCCCUAACCACAACCAAUCCCUUACCCGCAAAUCUCUGACAAGACCAGUACAUCUGGUUUCCUAGUAGCCCGCAAUCAAUUACUAGGUGGCGACUCCAACGAACCAAAUUCAAGCAAACAACAAAUAAACUAGAUUUAAAUCGCCAGCCGAUGCCGCGCGCCGACUGAUUUUUUUGGGGUGCGACAGAAUGGCGACUCCACUAGGGAAGGUACUGUUUCUGACAUUAUUGGACUAAGCUUUGGGUAUUUGAUGUGUUUAAAUUUUUGCAUUUUUAUCUUGUUAAUAUUUUUUCCAUGCAUUUUUUAGAAUUGUCUCAUGCAUCACCUGUAUUUAUUUUUAAAAGCACACACAAGCUUCUAGGUUAGGUGGGGAACUAGCGAUCUGCCCUAAGACUAUUGGUCAGGGUUCAGAUGCGUGAAACACCCAACUCAUAUCUGAGUGCCUGCUUGGUAAUGGUGGGUAUACGUGCCUUAACUAUUCCUUGCAACGCCCCCACACUGUCUUUACGAAGAACGUCACUGGGCAGAUAUGAGACCCUUUUGAGACCAGAUAGAAAACCUACCCAUGUUCACAUAAUGAAUAGAACUUGUCCUUAGGUUGUAUGUGCUAUCGUUUUUUUUGCAUAAGGGCAAACCCUUCUUGAAGCAUCUUGACCUCAAGACUUGUGGGUGACACAUUGGCCGUUGCUCCGAAAAUUUUCAUUGUAGAGUUUGGGCAAAAAUCACGAUUCUUGUCCAUCAUACAAGAGUUACGACCAUAUUGUCACCUCUCGAAGGGUGAGUUCAUCAUAUAGAUUACAUGUUCAUACAUUUGUCAUGCAUGCACCAGAAUGAAAGGUAGGUCCCCCACACAAGCUGUGCUGCACGUGAUUGGAGAAAAAUGAUGGAGGUGAAGAAAGAUGUCAGAUAGAGGCUCAUUAUCAGAUUAAGGUUGAGAGCAUUAAAUGUGAAGUAGCUAGACUCAGAUCUGCUCGAACAAGUGUUGAGCAUCAAAUGGAAAGAGAAUAUCUGCACAGUCUUCUGUGGGAACAAAAGACUGUAUCUCUCCUUUUUCGUCAUGAACAAAAGCAACAACGCCUUCAGUCAUCAACUAAUGACAACUCUGGUUCUUAUCAAGUUGCAUUGUUAAAUGUUCAUCGCCUCCACAUCAUCUAAUGGAACCAAAAAACUACCGGUCUCCUGUACAUGACGCAUUAGUCUUCUUGGAAGCUGCCCUAAUUAUGAGCUUAAUUCCAUUUCAGCAGCACAAGAUGUUGGCUUGAUUAGACACUGAAUUUCUACAUGUGGCAUGAGCAAAACUUUGUAGUAGACAGAGAAGUCAAGCCUGGUCUGAAAAUAUGAGUAGUCGUCAAACUUCAACGUGGUAGAGCUCUCUCUACAAAAAUCUGUUGAUGAUGCUGCAAGGUGAGAGUGCAAGAGGGGAUUUACUAAUUGCAUAUGCUACAAAUAUUUCUCUCAUCGAUUUCAACGUGAAGAACUUGUAGCAGGUUGAAGAGCCAGACUUGGUUUGAAAAAACAUGAGCAGACAUCCAAAUUCAACGUAGCAGAGAUCUCUUGACAUGAAUCCGUUUGGGGAUAUGCAAAUGGGAAAUCCAAGAAGGGAUGCAUUGGUUUCAGAUUGUCCAUAAUUUUCUUUUUCCAGUAUCGGCAUUAAAACACAAAAGUGGUUGUUUGUUGCACCAUCAGUGAAGAAUCAAAGAGGAAAUAGAAGAUGUUGUAGAUUCAUCGGGUUCUCUUCCAAUUUUGACAAUGUGUGAUUCCACACGCUUUUGUUUUUGGGCGCUGCCAGAAUUACCUAGAUAUUAAGAGGGUUCCAACAAUCCUCAAACCACAACAACAUUGGAAGAUUGACAUGAUGUUGUGAGGAUUGUUGACGAAAUUGAACAAGUUAUGAAGAGAGGAAAGAUUGAAGGAUCUGCCAUGAAUUCUUAGAACAAUGAUGAGAGGUGAAUCAGGAGAUGACUUUGACGGUGUGAACCCUUAAUUAUGUGGUAUAGCCAGGUCUCACGGUAGCAUCAAUUGCCCAAAUAUCUUUGCCAAGAUGGGACAUUCCUCUGCCGUUUAAGUUUGUCGACCAGCAUCCGCAAGAUUCCAGAAUUUUGCUUGACUCCGACAAAUCCCAUGCAACCACCAAUUUCUCAGUGGUAUAAUCCAGAUAAGAGAUGUGAUGUCAUGGUGGGGUCCUCAACCAUUUCAAGUGAAAGUUUCAAGAAUUGCAAGAAUGGAGUCUGAAAGUUGGUGAGCAAGAGACAGUGGAGUCGUUGAAGAAGGGUGUCACUGGCUAUAUUGUUCCCCGAACAACUUCAGAAUCACAUGUGAUCGAAAAUGCUUUGCUAAACACAGAUAUUGCCAGAAAAACUGAUUCGAGAAUGGUGAUGAACAGUCAAUCAUAUUGUUAUGGAAUUCUGCAUUUUGUUUUGGGAUCACAUCUCAUCCUUCAACGAAACAUGCCUCGCUUUUGUCUCUUUGUUGUUUUGAAAUCAACAGAUGUUUAACAUUUUAUUUGACAAAAUAUUUUGAUCAAACUCCAACAUGCGAUAAAGGUUAAUCAAUCCUGAAGAUUAAAAGUGUUUUGAUUACAGAAAUGACUCUAUGCUUGAAAAUGACAUGAGGUGACCAAACAAUUUUGAACUCAUACCUUUUGAAACUGAACCACACAUCAUAUAGCUAAGUUUUAGCAGUAUGCAUAAUGACAUGUAGUGGAUUCGGUAGUUAUGGACUCGUGAAUCAUGAUUCUUACAAGUCUCAAUCAUUCAUUGGAUGAGGUCAAAAUUUAUCGGUUCUAACUGACUUUGCUUGAAAUGAGAAAAGGCCAUCUUUGAUAUCCCUUCACUUUCUAAAGAUUAUAUCCCUUGUAGUCCCAUUUUGAGCCUGGUGAAAUAUUUUCUUUCAAAAGGAAACCCUGACUAGGAUCACACCCCACACUGGGGGCAAAUGAGAAAUAUUUUGGAGACACUGAUAAAAUCAAUGGAUCAAAGAAAAGCUUAGAACAAAAGUCCAAUGUUUGAGAAAGGGCUAGAAGAAGAAAAUCCAUAGAUUGAGGGCCAUCCAAGAAAAACUUUGAGGAAGGCUAUGCAAAAAAAUGUGUAAAGAAAAUGGAAAGGAAAGAAAAUGCCUAUCAAUUCUAAGAGAGGCAAGACAGUUUUCAAUUGAGAAAAGACAAUAAAUGCCAAAAGUCAACACUAGAAAAAUCGAUGCUUCAUAUCUUUUGGUGUGUCUUGGAUAGAGCCUCUAAUGUCUUCAAAAUUAGAUUAGUUAUUCAUCAAAGAAAAAGUUGGAUUACAACCUAUGUUAAGAAAAUUCUGAUCUUUGAGGUUAACAAGGUUAUAUGUUGUUUCCUUUACAAAGACAACAAUAGAAAACAAGUUGAUGAAUAAUUGAUGUUGAUCCUAGGUCUUUGAAACCCUCAAACACCUUUUGAGCCUUUGAAAUUCCUUUCUUUCAUAGCCAUGAACCAUAGCCUGCAUUACGUGCUUUUAAAAGCCCUUUUUAAUCAAGCAAGCAAUCUGAACCAAUAAAUGGCGAUCUCAAAACUUGAAGAGUUUUUCUAUAAGAGUCGUGGCUUCAUUGAAUUAGGCUACUGGUUAUUAUGCAUGCUGAUAAAAAAAGUUAUAAGAAGAGAAACAACCUUUCUUGAUAAAGCCUGAGCAUCUUGUUUUUGAAAUUCAUAAAAAUGUCAUCUCAUCACAGACCAUCAAAAGAUAUACCCAAAAUCAGAGUUUAAAGUGGAUAGAAAGAACCAUGGGAAAAACCAUUUUAAUCUUACAACAGGUCGAUUUCUGUUUUCAAAAUACAAAACAAUCAAAGGACUGCGUAUUUCGAAUAACGUGUGUUGGGUCUUUGAUAAAAAAAAAGCUUGAUUUCCAAAAGAUUUUCAAAAAGGACAUCUCUGAUUUCAUUUCAACAAACUAGACUUUGAAUAUACAUGAUCGUUGAAAUGUUGAGAUUUGAUUCCAAAACAAGAAAGAUUUUCAAACAAGAACAUCAAUUGAGUUUGCAAAAUUCUUGACAAAAAUGACAUCAACAUUUCUCGACACUCCUGGAAACGUUGACCACCUGGGGGCAAUACAGUGGACCUUAAGGAGGAAAGCAAACAGUAUCCAGAUCAGCUGGGGGCAAAGAAAGAAUCCGAUGAUGAAUCGUCAAAGUUCAUCAAAGUUAUGUUUAGCAUCUGACAAUGACAAAGAAAAAACCUUCUUGAGUAUAAACCGUGAACGAACCUUCAGAUCAUACUGGGGCCAAUGUUGUUCAAAGACAAUCCAUGAUCUAGUGCACUUCAGCAGUAAUUGAUGAGCAACGCUGCACUAGAAAGAUAUUUUCGUAUCUUCAUCUUAGAUGACUUUGUAAAACAUGGAUAUGACUCCGGGCAGAUGUUAUCGGGUGGGUGCAUUUGGAUGAACAUCGAACAUAUGCAUAUCACCAAGAUCUACGACGGGACCAUCUAUUCUGAAGCUCAAAUGCGCACUUCACCGCAUGAAUAUGGGUGAUAACAUGAACAUCAUUGAUGAUGCCAAAGCAGAUAUUUUCACGAUCUGAUUUGACAAGCUAAGAGGAAUCCAUAGAGAAAUACAUCGCGCUUACAAUGAUGAGCUGUUUACUGCAAAGCAUGAGAUACAUGUCUGGAUGACUUGGCAGUUCCAUGAAGGCUGGUGACCAUACAUACGUGAAUGGUGUUUCAACCGAAGGCAAGUUCAUGACUGAUUAACAAACGUGAUGGGUGUUGGCAUGAUGCACACAAUCAAUUAGAGGAUAAUUUCUCAGAAGAAGCCAGGAGAGAAAAUCUCUCAUGAUGAAUCAAGCAGUACCACACUUGGGGGCAGGGUCAAGCUUGAUGAACGAUGCAAACAGUAAUUGUCGAAGACAACCCGGGAUGGGCACUGCAUUUACAGCUGAAUAAUGGCCAGUACAUGAAUGAGUCAAUGCAUUGGAAGAACAAAGAAAGCUUUGGGAUACAAACAAGGGCACCCUAUGACGAUGGAGCAUCAAAUAGGGGGGGACCUAUAUUUCAAAUCAGGUAAGGAUGCAUGCAUAUCAUCUAACCUAAAAAAAAAAAAAAAACAUUUGCACGUAUUUUUGAAUUGUUACAGGAAAAUCCCUAAUGGGGUCCAGCAAGACGGUGGAAAGAGAAAGAAGCAUUGUGGUGAUGAUAAUAAAGAAUCGGUUUUGAUCAUGGAAUAAAAGGACGAUGGGAUGAACCCUACCAUUAGGAAAAUCCCAAAGAAAUGAAAAUCAACCUUGCAACGGGAAGCCUCGAGUUUUCAACCCUUGCAGUCAGGAAACACCGAGUUUUCAAACCCCAUGAUCGGGAAUUAUCAGGAAGCACCAAGUUUUCCAGCCCUUUUUUCUGUCAUCCCUUCAGAACUUCGCCAGGUAAGUCCUAUUUUUCACACUUGUCAUAUCACAUUUUUUCCAUCUGGGUAGGUCGCCCAUCAUAAUAAGACCGUUUUUCACAUUUUGUCCAUCUGGGUAGGUCACCCAUUACAAUGAGACCACACUUCAUAUUUUUUCCAUCUGGGUAGGUCACCCAUUACAAUGAGACCACACUUCAUAUUUUUUCCCAUCUAGGUAGGUCACCCAUUACAAUGAGACCACACUUCAUAUUUUUUCCAUUUUUUGGGUAGGUCACCCAUUACAAUGAGACCGCACUUCAUAUUCUUUCUAUUUGGGUAGGUCGCCCAUCACAACGAGACCACUUUUUCAUAUUCUUUCUACGUGGGUAGGUCACCCAUUACAAUGAGACCGCACUUCACAUUUUUUCCAUCUGGGUUCGUCACCCAUACAAUGAGACCAUCAUUUUUCUGGGGUUCGUCACCCAUACAAUGAGACCAUCAUCCAUCUGGGUUCGUCACCCAUACAAUGAGACCAUCAUUUUUCGGGGGUUCGUCACCCAUACAAUGAGACCAUCAUAUUUCUGGGGUUCGUCACCCAUACAAUGAGACCAUCAUUUUUCUUGGGUUCGUCACCCAUACAAUGAGACCAUCAUAUUUCUGGGGUUCGUCACCCAUACAAUGAGACCAUCAUUUUUCUUGGGUUCGUCACCCAUACAAUGAGACCAUCAUUUUUCUGGGGUUCGUCACCCAUACAAUGAGACCAUCCUUUUUCUGGGGUUCGUCACCCAUACAAUGAGACCAUCGUUUUUUCUAGGGUUCGUCACCCAUACAAUGAGACCAUCAUUUUUUUUCUGGGGUUUGUCACCCAUACAAUGAGACCAUUUUUCACACAUUCUUGUGUUUUGGUUAAAUGAGGUCGCCAGAUGGGAUCUCGGGUAGCUUUGGUUAAAGGGAAUCGCCAGAUGGGAUUUCAGGUUAACCGAGUUACGCAUUUUUCGUUCCAAUUGAAUGAGGUCGCCAGAUGGGAUCUCAUGUAGCUUUGGUUAAAGGGAAUCGCUAGAUGAGAUUUCAGGUUAACCGAGUUACACAAUAUUUUCGUUCCAGUUGAGUGAGGUCGCCAGAUGGGAUCUCAGGUAAACCCAAUGUGUGGGCAGGUCGCCCGUGAAAAUAGACUAUUGGGAGAGUGUGGGUCGGUCGCCCGUGAAAAUAGACUAGAGUGAGUAUGUGUGGGCAGGUCGCCCGUGAAAAUAGAUCGGUGUGAGUGUGUGGGCAGGUCGCCCAAGAUAAUGAAAUCAUUUUUCUUUUGUUUUCUUUACAAAGCUUACUAUGCAAAAAUUUGAGGAUUUUCGCUUCGUAAGCAUUGUAAAGAGGGGGCAUCUGUUGCUACCUAAUUUUUGACCCAUGUUUUGAUAUAUUUUCAAAAAAUCCAAAAAAAUUGAGAAAAACAAAGAAAAUCCAAAAAAAUGUUUUUUUAUAUAUUUUCGUCAUUUUAGCAUUUUCAACGUCGUCUAAAAAAGAAUUUAAAUUGUUAAAAUAUUUUUCAAACGCGUUCGACUUUUCACGCGUCAUUUUUUAAAUCAUUGAUUUUCCGCAUUUGAGUCGACGUUGAUAUUGCUCGUUUUCAAAAAAUACAAAAAAAUAAGAAAAAUCAAAAUUUACAAAAAGAAAGAAAUUGAGGGACCAAGUUGAAAAACCUAGCAACAUUUUUGCCUAUAAAUACUGGUCUUUAACUCACACAAAGGGGGGGGUUAAUUUUGGAAACACCAGAAAAAUACAAAAAAAGAAAAAACCCUAAACCUAUCUUCUCCCCCCAUUUUUCUCAAGGCAGUAGCCCCCACCCUUGACAUUUUUUUUUUCUUUCGAAACCAGCCAAACAGCCCCUUCCCCCUCGAAACCGCCGCUCAUUUUCCUCCUUCUUACAGAUCAGCCGCCGCCUCCUCCAGCUUGGAAUUUUUUUCUCUGCACCGUAGCCCUACCUUCUUCUCCCUCAGUCCCGCAGCCUUUGGGUGGGACUUUCCCGGGCAUCUCAUUUUCUCUUCCAGCCUCCACCCUCACUACAACCUUAAGCACCGAAACCUUCCCCCACACCAUUUCAGAUCUGCCCCUUUUCCCCCGUCGGCGGCUCGUUCAUCCCUUCAGCCCACAGACCAGCGGCUAGGCCAGCAUCACCGAACAACCCCAUCUCCACCGAUCAGAGAACGGGCAGAGCCGUUCUCCAUUUUCGCAGACCCACGGUCUCCUUCGGACAGCAGGUCGUUCCUUCAUCAGCCUCGUUUCCGCCGGCCAACAACAGUUUUUCUUUCUCUAGCAGCGCCGCCAGAUCUGGCACCCGAAGCUGAGGAGAAGAAGAUGAAACCCAGCCGCCACCAGCAGGGUUGAAGGCCAUCCUCACCAGAAAUCGAACAGACCCGAAACAGGCAGAAGAACAAAUUCAAAAUCAGAUCUAAAACAAGGACUAAAAUCAACUGCUGCUGUGUGUUGGGUUUGUUUUGCAGGUGACGGACAGCAGGAUAUUGAAGAGGGGAGGAACACGUUUUCAGCCACCCCCUUGCUGCUGUUUUUUUGACGGCGGCGCGUGAACCCACGCGCCGCCAGUGACGGUGGCGCGUGGGAAGACGCUCCGCCACUGUUUUCUGCCCUCGGAAGCCUUCCCAGUACUGUUCCCAUGCACUGUUCCUGCAUGUUCUAGAAGCUUUAAUUUUUUUUAGGGUUUAUUUUGUAUUUUUUUUUUAUUUUUAUUUGUUUGAUGUAAUAUUUAUUUAAUUUGAAUUUUUAUUUGUAUGUUGUAAAUGUGGAAAUACCAAAAGAAAAAGAAAAGAAAAGAAACAAAAAAUAGUAAAAGUGAAUGUGUGUGAUUGUAUUUGUUUUAUUUUUUAUAUAUUUUCUAUGAUGAAAUUGCAAGGACUAAAAAAGAAUUUAAUAUUUUGAUUGGAUCACGGUACAGAUUUAUUAACUUAUACGUAAGUUGUAUUUCUAACAUCCGAUGAAAAGACAAAAUUUUAAAACUUUUUUAACACGUCAAAAAUCACGAAGCAGCUUACCUCAGGUAGGGUGUGUUAGGGGUGCUAAUACCUUCCCUAACCACAACCAGUCCCUUACCCGCAAAUCUCUGACAAGACCAGUACAUCCGGUUUCCUAGUAGCCCGCAAUCAAUUACUAGGUGGCGACUCCAACGAACCAAAUUCAAGCAAACAACAAAUAAACGAGAUUUAAAUCGCCAGCCGAUGCCGCGGGCCGACUGAUUUUUUUGGGGUGCGACAGUAGUAUACAAUACAAGUUGAAGAAUCUAAUUAAAGAAAGUGAUUUGGAUCCAUAGACUAGUCAUACACUAAAUCUCAAUAUUGAUUCUGAAUUCCAUGAUUUAUAUUAGUUUAGGAACAAAAAAUAAGUAAGAUUUAAAUUAUUGUUAUUUUUAUCGAGCACUACAUCAUGUCCAUUCCAUUAGAAUAUAAACUUAUUGAUCAAAGAAAAUGAACUCAACUUGACAUUUUUCUCUUAAAAUAUAUUUAUCUAUGAGAGAACAUAUUGAUAGAACACAUUCAAUUCAUUAUUUCAACCGGAAACUCAGAAGUUAUUACAAGUUCAAAUUAUUAUUUCAAUAGCUAGGCACACACAAUAUUCCAAGAUGUUUAUUCAUUCCCAAAAAUAACCUUUUAAAAGAGGGCAAUCCCUCAGAAUCCUGACUUCUCUUGAUGAAGAUCAACCUGGAUAGUUACUAGUUCUUUCUUUCUACAGAGAUCAGGAAGUUUAUCAGUCAGCCACCUCCAACUGUAGACAAGCACGAAAAACGAGAUGUAGUAGACAUAAUGCGAGACCAAUCCUUCCAUAAUUUGGUUGACGGAUGGUGGAAGAAUCCAUUGAAUAUAAAGCAAUGUUUGGUUUAAUGAACAUGAUGAUGCACGAUGGCAUGAGAGUCCACAUCUUAUACCUUCCGGUGAUUUAACCAAUUAAUUCAAGAGUUUCAAACUCUCAUGUUAAAAUCCAAGAAUACAGUUUUAUAAUUUUUUUUAUUUUAAUGGGAGAUCUCGUGUGCGUUGGACUGCAUUAUAUAUGUAUAUAUAAACGAAUUUUCAACUAUUGAUUUGGAGUGUCGAUUUAAAGUAUUGUAAUAGCUUAAGAUGUUUAUUGAAUAAGAUGAAUCUAGCUAAGUCUUGGCUUUACCCAGCAUGAACAUUUUCUUUUUAGUUACAUACCUAGUAUGAAUUUAAUUUAGUAGUAAAAGUACGGAACUGAUGGUAAAAAAAAUAAUAAACUAAUUUAAAAAAAAAAAAGCUUUGGAAUGUUCUAUGCCUUGCCCAGACAACCUUGUUGGUCGCCCAUUGGAUAGCAAGACCGAUUGGUUGGCCAACUCGCCUAGCAACCAGCCAACUUAUCUCUCUCUCUCUCUCUCUCUCUUAUUUUUUAUCUUUUUAAUUUUCUCUCCUUUUUUUUUCAACAAAUAAAACUACAUGCCACACACUCUAUAUACUAUUUUACUUGUAGCACAUACUUUUUUAAUCUACGCACACACAAGAUCAUUGCAGGACAAGCGUUGUAUUAUCAGCCACUUGAAGGUCAAUCAAAAUAAUUAAACCUGGUGGCUUCAUUUUGUGUAAUGCCUAUCAUUUCAAAGUUAUCUUCAAACUUCUUUUUAUUUAUUGUAUAUAAUUUUAUAGAAUUAACUCUUUCUAGAUCGAUCCUGAUUUUAUUAGGUUAUUUAUUACUUGAACAAUCCUGCAUUUAAAAUAAAACAUUAAUUUUUUAAUUAUAUUAGAAAUUUAGAUUUCAUUUAUCUCUUUUCAUGAUCAACUUGUAGAUGUUUUUGCUAUGUUAUUUUUUAUUACUUUUUCAUUCAAGUUUUGGAUUGAUUCUUCACCCUUAUUUUGAGAGGCAUAAUAUAUAUCAAGGAAACAUUAAUAUGUUUAAUCACUAUUAUACAAGGUUGGUUAACUAAUAAGUUAAUAUAUAAUUCCAUUCAAAACAUUACACUUUCACUAUUUGUUUUUUAUUUUUUUUCUUUUAAUAUAAGAACUUAUAUAGCCUAUCAUUGAUAAAUAAAUAAAUUAAAUUUGCUUUAAUGGAGUCAUUUUAAAUUUGCUUUAACUCAACUUAUUGACAAUUUUCUCUUAAAAUUUAUUCAUUUCUGAUAAUAUAUUGAUAGAACACACCUUUAAUUCAUUAUUUCAACUGGAAAGUACUUAAAAGAUACUACAAGUUCAAAUUAUUAUUACAACAUCUAGACACACAAUAUUCCAAGAUGCUUUUUCACUCCUAACCUUCUAAAAAAAGGCGAUCACAUAAAAUCAUGACAUCUGUUGAUGAAGAUCAACCUGGAUAGUUACUUGGGCUUUGUCCAGAGAUAACGAAGUUUAUGAAGACGAGGAAGACUAUACGACGUCAGGCACCUCCAAUUGUAGACAAGCAUGAAAAACGAGAUGUAGUAGACAUAAUGCGAGAGCUUUCCUUCAAUAAUUUGGUUGACGGAUGGCGGAAGAAUCCAUUGAAUAUAAAGCAAUGUUUGAGCAACGAAAAACGCGAUCCCCACCACUAUAAGGAUGAUUGCGAACACCCCAUAAUUGGAUCCACCUAAUGCUAUGCUCACGGCAAAAAAGAAUGACAAGCACAUCAUGUAAAUAGACCCACCCACCAUUAACGAUGAAAACCAAAGUGCAAAUGGUGCAAACUUGACAUCAUUCAAGUUUGUCCAAAGAAGGAUUAUAGCUGCCACCACAGAGGUAUUUAAAGCCCACACAUCAAGACAUAAAUAACCAUCCAAAAGAGAUGAACCAGUAGGACUGUCAAGCAGUGCUGUUCCGGGAGGCAGGCAGUGCUGUUAAGUUCAUGAAGAUGCUCACUCUUGUUAUUUUUAUCCCUUAGUUGUGGCAUCUGUAUAGCACCCGCGAAGGUUACACCAGCAACAAGCACCGCUACAACAAGAAGAUUCUCUAUCCUGCUCUUUGUUUCCUGUUUCCUUGGCGGCUUGCCUUGAGUACUAGUGAAACGCUCAUAUUGGGAUUUCUUAGGGCGGGCAUGGAAGUAUAAGAUAGAUAAUGUUGUCAUCUGCAUAGCAUGGGGAAACAAACUUCGUAAUAAUGAGUUUCUGGCACUUCCUCAAUCGCAUGCAAAAGCUUUUGCCUUGAAAUCCCUUAUUUUUUUUGAAGAACAAGCACGAUUCUGGAAUGAUUUCUGAAUUUUGAAAAUAACUGUGUAGAAUCUAAAUUAAUCGGCCUUCAAGUAGAUGUUCAAAAGAAUAGGGAUGACUAGAAAAAAUAUAGGAAAGAAGAUGUGUAAUAUUACCGUUCCAUAAUAAUCAAGCAGCUUGUAGUGCUUUGAAUCAACUGCUUUGUCCUGUAAAAAGACAUAUUUUUAAGUUAAUGAAUAGAGCUACCUCUUUUUUCUUUCUUCCCUUCAUUCCUUUUGUGCUAUGGCUAGCCAACAAUAUAAGCCACUGAAACUGAUGAUCAGCCCAUGUUUGGAAAGUAGUUCUUUGAGCUUAGAAGAGAUAAUUAACCUCGAUUUUGUGUAGUCAAUGUAAACUUGUACCUUUCCUUGAGAACCAGUCGAAGCGGUCGCCUUUUCUGUUGUAGAGUUCUUCUUUCCAUCCUUCACAUCUUCUGAAUUAACUUCGAUCUGAGGAAUGAAGACAGAAAUCAUGAAGCAACGCAGAGCAGAUAAUUGUACAAAUUACUUGACAUGAGCUCUUCUGACAAAGGAUGAUUGAGUAUAUCAAAGAACCACUCAACUCAAAAGCUUUAACAGCUAAUUGAGGUUUAAGGAUACGAUUUUAUAUUGUAUCUUUAGUCCUGAAUUUCAGUCAGCUUUUAAGAGUGUUAAGUUAUAUACUCUGUUUCCAUUCUUUCAUGACAUCAUCCUUUAUUAUGUAAAAUAUGAUAUCCUUUAGUGAAAUGGAAUCCUUGUCUACUUAAAUUGUAACAACAUUGUUUUUCAACAGAACUCUCAUACCUGGAUCUCGUCCGCAGGAAUACUGUUCUUUGAAUCAAACUGCUCUCGUUCCUUUGCAAGCUGGCAACAAAGAGGAAGCCCAGAAACCAAAAUAUUAAAUAAAUAAUACUCUUAAAAUAUGUACUUUUGUAGCCUCGAUAAAUGAUGAUCAAAUAGCAUACCAUUUCAUCUGUUUUGUCAUAUUGGUCUACAGCCUUUUGAGAUUGUUGUUUCGCAACAUCAUAUGGUGUAAAAUUUUCAUUGUUAGCAAUUGAAUUUUCAACGCGUUUGUCACGCACAAGAACAAAUGCAACCAUGGAUUGACCAUGUCGUGCUGCCAAAUGCAAAGGUGUAUUCCCAUCCUCAUCCAUCUCAUUUAGCAGUGGUUCUACGAUCUUCUGAUCGUUUUCGAGUAUGUACCUUACCACAUUACCCUGUCCAUUUUCUGCCGCUACAUGAAGAAUAUUCUGCCCCUUUUUAUUCAGGAAUUCUUUAGGAUAUGGGGUAAUCUUCAGAAAUUCCUUUACUACAUCAACAGAGUCAUUUUUGCAUGCAACAUGAUAGGAUAGUUGCCAUCACUGUUUGUUUCAUAAGCACCAUUGAGAAACUUCUUCAAUAGGAAUUGAACUCCUUCCAGAAAACAUAUGGAUGAUGCAUAAUGCAGUGAAUUUCCCAACCUUCGGCAGUGAGACAUAAUAGCUCUGGCUUUGCUUUUGCAAUUUUCUCCAAUAGAUCUGAAAAUCAAAAGAAAAUGUUUCAAAUGAAAAUAAAGAUGAUAGGUUUGAAACAAUUGUUUGUAUGCAAAUCCUUUUCUAGUGAGUAUAGACAUUGUGAUCACCUAUAUUACGUUGCUCGAUGGCAGCAUGAACAGGGGAUUUUCGUUUUGGUAGGGCAUCACCAUCUUCUCUUGUUAUAGGAAUCGAAGCUCCCAAAUCCAAGAGAUCAUCAAGUAUCCCGUUCUUAUUGCCAUUCUCAACAGCCAGAUAUAAAGGAGACCUGUCAUUCUUGUUGCUGUAAUAGGCCACUUCUGGAUCUCUGGAAACUAGGAAUUUGGCAACUUCUUCGUUACACUUGAUGACUGCGUCGUGCAAAGGAGUGUUUCGCUUUCCAUUUGCCAUCCUCAUCAAGCUCGGAUUCAAUUCCACGAGAGAUUUAAUUGUACGAAUAGCCGUUCUUUCUCUGGCAGCAAGAUGAAGGACUGUGUCGUUCUGGCUGUUUCGCAUGGUGAUUAGAGAAGGAAACUCUUUAACCAGAUAAGAUGUAAUAUUGUCACUUCCAUAGCUUACAGCAACGUGAAGCAGUGUAUUCCCGCAGGGAGUCACUAGCUUCUCUGUUAAAUGUUGCUGAAAACGUCUUUUCAAGGCCUCAGUAUCGUCCUGCUUCACACACUCAUGUAACUGACUAUCUAUCAUUGCAUUUUCCAAGUGAUCUCUCGGAAUCGAGUUUUCAUCUAUGUUUAUCUCAACGGCGCUAGACAUAGCAAAAUAAAAUAUUAGGUUACUUGAAUCAGCUAUACCUAUUACUUAUCAGACAGCAGGACUUCUAAUUCAAAUAGGCUAGACUGCAUGUCAAUGGAAUCUGAAGUAACGUGAAUCUUAAUUACUCUUUUUUUUAUUUGCAAGGAUACUUUGAUUAUCAAAUACUUCACCCAUUUCGUUCUGGAAUCUUGGCUAUGGUUAAAGCAGCAUCUAAAAAAGGAAAAGGAAAAGGAAAAGGAAAAGAGGAAAAUUCUUAACUUGAAUUUAUAACUCAUAUACAGAGUGCAGUUGGGAGAAUUCAUGGUUUAAUGAACAUGAUACACGAUGGCAUGAGAUUCUUCAUCUUCUCGCGGUGAUUUAACUAUUCAAUUCAAAAGUUUCAAACUCUAACGUUAAGCUCGAGUGGUUAGCGCCUGAAGCAAGCCGAAGUCGCGGGUUUGAUUCCCCCUGGACGCACAAUUUUUAGUUUUUAAAAAAUAAAACACAUACAAGUUUUUUUCCCCCUCCAAAAAUAGGUUUUUAUUGAUUUUUUUUAUUUAGUAUUGAUUUCAAAGUAAAUUAAUUUUUUUAUUGGAUAAUAAAAAAAAAAAACUCAACCUAAUAGAAUUCAUGACUUCAAGAAUUUGGUUGAGUACAGAUGGUGGAAGAAUCCAUUGAAUAUAAAGCAAUGUUUGAAUAUUAUAUGUGUGUAUAUUUAAUUCUACUAUAUUGUAUAAGUUUGGAACCUUAUUCUUACUUACAAAAUUGCCUCAAUAUUUUAAAAAUUUAUGGAACUCCAAAUUCAAGAAUGAUUUUUUUUAUUCCAAUACAUUUUUUAUAAAGUUUUUUGUGCCGAAAUCUUCUUGACCAAGCAUUUAAAAGUUCAAUAUCACUCUUAUUCUUUUAAAUAUAGUUAUAUAAAUUUGAGCAAUGAAUAUGUGGAAUUUUCAUUUUUAUAGCUACCUAAAAUUUAAAAUUUUAAUUGAUAUAGUAUUUGAUCGUUUUCACCAAUAUUGUGAUGUUGUCGCUAGUUUCUUUUGAAACAUUGAUGUUACUAUUCUGGCCUAAAUGCAAGUCAAAGAAUGAUGAACUAUAUAUGGUAGUAUACAAUACAAGUUGAAGAAUCUAAUUAAAAGAAAGUGAUUUCAAUCCACAGACUAGUCAUACACUAAAUCUCACUAUUGAUUCGGAAUGUAAUGAUUUAUAUUAGUUUAGGAACAAAAAAUAAUUAAGAUUUAAAUUAUUGUUAUUCUUAUCAAGCACUACAUCAUGUCCAUUCCAUUAGAAUUUCAAUCAUUUAAACUUAACGAAUGAAAUUAAAAUACAUGAGAUAUAGAAGAAAAAAAAAACAUGAGAUAAUCUCCAUCUAAAAAAAAAAAGAAUGAAGAAGUAAAGGUUUAAAUUUAUAAGUUCAAUUAAAAAAAAAGUUAAACAAUUAAAGGUAUGUGAACAAUUAAAAAAAACAUGAGAUAGUUACUAUUUCUUUCUACGAAGAUCGGGAAGUUUAUCAGUCAGCCACCUCCAACUGUAGACAAGCACGAAAAACGAGAUGUAGUACACAUAAUGCGAGACCAAUCCUUCAAUAAUUUGGUUGACGGAUGGUGGAAGAAUCCAUUGAAUAUAAAGCAAUGUUUGGGCAACGAAAAACGCGAUCCCCACCACUAUAAUGGUGAUCGCGAGCACCCCAUAAUUGGAUCCACCUAAUGCGAUGCUCACGGCAAAAAAGAAUGACAAGCACAUCAUGUAAAUAGACCCACCCACCAUUAACGAUGAAAACCAAAGUGCAAAUGGUGCAAACUUGACAUCAUUCAAGUUUGUCCAAAGAAGGAUUAUAGCUGCCACCACAGAGGUAUUUAAAGCCCACACAUCAAGACAUAAAUAACCAUCCAAAAGAGAUGAACCAGUAGGACUGUCAAAGGCAGUGCUGUUCCGGGAGGCAGGGGCAGUGCUGUUAAGUUCAUGAAGAUGCUCACUCUUGUUAUUUUUAUCCCUUAGUUGUGGCAUCUGUAUGGCACCCGCGAAGGUUACACCAGCAACAAGCACCGCUACAACAAGAAGAUUCUCUAUCCUGCUCUUUGUUUCCUGUUUCCUUGGCGGCUUGCCUUGAGUACUAGUGAAACGCUCAUACAGGAAUUUUUUAGGGCGGGCAUGGAAGUAUAAGAUAGAUAAUGUUAUCAUCUGCAUAGCAAGGGGAAAUCAACUUCAUUAUAAUGAGUUUCCGGCACUUCCUCAAUCGCAUGCAAAAGCAUUGGCCUUGAAAUCCCUUUUUCUUUUUCUUUUUUCAGAACAAGCAAGAUUCUGGAAUGAUUUCAGAAUUUUGAAUAUAAUUGUAUAGAAUCUAAAUUAAUCGGUCUUGAACUAGAUGUUUAAAAGAUUAGGGAUGGCAAGAAAACAAUAGGAAGGGAGAAAAGAAAUAAUACCGCUCCAUAAUAAUCAAGCAGUUUGAAGUCCUUUGGUGGUGACUUUUUUGUGUCAUGCUCCUUUGAAUCAACUGCAUUGUCCUGUAAAACAGAAACAAUUUUAUGUUAAUGAAUAUAAGCCACUGAAACUGGUGAUCAGCAAAUUUUUGGAAAAUAGUCCUUUGGGCAAAGAAAAUUUCAACACAACACUUAUACCUGGUUCUUGUCCGCAGGGGUACUGUUCUUUGAAACAAACUGCUUUCGAUACUCAGCAAGCUGGCAACAAAUAGGAAUCCCACAAUACCAAAAUAUUAAAUCAAUAAUACUCCUAAAAAUAUGCUUUUUUAGCUCAAUAAAUGAUGAUCAAAUAGCGUACCAUUUCAUCUGUUUUUUCAUAUUGCUCUACAGCUAUUUUGGAUUGUUUUUCAGCAAUAUCAUAUGGUGUCAAAUUUUCAUUGUUAACAAUCGAACUAUCAACGCGUUUGUCACGCACAAGAACAAAUGCAGCCACGGAAUGACCAUGAUUUGUUGCCAAAUGCAAAGGUGUAUUUCCAUCCUCAUCCAUCUCAUUUAGCAGCGGUUCUACGAGCGUCUUCUCUUGUCUGAGUAUGUACCUAACCACAUUGCCAUUUCCAUUUUCCGCAGCUACAUGAAGAAUGUUCUGCCCUUUUUUAUUGAGGAAUUCUUUUGGAAAUGGGGUAAUCGUCAGAAAUUCCUUGACUACAUCAACAGAGUCAUUUUUGCAUGCUAGAUGGAUAGGAUAGUUGCCUUCAUGGUUUCUUUUAUAAGCACCAUUGAGAAACUUUUGUAAAAGGAAUUGAACUCCCUCCUGAAAACCUCUGGAUGAUGCAUAAUGCAGUGAAUUUCCCAACUCUUUGUCAGUGAGACAUAAUAGAUCUGGCUUUGCUUUUUCUAUUUUCUCCAACAUAUCUGAAAAACAAAAGAAAUUGUUUCAAAUGAAUAUGAAGAUGAUAGGUUUGCAACAACUGUCUGUAUGUAAAUCAUUUUCUACUGAGUAUAGACAUUGUGAUCACCUCUGUUACGUUGCUCGAUGGCAGCAUGAACUGGUGACUUUCCUUUUGGUAGGGCAUCACCAUCUUCACUUUCUAUAGGGAACGAAGCUUCUGUUUUCAAGAGAUCAUCAAGUAUCCCGUUCUUAUUGCCGUUCUCAACUGCCAGAUAUAAAGGAGACCUGCCAUUCUUGUUGUUGUAAUAGGCCACUUCUGGAUCUUUGGAAACUAGGAGUUUGGCAAGUUCUUUGUUGCCCUUGAUCACAGCAUCAUGCAAAGGAGUGUUUCCCUUUGUAUUUGUCUUCCUCAUCAAGCUCGGAUUCGAUUCCGCAAGAGAUUUAAUUGUAUCACUGGCCUUUCCUUCUCUGGCAGCAAGAUGAAGGAUUGUGUCCUUCUGGCUGUUUUGGAUGGUGAUUAGAGAAGGAAACGUUUCAGCCAGAUAAGAUGUAAUAUUGUCACUUCCAUAGCUUACAGCUACAUGAAGCAGUGAAUUCCCAGCGGGAGUCUGUAGCUCCUUUGCUGAACGUUUUCGAACACAGCUCUUAAAUGGAACAACGCUGUCAAGCUUCACAAAUUCAUAUAAUGAAGGAUCCAUCAUUUCAUUUGGCUCAUGAGGCUCAUCGUCUAUUUUUAUGAGUAGAGUACCCAUAGCAGAAGAAAAAUAAUUAUGUUAGCACUUGAAUCAGCUACAAAUCGGGGCUGGACUUUUAUUUGAAUAGAACAGAGUGCAUUUACUUUGAUUUCACUUGCAUGAAUAUAAUUGGAGUACUCAAAUCCUUCUCCAAUUUGUUGUGCGCAGGCAGGACUCACCAACAUGAUAAUAAUUAAAUAGCAUCAAAGAAUAAUAUAAAUAAUAUUUUAAAAUUUAAAUUUUUUAUUUAAAUUUUUAAGUUAAGAUAAUUCUUUAAUAUAAUAUUAAAUUUUUAAUAAUUAAAAAAUUUCGAGUUUAAAUCUCAUCAUUUUUUUUUUGAUUUGUACUAAGAUGUAUUAGAUAAUAAUAUAAUUUAUAUUUUAAAAUUUUAUUUAAUAAUUUAAAUUUUAAAUUAAAUUAAAAUGAUUCUUUCUUGUAAUAGCAACCAAACCCAUAAAAGAAAAGGAUAAAAAUGUUCCAUAGUCUUUAUUCUUAACUUGAGAAUAUAACUCACUGUGCGAACACUCGAAGAUUAAAGGAACAGGAUCCACAAUGGCAUCAGAUUGUAACUUAGGUUUAGGUAAAAAGAUCCAAAAUUUUUAACUGUUUAUCAGGAAGUCCAAGGGAUGUUUUAUGUUAUUUUUUUAUAAAUAAAUAAAUGUUUUGAAUUAUUUUGAUGUGCUGAUCUUAAAAAUAUUUUUUAUAAAAUAAAAAAAAAUAUCAUUUUAAUACAUUUCAGUAUAAAAAAUACUUUGAAAAGCAACCGCAAUCACAUUAUCACACACCAAAACCUACUUAAUUUAAAAUCAUCACUUGUAGAAUGGUGAUCAAGUAGAACGUUGAUUGAAUAUACAAGACCAAUAUUUAAGUAUUUGCUUUUACACAGUACGAGUUUAAUUGCCUUUGUGUCACACGUUUGGAACCUCAUUCUUUCCAAAGUGAAGAUGUCGGUGGUUCUUUUUUUUUCUUUUUACAUGUGCUUGUCCCCGUUUAUAGAAAACAUAAUGACAUGGGAAACAAUAGAAUGUGUGAAAUUCUUCUUACAUAAUCAUCAAAAUCCAUAGGUUAUAAAUCUAUCCAUUUGUAGUACAGUCAUAACGUCUGUAUCCAAUAAACUGCAAUUAAUCAUUAGGGACUAAACUUCAAAUCUGAUUCAACUCUUAGGGACCCAAUUUAAAUCUGAUUAUCAAAAUUAAGGACCAAAUCAUGACUCCAAGGACCAGGCUAUAAUGAUUAUAAAUUUCCAUGGAUUAUAUUGUAUCUUUACCUUCUCCUUCUCGAGAGUUUCUGCCGAUUCUCCAUUACCGACAGUGGCUUAAUCCUUUCUGAAUCAUCUUCUUAUUUCUUUGGGACAUGCUAAUCUUGUGCGGUAAACGUAAAUGCACAUGCAAUUAUUUAACCAUUUCUAUCUUUUUUUUAUUUUAUUUUUAUCUUAAAGUUAAUUUUAGUUGCUAAGAAAUGAUUAUUAAUCUAUAAAUAUGUCAUAUAAAUUCAAUUUAUUUAUAUAAAUUAUAUAAAAAAACAUUUAAAGAUAAAUUACAAUAAUCUCUUUGAAGCAUUAUAAAAUAAAUAAAUAAAUAUUAAUUACUUUUAAAAAAAAUACUAAAAAAAAAAAAAAAAAAAAAAACAAGAUAGAGUAUUAAUUAAAAUUUAAAUAAAAAUUAAUGAAAUGUUUAUUAAUAAAAGUUAAGCGAUGCUGGGAAUACCAUACCAAGCCCACGCGCUUGCCCAAGGAUCAAAAAACAUAAGUGUUCUUGAUACUAGAAGCCCAAGCCAGCAUUCCCGGCUAAUUUUUUUCUUUCUUUCUUUCUUUUGAAGUUUUUUCUUGAAAUAGAUAAGAUGUUUAUUAUGCAAAAAUUAUUUGUUAUCCUCUCCAUCUUUUUACUCUUACCUCCUGUGUUUGAAAAAUAAAAGCUGAAGUUUUAAACUAUCACCUUAAUUAAACUUUCAUUACAAAAAUAAAUUCAUUAACACCAAUUUUAAUUUUUUUUAUGAUUGAAAUCUAUCCUUUAAAGCAUUUUUCUCUCUUUAAUAUUUUUUGCUAACUUUUUAUCUUCUCUCUCAAUAUCCAGACACUAAAUUAUUAUUAUUUUUAAAAAAAUAUUGGACUAAAAUAUGAAUUGCUAUAACAACAAGGAUCAAAUAAUAGAUAAGUUGAAACUUUAUAUAGCAAAUUAAAGUUUUCCAUACCAAUAUUCAAAUGGGGUUUUUUUUUAUUAAAUUUGGUCAAGUUCUUAAGUUUUGUUUUAACUAAACAUAAAAUUUUACUUUGCAAAAUCAAUUUUUAAUUCAUUGUUGUAAAAUUCGUUGACAUUUUGUAUAUGUAAGACAAUGAAAAUUAAAAAAACAAAUCUUAACAUGUAAAACUGUUUUAAUAUAAUUUUGAAAGAUUAUAUUUUAAUUAUAGUUUCAUGAUCAAAAUUUAAAAAAAAAAUAACAUUUGCAUGAAUAGUGCAAUAAAUAAUGAAUCUCGAUCGAGAAGAAGAGUAACAAUACACAAUAUUAAUAUUAAUAUUAAUAUUAAUUCCAUAAAGUAAUAACUCAUAAUCCAUUUUAAUUAUUCAAUUAAUCUAAACCUCAUAACAAUGCAUACAAUCCCUUUGAGAGUGCUUUUAUUUAUUUGCGAAAUUGCAAAUAAGUGAAUAACUACGAAAUGAGCAUUGUACCUCUAAAUCAACGUAAAGUAUAUUAAUAAAAAGAUAAAUCUUAAUUUUGUUUCUUAUAUUCUUAAAUAUAAUAAUGUUCAUUGUAUUAUUUGAACCUUUUAAUUAGAAUGGAAGUUUAAUUUCAUCACUUUCUUAUGAGGUUUUUUCUUCAGUGGAUAAUCUGAAAAAAUCUAAGUAAGAGAAGCUAGAUUCGUUUCAGAGGGUAAAUUUAUGCAUGGAUAUACAAAGGAGACCAACUUCCUCAAUGCAUAAGAAAUAAAGGUAUCGAAAAAAUGAAGUGAGGCUCACUUUCCUUCACCAGCAUAUACCAUGCGUUUACCUUUCCAAUAAUUAGAAGAAAGCGACUUGUAUGGAGAGAGCUCUCUGAAUUUCUUAUAUUGAAAUUUUAUAGGUGUCUUUACAUUUUGAUUCUCGUACCCGAAAAAAAUAUUCCAAUAUGCGGGUUCGACUGGCGAAAUUUUUUUUAUUAUUUGGUUUGAUUUGGGUCUUUGGAGUCGCCACCUAGUAUUUUGGUCACUAGGAACCCUAACUGGUCUCAGAGAUCGGGUACGGAGACUGGUUGCGUAAAGAGAAGGUAUUAGCACCCCAAAUACGCCCUGCCUAAGGUAAGCUGCAUUGUUUUAUUGUCUGAUAAAAAAAAACUAAGGUGUUAUUGUGUUUUUCUAGUUGUUGGUCUGUCUAUGGUUCAAGAAAAAUCCUCCUCGGUAAGGAGAUCUUUAUCUUAUUGGGUAAAAAUCCUAACCGUUCUAACGUCCAUACCAAAAUUUUAUUAAUAAUAUUUAGGAAUACGUUUUACGUAUAAAUUCGUAAUCCCAAAUACUAAAAGAAAACAAAAUUUUUUUUGAAAUAUUGGCCUAGUUCUCAUGGCUUUAAUAAACUGGUUAUUAAAGCCAAAGUGCAUGCUAAUACAUAUAUUGUUUUGAAAAUUUUCUUUGUUGUGUGAAAAUAUGAUGUUAUAAUAUUUAUAUAUAUAUAUUGGAGAGACUAGGCCAUAUUUUAAAACAAAAACAAUUUUUGGAAAAUAUUAUUUUUUUAUGCUUUGACGAAAAUCGGGUAUUUUAAUACUAAGCUUGUAUCCUUACGGUAUAAAAAUACAACCCAAUAUUAAUCCUCUUUGCUAAAAAUAUGCAGAAAAAUCAACAAUAUUUUUAGGGAUUUUUAGAAUUUUUUUUUGAAAGCAAAAACAUUUUUUAUUCUGAAAAAUCUUUGAUGUUUUGAUGAAAAUCGGGUAUUUUUAACACUGGUUUUGUAUCUUUAAAGUAUAAAAAUACAAACCAACAUUAAACCACUUUGACAAAAAAUAUGCAGAAAAAUCACAAUAUUUUUUUAAGAUUUUUCAAAAUAUUUUUUUUUUAUAUAAAUAUAUUUUAUAUAUAUAUAUAACAUAUAUACACACAUAUAUAUAUAUUAUAAUAAUAUAUAAUAUAUUAUAGGGCUGGGCCGGCCCAAAUAAAUGGGCCAGACUCAGCCCAAAAAAAAGGGGGUGGGCCGGUCUCGGCCCGCAAUGAUAUUGGGCCGGUCUCAGCCCGAAACUAAAGUGGGCCGGUCUCGGCCCCAAACUAAAGUGGGCCGGUCUCGGCCCCAAACUUCUACAGUCUGGGCCAAGACCGGCCCAGACUUGCAAGGCUGGGCCAGCAUUGGGCUGGCCCAGCAUCUUACGACCCGGGGGGGGAGAAUUAUUUUUCUCCCCCCGCCUCCUGCAUGCUACAUGCAGGAAGCAAAACGACUACGAUGCGGAAAAAAAAUGCAGGGGGGGGAAAUGUGCACCUGGCGCGGAGGCGAUCGCUGGUGGAGCUGUGGUGUCGCUGCGGUGUCGUGGCCUCGAGGACGACGGCGCUGUGACUGUUCCCUCUCUCUCGUUGGUUCUCUCUCUCUUCGGUCUCCUCUCUCUCUCCUCCCUUCGGUUUUUUUCUUUUUGUUUUUGGUUUCGUUUUUUUUUUUUGCUUUCGGUCUGUUUCUGUUCUCCCCUCUCCUUCGUGCGUUAUUUCUCUUCUCCCUCUAUCCUCGGGUCCCUCUCUCUUUCGGUCUCUCUCUAUUUAUAGAGAAAAAGGAACCGGCGUGCCUUUUGUUAGUGCGCCUUCAAUCACGCAACGGCUGGUCGGCCAUUGAUGCUUUCAGUGGUGGUGGUGGGGGCGAGGAGAGAGAGGGGGGAAGUUUUGAAAAAAAACAAAAAAUGAUUUUGUCUUUGUUUCUGUUUAUGCGGGGGAAAGGAGGAAGAUGAACAGUGUCGUUCAAAACGACACCGUUCUGGUCUUCCUUCUUCUUCUUUUUUUUUAUAUAUAUAUGAAACGGCGUCGUUUUGGAUAAAACGCGCCGUUUCAUUUAAAUGGGUCAAACUUCAAAUCAGUCCUCCAAAUUCGGUCCCUGCCCCUCUUGUUGGCCGCCUUUUUCACUUUGGUCCUUGGCAUCUGAUUUAUGCAAUUUAGCCCUCAAUUGAUUAAUAAACCUUUAAUUUCUUCAAUUAGGCCCUUGAACCGAAUAAUUGCAGCCCCUCCAUUUACGCGCCUCUUCCAAUUUGGUCCCUGGUUUCGGAUUUUCUUAAUUAAAUCCCUAAUUGGCCCUUAAACUUCAAUAUUUAUGCAAUUAAGCCCCUGAUUUGACCCAAUAAAUUCCUAAAAAAUAUAUUUUGGCCCCAGAACUUAAAUUUCUUCUAAUUAAAGCCCAAAUUGACUUAAAAAUUAAUUUUUCUUGCAAUCAAAUCUCCUAUAAAUUCAAAUUUAAAUCCAUAAAAAUCCAAUUAAGUCCAUAAACAUCCAAAUUUGAGUUUUUCUCCUCAAAAAUCAAAUUUUCCUUCUCAAUAGGGCUUUCAUCCUUCAAGAAUAUACUGUCAAAAAUUCAAUCCUUGUAUUUUUAAAUUCCUUGACCAAUUUUCUGACUGUUUUCCGAGCGCUUCUGACUCCUGUUAUUUUUCUAACCUCUUUUGGCUAUUUAUUUUAUUUUUUAUGGGGACCCAAAAAUGGGUUACAACAUUGAUUACAGUUUUUUUAUGCUUGCUUCAGUUAAAAGAAUUUUAAAUUUUAAAGUUAGAUAUUAAAUUUGAUGCUAACGAUCUACACUUCAGACAUUAUCCAUGUAAGUCUAAACUUGUAGUUCUAGGCUUAAAAUGAUGUUUCUCAAAUAUAAAUUUAAAACUUAGUGAUCUUUUUAUAUACAGAAAGCAAAUUAAAACUUGUGGAGUAGUCAAAUAACCUAAAUAUUUUGAAUACAAAAGAUAACAACUCAAGAUUAAAGAAUUUACAUUCAUUGGAUGAUUCUUCAACUUUGGCUAUCAAGGUUGUGCAAAAAGAUCAACUAGAUGUUGCUAAAGAUUUGAAAAUUAGAUAUACAAGGAAUAUUUGUGGUAUUACUGACAAUAACUUUAUAUUAUGGACCAUCAUAUCAAAAAGACCAUCAUGGACCAAAUAGAAAUUUCAGUUUAACCUUUAUAUUAUUAUGCAAAGCCAUACACAUAAAAGUUGAGCUAUCAACCACUGAAGGUUCAACAAUUAGAUAGCAAAAGGAAUCUAAGGCAACAUGUGGCUCACUUUAUAGAGGCUUGUAACAAUACUAUACUUGAUGGUGAUCUCAUGGUAAAACAAUUCAUUCAUUCUUUAAAAUGCAAUGCAUGACUUGGAGUCUUUUUUAACUUAUAAUUGGGAGAAAUUGAAAUAUAUGUUUCUUCAACACUCAUCACAUGGUUAACAUGAUUAAACUUAUCAAUGAACAUUAAUAAAUAGAGAAGCAUGUCAUUGACUACAUUCAUCAAUUGUAAAGAUCAACUCAUCAAAAGUUUUACUCUAAAUAUAUGCAUUGAAGGGAUGCAUAGGGGCUAUGCUGCAUUCUAUAAAGCAUUAAAACCCAAAUCUUUUAAAGAAUUAGCUACUAGACACACAACAUAGGACUUAAUAUUGCUACAACGAAACCUUAUCAUUACCUAUGUAAGAGCCUAAAAAAAAAUAAGUCUUAAAGUCAUAGAUUUGAAAAGAGCACUUCAAAGGUUCAAGGAAAACAAUCUUUGGUAAUUAACUUCGUUGUCAUAAAUGUACCUACUAGAGGUAAAAAGAAUGAUUGUGCAACCCUAAAUACUUUUUAAAAGGGUGAAAAGAAAAGUCAUCCUUUAAAGAAUGAUAAUAAAAAAAGUAUCAAUUCCCCAACUUGGAUAUAUCAAGUACACUAUAUGAUUUGCAAAGUAAAUUUCAUUAAGCUAUCAAAGUUGAAACAUCAUAAAAAAGCAAAUCAACAUCAUUGAGUUCACCUACGCACUAAGCCCAAGUAUAUAUGGGUAUGACAAGCUGUUAGAUCAAACACAUUGGAUUCACCUACAUGUUGAGCCCAAACAAACAUGGAUUUAUCAAGUUGUCAAACCCAAUAUCCUAGGGUUCAACUAUAUGUUGAACCCAAGUACAUAUAGAUCUAGCAAACUCAAUGAUAUUAGGUUCAACUAUACACUAAGCAAAAAAAAUGGGUUUACAAGUUGUUAGACCUAAAAUCUUGGGUUUAACUAUACACUGAGCUCAAGCAUAUAUGAGUCUGGCAAGCUACCAAAUCCAACAUCCUUGUUGCUAAGCCCAAAAAAAAUAAUUAUGUGGCAAGCUUUCAAACACAACAUCAUUGGAUCAGCUACGUGCUAAGACCAAGUACAUAUAGGUCUGUCAAACUACCAAACCUAAUGACCAUGGGUUCAACCACGUGUUGAGCUUAAACAAACAUAGGUUUAGUGAGUUAUCAAACCCAAUAUCCAUGAGUUUAACUAUAUGCUAAGCUUAAGUACAUAUAAGUUUGGUAAAUUAUCAUACCCAACAUCUUUGGGUUUAAUUACAUGUUAAGCCUAAACAAAUGUGGGUUUGGCCAUCUGCAAGACCCAUUGCUAAUGGACUUGACAUCAUGUGAAGCCUAAGUGGGUAUGGGUCUAAAGAUCAUUAUAAGCCUCGUAUUGGGCUAUAAGGCUUUCUUUGUUUAUUCUUAUGAUUUUUAAUAUUAAAUGUUAAUGUUAAGAAUACUCAUCUCUCUAUACUUAUAAAUAUAUAAAAGUCUUCUAAGAACCUACCAUAUUUUCAUCAGUAUUAAAUAUUAUGUAAUAGAUAUUUAUCCCUCAUUAAUGAUGUGUAAGGGAUAUGUAUCCAAUGUCCAAACACUCAAAAACCUCUUUCUUAAACAUAUUAGAUUUUUGAAAUAUCAUAAACUGAUGAAUAAGAAAUAGAUCUUUUUGCCAAGAGAAGAGUAGAGAGGAAGGAAAGGAUUAAAAAAUAAAAAAAGAAUCAGCUACAAAACAUGAACUGUAUGACAAAAGUUGAUGCUUUGCCAAGCCAUGUUCACCUAGCAGCCGCAUCCUUGCCUAUAACAGAAACCCUAUCCACUCAAUUAAUUAAGGAAAUAGAAGAGGUUUAGCAAACAUGCAUAGAGUAAAUUUUAUAAUUUACACUUUGGUCCCUAAAAUCAAUAAUUGCUUUAAAUUAGGCAUCAAACAUUGAUUCUAUAAUUUGAUUUGAUAAAAUUUAAUUGAAAUUUAUCCCUAAAUUUUUAAUUUUGACUAUUAUAUUUUAUUUUACAAUAAAAAUAUCUAUAUUAAUUUACUUUGAAAAUUUAAUACGAUCAAAUCAAGUUUUAGUUAAAAAAUGAUAUUCAAAGUUCAAAAAUCCUCUUAACCAUAUUUUUCAAGACAUGUCUACUUAUUUUAAGGCUAAGUGAACUUGUAUCAAAGGGGCAACAUUUGUAUAAACAAAAAUAUUGUACAAAUUCAGUUUUUUCAUGUCUUUAUUUAUUUAUCUUUUAUUUUGACCUAAAAAAUUAAAAUAAUUGACAUGGAAAAUAAAUGGGCCAUUAUGUAUUUCUUGGCCUAUAAAAAGUUGAAAAAUAGGAUGAGAUAUUUAAUUUAUUUUAUCAUUAAUGCAAGAUUUUAUAAUUGAAAAUCAACCAAUAACUGAUAAUAAACUUUAAGUAAAAUUGAACAUUAUUAUUUUUCUAAUGAUAUGGUGAAUUUAAAUAUCCAAUAAAAAUUUAUCUAUAAAUGUGUUCACAUAUUUACCCAUUUAAACAUACUUAUUCAACAUUAUUAAUUUUUAAUUAAAAUUAUUUAUGAGAAUUAUUUAAAAAUAAAAUAAAAAGUCUUAAUGUAUAUUUGAUUUAAAUUCUGAAUUAUACUCAAUUUUUGAAAAUAAUAAUGCAAAUUAUGUCAUUAUUUUUUGCUUCAAUCGAUGUAUCCAAUUAUCGAAUAAAACUUUAUUCAUGAAUGUGUUCGCACAUGUACCUAUUUUGUUUUUUAUGAAUAUGUUCAGUACUAAUGUACCUACAAAGCAUAUCUAUUCAACAUAGUUAAUUUUUUAUAGAAGAAUUUAUUGAUUAGUUUAAGAAAUCACAUCCUAUAAUAAAAUUAAAACUCUAGAUGCAUAUUCAAUUUAAAUUUAUAAUUAUGCUAAAUUUUUUAAAGUACUAAUUUAAACUAUAUCAUUGAUUUCGUUAGUUUGUUCUCAACAAAAGAGCUCAAUUGAAAAUUAAUAGAAUAAGAUGUAAUUUAAAUCUUUUAUUAUAAUAAUAUUUAAAGCAGCUUAAAUGAUAUGAUCAUUAUUUAUAUCAUUUUAUCUUCUUUUUUUUUUCUUUUUUUAUUAAAUUAUGAAUUAUUUAAUAUAAAUAAGGGAGGAGAUGAUUAAGUUAAAAGAAUUACACUGAGUUGUGAUUAGAAUGUAACAAGAAAAUCUACAAAAUUAAUUUUUAAAAAUUUUGAUAAUUAGGUCUGGUAAACUGUCAGACCCAAUAUCUUUGGGUUCAACUACAUGUCAAGUUUUAACGGAUGUAGGUUUGGCAAGUUGUAAGAUUUAUUGCUAAUGAACUUAACAUCGUGUCAAGCCCAAGUGGGUAUUGAUCUAAUGAUCAUUAUAAGCCUCAUGUUGGGCUAUAAGGCUUUCUUUGUUUAUUUUUAUGAUUUCUUAACAUGAAAUGUUAAUGUUAAGAAUUUUAAUCUCUCCACACCUAUAAGUAUAUAAAAGUCUUAUAAGAGUCUACUAUAUUUUCAUCAUUAAUGACGUGCAGUGUAAGAAAUAUUUAUCCAUUCUCUAAACACUUAAAAAAUUUAUUUGUAAGCAUAUUAAAUUUUAAAACAUCAUCAACUACUGAACAAGAUAUCAAUCUUUUUGCCAAGAGAAAAGUAAAGAAGAAGGAAAUUGUUAAAACAUUAAAAAUUAAAAAAAAUCAGUUGCAAAACAUGAACCCUAUGACAAAAGCUUAUGCUUUGCCGAGUCAUGUUCAGCUAGCCGCCACAUCCUUGCCUAUAACAGAAACCCUAUCCACACCAUUAAUUAAAGAAACAGAAGAGGUUUAGCAAACAUGCAUUGAGUAAAUUUUAUAAUUUACACUUUGGUCCCCAAAAUCCAUAAUUGCUUUAAAUUAGGCAUCAAACAUUGAUUCUAUCAUUUGAUUUGAUAAAUCUCAAUUGAAAUUAAUCCCUAAAUUUCUAAUUUUGAUAAUUAUAUUUUAUUUUUACAAUAAAAAUAUCUAUAUUAAUUUACUUUGAAAAUUUAAUACGAAGUUGGGAAAAAAAUUAUCAAAGUUCAAAAAUCCUCUUAACCAACAUGCCCACUUAUUUUAAGGUUAAGUGAACUUACAUUGAGGAGGCAUUUAUAUCAACAAAAAUAUCAUACGAAUCAAAAAAAUUUAUAUGUCUUUUAUUAUUAUUAUUAUUAUUUACUUAAAAAAAAUGAAAUAAUUGAGAUGAAAAAUAAGUGGAACAUUAUAUAUUUUUGAAGACAUGUCCACUUAUUUCAAAUAUUUUAUUAUUAUAAAAUUUAAAGCAGCUCAAAUGAUAUGAUCAUUAUUUAUAUUUUUUAUCUCUUUUUUUAACUUUUUAUUUGAUUAAAUUAUGGCAUAUUUAAUAUAAAUAAGGGAGGAAAUGGUUAGAUUAAAAGAAUUGCACUGAGUUGUGAUUAGAAUAUAACAAGAAAAUCUGCAAAAUUAAUAAUUAGAAAUCUUGAUAAUGAACAAAGGUUUUGGGACAAACAAGAUAAGGUAGACAAAUGAUCACAACGAGCCUGGUUUGGUUGGAUCGAGUAGAUAACGUGAUUGAGAAUGUUUAGAGCGAGCCACAAAUGAUAUGAGCUCUCACUUAUAUGAAGAUGUUACAAGGGAUGAAGUGAAAGAAGUCUUAGAUUAGAUGGAACCGGUACAAGUUCCAGAACCAAAUGAUAUCCUAGCUUUAAUAUUGUUGUCCUUCGUCCAUAAAUGAAACAAUUUAGGACAACAAUGUCUUUAAUUUGGAUCAUUAAAGAUAUCAACUUGGUUCGUCUUAACAGUAUUAAAAUGGCCGGCCUUAAAACAAGAAAAAAGGACAUGGCCAGGCAUUGACACGUUGGUGAAUUGUUGAAAUACCAACAGAAUAUACCGUCUGUAAAUUCGUCGGUAAGUUAUAAUACCGACAGAAUUAAUCCGUCGGUAAAUCUGUUGGUGAGUCAUGAAAACACCGACCGAAUUUAUCCGUCUGGAAAUUUGUCGGUGAUGGUCGCUGCUACUGUCUAAGGCCGACGGAUAUAUUCCGUCGGUAAAUCCGUUUGUAAUUUUUUUAUAUAUAUAAUUAUUUAGAAUACAUAAUAUAAAAUGAUAUAAAUUAAUGGUAAUAAAAACCAAUUAUGCAAAUAAAAAUUAUAUUAAGCGUCAAAAACAAAAAAAAUAAAAGAUAAAUAAUAUUCAUUACAAAAUGAAAUUGUUCAAAAAAACAUUAAAUGAAAUUUUAAAUAUAAAUAAUGUUUAUAAAAAAUUAAUAUAAAGGAGGUUGAGGAGGAUCAGGAGGAGGAGGAGGCUGACUGUUAUGCGGCCAACUUGGAUUGGGUGCACCUGUUCCACCUUGUGACAUGUUUAUGACCAUUUGACGAAGCUCUUCAUAGGCCGCUCUUUGUUCUGCAGAUUCUGCUGUGUAUUGUUCUUUGAGUUGUGUGUAUGUCUCUGAUAGGUGGUCGCACCUUUGCUGCAAGGCCACCAACUCCUUAGAUUGGGAGCUCAAUAUUGAUUGGGAGCUCCCGACGGUUGAAGCAGUACGGGUCGUCCUCAAGGUGUCGGCCCUAGUGUUGGAGAGCCCGUAAACCCGAUUCUUAUCGGGUCCAUCUGACGAUCUAGCCUCCAUCCACAAAUCCGGAUCGAAUUCCGGAUGGGUCGAAGGAUCGUCCCCGUAUGUCUCCCUCAACCGAUUAUUAUAGGUCUCCUGAAAAUAAAAAAAAGUAAUCAUCAUAUUCAAUUCAAUAAACAUAAUAAUUACUUACAAAAUAAAAUGGAUGAAUAAACAUACCACAAAAUGUUGAGCGUGACUGUCAACGAACUAUUGCACCCCCUUUUGGCGUUCUUGACUCCGCACGUGCGUCUCCACAAACAGCUCCAUUGGGCUUGGCUCACGUCCAAGAGACGUAGCCUAUAAUGAAAAAAAAUUAUUAACAACAAAUUAAUUGAACGAUAUAUUUCAUUUAAAUUAAUCUUACCAUCCGUUUCGCAUGAGCAGCAAACGGAAUGGAGCCGCCGGUGUGCGUUGUCACCGAGCCAUUAAUUGGCCGAUUUCGGUUGCCAGCACCGGACUGUGAGCGUCGUGUGAACCGCUCAGGCAUCACGUGCUCAAGAUAGUGCGGCCAUAUAUCCUCCGGGAUGUAUAUCGGUUUGAAAUCCCUCCAAACCACAACAUCGUUCCAGCCUUGUAACCCCCUAUCCCUCGCAGUUUUUUUUGCCUUUUUUUGGGCUUCGUACCAAAAAUCACGCAACCUACUUAACGCAAUCAAAAAUUACAUUUCGAAACAUAAAUUUUUUUGUAAAAAAAAGUUGUAUUGUUUUCGAUGUUACCUAGUUGCCGCAUGAUUUUCCCAGACCCUCCUCACAACAUUGUUAUGUUCCUCGUCCCAGCAGAAUCAACAUUGUUAUGCCGAUUCUACGAAGUGAAGCAUCGCUGGAAGAGGCAGCAUCAGCUGACGGCGCAAGUGGUGUAGGUGCCUCUUCUUGAGAGGCACCUACGGAAAUGUCUUCGUCGCUACUAGACGAACUAGAUGCGACCGUACGUGAAGCUCUGGUUUUCAUUAUGUGCAUCUAACCAAUUUUAUAUAAAUAAUUAUAUAAUUCAAUUGAAAUGUUAAAAAAUAUUCAGCAGCACCUCCCCUAUACUUGGAUACUACCCAAAUCCACAAACCUGCAAAUAUUAAUGUCGCACCCCAAAAAAAAUCCGGCGCGCCAUCGGCUGGCGAUUUUUUCUCGUUUUUGUGUUUGCUUUGAAUUUAUUCGUUGGAGUCGCCACCUAGUAAUUCAUUGAGGGCUACUAGGAAACCUGAUGUACUGGUCUUGUCAGAGAUCGCGGGUAAGGGACUGGUUGUGGUUAGGGAAGGUAUUAGCACCCCUAACACACCCUACCUGAGGUAAGCUGUUUUGUGCUCUGAUGUGAUUUGAAAAUUUAAAAUAUUAAUUAAAUUCUAAGGCUUGAUUAAAUCAGUUAUUAAAUCCCCGAAUAUAUGUAGAAACUUGUUCUUACAUUUUCAUGGAAAAUACAACUUGAUUUUAUUUGUCCUUGAGAUAUUUAACCAUAUUUAAAUUAACAAUUAAUUCUUUUUGUCCUUUUUGAUUUUUAAUUCAAUAAUAUAAAUAAAUAAAAUAAAAUAAAAACAAACAUACAAGCACACACAAACAUUUUUUUUUUUGUUAUUUAUCACUUUCUCUUUUCUUUUCUUUUCUUUCUUUUCCUUUUUCUUCCAUAUUUACAAAAUACAAAAAAAAACUCAAAACUAAAUAAAUAUUACAUUAAACAAUUUGGAAAUUACAAAAAUGACCCAAAACAAAUCCAGGAACAAUUCUGGGCUAGAUUCUAGGCUGCGUGAACACUGGCGGCGCGUGGAUCGCAGAAAAAAUGGGCAACCGGUGGAUCCGGCUCGUCUCUGUUUCCUCUUCCUUUCCUCGCCGGUGUUACCUGCAAAAACAAACCAAAACGCAACAAGCAGUCGAUUUUAUUAAGAGUUUUUUUUUAUUUCUUUUGUUUGCCCAAUCUGCCUCUCUUCUCCUUCAAAUCUGCUUCGGUUUUUUGCUUCUUCUUGUCCGAUCUGGCUUCUCCUUCCUAUUUCAGGCGGCGGUGGAGUUGUGGGUGUCACCGCUGCGGUCCAGGCGUUGAUGAAGGGGCUCGACCGGUGCUUGGUGAGGAAGAAGAACUGCUGCUGGCUGGGUCGGUCGAGAAAGGAGAAGGAUGGCGCUGAGAGGCAAGAGACCGGUUCUGCUUGUUCUGCUUUGGCUACAACCGAGAGAGAGAUGUGCGAAAAAAUGGAGGCCGGUUUAGGAGAUGAGUGAAGGAGCUGGGUCUGUUGAGAGAUGAGAGAGUGAGGUGGCCGGGGGGAGGAAGAAGAGAAAACGAAAUCAGAUCAGCAACCGGGGAGGCUGGCCGUGGGAUCGUUGUUGGGGAAAAGAGAAACGAAAAUGGUCGGGGGGGGGGGUCUGUGUGCGAUUGGCUAAAAAAAUGGGGAGAGUUGGCGAUUAAGAGGCGGAGGUGGGGCUGUCUUGUGGUUGAAAGAGGAGAGAACCGGCUGUGGUGGCUGCUCCGGUUUUGUUGGCUGCAAAAGGAGAAGAAAAUGGGGCUAGGACUGGAAGAGUGAGGGGGCCGGAGAUGGAGAGGGCUGUGUGGGGAAGAUGAGGUCGGCUGAGAAGGUCUGUGUGGGGGGAAAAAAAAAUCAACGUGGGGGCCGACAACUGGUUUUUCAUAGAAGAACACUAGGGAGAAAAAUUUAAAACCAGUGGGGGGAGUUGCCGCCGACCCCUUUUUUUUUAGUGGGGAGAAAGAGUUGGGUUUUAGGGUUUUUGUGUUUUUUUCUGAAUGUGUCAAAAAUGCCCCCCUUGUAAAUGUUGGAAACCAGUAUUUAUAGGCAAAAAAUAUUGCCAAGUUUUCAAAAUUGGUCCCUUAACUUUCUUUUUUUGUAAAAUUUGAUUUUUCUUGUUUAUUUGUAUUUUUUUGAAAACGAGCAAUAUCAACGUCAACUCGAUGAGGAAAAUCAAUGAUUUUAAAAACAACGCGUGAAAAGUCGAACGCGUUUGAAAAUCUUUUGAAAAAUUAAAUUCUUUUUAGACGACGCUGAAAAUGCUAAAAUGACGCGAAUAUAUUAAAAAAACAUAUUUUUUGGAUUUUCAUUGUUUUUCUCUAUUUUUUGGAUUUUUUGAAAAUAUAUCAAAAACAUGGGUCAAAAAUUGGGUAGCAACAAUUAACAAUAGCCACAACCAAUUGACCCAAUCUAUACUAAUUAUUCCAACAUAUUCAAUUACUAAUCCUAAGGUAAAUUCUACAUUAACAAUAUUAAUUCAACAAAUUAUUAAAUAUUCAUUAUGGCAAUACAACAAUAAAAUUAUUCUAAGGUAAAUUCAACAUUAACAAUAUUAAUUCAACAAAUUAAUCAAUAAUUAUAUAUGGCAAUACAACAAUAAAUUAUAUUCAAUAAAUUAAAAAAAAAUAUAGACUAACAAUUAAAAUCAAUGGAAAUAAUUAAAUACAAAUCAUGCAAUAAUAGAGUAAAAUUACUAAUUAUUCUAACAUAGUCAAUUACUAAUUCUAAGUUAGAUUCAACUUUAACAACAAACAUUCAAUAAAUUAACUAAUACCAAUUAUAACAACACAACAAUAAAAAAUAUUCAAAAAAUUCAAAAAAAAAACCUACAUCAAGAAAAGGAACGAAAUAUACAUACCUUAAUAAUAUGUUCAAUUCAAAACUUUAUCUACAUUAGAAAAAAAUACACCAAAACAACAAAAUAACAAAAAUAAAAACAACUACAACUAAAAUAAAAGAAAAUAAAAUAAAAUAGAAAAAACCACAUACCUUUAUUCAAAUCUUGCAAGAGAUUCAAGGUGAAAGCCUUGAAGGAUUGAGAGCAAAAAACUGAAAAUUACAGGGUAGCGGAGCAGAAGAAAAACGGAGGAGAAGACAAAAUGAGGGGAAGCGGCGGGCGCUGGAAGUUAUAGGUUAUAUGGCAGAUUUACCGACAGAUAUUAAAAAAAUAUUGAUUGAUAAAUUCCGUCGGUAUGGAUGUCGAUAAAGUUAUCGGUAUGGACGUCGAUGAUUGUGGCAUUUCGGUGUAAUUAUUUUCGAACUCUCUGUGAUAUGCCGGUGAUUGUGGCAUUUCGGUGUAAUUAUUUUCGAACUCUCUGUGAGAUGCCGACGGACGGCUGUCAGUCGGUAUGGACGUCGGUGAUUGUUCAAUGUAGAAGAGGUGUUGUGUUUGUAUUUUCUAUUUACCUUCUUGCAAAAAAUUCAAUGAUAAACUGUCCAUCGCACAAAACAAUAGCAACAAUGCUUAAACAAUAAAUAAAUAUUUCAUGUUUCAAAAUAUAUCAUCCAUAAUGUAAAUUACAUGAAGAAAAGGGUUUUACACAGGGCUUCGUUUUGAUAGUUAGUCAGAAUUAUCUUCUUCUUCGUCAUCAAUUGAAUAGUCUUCACCUUCAUCGCAAUCUUCAAUAUGGAUAUCAUCUUCUUCAUCGACAUUUGCUUGUCCGCUAGAGCUCAAAACAACGUUCAACUCCUCUCGUCAACAUCAACAAGACUAUCAUCGAAACACGAAAAUUUGAAUUUUCUUCCAAUUCAAUCGAAGGAGCAACUCGAUAUGGUUCAACCAACUCACUAACUUGAAAGACUUCAUUCGCACACUUGUGUCUUCGUUCUCAUCCUGAACAACCUCGACACGACCCCGUGGUUUCGUUUUUAAAACGGACAACCAAUCAACUCUUGAUCGAUCCUUUCUAAAUGAAGGGGUGUAUGUGUAAUAAACUUGUUGACAUUGCUUUGCGAAAACAAAGACAUCGUUUAUGUUGCGGAGUCUAGCUUUUGAGUUGAUUUCGACCAGACCAUGGUGCGGAUCAACUCUGAUUCCUCUGUCCGUCGUGUCAUACCAAUAGCAUUUGAAUAAAAACACUUUAUUCUGCUCGCUAUGAUAUUGCAGUUCGACGACCUCUUCUAAUCUACCAUAGUAGUCAACUUCUAACUCACUACUACUGUGGAUCCUUAACACAAACACCGCAGUUGUAUGUCUUUCUUCCUUGCCCGUAUUCUUCAGUAUGGAAAACAUAUCCAUUGACAAAAUACCCGUUGUAGCACUUAACUUUUCUUUCAGGCCGAGGCUUAGUGAAGACAAUGACUUAGACGCACUCCUUCCCAUUUGAUAAACCUUGUAUAUGUAAUGUACAUCAAUAAACGGUAAAUGAACGAGAAUCUCGUAAUGCAUGCAUACGUACAUAAUUUUGCAAGUUAGAAUGAGUUUGUGAUAGUGCUUACAUGUGUUCUGAACCAUGUGGCAAAUUGUUCAUCUUGUAAUUGAAAGAUCUGGGAUCGGUCAGCUGCGAGUUAUUGGAGAGCAAAUAUUGUCGAUGUUGCCUGCAAGUGAUAAUGAGUGUAUGAUAUUACAAUAUAUAAUUAACAAUAUUACUGACAAAGUUUAAUUAGUAUUACACAUAUAUAAACUUACUGAAUAAAUGGUCUCAGCUCAUCACAGUUAAAUAGAACAUAGUUGUGUGCUUGUUUGAAUUCUAUUUCCGACAAAUAUCUUCCUCUUACGCAUUUUUAGGUGUGGGUCGUCCAGUUUGGAGAAUAUUGACAAGUUCCCACUGGAAGGCACUUCACCGCCAUCGUCAUGCCGUGGAACGCGAUUGAUUCUUGUUCUCAGAUGAGGUUCGAAAUAGUACGAGAUAAAUGUUGAUAUCUCUUCAACAAUAUAGGCCUCACAUAUCGAAGCCUCAACAUGCGCCUUGUUCUUAACCUUUUUCUUGAGAUUAAACAAGUACCUGCAUUGAAUUACAAUUCAAGUAUUUCAAUUAAGAAAAACAUAGAAAAUACUUUAGAUAUGAAUUCCAUUGCAACUGUAAUAUCUCACCGUUCGAAUGGGUACAUCCAUCUAUACUGGACCGGUCCUCCAGCUUUUGCCUCGAACGGUAGAUGUAUAGGGAGAUGCUCCAUUGAGUCAAAAAAUGAAGGAGGGAAUAUCAUCUCAAGUUUGCAUAGUGUCUCGAUGAUAUUCGUUUGAAGCCUCUCAAUGUGCUCAACAUUCAACUUGCUGGAGCAUAUAUCUCUGAAGAAAUGACUGAUCUCCGUCAGUGCAUCCCAUAUUCCCUUUGGCAACAAAUCACGAAAAGCUAAUGGGAUGAGUGUUUGCAUAAACACGUGGCAGUCAUGACUCUUCAUUCCAUACAAUCUGCAGUCCUCUAUGUUAACAAGCCUUGAUAUGUUCGAUGCAUGUCCAUCCGGAAAACGCAGACUCUUAAGCCAUUUGUAGACUAGCAGUUGUGCGUUUUUCUCUAACACGAAGCUUGCCCUUGGUUUUGCGACCCGUGACUCCUCAUAAACCAACUCCAUAUUUUUACGGUUACAGUAUAAAGCUAUAUCCAAUCUAGCCUUGAUGUUGUCCUUUGUCUUCCCCUUCACAUCCAUGACGGUGUUGAAAAUAUUCUCAAACACGUUCUUUUCGAUGUGCAUGACGUCAAGGUUAUGGCGGAGAAGAUUGGUCUUCCAAUAAGGAAGCUCCCAAAAGAUACUUCGCUUUACCCAAUUAUGGGUCAAACCAAAACCAGGAAACUUUUGCUUACCUGAUUGAAGGCCAAACACAAUGUCACCGUACUCUGAUACAACAUGAUGCAAUUCUUCACCAGAAAGACGCGGGGAUGCAACAUCUUUUUCAACUCUGCCAACAAAGAAAUCUUUUGUUCUUUCUGAACCUGUGAUUAAGUGGCAAGAAGCGACGGUGACAGUCAAAAAAAGAAGCUUUACCUCCGUUUGCUAGCGUGAAUGCCUUGUUGUUUUCCAUGCAGUAUGGACAUGCGAGUUUCCCAUGCGUGCUCCAACCAGAAAGCAUUCCAUAAGCUGGAAAAUCAUUGAUAGUCCACAUCAAAGCCGCCCUCAUAAGGAAAUUUUGUUUCCUCGAUAUAUCAUAAGUCAGAGCUCCGGAGGACCACAACUGCGCCAACUCAUCAAUCAACGGUCGAAGACAAACAUCUAUAUUCCGCCCCGGGCUGCUUGGACCGGGUAUGACAGUAGAUAAAACAUGAACUCCGGCCUCAUACACAUUCCCGGUGGCAAGUUAUAAACUGUGAGUAUGACCGGCCAACAAGAAUAGGGAGCAGCAAAUGACCCAAAUGGGUUGAAUCCGUCUGUACACAACCCAAGACGACAUUCCUUGAUUCAGCUGAAAAGUCAGGAUGCACACACUGUUAAAGCGUUUCCACGCUUCGCCGUCAGAAGGAUGCACCAUCACACCAUCAACCGCAUCAUGUGUUUGGUGCCAUGUCAUGUGCUCAGCAGUCCUUGGUGACAUGAAUAACCUCUGCAGUCUAGGUGUGAUCGGGAAAUAUCUAAGUUUUUUAUACGCCACUAGAGUCUUUCCCCUGCCAGUUCUGGGUUUGUAACGGGAAUGCCCGCAUGUCAUGCACUCGGUCAUCUCAGCAUUUUCAAGGUAGUAUAACAUGCAGAAGUUAGGGCACAUGUCAAUUUUCUGGUAUCCUAAACCGAGGGGUUUCAUCAUGGACUUCGCAGCAUAGAAGUUCUCUUUCAGCCUGUUCCCUUCAGGUAAAAUGCUUCUUGCCCAAUCAAUAAUUUUGUCAUACCCGGCCUCACUCAGCCCGUGAUCUGACUUGAUGGUGAACACCUGUGCCACAGCCGAUAAUUUACUGUGGUUUGUGCAGCCAUCCCAUAAUGGUUCGUCAGAAUCUUUCAACAAAUCAAAAAACCUAGCUGCCUCUGCAUUAGGUUCUUCUUCUACGAUUGGACAUUGAUUGACAUUACCUUGAUUCAUUCUCAUUGCAUCCAUAACCAUGUUUCUGUAAGGAUUAGUGUUGUCAUUUGCCGCUUCAUGCACGUUGCUACCACUAGAAGUUGACCCAACCACCGUUUCUCCCAUUCUCCUAUUACUAACAAAUACCUCUCCAUGUGCAUACCAACACUGUAAUCCUCCACAAACCCUUUGUGUAGAAGAUGCAUCAUUACAACAUCUGGAUGCAGAUACUUUUUAUUUUGACACUUCCUGCAUGGACACCUAAUACCGCCUCCAGUAAAAUUUCUGGGAAUAGAUGUUGCGAAAUUAAUAAAACCCUGAACUUACAAUAAUCCAUCCUCCGCAAUCCUUGGGGUGAAUCUAGAUACAUCCAUGAACGAUCAUCCAUGACUUCUAUCGAACCUCUAUAAAAUUAUGACAUCAUGUAUAUAUUAAUUAACUAAGUUAGGUAAAUAAACUUGUAAUAUUUACUUUACCUCGAGAUUAUCCAACAAACCAAUCACAACUUCUCAUAAAUAUUAAAUAUUCAUUAUCAUUUAUCAACGUCCAUACAAAUUAAUAUAUAUAUAUAUAUAAAUUAACAGAAAUUACCACUCUGCAAUACCAUCGAUAAAACUUAAAAAGGACCCAUUAAGCAAGCUAUUAAUUAUUUCAAAACAUAACAUGUAAUUCGGUAAUUCCACAAAGUUUUAACAAUUUACAAACAAAUACAAUCUUACAAAAUCUAAAACAAACCAUAACAGGUAUAAAAUUAUACAUUCAUAAACUACAAGUUUGUUUGAGAAAUAACAAUAAAACAUGUACAUCUACUAAUAAAAAUACAUAUACUAAAAAAACAAUAAAAUUGACAUUUAAAUGUUAAAAUUUAAAAAGAUAGAAUUACUUACAAAAAUUGAUAAAAUCCGUCGGUAAAUCAGAACACGGAUGCUGUGACCACAAAACUUCAAGAAAUACAAUUGCUGAGAUGAGAAAGAUUUUUGUUUGGGGGCGAGGGGGGGCUGGUUAUUUGCAGAUGGGGAGACUUAGGAUUAGGAAGAAGAAGGAGAAAUGGGGGAGGAGAGUGUCGGCAGGGCGGCCAUAUAUUCACUUUUUUUGACGGACUCACCGACAGAAUAACACCGUCGGUGACUCCGUCGCUAAUUGUGACGGGGAAUCGACACGUCACCGCACUGACUGCUUUUUCAAAUCCCUCGGUGAUUCUGUCGGUAUUUUUUGACGGUGAACCUAUCAUGUCACACGUACGGAUCUGGCAAUCAAAUCCGUCGGUGAUUCCGUCGGUAUUUUUGACGGUGAACCGGUCACGUCACCCGUAUAGGUCCUAGGGUUUGAAUCCGUCGGUGAUUCUGUCGGAAAAAUCACCCGCCAAAACCUCCGCCUCAGGUACCCGCCGUUUUUUCAUUAAUUCUGAACUUUCCGUCCAUUAUUCGGUCGGUAAUUAUCGACGGUUAUAUUCCGUCGGUACUUACCGACGGAAUUACGGACGGAAAAAUUCCGUCAGUAAUUUCGACCGAAAAAUUCCGUCAGUAAUUUCGACCGAAAAAUUCCGUCAGUAAUUUCGACCGAAAAAUACCGACAGAAAUAUGCCGUCGGGGAAUCCGUUGGUACUUUUGCAUGCUACAUGGAUAGGAUAGUCGCCUUGAUGGUUUGUUUCAUAAGCACCAUCGUGAAACUUCUUUAAUAGGAAUCGAACUCCUUCCAGAAAUCCUAUGGAUGAUGCAUAAUGCAGUGAAUUUCCAAACUCUUCCUCGGUGAGACGUAAUAGCUCUGGCUUUUCCCUUUGAAUUUUCUCCAAACUAUCUGAAAAUCAAAAGAAAAUGUUUCAAAUGAAUAUAAAGAUGAUAGCUUUGCAACAAUUGUUUGUAUGUAAUUCAUUUUCUAGUGAGUAAUGAAAUUGUGAUCACCUCUGUUACGUUGCUUGAUGGCAACAUGAACAGGUGACUUUCCUUUUGGUAGGGCAUCACCUUCUUCACUUUUAUAGGGAACGAAGCUUUCGUUUUCAAGAGAUCAUCAAGUAUCUCUUUCUUAUUGCCGUUCUCAACAGCCAGAUAUAAAGGAGACUUGAAAUAAUUGAAAUAAUUGAGAUGAAAAAUAAGUGGAACAUUAUGUAUUUUUGAAGACAUGUCCACUUAUUUUAAAUCUUUUAUUAUUAUAAUAUUUAAAGCAGCUUAAAUGAUACGAUCAUUAUUUUGUAUCUUUUUAUCUCUCUCUUUUUUUUUAACUUUUUAUUUGAUUAAAUUAUGGAUUAUUUAAUAUAAAUAAGGGAGGAAAUGGUUAGAUUAAAAGAAUUACACUGAGUUGUGAUUAGAAUAUAACAAGAAAAUCUGCAAAAUUAAUAAUUACAAAUCUUGAUAAUGAACAACGGUUUUGGGACAAACAAGAUCAGAAAGGUGGACAAUAUGGUUGAAAUGAUCCCAAGGAGCCUGGUUUGAUAAGCACCGAAGACAAAUCCAGAGUUGUGUUUUAUUCUCAAGUAGCAGGAUCGAGUAGAUAAGUUGAUUGAGAAUGUUUAGAGCGAGCCACAAAUGAUAUCCUAGCUUUAAUAUUGUUGUCCUUCGUCCAUAAAUGAAACAAUUUAGGACAACAAUGUCUUUAAUUUGGAUAAUUAAAGAUAUCAACUUGGUUGGUCUUAACAGUAUUAAUAUGGCCGUCCUUAAAACAAGAAAAAAGGACAUGGCCAGGCAUUGACACGUUGCAAAGACGAUAAAGUCAACCAACAUCGUCCCACCCUUGCUCUAAUUUGAUGCAAUAAUGUUUAAGGGGGCGUUUAUUUCUGAAAAGUAAAUUUUAAAAAAAUUAUUUUUAAAAUUUUUUAUAUGUUUAUUUGUUAUUAAAAAAAUUGAUAAAUAAAAAUUAAUUUUUAGUCAACCGGGAAAAUAUUUUCCUAUUAAAGAAAAAUUUAACUUAAUUUUCAGAAAAAAUAUUUUUCUUUAUCUUGGAUGGAAAAUAAUUUUUAAAAGUAGACAAUCACUGUGUCAAUAGGAGUUUUUUUUUUUUAAUAGAGAGUUGUUUAAGUGUAUAGUAAUUUUUUUUAAAAAAAAAUAUAUUAAAAUAAUAUAUAUUUUUUAUUUUUAAAAAUUUAUUUUUAACAUCAAUAAUUAAAAUAAUUUAAAAAUAUAAAAAAUUAAUUUUAAUAAAAAAUUUUAAUUUUGAUAACAUACUGUUUAUAUCGCAAUUCUAAAAUGGAAUACCUAUAGACAACAAAAAAAACCUAUCAUCAAAUGACAACGUGGGACACAAUCUAUUGUGUUCUCUUCCGUUGAUGGAGGGGUGGUGUUGGCUGUAUUUGUUAGAACUUAGAACAAAACAUUUUUUUAAAUUGCUCGUCCUUUUACCUUGAAAAAAAUCCUGCAGCAGGGACGGGAUGGAUGUUUGUUGAUUAUCGUUAUGCACCGUGUCAAUGAUUUUGGGACGGCCAUUUUAAUACUGUUCAGACCAACCAAGCUGUUGAUAUCUUUAAUUAACAUUCAUAUCUUAAUUUGAUUAUUUGAUUUUAUAUUUUUUAACUCAAUCCAACAACAACAACAACAGGAGUCUAGUAAAUGCAUGCUUAAAAUAUAUAUAAAAGUAGAAGUGCGCAUACAUUCAAUUGGAAACUCAAGAGUUAUUACAUAGUUCAAAUUAUUACCACAAUCGCUAGCCAGACACAAUCCAAGAUGUUAUCGAUCCCAAAAUCCCGACCUCUGAUCCUACUAAAGAUUGUGCUUUUUCUUGAGAUCAGAGAGUUUAUGAGGCAGCCACCAGCUACUGUAGACAAACAAGAAAAAUAAGUAGUAGUAGAUAUAAUGCAAGAGCACUUUCAGAUGAACUGGGCUGACAGAUAGCGGAAUAAUCGAAGGAAAAACAACGGCCACCCCUGUAAUACUGAUUGUUAACAACGAACGAUGGGAUCCUAUUAAUGCUAUUCUCGCAGAAAAAAGCAAUGCCCCGAACAUCAUGUAAAUAGCCAAACGAACCAUGAUAACUGAAAACCAAACUGUAGCGAUUUGAAAUCUGGGAUACGUAACGCUUGGCAAAAGAAGGAGUAGAGCUGCCAGCAGAGAGGAAGAUAAAGCCCCCACGUCGAGAAACAAAUAACCAUACAGAAGAUUCUCAUAAGUGCUGUAAUCGGAGGCAGUAUAAGUAGUGCUGUUAAAUUCACGAUCACUUGAGUUAUUGUUAUCCCUUAAUUGCGGCAAUUGUAUAACACCCGCAAAGGUUACAGCAGCAACAAGCACUGCUACCACUAGAAGAUUCCCUAUCCUUGUUGUUGCUUCCUUUCUUAGUUUUGACAUGGGUAGUCCAGUAGCAGGGAAAAUCUCCUUUAGGGAUUUCUUAGGGCGGGCAUUGACGAAUAAGAUCGAUAAUGUCAUCACCUGCAUAUAUAGCACGGGGGAAAUUAAAAACUUAAUUGUUUAAUGAGUUCUUGGCACUUGCUCAAUUGCAUCCAAAAGCAUUGACCUAAUUCAAAUGCCUUUCCCAGAACAAGAAAUUUUCUGGAAUGGUUUAGAAUUUUUUAAUAUAAUGGUAUACAAGUUCAAUCAAUUGGGCUUGAACUAGAAGUUUAAAAGAUUAGGGAUGGCAAGGGGGAAAAAAAAAGGAAAGAAGAAAAGCAAUAAUACCAAGUCAAAAUACCAAACCACUAUUUCGUCCUUUGAUGAAGCCUCUUUUGUAUCCAUCUUAUUUGAAUCAACUUCUUUGCCCUGUAAAAAAAUAAUAAUAUUAUUAUAUGUUAAAAUGCAGUGCUCUCUCUGUGUGCAAUGGAUAUAUAUAUAUUGAAGAUAUUUGAUUUCCUGCUGCGAAAUACUUUUAAUCUUUUUAUUUAAUUAUAUAAUAAUAAAAUUAAUUUUUAUAAAUAAUUUAAAUUCCAUAGGAUAAAAAAAUAAUUUAAAUUGAUUUGAAAUAAAAAUAAAAAAGGUAUCUAUAUUUUUUUUAAACAAAACCAUUUUCCUUAUUAAUACGUUCCAUUUUUUUUUACUAAUGUUUUUAUAAAAUUGUUUUGUUUUUUUUUUAACAACAACCUAUCAUAAUCUAUAAAUAAGUUUUAAUUAAAAAAUAAAAUAAUAAUGGAUUGAUAAUUUUCUUGAAAAAAAAUAUUUUUAGCAAUGUUUUUAUUGCAUAAAAACUAAAAGCAAUUAAAAUAAAUAUGGACAAAAAAUUUCAUGAUUUUAUUGCAAUAUAGAUAAAAAAAAAAAAAGAUAUCUAUUUGAUAAAAAAAAAAAGCUUUUUUUUUUUAUUAAUCCAUCCUCUCUUUCUUUUUUGGGGUAGUAUUUUAUAAAAAAUAUUGUUUCUUAAAUAAAAAACUUAUCAUAAUCUUAACGUAAAUACCUUGAUCUCGUGCGCAGGGGUACUGUUCUUUGAAUCAAUCGGCUUUCGUUCCUUGGCAGGCUGGCAACAAAGUGGAAGCCCAGAUACCAAAAUAUCUCGAUAAAUGAUGAUCAAAUGAAUAACAUACCAUUUCAUCUGUUUUGAUGUAUGUCUCUUCAAUUCUUUUGGAAAAAUCUUCAGCCACCUCAUAUGGUGUCCAAUUUCUAUUGUUAACAAUGAAAUGUUCAACGCGAUUGUCACGCACAAGAAGAAAUGUAGCCGUGCAUCGGCCAUAACCUGCUGCCAAGUGCAAAGGUGUAUUUCCAUCCUCAUCUAUCGCAUUUAGCAGCGGUGCGACGAGCUUCUGAUCCUGCUUGAGUAUGUACCUAACCACACUGCUAUUUCCAUAUUUGACCGCUACAUGAAGAAUGUCCUGCCCUUUCUUAUUGAGGAAUUCUUUUGGAUAUGGGAAUAUAUCAAGAAAUUCCUUCACUACAUCAACAGAGUGACUUUUGCAUGCUACAUGGAUAGGAUAGUCGCCUUCAAGGUUUGUUUCAUAAGCACCAUCGUGAAACUUCGUUAAUAGGAAUCGAACUCCUUCCAGAAAACCUAUGGAUGAUGCAUAAUGCAGUGAAUUUCCAAACUCUUCCUCGGUGAGACGUAAUAGCUCUGGCUUUUCCUUUCCAAUUUUCUCCAAAAUAUCUGAAAAUCAAAAGAAAAUGUUGUAAAUGAACAUAAAGAUGAUAGCUUUGCAACAAUUGUUUGUAUGUAAUUCAUUUUCUAGGGAGUAAUGAAAUUGUGAUCACCUCUGUUACGUUGCUUGAUGGCAGCAUGAACAGGGGACUUUCCUUCUGGUAGGGCAUCACCAUCUUCACUUUUUAUAGGGAACGAAGCUCCCAAAUUCAAGAGAUCAUCAAGUAUCCCGUUCUUUUUGCCUUUCUCAACGGCCAGAUAUAAAGGAGACUUGCCAUUAUUGUUGUUGUAAUAGGCCACUUCUGGAUCUCUGGAAACUAGGAGUUUGGCCACUUCUUUGUUAUCGGUGAUCACUGCAUCAUGCAAAGGAGUGUUUCCCUUUGUAUUUGUCUUCCUCAUCAAGCUCGGAUUCGAUUCCGCAAGAGAUUUAAUUGUAUCACUGGCCUUUCCUUCUCUGGCAGCAAGAUGAAGGAUUGUGUCCUUCUGGCUGUUUUGGAUGGUGAUUAGAGAAGGAAACGUUCCAGCCAGAUAAGAUGUAAUAUUGUCACUUCCAUAGCUUACAGCUACAUGAAGCAGUGAAUUCCCACAGGCAGUCACUAGCUUCUCCGCUGAACGUUGCUGGACGCGGCUUUCAAAUUCCUCAAUAUUGUCCUGCUUCACAUACUCAUAUAACUUACUAUCUAUCUUUGUAUUUGCCAUGUUAUCUCUCGGGAUCGAGUUUUCAUCAAUGUUUAUUGCUUCGUAGCCUACGCUAGACAUGGCAAAAGAAAAUAUUGUGUUAGUUGAAUCAGCUAUUCAUAUCAGACAGCUGGACUUCUAAUUUAAAUAGACCACACUGCAUGUCAAUGGAAUCUGAAAUAAUGUGAAUCUUACUUUUUUUAUAUUUGCAAGGAUAUAUACUUUGAUUACUCAAUUACUUCACCCAUUCGUUCUGGAAUCCAGGACAUAGCAAGAACGAGAGAGCAGUCUUGGCUAUGGUUAAAGCAGCAUCUAGAAAAGGAAAAGGAAAAGAGGAAAAUAUGACCGCUAACUGAAAAAAAGAUGAUUGUCCCUGGGGAAAUUCUUGACUUGAAGUUAUAACUCAUAUACACUGUGGUGCAGAUGGGAGAAUUCAUAUUUUAAUAACAAUUUUUGUUAGUUUUCUAGGACAUCUAGAAAUUAUUUUGCAACCUGAAACAUCUACGUAUCACACAACAAGACCUCUAAUUCAAAUAGAACUUACUCUGGUUUUAUAUGCAUGGAUACUUUGAUUGCUCAAAUACUUCACCCAUUUGUUAUGAAAUCCAGGACAUAGCAAGACAUAGCAAGACCAGUCUUGGCUAUGGUUAAAGCAGCAUCUAGAAAAGGAAAAGGAAAAGGAAAAGAGGAAAAUAUCUCCCCUAGCUUAAAAAAAGGAAAAUUCUUAACUUGAAUUUAUAACUCAUAUACAGAGUGCAGUUGGGAGAAUCCAUGGUUGCAUGAACAUGAUACACGAUGGCAUGAGAUUCUAUGUGAAAUAAACAUUCAAUUCAAAAGGAAAAUUCUUAACUUGAAUUUAUAACUCAUAUACAGAGUGCAGUUGGGAAAAUCCAUGGUUUAAUGAACAUGAUACACGAUUGUCGAUACACGAUGUCGGGCGACGGCUCCACUUUUUGUUUAUUUAACAAAUAGUUUUUUUUUUAUUGGGGAAAAUGAAGAUUUUAUUGGAGUCGCCAUCUAGUAAUAUGAGGGAACUAGAAAUCCCAAAUUAUACAGUGGUCCCAGAGAUUCGGGUAUUGGGUUAGUUAUGUUUAAGGGAAGGUAGACAUCACCCUUAAAUCAUUCUUUCAAAAGAAAGGUUACCCUUACUUGUAUGCUUUUAUAUUUGAUUUAAAUGCUAUUACCUUUUGAGCUUAUUUGCAAUUUGUUUCUUUUAAAGAUGGUUAAAGUCGGUCCCUAAAAAUAAAGACACUUUAAAAAUGAUAUUAAUCCCUAAAAAUAGAAGACUCGUCUAAAAUAUCGAUGUUUAACCCUAAAAAGAAGAUUUACGUAUGAGUUACCAAAAGGAAAUAAUGGACAUAAUCCAUAUUUGGUAUAAAUACCCUUGACAUCGGUCCUUUUCUGUAAAAGGAGACGUGUCGAAAAACAACAUUCGUAGGAGAUGCGUUAAAAAAAUGGAUGACAUCAGUUCCUAAAAAUAGGUGACUCGUCUAAAAUAUUGACGUUUAACCCUAAAAAGGAGAAGUACGUCUGAGUUACCAAAAAAAUUAUGGAAAUAAUCCAUAUUUGGUAUUUAAACUUUUGACAUCUGUUAUUUUCUGUAAAAAGAGACCUGUCAACAAACAAUAUUCGUUUAUAAAACAAAAAUUAUUCUGAUAUCAUUGAGAAAUGGGUAUAACCAUAUUCGAGAAUUGGGCUUUGGACCCACAAACGAUAACAUUAUAAGAUGGGUGUUGGACCCGCGUCGUUAUUCCUUUUAUACUUGUUUUUUGGUUUUUUUUGUUUUACAACAUGCAAGAAAAUUUACAAAUACUUGUAUAUAAAAAUAAAAUAAAAACUGUUACGAAUCUCAAAAACUUACCUGAGUGCCACUGUAUAUGUAAAAGACUGAAAUACCCUUGAAUUUCUCUCGAAAAAUUACAAAAAUACCCCUUGUGGUGCAUGUGGCUCACGCACAGUUACUGUUGGAGGCGGCAAAAUUUUCCGGCAAGAUUUCCAACCAACGAAUGGUUGAUUCUGGUGGAUCUGAGGGAGAGGAUUAUGAUGAAGGAGGUUUCGACGGCCGUUAAUGGCUGACGAGGUAGAAUCGUCGUUUUGAAGCUUCGGGGUGGCCGACGAAAUCGUGGUCGUUUUCCGGCUAGAUGAGGUGGCGAAAACGUUGAAAACAACUGGGGUUUUGCUUUAUAGCAGGGUAGAAACCUUUCUGUGGUGGUUUGGUAGCUUCACACGGCCGGAAAUGGGAGAUCAAAUGAGAGAGAGAGAGAGAAUCGCCAGCGAGAGGAGAGACAGGCUCUGAGAUUGUGCUACGGUGUGAACACGAGCACAGUGUACCUAUACAGCUAAAGGUUGUGAGUCGUUCGAUCGCGGAUGUACCGAUCCUUCGGCUGUGAUUGGCUUGAUCUGCAAGUUGAUCGAAGGAUCCGGAUGAGCUGAUCUUUGAUCUGGUGUGGCGCGGUGGACCGAAAGCUCGGUACACAGGGUGACGUGGCACAACAGGAUCAAAGGGCAGAUUAUUUCAAAGGCUAAGAUGGAUUUGGGUUUUAAUCUAGUGUGGUAAGCCCUAUUGUAUCUUAUUAAUUCAAAGGUCCAGAACUAACACUAUUAGAUCUAACGGUUAGGAUAUUUUUAGUAUUUUUCAAAUUGUUUAAAAAAAAAACAAUAUCUUACUCGCAUGAAGAAAAACUAAAAAAAAUUCAUAUAAUAAUACUCUACUUUUCUUUUUUUCUUUUCUCCUUUCCCUUUCUCCUCCGGUGUUGUGGCUAUUUAUAGCCAAUAAGCAGGGACAACAUAUUUAUUUCAAAGAAAAAAAAUGCAUCCCCGCAACUAACCCACCUACUAUAAUAAAUUACUAUAUUAUUAAUUUUGUUUUAUUAUAUAUAAUAAUAAAUAUUUAUAUGGGUAAAACUAAAAAACUUAAAUCAGUAUUAUAAAAAAGCUCGUUUCAACCGCGAAAAAAAUAUUUUAAUUACCGAAAAUUGUAUUGGAACACAAAAAAAAAAAAAAAACAUUUGAUGGGUAUCAACCCGGUGAAUCGUGUUUUGAUCGAAAAAUAAUGAUUUUGACCCGAAACCUCAUUUUUUACCCUGGUCGACAUGGUUUGACCUGUAUUGAUCCGGUGGACUCAGUUUUGAUAAAAAAUGAUGGUUUUGACCGAAAAUGAUGGUUUUGACCCGAAACGUCAUGAAAACUUAUUUUUUACCCUGGUCGACAUGGUUUGACCCGUAUUGACCCAAUGGACUUUGUUUUGAUAAAAAAUGACGGUUUUGACCCGAAACCAAGGUUGUCAAUUCCGUUUCGGUAGGUAUUUCAUUUUUUCAAUUGGAAUGAAAUGUUUCAGUUUCUGAGUGUUUCGGCGUGCCGUUUCGGGGUUGUACUGUUUAUAUAUAUAUAUAUAUAUUAUAUAUAUAUAUAUAUAUCAACAAACAUAAUUCAAAUUCAAGAUAAAUUAAUUAUAAACUAUGCAAUACAAACACAAUACCAAACAAAUAUAAUUUCAAAUUUUAAAAUAUUUCUAAAUAGUUAAAAAUUAAAUAGAUCUUUAUCUUAAAGUAAUUCAACUUAAACAAAAUAUCAAAAUAUUAUGAAAGUAAAAUAUUUAAACAAAAAUAUUUAAAUAUAAAGUUAGGUCAAUGUUAUCGAGUGACUAAUGGAAUCUAAAACAUCCCUUGUUUUGUUCAAAUUCCUACAAAGUAUAAACAUGAAAAAAAACAACAUAAAUAUAAACCAUUUAUAUUAGUGAUAAAUCUAAUUUUAAAAAAUUAAUAUCAUUGCUAUUAAAAAUAGUAAUGAAAAAGAGUUUUUUAUAAUCGGGUGGUUUAAUUAAUGAAAUGGAGCAAGGUUCAAUUUGAUUCAUUGGCUUUUCAAGAGCGGAAUGGAACAUGUGGAAUGAAACAGGAACGUUUCGGGCGAAAUUUAACCGAAAAAUCCGGAACAGACCGAGAUUUAAAAUGAUAUCAAAUUUGUUCCGUUUUUUGAACUGGUAUGGAAUGUUUCGGCCAUUCCGGGUGGAAUGGAACGGAAUUGACAACCCUGCCCGAAACGUCAUGAAAACUCAUGUUUUACCCUGGUCGACAUAGUUUGACCCGUAUUGACCCGGUGGACUCGGUUUUGAUAAAAAAUGACGGUUUUGACUGAAAAUGACGGUUUUGACCCGAAACGUCAUGAAAACUCAUUUUUUACCCUGGUCGACAUGGUUUGACCCGUAUUGAUCCGGUGGACUCGGUUCUGAUAAAAAAUGACGGUUUUGACCGAAAAUGACAGUUUUGACCCGAAACAUCAUGAAAACUCAUUUUUUACCCUUGUCGACAUGGUUUGAUCCGUAUUGACCCGAUGGACUCGGUUUUGAUAAAAAAUGAUGGUUUUGACUUGAAACAUCAUGAAAACUCAUUUUUUACCCUGGUCGACAUGGUUUGACCCGUAUUGACCUAGUGAAAUCGGUUUUUAUGGAAAGAUGCGGUUAACUCGAGAAAAUAUUUUUUGAAUUUUAAACUUUUUUUCUUAAUUUUUUUGGAUUUUUAUGAAUAAUAAUAGAAAUAAAAUAACAUUCAAGAAAAUCUUAGUGAAUCAAAAAUUGGGUUAUAAUAGUUAUCCCCUCUUUACAAUGCUUACAGUGCAAAGACAUUGGAAAAUUCAUUUUCUUUUGACUUUGCAUAGUAAGUUUUGUAAACAAAAACGAUGGAGGUGUUGAAAAAUACACAAAUUGUUCAGUUGGUCAAUUCUUGUGGGCGACUUGUCCAAGUGAAAAACAUGAAAGUGUUUUCAAUAUUGAUUUUUGUGAAAUACAUGAAAGUGAUUUAAGCAUUGGUCUUAUUUUCCAGGUGACCAACCUGUUUGUGAAAUACAUGAAAGUGAUUUCAACAUUGAUUUUUUGUGAAAUACAUGAAAGUGAUUUCAACAUUGAUUUUUUAUGAAAUACAUGAAAGUGAUUUCAGUAUUGGUCUUAUUUUCCAGGUGGCCAACCUGUUUGUGAAAUACAUGAAAGUGAUUUCAACAUUGAUUUUUUUGUGAAAUGCAUGAAAGUGAUUUCAGCAUUGGUCUUAUUUUCCAGAGGACCAGCCUGUUUGUGAAAUACAUGAAAGUGAUUUCAACAUUGAUUUUUGUGAAAUUCAUGAAAGUGAUUUCAGCAUUGGUCUUAUUUUCCAGGUGACCAGCCUGUUUGUGAAAUACAUGAAAGUGAUUUCAACAUUGAUUUUUGUGAAAUUCAUGAAAGUUAUUUCAACAUCAGUUUCAGGGUUAAUGAAAACUUUUAAAGGAAGUCAUACUUGCAUGGUUGAGAUCUGAUUUGUAAAUCGAUCUCAAAGAUGAUGUAAGCUUCUCAAGAAAGUCUUAUAUGUACGGCUGAGAUCUAAUUCACAAAUCGAUCUCAAAGAUGAUGAAAGCUUCUCAAGAAAGUCUUAUAUGUACGACUGAGAUGUGAUUUGCAAAUCGAUCUCAAAGAUGAUGAAAGCUUCUCAAGAAAGUCUUAUAUGUACAACUAAGAUUUGAGCUUCUAUUCAAAAUGAUGGCCGGAGCAAAUUCCCUAUAAAUCACGCAAUAUUUGGCAAAAGACAUCAUCAACUUCUCGCAUGUUCAAUACUUUCAAAGUUCUCAACUUUUGACGUUUUAACCAUGUCUUCUUUUUCUUUCAAUGCUAAUCCAAACCUUGUUCCUGCGGUAGAGCCUGUAGUUUGGCGUACUACCUUUAAAGUGAAUGGUCGCCCAGUUACAAUAGAGGAUACUCUAAUGGACAAUGAAGAUCUUGAUGUAGUCGUGGUUAGAGACAUGACCUUUCAUCGUGAUGAAAUAAUGCUGGCAACCAGGACCGUUAUUUAAGUAGUGAAUUAGUCAUUUGCUCUUAGUAUCAGAGCUACUUCGUCUUUGGUGAACCUUGCGGAGCGUCUUCAUGCCAGAAGACUUAAGUUGAAUACUUAAAUUCUUGAUCUCCAUCAUCAAAUUGAGAAUUUAAGGAAUAGACUCCGUGAUGAGAGACGUCACAGAAAUGACUUGGAGAGGAGAAACCAAGAGCUCAACACGCGUGUUGACUUUUGGAGGGACUAUGUUAACACACGACACCUCGAGUUCGAGGAAGAGAUGGAGCGCAUGCAUAAGCAAUUUGAGGAAUUUUGAGUAAUGAUUGAUCAUCAAGAUGAAAAUAUCCCUAAUCAUCCCCGUAGUUUUAACGUUUGUACUUGUAAACCCUUUUCAUGAAUAAAAAUCCAUUUCUUGUCUACAUUCAUGAAUUUUGCUUUUGUGGAAUUGCCAUAUUUGAUGUGAUUUAGAAGAACUUCAUUUCAUCUGAAUCUCGUUGGAUCCCGUUAGGAAUUUUGUUUCGUGAAAUAUCUGCAAAACAAAUAUGCAAUGCUCGUGAAGUUAGAUGAUAUGCAAUGCAUCUUACCUGUUUUUGAAAUAUAGAUCCCCGUUAUCUUGUUUGAGGAUCUUGACUUUAGUGAGCUCUUUUGAUUUCACGCGUACUUCAAUCUACUCAAGCCGACCCAUGUUGUUCAUUUUCUAAGAUAAGCUUUGUUUGAGUUUCCCAACAGUCACUGCACUUUUCUCUAUUGGUAACUUCACUGAGAAAUUACUUCUCCCUGGCCCGACAUUGUUCUAUAGGCAACAUUCCCAUUAUUGAAGAUUCUUUAACCAAUUCAUAUGGUCAAUAUAUGAGGAUUAUCCCGCUUCACCUAGGAUUUCAUAUGCAUUCUCUUACUGAAGAUGUAUCAGUUAUCUUGUUGUCUAACUGAUCAUAUUGAGAGUCAACAAUCUCCUUUCAUAGAUACUGCAAAUCAUACUAUUUCAGUCCUCAUGCUGGAAGAAGUCCACAGUUUUAUCAUGUGUAUUUUCCACUAGGGAAGCAAAUUUCUUUGUGCCAUUAAGGAUCUAGUAACUGCUUCUCUCCCUGGGAGAAUUAACUGCCUCAUUCAUUUCCUCCUUUGCUCUUGUUGUCAUUAGAAUCUCUGAUUUUCUAACGGUGCCUCGUAGUGUGUCAUAUAUUCAUUUUUCUUACAAAGAAAAUCUUUUUUCAAAAGAUCUGUUUUGUUCUCGAAAACUGAAACUCUCAAUGUCUGUUUAUAACAAUGUUCAGGCAACUCUGGGCUUUAUGUCAAAUCUCUUAGUAAAAGUAAUCUAAGAUGAAGGUAAGUGAUGAGAUGACCUUCUGCUUUGGUUUUCAAAGUGUUCAAGCGAUUGCUUGAAGGUAUUUUGAGAGAAAAGAAACAAUUUGCCUUUUAUUUUUAGAAACACUCUUUUUAACAGCAUGAAUAAUAAUGAGUAAUUAUUUGCUACGCCAUGACUCUUUAUGGAAAAGUCUCUUAUAUUUUAAGAACGUUGUUUAUUGAUCCAGGUUGCUUACUUGAUUAGAAAGGACUUCAAAGACAUGUAAUGUAUUUUAUGGCUCAAGGUUAUAAAAGAAAGAGUAUUCCAUAAGCUCAAAAAAAUGUUUAAGGGCUUAUAAACUAUAGAUCACUAUUAUCUUGUCUUGGCAUUUUCUUUUUCUACCUUGACAACAAAAAUGAUGCUAAAUAUUUCAAAUGAAGAACUUCUGUUUUUUUUUUUGUUAUUCCCAUAUUUGUUAGGAAUUCUCUCAAUUGUUUGGAAUUUAUUGAAUUAUUUGUUGUCAGACUUUCUUUAUAAGCUCACAUGCCUUCAAGACUUUUUUUAUUUGGUUGUUGAGGAACAAAAUUGUUUUUAAGGAGAGAACUAUAAGCUUGUUUGAUUAUUUUUCCACCAUCCUUCAUCGGGUUGCUAUUUGUUUGCAUACUCUGGAUUCAAACUUCACUUAUACAAGAAAUGACCUCUUAAGAUCUUCUGAUGGCAUCAAAUUGUGAUGUAAUAAGAAAUCUUAGGUAGUCUCUUUGUUGUUUGCUAUAGUAGAUUAAUUUUUUUCCUUUUUUUUUUUCUAAGUUUGUUUUCUUUUUUUUUUCUUUUUUCAUAUCCUUAUAUUUCACUUUGGCUAUUAGCUUUAUGGACUUUUCAAUAUACUCUUGAUGAUUAUCCAAAAAAAAUAAAUUAGUUGGUAAUGGUUGCGGGCUUGACAAUUCUUGUCUUACUGUACAGUUUCCAAGAUUAUAUAUAUUACCUUUCGGAAGACAAAACCUCUUCAAUUGCUAAUAUGGGUGUGUGGGAUCGAUGGCUUGUCUUGGAUUUGGAAUUUCUAUGUUUGGUAUGUUGUCCAAAUUAACGUUGUCCAGCAAGGUUUUGGACAAAUUGAGUUAGAAGUCAAUCUCUAAUGGGAUGUCAUCUUUCAUUUCCUAGUCAGCCUAGUUCAUGCAUUUCCUUCAAUGGUGUAUGAAAAGGAUUGGUCCCUCCUAAAGUUGAAUUUUUUUGUUCGAUGGCUAUCCUUAAUAAAAUCAACACCAGAGGUAUUUUGGCUAGAAGAGGUAUUAUAUAUUGAGUCUGAUGAAGCAACAUGUUUUGUCUAUUUGUUGGCUGAGGAGAUUGUUGAUCGCCUUCUCCUACGUACAUCAACACCGGAGGUGUUUUGGCUUAAAAUGUUAAGAAAAACUAGGUAGGACAGUGCAGCAUAUCCCAUUCAUUCAGCAUAAAAAUGUAUAAGCACUGAAUUGAGAAUUUGAAUUUGAAUUAGUAAUGAUAAAAACGUAUAGUCUUGUGCUUAACAUUCAAUCAAAAUGCCCAUCCAAAUAAUUUGUCCAACCACUUACAUAAACAUUAACAUAUCAAACCUUAAAAGAUAUAACUCAACUAAUCAAAUUUAUAUUUGUAGAGAUCAUCAGUUUGAGUUCCACAAACCUUAAAAUCACUAAAAAUUUAUAUGAUUAUUAAUUUCAAAACUCGUGUGAUUAAUCGAGAUAUGCACAAAUUAACUUAAACAUCCAUUUUAAUAAAUAAAAAAAACAUAUCAUUUAAAUUUUAUCUAUUACACGUUAUCCUUCAUUAAUUAUAAUUAUAAGAAAAAGAUGAUUCUCUAUUACUUCUCUUUUAGCAGCAUAUUUAUUGGCACCGUGUGAAUUUGAACAGUGUCAAAAACAUUCAUUUUUCUUUUUUCGUAGAAUUUUUUUUAAUUUAAUCCUUUUAAUUCAAGGGAAAGAAAGAAAAACAAAAAACAAAAAAAAAAGGGAAAUUGGUUGUCAUAUUGGGAAAUAGCCGCCACACGCCGCCUAUAUUGAAUGGCCUUGCUUUAAGCACUUCCAGAAACACCAAGAAAGAUUAUUUUUUAAAGCAAAGGGGAUUUUGAACGCGCCAUCAUAAUGUGGCAGGUCCUCCACAUGCUGGUGUGUUCCCAAUAUUUGUCAUUUUCGUAAACUUUGGUCCCUAAUUAUAUAAAUAUUUUUCAGUUUAGUUUCAAAUUUCUUCCCACCUAAAUCCAAGUUUUUUUUUUCAAUUUAAUCUCUAAUUUUUUUUUAUAUAUAUAAAAAAACCCUAAUCAAUCUAAUAUACAGAAAAAUGAACAAAACCCCCCACCAAGAUUCCUAAAUUGACAACUCAAAUUUCCAAAUUAGCAAAAUUCAAAAAGAAAUAUUUAUGGAAAUGACAGUUACAAAGAAAAAGCUGAAAACACCUAAUAAUUCCAAUAAAACAAAGUUAUUUACAGGUGGAAAAAAAAAGCAAUAAAAAUGCUAACUUUCAACUUAAAAAGUCAAACUUUAAUAACCAAAGGCAGUUAGAUUAAAGAGAUGCAAUAAAUAAAAAGUUGGGUUGUGCUCUAAGCAGUUGCAGAUCUAAUUAAUAAUCACCACAAAAGUUGAUAGAAAGAGAUAAACAUAGAAAUAAAAAGGAAAUGCUUAGAGUGUAAGUUUUUAGAAACUUUAAACACAAGAGAACUACAGAAAGCUGGAGGAAAUAAAAGAAGAAAAACUUGCUAGUUCGAAAACUAAUUUGCAAAGAACACCUACACUUAUAUACAGUGAUGCGAGAAGCUUGAAAACAUAAGCAUCAAAAACUUUAGCGAGGCAAGGCCGGCAUGCUUUCACCUACAUUACUUACUCGUAUCCAAAACCAUUAUAUGUAAUUGGAAUAUAUAUUAUACAUAGAGAAGAUCCGUAAGGUUGUAGUAUUAGCAAAUUUUAUUCUUUACAUAUAAUUUAUUAAAUAAUAAUAUAAAUCAUAUCUUAAAACUUCACCUAACAUCUUAAUCUAAAUGAAUAUUGAUGAACCAUGGUAGUAUACAAUACAAAUUGAAGAAUCUAAUUAAAAGAAAGUGAUUUGGAUCCAUAGACUAGUCCUACACUAAAUCUCAAUAUUGAUUCUGAAUUCAAUGAUUUAUAUUAGUUUAGGAACAAAAAAUAAUUAAAAUUUGAAUUAUUGUUAUUUUUAUCAAGCACUACAUCAUUUCCAUUCCAUUAGAAUAUAAAUUUAUUGAUCAAAGAAAAUGAACUAAACUUGACAUUUUUCUCUUAAAAUAUAUUUAUCUAUGAGAGAACAUAUUGAUAGAACACAUUCAAUUCAUUAUUUCAACCGGAAACUCAGAAGUUAUUACAAGUUCAAAUUAUUAUUUCAAUAGCUAGGCACACACAAUAUUCCAAGAUGUUUAUUCAUUCCCAAAAAUAACCUUUUAAAAGAGGGCAAUCCCUCAGAAUCCUGACUUCUCUUGAUGAAGAUAAACCUGGAUAGUUACUAGUUCUUUCUUUCUAUCAAAGGCAGUGCUGUUAAGUUCAUGAAGAUGCUCACUCUUGUUAUUUUUAUCCCUUAGUUGUGGCAUCUGUAUGGCACCCGCGAAGGUUACACCAGCAACAAGCACCGCUACAACAAGAAGAUUCUCUAUCCUGCUCUUUGUUUCCUGUUUCCUUGGCGGCUUGCCUUGAGUACUAGUGAAACGCUCAUAUAGGGAUUUCUUAGGGCGGGCAUGGAAGUAUAAGAUAGAUAAUGUUAUCAUCUGCAUAGCAAGGGGAAAUCAACUUCAUUAUAAUGAGUUUCCGGCACAUCCUUAAUCGCAUGCAAAAGCAUUGGCCUUGAAAUCCCUUUUUUUUUUUUUCAGAACAAGCGAGAUUCUGGAAUGAUUUCAGAAUUUUUAAUAUAAUUGUAUAGAAUCUAAAUUAAUCGGCCUUGAACUAGAUGUUUAAAAUAUUAGGGAUGGCAAGAAAAAAAUAGGAAGGAAAAAAAGAAAUAAUACCGCUCCAUAAUAAUCAAGCAGUUUGAAGUCCUUUGGUGGUGACUUUUUUGUGUCAUGCUCCUUUGAAUCAACUGCAUUGUCCUAUAAAACAGAAACAAUUUUAUGUUAAUGAAUAUAAGCCACUGAAACUGGUGAUCAGCAAAUUUUUGGAAAAUAUUCCUUUGGGCAAAGAAAAUUUCAACACAACACUUAUACCUGGUUCUUGUCCGCAGGGGUACUGUUCUUUGAAUCAAACUGCUUUCGAUACUCAGCAAGCUGGCAACAAAUAGGAAUCCCACAUACCAAAAUAUUAAAUCAAUAAUACUCCUAAAAAAUAUGCCUUUUAAGCUCAAUAAAUGAUGAUCAAAUAGCGUACCAUUUCAUCUGUUUUUUCAUAUUGCUCUACAGCUAUUUUGGAUUGUUUUUCAGCAAUAUCAUAUGGUGUCAAAUUUUCAUUGUUAACAAUCGAACUAUCAACGCGUUUGUCACGCACAAGAACAAAUGCAGCCACGGAAUGACCAUGAUUUGUUGCCAAAUGCAAAGGUGUAUUUCCAUCCUCAUCCAUCUCAUUUAGCAGCGGUUCUACGAGCGUCUUCUCUUGUCUGAGUAUGUACCUAACCACAUUGCCAUUUCCAUUUUCCGCCGCUACAUGAAGAAUGUUCUGCCCUUUUUUAUUGAGGAAUUCUUUUGGAAAUGGGGUAAUCGUCAGAAAUUCCUUGACUACAUCAACAGAGUCAUUUUUGCAUGCUAGAUGGAUAGGAUAGUUGCCUUCAUGGUUUCUUUUAUAAGCACCAUUGAGAAACUUUUGUAAAAGGAAUUGAACUCCCUCCUGAAAACCUCUGGAUGAUGCAUAAUGCAGUGAAUUUCCCAACUCUUUGUCAGUGAGACAUAAUAGAUCUGGCUUUGCUUUUUCAAUUUUCUCCAACAUAUCUGAAAAACAAAAGAAAUUGUUUCAAAUGAAUAUGAAGAUGAUAGGUUUGCAACAACUGUCUGUAUGUAAAUCAUUUUCUACUGAGUAUAGACAUUGUGAUCACCUCUGUUACGUUGCUCGAUGGCAGCAUGAACUGGUGACUUUCCUUUCGGUAGGGCAUCACCAUCUUCACUUUCUAUAGGGAACGAAGCUUCUGUUUUCAAGAGAUCAUCAAGUAUCCCGUUCUUAUUGCCGUUCUCAACAGCCAGAUAUAAAGGAGACCUGCCAUUCUUGUUGUUGUAAUAGGCCACUUCUGGAUCUCUGGAAACUAGGAGUUUGGCAAGUUCUUUGUUGCCCUUGAUCACUGCAUCAUGCAAAGGAGUGUUUCCCUUUGUAUUUGUCUUCCUCAUCAAGCUCGGAUUCGAUUCCGCAAGAGAUUUAAUUGUAUCACUGGCCUUUCCUUCUCUGGCAGCAAGAUGAAGGAUUGUGUCCUUCUGGCUGUUUUGGAUGGUGAUUAGAGAAGGAAACGUUUCAGCCAGAUAAGAUGUAAUAUUGUCACUUCCAUAGCUUACAGCUACAUGAAGCAGUGAAUUCCCAGCGGGAGUCUGUAGCUCCUUUGCUGAACGUUUUCGAACACAGCUCUUAAAUGGAACAACGCUGUCAAGCUUCUCAAAUUCAUAUAAUGAAGGAUCCAUCAUUUCAUUUGGCUCAUGAGGCUCAUCGUCUAUUUUUAUGAGUAGAGUACCCAUAGCAGAAGAAAAAUAAUUAUGUUAGCACUUGAAUCAGCUACAAAUCGGGGCUGGACUUUUAUUUGAAUAGAACAGAGUGCAUUUACUUUGAUUUCACUUGCAUGAAUAUACUUGGACUACUCAAAUCCUUCUCCAAUUUGUGGUGCGCAGGCACGACUCACCAACAUGAUGAUGAUUAAAUAGCAUCAAAGAAUAAUAUAAAUAAUAUUUUAAAAUUUAAAUUUUUUAUUUAAAUUUUUAAAUUAAGAUAAUUCUUUGAUAUAAUAUUAAAAUUUUAAUAAUUAAAAAAUUUCAAGUUUAAAUCUCAUUAUUUUAUUUUUGAUUUGUACUUAAGAAGAUGCAUUAGAUAAUAAUGUAAUUUAUAUUUUAAAAUUUUAUUUAAUAAUUUAAAUUUUUAAAUUAAAUUAAAAUGAUUCUUUCUUGUAAUAGCAACCAAACCCAUAAAAAAAAAGGAUAAAAAUAUUCCAUAGUCUUUAUUCUUAACUUGAGAAUAUAACUCACUGUGCGAACACUCGAAGAUUAAAGGAACAGGAUCCACAAUGGCAUCAGAUUGUAACUUAAGUUUAGGUAAAAAGAUCCAAAAAUUUUAACUGUUUAUCAGGAAGUCCAAGGGAUGUUUUAUGUUAUUUUCUUAUAAAUAAAUAAAUUUUUUGAAUUUUUUAAUGUGCUGAUCUCAAAAAUAAUUUUUAUAAAAUAAAAAAAACAUCAUUUUAAUACAUUUUAGCAUAAAAAAUACUUUGAAAAACAACCGCAAUCACAUUAUCAAACAGGCACACCAAAACCUACUUAAUUUAAAAUCAUCGCUUGUAGAAUGGUGAUCAAGUAGAACGUUGAUUGAAUAUACAAGACCAAUAUUUAAGUAUUUGCUUUUACACAGUACGAGUUUAAUUGCCUUUGUGUCACACGUUUGGAACCUCAUUCUUUCCAAAGUGAAGAUGUAGGUGGUUCUUUUUUUUUCUUUUUUUUAAUGUUCUAUGUGCUUGUCCCCGUUUAUAGAAAACAUAAUGACAUGGGAAACAAUAGAAUGUGUGAAAUUCUUCUUACAUAAGCAUCAAAAUCCAUAGGUUAUAAAUCUAUCCAUUCGUAGUACAGUCAUAACGUCUGUAUCCAAUAAACUGCAAUUAAUCAUUAGGGACUAAACUUCAAAUCUGAUUCAACUCUUAGGGACCCAAUUUAAAUCUGAUUUUCAAAAUUAAGGACCAAAUCAUAACAAUUCAAACUCCAAGGACUAGGCUAUAUUGAUUAUAAAUUUCCAUGGAUUAUAUUGUAUCUUUACCUUCUCCUUCUCGAGAGUUUCUGCCGAUUCUCCUUUACCGACAGUGGCUUAAUCCUUUCUGAAUCAUCUUCUUAUUUCUUUGGGACAUGCUAAUCUUGUGCGGUAAACGUAAAUGCACAUGCAAUUAUUUAACCAUUUCUAUUUUUUUAUUAUUUUUUAUCUUAAAGUUAAUUUUAGUUGCUAAGAAAUGAUUAUUAAUCUAUAAAUAUGUCAUAUAAAUUCAAUUUAUUUAUAUAAAUUAUAUAAAAAAACAUUUAAAGAUAAAUUACAAUAAUCUCUGUGAAGCAUUAUAAAAUAAAUAAAUAAAAAUUAAUUACUUUUAAAAAAAAUACUAAAAAAUUAAAAAAAAAAAACAAGAUAGAGUAUUAAUUAAAAUUUAAAUAAAAAUUAAUGAAAUGUUUAUUAAUAAAAGUUAAGCGAUGCUGGGAAUACCAUACCAAGCCCACGCGCUUGGCCAAGGAUCAAAAAACAUAAGUGUGCUUGAUACUAGAAGCCCAAGCCAGCAUUCCCGGCUAAUUUUCUUUCUUUCUUUCUUUUGAAGUUUUUUCUUGAAAUAGACAAGUUGUUUAUUAUGCAAAACUUAUUUGUUAUCCUCUCCUUCUUUUUACUCUUACCUCCUGUGUUUGAAAAAUAAAAGCUGAAGUUUUAAACAAUCACCUUCAUUAAACUUUCAUUAAAAAGAUAAAUUCAUUAAAAAGAUAAGUUGUUUAUCAUCACCUUCAUUUGUACUUCAUGUCCAUCUUCCUUAUGCCAAAAGGUGUGUGUCGCUUACUUACUUCCAUCCAACGCAAAUUCUUAUGGUCGGGAACUGUCAAAAUGAGAAAAAUUUGCAAAGUCCAAUGGAGCGUGGUUGUUAGAGAUAAGGAUAGGGGUGGCCUCGGGAUUGGGUCAUUGAUAGCCAAGAAUAAAGCAAUGCUUUUCAAGUGGAUUUGGAGGCUCUCUCUUCCUGGUAAUGAGCUGUGGAAGAAGAUGAUAUUCAACAAAUUCAAGCCGGUGUUUGAAAAUGGUUUCCCUAUUUUUAGUAGAAGAUUGUCUUGUAUCUGGAGGGAUAUAACAUCCCUUAUGACCUCAACAGACUCUGUCUCUUUAGCUUUAGCCAAUAAUUGUAGAUUUGUAGUGGGAAAUGGCUCUCUGACUCGAUUCUGGUCUGAUGUUUGGUUUGAUAGCUCUCCAUUGAAAGCCAUCUACCCACGACUCUACAUUCUUACCACUAAACCGAAUGCCACAAUUGCUGACAUGGGAAUUUGGGAGCAAGGAGAAUGGAAGUGGGAGUUAGCUUGGAGGAGACAAUUGUUCCUCUUUGAAACUGAGCAGGAUUGUGAAUCCAGGGCUUAGAACUUUCAAGGCUUCGAUAUGGCAAAAAGGGGUCCCCCCUAAGGUUCAAUCUUUUCUUUGGCUAGCUAUUCAGAAUAGACUGUGCACUAAGGAUUUCUUACUUUGCCGUAAUAUAAUCCUAGUUGAUCAAGCCUUUUGUAUCUUUUGUGAAAAUGAGAUUGAGACUUCAAAUCAUCUUCUCCUCCAUUGUAGACCAGUGUGGAAAUUAUGGAUGAAAUUAUUGGAUUGGUGGGGUAUUAGUGGUUGCCUUCCCUGCUGUGUGGAUGAUCUUUUACAUCAAUGGCCCAACCUAGUGUUCGGAAAAUUCCAGCGUAAGGCUUGGUCUAUGCUUUCUUGUUGUGUUAGCUGGAGUAUAUGGCUUAUGAGGAACAAGGUAAUCUUCAAUGAUGGAACUGUGACCUUCGAAGAUAUUUUCUCCUUAAUUCUUUAUCGCCUUUCAAAUUGGCUCAAGUCUGCAGAUAAGUUCUUCAUGGCUACUGGCACUUCUUUAAUUAUGGGUCCUGAAGGUAUUAUAGAUUGGUCUAACACCAAAUAAAGGCUUUUAGCAUGGCGUAUCAGCUUCAUCAUUCCUAAUGUCCUUUUUCGGUUAUGUAUCUGUUGACUUUCUUUUCCUUUCUUUUUGUGUUUGCUUUUUGUUAUUGUGAUUUUUUUUUUCUUUCAUGUAUCUUGUUUUUGGCUACCUUCUGGUUAGCCCUUUCAAUAUAUCGACUUAUUCCAAAAAAAAUUAAAAAGAUAAAUUCAUUAACACCAAUUUUAAUCUUUUUAUGAUUGAAAUCUAUCCUUUAAAGCAUUUUUUUCUCUCUUUAAUAUUUUUUGCUAACUUUUUAUCUUCUCUCUCAAUAUCCAGACACUAAAUUAUUAUUAUUUUUAAAAAAAGAUAGGACGAAAAUAUGAAUUGCUAUAACAACAAGGAUCAAAUAAUAGAUAAGCUGAAACUUUAUAUAGCAAAUUAAAGUUUUCCAUACCAAUAUUCAAAUGGGGUUUUCCAUACCAAGUAUUAAUAUUAAUAUUAAUUCCAUAAAGUAAUAACUCAUAAUCCAUUUUAAUUAUUCAAUUAAUCUAAACCUCAUAACAAUACAUACAAUCCCUUUGAGAGUGCUUUUAUUUAUUUGCGAAAUUGCAAAUAAGUGAAUAACUACGAAAUGAGCAUUGUACCUCUAAAUCAAUGCCAGCCAUUAAUUUUCAAAUAAGGACAAUAUAGUCUAUUCGCUUUAAUUUUUUUUUUUUAAUUCCAUCUAAGUCCACAAUUCCUAGAGUUUUGUUGGGCCUUGGCGUUUUUUUUGUAGGUUUCUACAGUUUUGUUCACAUUACAGCCUACCAUUUUCAAGAUGUCUACCUAUGGAAAUCAUAUCUCACUUGAUUAUGUUUUGAAAGCCUUUUGAGGUAAAGAUGAUGAGGUUUUUAAAAAUUUUUGUGGAAGGUCCAUCUAAUUUUUGAAUAUAAAAAUUCUUAUUUCUUAUCUUUAUUUUCAACGUAAAUGAUGGGGAUACCGAACUGGAAAUAUUAUUUACGCAUGCAAAUAAUCAUAGACGAUGGAGGAUAGCCCAAACAAUUGAGAGAUCGGGCUUUAACUUAUGUUUUAGGUUUAAUUUAUACGAACUUUUAAAUGAGUUUUAUUAAUGUGUCUUUAUUUGUUGGACUUGAUUUAAUUAUUGUUAAGUAUAUUAUUUAGUGGGCUACAAGCCUAAUUGUUUAUUGUAGUUAGGGUUUUAGUAUAAAUACCCUACUUUUCUAAAUGUUAAGGUACUUUUGAAUGAAUGAAAAUUUGCAAACUUUGCAUAUCCCCAACCCCUCUCCUCCUCUUCUUUAGCUUCUUUCUUUCUCCAAAGCUUCUUUCUUUUCUUGCUUUAAUUCUUUUUAUUUAUUGUUCCAAAGUAUAUUAAUAAAAAGAUAAAUCUUAAUUUUGUUUCUUAUAUUCUUAAAUAUAAUAAUGUUCAUUGUAUUAUUUGAACCUUUUAAUUAGAGUGGAAGUUUAAUUCCAUCACUUUCUUACGAGUUUUUUUUUUCAGUGGAUAAUCUGAAAAAAAAUCUAAGUAAGAGAAACUAGAUUCGUUUCAGAGGGUAAUUUUAUGCAUGGAUAUACAAAGGAGACCAACUUCCUCAAUGCAUAAGAAAUAAAGGUAUAAAAAAAGUGAAGUAAGGCUCACUUUCCUUCACCAGCAUAUACCAUGCGUUUACCUUUCCAAUAAUUAGAAGAAAGCGACUUGUAUGGAGAGAGCUUUCUGAAUUUCUUAUAUUGAAAUUCCAUAGGUGUCUUUACAUUUUGUUUACAUUUUUUUAUGCUUGCUUCUAUUAAAAGAAUUUUAAAUUUUAAAGUUAAAUAUUAAAUUUGAUGCUAACGAUCUAAACUUCAGAUAUUAUCCAUGUAAUUCUAAACUUGUAGUUCUAGGCUUAAAAUGAUGUUUCUCAAAUAUAAAUUUAAAACUUAGUGAUCUUUUUAUAUACAUAAAGAAAAUUAAAACUUGUGGAAUAGUCAAAUCUAAAUAUUUUGAAUACAAAAGAUAACUUAACAACUCAAGAUUAAAGAAUUUACAUUUAUUGGAUGAUUCUUCAACUUUGGCUAUAAAGAUUGUGCAAGAAGAUUAACUAGAUGUUGCUAAAGAUUUUACAAUUAGAUUUACAAAGAAUAUUUGUAGCAUUACUGAAUAUAUCUUCACCACAAAUCAAUUGAAAAAUCACAUCAAGAAGGUCAUCAUAGACCAAAUAGAAAUUUCAAUUUAACCUUUAUGUACUUAUGUAAAGCCAUACACACAAAUGAUUGGCAUGUUAAGGAUGUCUUUGAGCUAUCAACCACUAAAGUUUCAACAAUUAGAUAGCAAAAGGAAUCCAAGGAAACAUAUGGCUCACUCUAUAUAGACUUGUAACAAUACUAGAAUUGAUGGUGAUCUCAUGGUAAAACAAUUCAUUCAUUCCUUAAAAUGCAAUGUUUGACUAGUACAUUGACUUAGAGUGUUUUUUAACUUAUAGUUGGGAGCAAUUGAAACAUAUGUUUCUACAACACUCAUCAUAUGGUUAUCAUAAUUGAACUUAUCAAUGCAUAUUAAUAAAUAAAGGCGCAUGUCAUUAACUACAUUCAUCAAUGGAAAAAUCUUAGCCUCAAUUGUAAAGAUCAACUCAUCAAAAGUUCUACUCUAGAUAGAUGUAUUGAAGGGAUGCAUUAGAGUCUGUGCUACAUUAUAUAAAGCAUUAAAAACCUAAAUCUUUUAAAGAAUUAGCUACUAGAACACACAACAUAAGACUUAAUAUUGCUAUAGCUGGAACCUUAUCAUUACUUAUGUAAUGAAUAAAAAAAAUAAGUUUGAAUGUCAUAGAUUUGAAAAGAGCACUUCAAAGGUUCAGGGAAAACAAUCUUUGGUAAUUAACUAUUCAUUGUCAAUCUUGGGUAAUUAACUUCAUUGUCAUAAAUGUACCAACUAGAGGUAAAAGGAAUGAUUGCGCAACGCUAAAUGCUUUUCAAAAGGGUAAAAAGAAAAGGUCAUCAUUUAAAGAGUGACAAGAAAAAAAGUAUCAAUUCCCCAACUUGGAUAUAUCUAAGACACUAUAUGAUUUGCAAAGUAAAUUUCAUUAAGCUAUCAAAGUUGAAACGUCAUAAAAAAACAAAUAAACAUCAUUAAGAUCACCUACACACUAAACCCAAGUAUAUAUGGGUAUGACAAGUUGUUAGAUCCAAAACAUUGGAUUCACCUACAUGUUAAGCUCAAACAGAAAUGGAUUUAUCAAGCUGUCAAACCCAAUAUUCUAGGGUUCAACUACGUGUUGAACCCAAGUACAUAUAGAUCUAGCAAGCUGUCAGAUUAAUGAUAUUAGGCUCAGUUAUGCACUAAGCCAAAAACAAUAUGGGUCUCCCCGACGUGUGGAAUCACACAUUGUCUCUAUUAGAAGAGCACCUGAUGAAUCUAAAACUCCUUUGUCCCCUCUUCGAUUUCUCACUGACAGUGCAACAAACAAACACCUAUAGAGGAAAUCUUGCUCUACUGAAGUUUCAGUAUUCUUCAUGUUUUUCAGUCUAGGCAUGUCUCUUCUCUCUACUUUUGCGUUUUAAUACUGACACUGUUGGAGAAAAAUCAUAAAUGAUCUGAAACUACUGUAUUCCUUCUUGGAUUUUCCACUUGCGGGUCACAAACAGAUUCCUGUCGAGAGAACUCUGCUACGUUGAAGUUUGAUGUCUGCUCAUAUUUUUCAGACCAGGUCUGGCUCUUCAACCUACUAAGAUGUCUUCGUGCAGAAACUGAUGAGAGAAAUAUUUGUAGCAUAUGUAACUUAUAAAUCCCCUCUUGCAUUCCCAAUUUGCAGAGCCAUAAAUGGAUUUUUGUAGAGAGAGCUCUGCCACAUUGAAGUUCAGUGUUCAGACCAUCUUGUGCUGCUGAACUGGAAUUGAGCUCAUAAUCGGGGUAACUUCAAAGCAGACUAAUACACCAUGUACAGGAGGCUAGUAGUCAUUUGGUUCCAUUAGAUGAUGUGGAGGCGAUGAACACUUAACAGUGCAACUAGUCAAGAAUCAGAGUUGUUAUUAGUUGAUGACUGAAGGCGUUGUUGUUGUUGUUCAUGACUGAAAAGGAGAGAUACAACUUCAAUUGGAUGUGGACAAGCAGUGUUCCCAUAGAAGACUGUGCAGACAUUCUCUUUCCAUUUGAUGCUCAACACUUGUUCGAGCAGAUCUGAGUCUAGCUACUUCACAUUUGAUGCUCUCAAACUCAAUCUGAUAAUGAGCCUCUAUCUGACAUCUUUCUUCACUUCCAUCCUUUCUUCAAUCACUUGCAGCACAACUUGUGCGGGGGAACCUACCUUUCAACCCGGUAUAUGCAUGAUAAAUGUAUGAAUAUGUAAUCUAUAUGACGAACUCGCCCUUCGAGGGGUGACAAUAUGGUCGUAACUCUUGUAUGAUGGAACAAGAAUCGUGAUUUUUGCCCAAACUCUACAAUGAAAAUUUUCUGAGUGAUGGCCAUUGUGUCACCCACAAGUCUUGAGUUCAAGAUGCUUCAAGAAGGGUUUGCUCGGAUGUAAAACAAUAGCACAUACAUCCUAAAGACAGGCUCUAUUCAUUUUACGUGAGACAAAGGGUAGGUUUGCUACUUGGUCUCUAAAAUGGAUCUCUUGUUGUCCCAGUGAUUGCCCUCGUAAAGGCAAUAUAGGGGCCCAAUAGGUAAUGGGUUGGCACGUGUCCAACUAUUACCAGUCUAAGCACUCAACGAAGAGUUGGGGUUUACACAAACUUCAACCUUGACUAAAAGUCGUAAGGUAAGCUGCUAGUCCCCCUCCUAACCUGAAGCUUGUGUGUGCUUAAAAAAAAAUUACACUAUGUGAUGCAUGAGACAAUUCUAUAAAAUGCAUGGAUAAAACAAAAAUAAAAUAAGACAAAAAUGCGAAAACAUAAACACAUCAAAUAUACAAAGCUUAGUCCAAUAAUGUUGAAAACAAUACCAUCCCUAGUGGAUUUUCAAUUCCAUCGCACGUCGAAAAAUCCGCGCGCGGCAUCGGGCUGGCGAUUUUUAUCGUUGUUGCGUUUGCUUUGAAUUCGUUCGUUGGAGUCGCCACCUAGUAAUUGAUUGCGGGCUACUAGGAAACCGGAUUUACUGGUCGUUGUCAGAGAUUUAAGGGUAAGGGACUGGUUGUGGCUAGGGAAGGUAUUAGCACCCCUAGCGCACCCUACCUGAGGUAAGCUACUUUGUGGACUUGAUGUGUUAAAGAAGUUUUAAAAAUUCUGUUCUUUCAUCGAAUUUUAGAAAAUACAACUUACAUGUAAGUUCAUAAUUCUUUAUCCGUGAGCAAAUCAGAAUAUUAAAUUCUUCUUUAUUCUUGCAAUUUUAUCAUAAUAAAAAAAAACAUUCAUAAACAAAAAUACACACCACAUUCACUUUCAAGCUUUGUGGACUUGAUGUAAUAUUAAAAAUAAAUUUUUUAGCCCAAUUCUAAGGCUUUGAUAAAUCAGUUAUUACUUCCCAGACUAUAUGUAGAUACAUGUUCUAUAUUUUCAUGGAAAAUACAACAUGAUUUUUAUCUGUCCUUUAGAUAUUUGUGCAUAUAAAUUAAAAUAUUAAAUUUUUUUUUUCUUUUGAUUCAAUAAUAUACAUAAAAAAUACAUACAAACACACACACAACUUUCUUUUUAUUAUUUAUUUUUCCUUUUCUUUUUCUUUUCUUUUCUUUUCUUUUACAUCCAUAUUUACAAAAUACAAAAAUUCAAAAACAAAUAAACAAACAUUACAUUAAAAUUACAAUAAUAGCCCCAAAACAAUCUGAAAUUACAAGGAAACCAUUCUGCAAGCUGAAACAGUGUGCAGGAACAGUGGCGGCGGGUCCUCCCACGCGCCACCACCACUGGCGGUGCGUGGGCUCACGCACCGCCGCAGGAAACUCAAAAAAACCAGGGGAUCUUGAAUGUCUUCUUCCCCUCUGUCUUCCCACGCCGACGGUGAUGGUCACCGUCACUUGCAACAAGGGAAACAACGCACAAACAACAGUUGAUUUUAAGUUUUUUCUUUCCUUUACAGAUCUGCGUUUUUCUCUCUUCUUCUCCAUUUCAGAUCUGCUUCUCCCUACAGAUCGGUUCUUUUACUCCUCUUUCCCAUUCUUCUCGGUUUCAGGUGGCGGCAAGUAUGUCCAAGGGGGCGGCCAGCGACUGAGUUUCGAUGUGGAGAGGAGAGUUGCUCACCGGCGACUCGUGCGUUGGGGGCGCCUGCUGCUGUGUGGCUUGGUGGAGGAGAUCGGUGGAACAGAGAAGGAAAUGAAAAUGGGGCUACGGUCUCGUUCUGCUGAGGGGAUGAGGAAGGGAGAUCAGCGGUGAGGGGCGGCGUCUCUGGUGGCUGUCGCUGCUGAGGAGACCGCAGAAGAGGAUGCUGCCGAGAAAGAGGGCUUCGGUGUUGAUGGGUCUGUGGGCGCUGGAGGAACGGCUGGAAGAGGGGAGCUAGUCCGGCGUGGGAGCUGGAGAUGAGAGGGGAAGAGGGAGUAGCUGAGAGGGAGGAUCUGUGGAAGGGGGAGCUGAUUCGUGGUUGUUGUUGGUCUAUGGCCGGUUGAUGACUGAAGAUUGGGAAAAGGGAAAGGAAAUAUAUGUGUGUGGGGGCUGAUUGGCUGUGGUUGUGGCUGUGGAAGAUGAGAAGAAAAAAUGGCCCGCUGGUGGGGGAGAAACAAGUCAGGGGGUCCUUGGCUCUGUUCUGAAAACAACAACCAGGGUCCCCGGGGAACGGAGGCUCUUUUCUUUGUCAAGAGCCGGCGGCUGGUCUUGUGUGGGUUGAGAGUUAAGUUUAGGUUUAGGGUUUUUUUUGUGUUUCUCUUCUGAUAUUUCAAAAUUGCCCCUCUCCCCUUUGUGUGAGUUGAAGACUAGUAUUUAUAGGUAGAAAUAUUGCUAGGUUUUCAAAAUGGUCCCUCAAUUUCUUUCUUUUUUUGUAAAUUUUGAUUUUUCUUAUUUUUUUGUAUUUUUUGAAAACGAGCAAUAUCAACGUCGACCUAAUGAGAAAAAUCAAUGAUUUAAAAAAAUAACGCGUGAAAAGUCGAACGCGUUCGUAAGACCCUUAAAAAUUUAAAUUUUUUUUUUAGACGACGUUGAAAAUGCUAAAAUGACACGAAUAUAUUAAAAAACAUAUUUUUUUGGAUUUUCAUUUUUUUUUCUCUGUUUUUGGAUUUUUUUGAAAAUAUAUCAAAAACAUGAGUCAAAAAUUGGGUAGCAACAAUCCUUAGGCUCAGCUAUGUGCUAAACCCAAAAAACAAUUGUGUGGCAAGCUUCCAAACACAACAUCAUUGGGAUCAGCUACGUGCUAAGACCAAGUACAUAUAGGUCUGUCAAACAACCAAACCUAAUGACAUUGGGUUUAAUCACGUGUUGAGCCUAAACAGACAUAGGUUUAGUGAGCUAUCAAACCCAAUAUCAACGGGUUUAACUAUAUGUUAAGAUUAAGUAUAUAUAGGUUUGGUAAAUUGUCAUACCCAACAUCUUAGGGUUCAAUUGUAUGUUAAGUCUAAACGGAUGUGGGUCUGGCAAGCUGCAAGACCCAUUGCUAGUGGACUUAACAUCAUGUCAAGCCUAAGUGGGUAUGAGUUUAAAGAUCAUUAUAAGUCUCGUGUUGGGCUAUAAGGCUUUCUUUGUUUCUUCUUAUAAUUUUUAACAUGAAAUGUUAAUGUUAAGAAUAUUCAUCUCUUUACAAUUCUAAAUAUAUAAAAAUCUUCUAAGGACCUACCAUAUUUUCAUCAGUAUUAAAUAUUGUAUAAGAGAUAUUUAUUCCUCAUUGAUGAUGUGUAAUGGAUAUUUAUUCAUUGUCCAAACACUCAAAAACCUCUUUCUUAAACAUACUGGAUUUUUAAACAUCAUCAAUUGAUGAACAAGAAAUCGAUUUUUUUGCCAAGAGAAAAGGAGAGGAAGGAAAGGAUUAAAAAACAACAAAAGAAUCAGCUGCAAAGCAUUUACCGUAUGAUAAAAGUUGAUGUUUUGCCAAUCCAUGUUCACCUUGCAGCCGCAUCCUUGCCUAUAACACAAACCCUAUCCACUCCAUUAAUUAAAUUUAUAAUUAUACUAAAUUUUUUAAAGUACUAAUAUAAACUAUAUCACUUCAUUUCGUUAGUUUGUUCUCAGAAAAGGGGCUCAGCUGAAAAUUAAUGAGAGUAAUAACGUAAUUUAAAUCUUUUAUUAUUAUAAAAUUUAAAGCAACUUAAAUGACAUGAUCAUUACUUAUAUCUUUUUAUCUUUUUUUACUUUUUAUUUGAUUAAGUUAUGGAUUAUUUAAUAUAAAUAAGGGAGGAAAUGGUUAGAUUAAAAGAAUUACACUGAGUUGUGAUUAGAACGUAACAAGAAACAAGAUCAGAAAGGUGGACAAUAUGGUUGAAGUGCAUGAUCACAACGAGCCUGGUUUGAUUGGAUCAAGUUGAUAAGGUGAUUGAGAAUGUUUAGGGCGAGCCACAGAUGAUAUGAGCUCUCACUUACAUGAAGAUUUGACGAGGGAUGAAGUGAAAGAAGUCUUAGAUUGGAUGGAACCGAAACAAGUUCCAGAACCAAAUGAUAUCCUAGCUUUAAUAUUGUUAUCCACUGUCCAUAAAUGAAACAAUUUAAAGCCCCGCGAUCGAUCAAGGUGGUCAUCAUUCAAAGCCCCUUUGAAAAAACCACUUCUAUAACAGUCUCAAAGCUUGCAAAAGAUAUAUUAAAAUAAUUUAAAAAUAUAUAAAAAUUUAAUUUUUGUAAAAUAACGCAAUUUCAAAAUGGAAUACCUGUAGACAAAAAAAAAAAAAACUUAUCAUCAAAUGACAACGUGGGACACAAUCUGCAUUAUGUAUUGUGUUCUCUUCUGUUGAUGGAGGGGUCGUGUUUUGCUGUAUUUGUUAGAACAAAACAUUUUUUAAAAUUGCUCGUCCUUUUACCUUGAAAACAUUCUGCAGUUCUCUUUUGAUUUACUCAAGGGUGAUGUCAAAUCUAAAGCAAAUGCCUUGAACCUAUUAACCUUAUUGAUUCAAAUUAGAGCAGGGAUGUUUUUUGGUUAUUCCUUUUAUACUUGUUUUUUGGUUUUUUUUGUUUUACAACAUGCAAGAAAAUUUACAAAUACUUGUAUAUAAAAAUAAAAUAAAAACUGUUAGGAAUCUCAAAAACUUACCUGAGUGCCACUGUAUAUGUAAAAGACUGAAAUACCCUUGAAUUUCUCGAAAAAUUACAAAAAUACCCCUGGUGGUGCAUGUGGCUCAUGCGCAAUUACUGUUGGAGGCGGCAAAAUUUUCCGGCAAGAUUUCCAACCAACGAAUGGUUGAUUCUGGUGGAUCUGAGGGACAGGAUUAUGAUGAAGGAGGUUUCGACGGCCGUUAAUGGCUGACGAGGUAGAAUCGUCGUUUUGAAGCUUCGGGUGGCCGACGAAAUCAUGGUCGUUUUCCGGCUAGAUGAGGUGGCGAAAACGUUGAAAACAACUGGGGUUUUGCUUUAUAGCAGGGUAGAAACCUUUCUGUGGUGGUUUGGUAGCUUCACACGGCCGGAAAUGGGAGAUCAAAUGAGAGAGAGAGAGAAAGAAUCGCCAGCGAGAGGAGAGAGAGGCUCUGAGAUUGUGCUACGGUGUGAACACGAGCACAGUGUACCUAUACAGCUAAAGGUUGUGAGUCGUUCGAUCGCGGAUGUACCGAUCCUUCGGCUGUGAUUGGCUUGAUCUGCAAGUUGAUCGAAGGAUCCGGAUGAGCUGAUCUUUGAUCUGGUGUGGCGCGGUGGACCGAAAGCUCGGUACACAGGGUGACGUGGCACAACAGGAUCAAAGGGCAGAUUAUUUCAAAGGCUAAGAUGGAUUUGGGUUUUAAUCUAGUGUGGUAAGCCCUAUUGUAUCCUAUUAAUUCAAAGGUCCAGAACUAACACUAUUAGAUCUAACGGUUAGGAUAUUUUUAGUAUUUUUCAAAUUGUUUUAAAAAAAAAACAAUAUCUUACUCGCAUGAAGAAAAACUAAAAAAAAUUCAUAUAAUAAUACUCUACUUUUCUUUCUUUCUUUUCUCCUUUCCCUUUCUCCUCCGGUGCUGUGGCUAUUUAUAGCCAAUAAGCAGGGACAACAUAUUUAUUUCAAAGGAAAAAAAUGCAUCCCCGCAACUAACCCACCUACUAUAAUAAAUUACUAUAUUAUUAAUUUUGUUUUAUUAUAUAUAAUAAUAAAUAUUUAUAUGGGUAAAACUAAAAAACUUAAAUCAGUAUUAUAAAAAAGCUCGUUUCAACCGCUAAAAAAAUAUUUUAAUUACCGAAAAUUGUAUUGGAACACAAAAAAAAAAACAUUUGAUGGGUAUCAACCCGGUGAAUCGUGUUUUGACCGAAAAAUAAUGAUUUUGACCCGAAACCUCAUUUUUUACCCUGGUCGACAUGGUUUGACCUGUAUUGAUCCGGUGGACUCAGUUUUGAUAAAAAAUGAUGGUUUUGACCGAAAAUGAUGGUUUUGACCCGAAACGUCAUGAAAACUUAUUUUUUACCCUGGUCGACAUGGUUUGACCCGUAUUGACCCAAUGGACUUUGUUUUGAUAAAAAAUGACGGUUUUGACCCGAAACCAAGGUUGUCAUUUCCGUUUCGAUGGGUAUUUUGUUUUUUCAAUUGGAAUGGAAUGUUUCAGUUUCUGAGUGUUUCGGCGUGCCGUUUCGGGGUUAUACUGUUUAUAUAUAUAUAUAUAUAUAUAUAUAUAUAUAUAUAUUCAACAAACAUAAUUCAAAUUCAAGAUAAAUUAAUUAUAAACUAUGCAAUACAAACACAAUACCAAACAAAUAUAAUUUUAAAUUUUAAAAUAUUUCUAAAUAGUUAAAAAUUAAAUAGAUUUUUAUCUUAAAGUAAUUCAACUUAAACAAAAUAUCAAAAUAUUAUGAAAGUAAAAUAUUUAAACAAAAAUAUUUAAAUAUAAAGUUAGGUCAAUGUUAUCGAGUGACUAAUGGAAUGUAAAACAUCCCUUGUUUUGUUCAAAUUCCUACAAAGUAUAAACAUGAAAAAAAACAACAUAAAUAUAAACCAUUUAUAUUAGUGAUAAAUCUAAUUUUAAAAAAUUAAUAUCAUUGCUAUUAAAAAUAGUAUGGAGGGUUGUUUAAUAGUAUGGUAAUUACUAAUUUUUGUUAAAAUAUAUUAAAAUGAUAUAUUUUUUAUUUUUUAAAAAUUUAUUUUUAACAUCAAUAUAUUAAAAUAAUUUAAAAAUAUAUAAAAAUUUAAUUUUUGUAAAAUAACGCAAUUUCAAAAUGGAAUACCUGUAGACAACAACAAAAAAAAAAAAAAAAAAAAAAACUUAUCAUCAAAUGACAACGUGGGACACAAUCUGCAUUAUGUAUUGUGUUCUCUUCUGUUGAUGGAGGGGUCGUGUUUUGCUGUAUUUGUUAGAACAAAACAUUUUUUAAAAUUGCUCGUCCUUUUACCUUGAAAAAAUUCUGCAGUUCUCUUUUGAUUUACUCAAGGGUGAUGUCAAAUCUAAAGCAAAUGCCUUGAACCUAUUAACCUUAUUGAUUCAAAUUAGAGCAGGGAUGGGAUGGAUGCUUGUUGUUUUUAACCAAGUUGAUGUCUAUAAUUCUCCACAAAUAACAAUAUCUUAAUUUGAAUAUUCGAUUUAAUUUUUUUUUAACUGAAUCCAACAACAACAAAAGGAGUCUAGUAAAUGCAUGCUUAAAAUAAAAAAGUAGAAGUGCGCAUACAUUCAAUUGGAAACUCAUGAGUUAUUACAAGUUCAAAUUAUUACCACAAUCGCUAGAAAGACAUAAUCCAAGAUGUUAUCCCCCAAAAUCCCGACCUCUGAUCUUACUAAAGAUGGUGCUUUCUCUUGAGAUCAGAGAGUUAAUUACCCAGCCACCAGCUACUGUAGAUAAACAAUAAAAAAAAGCUGUAGUAGAAAGAGUGCAAGAGAACCGGUAGAAGAACAUGGUUGAAAUUUAGCGGGAUAAUCCAAGGAAAAACAAGGAAUACCUGAGCAAAGAAAAACAUAACGGCCACCACUUCUGCGAUGAUUGUUAACAACCCACCAUGGGAUCCUAGCAAUGCUAUUCUCACAGAAAAAAAGAAUGCUCCGAACAUCAUGAUAAUAGCCAAACAAACCACGGAGAUUGAAAACUGAACUGCAGGGAUUUGAUAUCUGGGAUAAUUAAAGUUUGACCAGAGAAGGAGUAGAGCUGCCAGCAGAGAGGAAGAUAAAGCCCCCACAUCGAGAAAUAAAUAACCACACAGAAGAUUCUCAUAAGUGCUGUUGAGUUCACUUGAGUUAUUUUUAUCCCUUAAUUGUGGCAGUUGUAUAGCACCUGCAAACGUUACACCAGCAACAAGAACUGUUACCACCAGAAGACUCCCUACCAUGCUCUUUAUUUCCUCUUUUGCUCGUGACAUUGGCCGUAGAGUAACGGGGAAAAGCUCCUUGAGGGAUUUCUUAGGGCGGGCAUUGAAGAAUAAGAUCGAUAAUGUCGUCACCUGCAUAUAUAUAGCACGGGGGAAAAAACUUAAUUGUUUAAUGAGUUCUUGGCACUUCCUCAAUUGCAUCCAAAAGCAUUGACCUUCAAAUGCCUUUCCCAGAACAAGUAAUUUUCUGGAAUGGUUUGAAAUUUUUUAAUAUAAUGGUAUACAAGUUAAAUCAAUUGGGCUUGAACUAGAAGUUUAAAAGAUUAGGGAUGGCAAGUGAAAAAAAAAAAAAAGGAAAGAAGAAAAGCAAUAAUACCAAGAGAAAAUACUCAGCCCCUUUUUCGUCCUUUGGUGAUGCCUCUUUUGUAUCCAUCUUAUUUGAAUCAACUUCUUUGCCCUGUCAAAAAAUAUUAUAUGUUAAUAUGCAGCUCUCUCUCUCUCUCUGCUAUGGCUGGACAACAAUCUAAAGCAACUGAAACUGGUGAUCAGUUCAUGUUUGGGAAAAAGUCAUUUGAUGAGAUUAGAUGAGAUAAUUAAGCUAAAGUACAGUUUUAGGGCUCACCAAAUUUGCUAAUACAAGCCAAGUACCAACAGUAGGAUUCUAAGUUAAUUGUUAGAGCAUCUUCAAACGAGAAGCUAAAUGGAUAGCUAAAAAUAAAAAAUUAAUAUUUAAAUUUAUUUUUACUUGUUUUGCAGUCUAAGGGGAAAGCCAAAUAAAAUGUUAAAAUAUCUUUUCUCUCCCACAAAUGCUAUUUUUACAUAUCUUUUUAAAGAACCAAAACCAACAAAAUAAAGCCACUGAAAAAAUAAACCAAUUAAAUAUAGUCAUGUGGAAAAACAAAUAACAUCAAACUUAUUAAGAAAUAAUAAAAUACUUGUUUUUUCCACUCCAAUAUAAAUGGCUCUUCAAAUGGCUUUUUUCUAUUGGAAUAGAUAUGAUAAAAAAAACUAUAUUUAUACUAUUCAAAAUGCUAUUUUAUCAAUUUAGCUUUUCAAAAUAGCAUUUUGCAUUGGAAAUUCUCUAUAUCAAAAAAAUUUAUAUGGGAACUUAGAAAUUGAUGUGUGUGUGUAUUUAAUAUAUAGAUUAAAUUGAAAAUUAUAUAAUCCUAUAAAAUAUAGAGAAAGAGUAAUUGUUAGUGUUAACUAACACAAAAACAGAAGCUAUAUAUAUAUAUAUAUAUAUUGAAGAUAUUCAUGAUUUCUUGCUGCGAAAUACUUUUAAUCUUUUUAUUUAAUUAUAUAAUAAUAAAUUAAUUUUUAUAAAUAAUUUAAAUUCCAUAGGAUAAAAAAAUAAUUUAAAUUGAUUUGAAAUAAAAAUAAAAAAAGGUAUCUAUAUUGUUUUUAAACAAAACCAUUUUCCUUAUUAAUACGUUCCAUUUUUAAUUACUAAUGUUUUUAUAAAAUUGUUUUGUUUUUUUUACUAUCAUAAUCUAUAAAUAAGUUUUAAUUAAAAAAUAAAAUAAUAAUGGAUUGAUGAUUUUCUUGAAAAACAAAAUUUAGCAAUGUUUUUAUUGCAUAAAAACUAAAAGCAAUUAAAAUAAAUAUGGACAAAAAAUUUCAUGAUUUUAUUGCAAUAAAGAUAAAAAAAAAGAUAUCCAGUUGAUAAAAAAAAAAAAAAAAAGCUUUUUUUUAUUAAUCCAUCCUCUCUCUCUCUUUUUUGGGUAGUAUUUUAUAAAAAAUAUUGUUUCUUAAAUAAAAAAACUUAUCAGAAUCCUAAACGUAAAUACCUUGAUCUCGUGCGCAGGGGUACUGCUCUUUGAAUCAAACUGCUCUCGUUCCUCGGCACGCUGGCAACAAAGAGGAAGCCCAGAUACCAAAAUAUUAAAUCAGUAAUACUCCUAAAAUAUAUAGACUUUUGUAGCUCGAUAAAUGAUGAUCAAAUUAGCAGCAUACCAUUUCUAUGUAUGUCUCUUCAGUUCUUUUGGAAAAAUCUUCAGCCAACUCAUAUGGUGUCCAAUUUCUAUUGUUAACAAUGAAAUGUUCAACGCGAUUGUCACGCACAAGAAGAAAUGUAGCCCUGCAUCGGCCAUGACGUGCUGCCAAAUGCAAAGGUGUAUUUCCAUCCUCAUCUGUCGCAUUUACCAGCGGUGCGACGAGCUGCUGGUCCUGUUUGAGUAUGUACCUAACCACACUGCAAUUUCCAUAUUUGGCCGCUACAUGAAGAAUGUUCUGCCCUUUCUUAUUGAGGAAUUCUUUUGGAUAUGGGAAUUUAUCAAGAAAUUCCUUCACUACAUCUACAGAGUGACGUUUGCAUGCUACAUGGAUAGGAUAGUCGCCUUCAAGGUUUGUUUCAUAAGCAUCAUCGUGAAAAUUCGUUAAUAGGAAUCGAACUCCUUCCAGAAAACCUAUGGAUGAUGCAUAAUGCAGUGAAUUUCCAAACUCUUCCUCGGUGAGACGUAAUAGCUCUGGCUUUUCAUUUCCAAUUUUCUCCAAAAUAUCUGAAAAUCAAAAGAAAAUGUUCCAAAUGAAUAUAAAGAUGAUAGCUUUGCAACAAUUGUUUGUAUGUAAUUCAUUUUCUAGUGAGUGAUGAAACUGUGAUCACCUCUGUUACGUUGCUUGAUGGCAGCAUGAACAGGUGACUUUCCUUUUGGCAGGGCAUCACCAUCUUCACUUUUUAUAGGGAACGAAACUCUCAAAUGCAAGAGAUCAUCAAGUAUCUCUUUCUUAUUGCCGUUCUCAACUGCCAGAUAUAAAGGAGACUUGCCAUUCUUGUUGUUGUAAUAGGCCACUUCUGGAUCUCUGGAAACUAGGAGUUGGGCAACUUCUUUGUUAUCGGCGAUCACUGCAUCAUGCAAAGGAGUGUUUCCCUUUGUAUUUUUCUUCAUGAUCAACUUCUUUGUUAUCGGAUUUGAUUCCACAAGAGAUAUAAUUGCAUGACUGGCGUUUCCUUCUCUGGCAGCAAGAUGAAGGAUUGUGUCCUUCUGGCUGUUUUGAAUGGUGAUUAGAGAAGGAAACGUUCCAGCCAGAUAAGAUGUAAUAUUGUCACUUCCAUAGCUUACAGCUACGUGAAGUAGUGUAUUCCCGCAGGGUGUCACUAGCUUCUCCGCUGAACGUUGCUGGACAAGCCUUCUAAAUUCCCCAGUAUUUAUGUUCUGCCUCACAAACUCAUGCAACUGACUAUCUAUCAUUGCAUUUGCCAUGUGAUCUCUCGGAAUCGAGUUUUCAUCAAUGUUUAUUGCUACGCUAGACAUGGCAAAAGAAAAUAUGGUGUUGGUUGAAUCAGCUAUACAAAAAUUAUAGUCUUAAUACCCAGACCCACCUGUACAGAUUCGGGUUGACGAAAAAAUUAUAUAGUUGACUAGUUAAAAUCCGAAUGUCAAAUAUUUUUUUAAAAUAAAAUAAUACUUAUUUAAUUUUUAUUUUCUAAAUCUUCUUUAGUAGCCUCGUUAUUUUUAUUUUCUCAGAAUACAAGUUGUAAAUUUGUCAUGUUAACCCAAGUUGACUUAAGUCAAUCCAAUAUGUUGUUAUCUUAAUAUAAAAAAAAAAUUAUCAUCUUAAAUUUUUUUAAUCAAACUAUGUUCUUACAUAAAUGUCUUAUGGGUUGUUUUUAGAUCCACAAAGUCAUUCAAGUGCAUCGGGUCAACACUUACAUGGUUUUAAUUUUUUAUUUUACAAAUAUGUAAAAAUAACAUUAUUUUGGUCAAAUUUAAAAAAAAAAAUCAAUGGGUUUUUAGACGGGUUUUUUUAAAAAAAAAUUAAAAAGAAUUUAACAAAAAAAUUAGGUCGUACAAAUUUUAAAUAAAAAAUAAAUAUCAUGGUUAAUUAAGAACAUUGAAUAAUUUUUAAUAAAUACCCUUUUAUGAAAUAUCCUUAAAAGUCUAAUAUGUUUGUCAUUGCCUUUUAAACGGGGUUGGAUAAAUUUUAAUUUUUUUUAUUUAAAAUUAAUUUUUUUUUAUUUUCAGAUUGUUUUGAUGUACUAAUAUAAAAAAUAAUUUUUAAAUAAAAAAAUUAUUAAUUUUAAUAUAUUUUUAAAUAAAAAACAUAUUUUUUUUUAUUCUAACCACCACUUGAAACGCUACAUAGCAAAAUUGAAAACUUAUUACAACCUGGGAUAUGAAAAGGACAUCUGAAAUAAAAUAAAUACAGAAAGCUGUAAUCUGAUGGCAUUAAUUCCCAUAAUUUAUUACACCUGGCCAGUUGUCCUUUCUCAUAACUUUCUAAUUCACUCAUUAAGCUGAGACAGAAAAAAUGCACUGAUCAGAGUGAUUCUCUAGAGGAUGAAAGGGAAAUUAAUCUUAAUUUAAUUUCUUGCAUCUCAUUCAACAACUUCACAGGCACGGCUGUCUAUAUCCACAUCCCAUGAGCGGAAUCGAAAAGGCAUCAACCAUACCUAACCAUAACUAGGCAUGUGAAGAAGAUCGUUUCACUGCAUGGGUGCUUUGGGAGGUUUAGUUUGACAGAUUCUGUGAUAUGCAAGAGGUGUGUCUUCUUUAAGAAGAAACCAUGUGUUUGAAAUUAAUACUUUUUGGAACAGAUUUGGGAAUUGAUACAGAAAAAACCUGGAUUACUCGAUUAGUUUAAAUUAAUUAUUUAAAUUUUCUUUUAGAAUUGACCUAAUCCACUAGCUAGCCUAGUAAGGUAUAGUUGGGUUAGGUCAACUAGAUUACGAGUAAAUUAUAUUUCACUAAGUCAAUUUCUUUUUUGUUUUAAUUUAAAACCUCGGCCAAGCCACACUUCCGGCGUUAACGUUCCAAGUCAACCCAUUAUACUAGGCUAGGUUUAACAAGAAUGUUUAAGACAUUUUAUUUAACAAUAAAAUAAGUAAUCCAAUAUUUCUAACAUCCGAUUCAACAGACUCAAUGUCUUUCCAAUAUGUUUGAAGGCUUAAACACCGAUGUCAAGGCAGUUUUUCCUAUCUACCAGCCUUCGGACCCCUGACCUAGUUGUGACAAGGCAUAAGAGCUGUGCAAAGAGCUUGCCAUGCUCUCUGCUUAAACCUCUUGAGAUUUUGAGAUAUUAGUCUGGAAAUUUCUUGAUUCCCUCAUAAACAAGAAGGAAAAUCCCAUGAGUUUUCAUCUUCCUGCCAUUUCAUGACCAUACUUUGUUUUCGUAGAAGUUAAACACUUUUACAUUUUCUUAAUUAAGAGAUUCAAAGAAAGUAAGUUUAAUAAAAAAAAAACAUUGGUAGAAGACUGGAGCAUGCAGCUAGCCUAGACAGAAAAUUAAUUGAUGUACAAUCAGUCUUAAUACCCAGACCCACCUGUACAGAUUCGGGUUGACGAAAAAAUAUAUAGUUGACCUAGUUAAAAUCCGAAUAUCAAAUAUUUUUUUAAAUAAAAUAAUACUGUUUUAAUUUUUAUUUUUCUAAAUCUUCUUUAGUAGCCUCGUUAUUCAAAUAUUUCCUAAAGUUUGACACCGGGUUGAUUUUUAAAACAUGUGUACAAUUGCUACCCCACUAUCAGGUCAUUAAAGGGUUCACCUAGAGUACUACCGUUAUUUCACUUAUUUCUGAAAAAGACUCCAUGCAUGCAUGCAUUCAUAUAUUUACAAUUUUAAUUGUACAAGUUAGACCGUACGUAUUCAGUUAUUGGCAUCACCUACUGCUCUCCACCUUCCAUGUCCUCUCCACUUGAUGAUGAGGCCUUGCUGUCCAUCCUCCUAAUAAAAGUUGCCCAUCCGUAAAUUUAUUACACACCCUGCACAAUUCCCUUUUUUUAUCUGUUUACUGUGUUAGAAAAUAGUAUGAAAUCAUUCUUGUGAUUUUACCUAAUAAUCAUGAUUUUAAAACUCACCUCACCACCUCCAAUUUAACUAAAAUAAAAUUAAAUAUAAAGUAAUGUUGAGUUUCUGCAGAUUUUGUUAUAUGAAACUAUGACAGAAUGGAUUAAUUGAAGAAGUCGGUGUUGACGCUGAAGAUGCAAGAAAAGCACUAUUAUGAGGCUUAAUCUGCAGUGGACAAGGAGCUCUCCUUUGUAACCGGCUUGAUGGCCCCCUGUAUUCCAUCUCUUCUUUGUGAACGCAGGUUUGGAAUCCAGGAAAGUCAUCACCAGAAUCCCCCGUUUUCUGUCAGUGCCUCACUUGAAGCUUGGAUCAAAAGUAAGCAAACGAGAACUGGAGAAAAAAGCUUGGUAUCAGCUAGUUGAUCAUUGGAAGAGAUGAACCGUACCUGAAUUUCUUGCUUAGUAAUACAAUCACGGAUAAAGUAAUAAUCAACUUUUUAGUACGAGUGUGAAACACUGAAUUGAUAAAUAAUAGGAAAUAUUAUGUUUCCGCUUGUAUAGUUUUAUUCUGUGUAAUAGGUUACACCAUAACAUAUAUACAAUGCCCUACUUAUAUAAAUAGUAGAGGAACUGCUCUGAUUAAGACACUCAUCAAAUUAUUACAUAUCUCUACUUUAACUUUGUAUUAGAGCCUCUCUAUCUUAAAUAGGUUUUUUUUCUUCUACUCUGUUGCAGAUUCUUCUCCCUACCGCGAUCCCUGCUCUUUUAUUUUCUACUGCAGAUCCGUCUCUCUACUGCUUGCUAUUCACCCUCUGCUACAGCCUCGCUGUCAACAUCGUUUCUCCAUCUGGGUACUCUGCUUAGUCCCUGCCCAAUUUGGACUUGUGCGUGGAUCUCUCCACAUAUUCUUUUCCAUAGCAGACCUUCAUUGAUCCACCUUCUGCUCUGCCACCCAUUUGGCAGUAUCCUAUGGUGAUGCAUCAUAGACAGCAGAAGAUUGCCAACAUCAGCUCUGCUUCUGCUCCCUUCACCAAUUUCAGCUCCACAGGUAAUGUUCCCCUCUGCUUUUGAGCAUCUAAGUUUUAAGGAAGCUGACUAGUACUUGUGUUGGCAUACUGCCAUGAAGGAUGAAAUUGCAGCCUUACAUGCCAAUGUCACUUGGUCACUGGUGCCAUUUGAUCCAUCUAUGAACAUUGUUGGUUGUCAAUAGGUGUAUAAAAUCAAGCGUCGAGUUGAUGGGGCCAUUGACUGUUACAAGGCUCGCUUGGUUGCACGAGGGUUCACUCAACAGGAAGGUAUAGAUUAUUCAGAAAUCUUCAGUCUUGUUGUUAAACCGACUACUGUUCGGCUAGUCCUCACGAUUGUAGUCUCAAAAUGAUGGCAGAUUCCGAAACUUGAUGUUCAUAAUGCUUUCCUCAAUGGUUCACUUCGCAAGGUUGUUUACAUGCAACAACCCUAAGAUUUUGUCGACUUAACUUUGCCCACUCAUGUCUGUCGCCUUCACAAAUCUCUCUAUGGCUUAAAACAAGCAUCGCGGGCCUGGUACAUGCAAGUGAGUGAUUUCCUCCUGACUAUUGGUUUUCGGGCUUCAAAGGUUGAUACCUCCUUGUUUAUUCUGAAUGUGAAUCAUGAUAUCUGUUACUUACUUGUCUAUGUGGAUGGCAUCUUACUUAUUGGUAAUAACUCUCAAUUGAUUCAUUGCCUCAUUACCUUCGUGAUUUGGGUCAUGCACAUUAUUUUUUGGGGAUUGAAGUUGAUCCCACCAGUGUGAGUCUUGCGCUUAGUCAACAGAAGUAUAUUCUUGUUAUUCUAAGCCAUGAAUGAAUGUGAUCGUGUAAACCUGUUGAUACACCAGCUUGUGUUUCCAAACUUGAUCUGUAGUCUACUGAGUUGUUUUUAGAUCCCACUCGCUUCCUCCAAAUUAUUGGUGUUCUUCAGUAUCUCAUAUUUACUUGACUAGACAUUUGAUAUGUUGUAAAUAAGGUAUAUUAGUUUAUGCAUGCUCCUACCGAAGGUCAUUGGGCCGCUGUUAAGCGUAUGCGUGAAAGGCCACCUUUGGUCUCCACCUUUCUCAUGACUCAGCUUUGACUCUUCAUGGUUUUAUUGAUGCUGAUUAGGCCUACAUAUUGGUGAUCAAAAAUCCACGGGCCGGUGGAUACAUUGUAUUUCUUGGCACCACUCCCAUUUCAUAGAAAUCUGGCAAGCAAGCAUUGUUGCUCGCUCCUCCACUAAAGCAAAGUAUAAGGCCUUAGCUGAUGGUACUGUUGAGGUUGUUUAGCUUCAUUAUAGUUUUUUCAGAUUUAUGUUUCUCUCCUAGUUCUGCUACCACUAUCUAGUGUGAUAAUUUGGGUGCUACUUAUCUAUCGGUUAAUCCGAUCUUUUAUGCUCGUACGAAGGAUGUUGAGGUCAAUUAUUACUUUGUUCAUGAUCGAGAGGCUAAGAAGGAGAUUUAGAUUCACUUCAUCUCCUCCAAAGAUUAAUUAGUCGAUGUUCAUACAAAGUCACUUGCUUCCUCUGCUUUUGCUUCUCUACAUUCCAAGCUUCACGUAGAUAACUCACCUUCAACUUUGGGGGUGUAUUUUAGGAAAUAUUAUAAAAUUAGAAAUUUUAUGUUUCCUCUUGUAUAGUUUUAUCUUGUGUAAUAGGUUACACCAUAACUUAUUUAUAAUGCCCUACUUAUAUAAAUAGUAUAGGAGCUGCCCUGAUUAAGGCACUCACGGAUAAAGGGACUAAUUGCAAAAAUAAAAGGUAUUAGCACCUCUAAUAUAUCUUACCUAAGGCAAACCAUGUUGUUUAUUUGUCUGAUAUAAACUAAGGUAUUGUUGUGUUUUCUAAUCAUUGAUCUGUCUAAAAUUAAAGAAAAAUCAUUCUCAAUAAAGAGAUCUUCAUCUUAUUAGGUUAAAAACUUAACCAUUCUAAUGCUGAAACAUGAAAAAGAAAGAAAAUUGUCUUUUUAUUUAAUUUUAGAAAUAUAUCUUACGUAUAAUCUUAUAAUUCCAGAUAUUAAACAAAAUGUGGUUCUUCCUAUCACAAGUUUAUUUUCCAAGUGUUAAAGAAUAAUAUAAAUCAUAUCCUGGACCUCACCUAACAGCUUAAGCUAUUAGGUUGAGAUGGUUCUUUGAUAUGAUAUCAGAGCAAACAAAUUGUCCAGUAGCCUUCUAUCGUCCUGUAGUCUUCUUUUCCAGCGCCUUCUUUCAAAUUUCUCCCUCACAUCUGAUUCUCUUCUUCUAGCAACUUUCUUCCUUUAUUUCAUCCGCAAUACUGCUAGACUUCUUUCUCCUAUGGACAAUCAAUAACUUCAUCAUUCUGUUGCCGCUGCAUCAGCACUUCAAUCUUCUUUCUCCAUUAUGGUGCCAAUAGCCACCUAUGGUGUAUCCACUCUGGUUUCUGCCAUCAUAUCUCUUCCUAACACGUAACAGGUAAUGUCUUUAAAACUCUCCAACACCAAUUUUAUGUAUUGGAUGAUGGAGAUGAAACCGUUCCUUUUGGGCUAAGGUGUGUACUCUUUUGUUAAUGGCACAUCAUCAUGUCCUCCUUCUCAUCUAGAAUCUGCUGCGACAUCUUCACCUGAUGGUUAUCAACACUUGUCGAUAUUUGCUGAAGCUGGAAUUUAGACAAAUCAAUACAUAGAUUAAAUCUAUAAGGGGAAUCAGAGGAAGAACCUGAUGAGGAGCUUAAUAUAUGUGCAGGCCGUGAGGGAGAACUAGCUGGAGAAUCUACAAGAGUGACCGCCACAACAGGGGAACUAGCAGGGGAAAAACCAAAGCAACUGGUAGGAGCAAUGGAUAAUGCAUGCGAGGGUGGUGAAUCUAAACUUGUACCUGAAGCAUGAUUAUGAUAAUAACAUGCAGAUAAUGGUAAGGGAGCCAAUGAGAUGCAAGGGGUGUGGGGGGUAGUGGUGGAAAGGAUGAAGAUAGUGGCUUGGAUGGUAUAAAGUAACCGGUAUAGUGGCAGCAUAAAUAUUUGUAGGUGCGACUAUAAUUUGUUCAGGUUUACUAAGAAGAAAAACAUGUUCAUGAAACUAGAUAUCAUGACAACUCAUGAUAACCUAAAUGAGAGUUACUAUAUCCUAGAAAAACACAAGUAGAUAAACAAAAAUCUAACUUAUGAGCAUUGUAUGGACGGAGGAAUGGAAAACAAAGACACCCAAACAUACGAAGAAAAGCAUAAUCAGGAGAUGAUUUUAAAAGACACUCGAAAGGACUCUUAUAAUUAAGAACCAGAGUUGGCAUGUGAUUAAUCAAGUAAACAGAACUUUUAAAAGAAUAACUCCAAUAUUUAAGGGGAGUGUCGCACCCCAAAAAUAAAUCAGCGCGCGGCAUCGGCUGGCGAUUUUUAUCGUUGUUGCGUUACGUUUGCUUGAAUCGGUUCGUUGGAGUCGCCACCUAGUAAUUCAUUGAAGGCUACUAGGAAACCGGAUGUACUGGUCUUGUCAGAGAUUUGCGGGUAAGGGACUGGUUGUGGUUAGGGAAGGUAUUAGCACCCCUAACGCACCCUACCUGAGGUAAGCUGCUUCGCGAAUUUGAUGUGUUAAAGAAGUUUUAAUAAUUGUCUUUUCAUCGGAAAUUAGAAAUAUCACUUACGUAUAAGUUAAUAAUUCUUAACCGUGAUCCGAUCAAAAAAUUAAAUUCUUCUUUAAUAUAUUUGCAAUUUUAUCAUUUAAAACUAUAUACAAAUAAAUAAAACAAAAAAUACAAGCACACACAUACACUUUCACUAUUUUAUUUUUGUUUCUUUUCUUUUUCUUUUCUUUUCUUUUCUUUUCUUUUACAUCCAUAUUUACAAAAUACAAAUUACAAAAACUAAAAACUAAACAAAUAUUACAUUAAACCAUUUGGAAAUUACAAAAAUGACCCAAAACAAAUUCAGGAACAAUUCUGGGCUGCCUGAACAGUAACGGCGCGUGGGCUCACGCGCCGCCCCGAAAAUCAGGCAGCGUGAGGGGGCUGUAAUGCUUCCUCCUCUCUUCGAUCUCUUCACCUGCAAAUCCAAAAAACACACAGCAAGGGCAGUCGAUUUUAAGUUUUUCUUAGUUUUUCAAAUCUGUUUUUUUGUUCUUUCUUUCUCCGCCGUCUUCGAUCUGCCCCUCUCUGCAGCUUGUUUCUGUUUCCUCUUCUUCUAUACAGAUGGCCGGCGGUUGUGGGUGUCUUCUUCUCCUCUAUUUCUGGUGGUGGAUCCGGCGGUUGUAAAGGGGGAGCGACGCUGCUGCUGGAGGAAGCUUCGGGUUGAUGGAGAUGAAAAGAUCGGUCUAGGUCUGUCGGAUGUAGGCUGCUGGGUUGGUCUCCACUUCUGUUGGUUGCAGCGGCGGAUGGCCCUGCUGCUGUUGUCUGCGUCCGGUGGAGCCGCUGUGAAGAUGGAGGGGUUGCCUUGGCUUCUCGGGUUUUGGCUGCUGAAUCCCAGCGAGGACGGCUGCUCCGGGUGGUCUGUGCGGCUGAAAGGGGAGGGGGUUUCUUUGGCUGGUGAGAGGCAGCAAUGGGGUUGUCGGGUUGAAGAUUGAGGGGGCGGCUUCGGGCUGUUGUUUUGGAUUUGUUUGUGGCCGAGAGAAAGGGAACGGCGAAGAAGAAGAUGAAAACAGGGGGAGGCUGGUUCGGGUGGCCGGUUUUUUUGGGUCAGAAAAAAUCAAACCGAGGAGCAACUCCGGGAGACCAAAAAUGAAAACCAGGGGGGGCGGCUGGUGUGAAGAAAAAAGUUUUUUUUUUUUUUUAGGGUUAGGGUUUCUGUAUUUUUUUCUUCUAUAAGUGUCAAAAUUACCCCCCCUUUUGCAAGUGUUGGAAAUCAGUAUUUAUAGACAAAAUUUUUGCUAGGUUUUUCAACUUGGUCCCUCAACUUCUUUCUUUUUUUGUAAAUUUUGAUUUUUCUUAUUUUUUUGUAUUUUUUUGAAAACGAGCAAUAUCAACGUCGACUCAAAUGCGGAAAAUCAAUGAUUUUAAAAAUGACGCGUGAAAAGUCGAACGCGUUUGAAAAAUUAAAUUAUUUAAAUCAAAAUUAAAUUCUUUCUAGACGACGCUGAAAAUGCUAAAAUGACGGGAAUAUAUUAAAAAACAUAUUUUUUGGAUUUUCAUUGUUUUUCUCUAUUUUUGGAUUUUUUGAAAAUAUAUCAAAAACAUGGGUCAAAAAUUGGGUAGCAACAGAUGCCCCCUUUUUACAAUGCUUACGAAGCGAAAAUCCUCAAAAUUUUGCAUAGUAAGUGUUGUAACCCAUUUUUGGGUCCCCAUGAAAAAAUAAAAUAAAUAGCCAAAAGAGUUAAAAAAAAAUAACAAAAGGCAGAAGCGCUCAGGAAACAGUCAGAAAAUUGGUCAAGAAAUUCAAAAAUACAAGGAUUAAAUUUUUGACAGUAUAUUCUUGAAGGAUGAAAGCCCUAUUGAGAAGGAAAAUUUGAAUUUUGAGGAGAAAAGCCCAAAUUUGGAUGUUUAUGGACUUAAUUGGAUUUUUAUUUGAAUUUAUAGAAGAUUUGAUUGGAAGAAAAAUUGAUUUUUAAGUCAAUUUGGGCUUUAAUUUGGAGAAAUUUAAGUUCUGGGGCCAAAAUAUAUUUUUUAGGAAUUUAUUGGGUCAAAUCAGGGGCUCAAUUGCAUAAAUAUUGAAGUUUAAGGGCCAAUUAGGGACUUAAUUGUGAAAAUCCGAAACCAGGGACCAAUUUGGAGAAGGCGCAAAGAUAGAGGGGGCUGUUUGGAUUUGUUUCAGGGGCUUAAUUGAAGAAAUUGGAAGUUUAUUGAUCAAUUAGGGGCUCAAUUGCAUAAAUCAGAGGCCAAGGACCAAAGUGAAAAAGGCGGCCAACAAGAGGGGUGGGGACCGAAUUUGGGGGACUGAUUUGAAGUUUAGCCAUUUAAAUGAAACGGCGCGUUUUACCCAAAACGACGCCGUUUCAUAAAAAAAAAAAAAAAAAAAAAAAAAAAACGGUGUCGUUUUGAACGACACUGUUCAUCUUCCUCCUUCCCCCCGUUUUAACAGAACAGAAGACGAAAAAAUUCGAAAAUCUUCCCGCGCCUCUCUCUCUCCUCGCCCCCACCACCUUUAGCAUUGGCCGACCAGCCGUUGCACCGCACUAACGAUGGUCCCCCACGGUUCGCCCCUAUAAAGAAGAAAACGAAGAAAAAAAAAAAAAAAACCGAAGGGAGGAGAGAGAGAGGAGGCCGAAGAGAGAGAGAGAGAACACCGAAGAGAGAAGGAGCCGCAGCGCCGCCCGGGAAGCCACGCCACCGCAGCACCGCCACCGCCUCCUCCACGCCAGGUCACCUCUUCUCCCCCCUUCGUUAGUUUUUAUUUUUUUCCCUGCAUGCAGAAUGAACAUUCUGCAUGCAGGGAGGAGGGGGGAAUUAAUUCCCCCCUUGUUGAUUGCGUAGCUGGGCCAGGUGGAUCCUGGCCCAGCACAUUUUUUUUUUGGGCCAGACUAGUCUGGCCCGGCCUUGUAUCUGACGGGCCAGACCAGGUCUGGCCCAUACCAGCUCUCUGGGCCAAGUCCGGCCCAGAUAUUGUGGCCGGCCCAGCCCGAAUUAUUUUUAUAUUAUAUAUUAUAUAUUAUAUUAUAUGUGUGUAUAUAUAUAUAAAAUAUAAUAAUAAAAAAAAUAAAUAUUUUGAAAAAUCUUUAAAAAAAUAUUGUUGAUUUUUCUGCAUAUUUUUGUCAAAAAUGUUUUAAUUUUGGUUUGUAUUUUUAUACUGUAAAGAUACAAAACCAGUGUUAUAAAUACCCGGUUUUCGUCAAAACAUCAAAGAUUUUCAGAAUAAAAAAUGUUUUUGCUUUCAAAAAAAUUCUAAAAAGUCCCUAAAAAUGUUGUUGAUUUUUCUGCAUAUUUUUAUCAAAAUGGUUUAAUUUUGGUUUGUAUUUUUAUACCGUAAAGAUAUAAAACCAGUGUUAAAAUACCCGGUUUUCGUCAAAACAUCAAAGAUUUUCAGAAUAAAAAAUGUUUUUGCUUUCAAAAAAUUUCUAAAAAUUCCCUAAAAAAUGUUGAUUUUUCUGCAUAUUUUUUAAAAGCGGAUUAAUAUUGGGUUGUAUUUUUAUACCGUAAGGAUACAAGCUCAGUAUUAAAAUACCCGAUUUUCGUCAAAGCAUAAAAAAAAUAAUAUUUUCUAAAAAUUGUUUUUGUUUUAAAAUACGGCCUAGUCUCUCCAAUAUAUAUACAUAAAUAUUAUAACAUCAUAUUUUCACACAACAAAGAAAAUUUUCAAAACAAUAUAUGUAUUAACAUGCAUUUUGGCUUUAAUAACCAGUUUAUUCAAGCCAUGAGAACUAGGCCAAUAUUUCAAAAAUUCUAAAAAAUCUUUUUGUUUUAUUUUAGUAUUUGGGAUUACGAAUUUAUACGUAAAACGUAUUCCUAAGUAUUAUUAAUAAAAUUUUGGUAUGGACGUUAGAACGGUUAGGAUUUUUACCCGAUAAGAUAAAAGACCUUCUUACUGAGGAGGAUUUUUCUUGAACUAUAGACAGAUCAACAACUAGGAAAACACAACAACACUUUAGUUUUUUAUCAGACAAUAAAACAAUGCAGCUUACCUUAGGUAGGGCGUAUUUGGGGUGCUAAUACCUUCCCUUUACGCAACCAGUCUCCGUACCCGAUCUCUGAGACCAGUUAGGUUCCUAGUGACCAAAAUACUAGGUGGCGACUCCAAAGAACCAAAUAAAAAUAAAUAAAAAAAUUCGCCAGUCGAACCCGCAAUUGAAAUUUUGGAAUUUUUUUGGGGUGCGACAGUAAGCUUUGUAAAGAAAACAAAAGGAAAAUGAUUUCAUUAUCUUGGGCAACCUGCCUACACAUACUCACUCUAGUCUAUUUUCACGGGCGACCGACCCACACUCUCGCAAUAGUCUAUUUUCACGGGUGACCUGCCCACACAUUGUGUUUACCUGAGAUCCCAUCUAGCGACCUCAUUCAACUGGAACAAAAAUAUUGUGUAACUCGGUUAACCUGAAAUCCCAUCUGGCGAUUCCCUUUAACCAAAGCUACAUGAGAUCCCAUCUGGCGACCUCAUUCAAUUGGAACGAAAUAUACAUAACUCGGUUAACCUGAAAUCCCAUCUGGCGAUUCCCUUUAACCAAAGCUACCCGAGAUCCCAUCUGGCGACCUCAUUUAACCAAAACAAAAGAAUGUGUGAAAAAUGGUCUCAUUGUAUGGGUGACAAACCCAAGAAAAAAAUGAUGGUCUCAUUGUAUGGGUGACGAACCCCAGAAAAAUGAUGGUCUUAUUGUAUGGGUGACGAACCCCAGAAAAAUGAUGGUCUCAUUGUAUGGGUGACGAACCCAAGAAAAAUGAUGGUCUCAUUGUAUGGGUGACGAACCCAGAUGGAAAAAAUGUGAAGUGCGGUCUCAUUAUAAUGGGUGACCUACCCACGUGGAAAAAAUAUGAAGUGUGGUCUCAUUGUAAUGGGUGACCUACCCAGAUGGAAAAAAAUGAUGAAGUGCGGUCUCAUUGUCAUGGGUGACCUAACCGGAUGGAAAAAAUGUGAUAUGACAAGUGUGAAAAAUAGGACUUACCUAGCGAAGUUCUGAAGGGAUGACAGAAGAAAGGGCUGGAAAACUUGGUGCUUCCUGAUAAUUCCCGAUCAUGGGGUUUGAAAACUCGGUGUUUCCUGACUGCAAGGGUUGAAAACUCGAGGCUUCCCGGUUGCAAGGUUGAUCUAUUCAUUUCUUUGGGAUUUUCCUAAUGGUAGGGUUCAUCCCAUCGUCCUUUUAUUCCAUGAUCAAAACUGAUUCUUUAUUAUCAUCACCACAAUGCUUCUUUCUCUUUCCACCAUUGAUUGUGCAUCAAAAGUAUUAUUAAGUCUUUUAUUUUACAUAUGUAUUUAUUGUUUUUAUUUGUCAAAUUCUUGAAAGAAAAUAUUUUCUCUCGUUUUGGCAUGCCCCGGGCUAUGAUUAGUGAUGGGGGAAAGCAUUUUUGUAACAAGCCCGUUGGGAUGUUGAUGAGAAAAUAUGGUGUAAUUCACAAGGUCAGUACCCCAUAUCACCCACAGACUAGUGGCCAAGCUGAGUUGGCAAAUAGGGAGAUCAAGAACAUUUUAGAGAAAACAGUCAAUCCAAACCGUAAGGAUUGGUCCCUACGACUAGUUGAUGCUUUGUGGGCAUAUCGCACUGCUUACAAGACCUUUUUAGGAAUGUCUCCUUAUAGGCUAGUUUAUGGAAAACCUUGUCAUCUCCCUGUUGAGAUUGAGCAUCGUGCAUAUUGGGCCAUCCGGCAAUUCAAUGACAAUGAAAACGAGGUUGAAAAAAAUAGAAAGCUUCAAUUGGAUGAAUUAGAGGAGCUGAGAAAUGAUGCAUUUGAAAAUGCAAAAAUUUCAAAACAUAAGAUGAAAGCUUUGCAUGAUAAACAUAUUUUUAGAAAAUCCUUUCAUGUUGGUCAAAAGGUUCUCUUGUAUAAUUCACGAUUACAUCUCUUUCCUGGGAAGUUGAGGACAAAAUGGAUUGGUCCAUUUGUGAUUAAAUCCAUCUCUGAGCAUGGUGCAUUUGAGGUAGAAAAUCCUAAGAAUGGAAAUGUUUUCAAAGUAAAUGUCAUCGAUUGAAACCUUAUCUUGAAAACGUUGUGGCUGAAGUUGAGACAUUGGAUCUUGAAGAUCCAAUACCAUUGUAGUAUCAGAAGUAAUGAGUUUUUAUUUUAUUUAUUUUCAUUUUUUUUUAUUUUUAUUUUCUUUCUUCCAUCUCUUAUAUUUUCUUGUUCAUGCAUUAGGGACAAUGCAUAAUUUUCAGUUGGGGGGUGUGAGGUUCUUUAUUUUCACAAAAAAAAUAAAAAAAAAUCAAUGUUUUCUUUUAGUUGUGAUAUGCAGGUUAAAAAAAAAAUCAAGCAAGAAGUCAGCUCAUGUCCAAGUCAAUCAGACAUUCAUCCUUGAAAACAAAAGGGGAGUAACAGUUUUCUAAUCAUUAUACUUUUCUUCUCUUUUUUUUUUUAUUGAGGAUAAUGUAAAACUUAAUUUUAGAUAUUUGAUUAUGUUGAAUGCUUGAGAUAACCAUGCUUGUUUAAAAAAAAAAAAAAAUUGCAUUCGAAUGUGAAUGAGACUUGUUUAGGAUCAACAUUACAUUUUUGGAUUUAUUAUUGUGUUGAACAUUGCAUGCUUUAAUUUGGGAUAGAUAAUAUCUUAUAAAGAGAUAUAGCAUACUUUUUUUAAAGAUUAUUGAAGUACAUCUUUCCUUGUAAAAGUUGUGUGAGUUGUGCGAUUAUGCAUGAAAGAUGAGUGUGAUGCUUUACUUGUGAUUAUCCCUUUUGAUCUAGUCCUAAACAAGGUUUAAGUAAAUAAAGUAAUAAUUAUUACACAAAUAAAUAAAUAAAUGUGUACAAAGUUCUAUCUACUCCAAUGUUUUGAGUUGCUCAGUAACUAGGGUAUUCAUCACAAAUGUUUAUCUUUACGUCAAAAGGCAGCUUGAAAUAUGAGUAUGCAAAGCACUUUAAGUUUGUGACUUUGUGAGUAACCGGGUGCAUUCAUCAAAUGUUUGUAUUCGCGUCAAAAGGGAAGUGACCACUUAAAGAAAAAGAAUAAAUAAUAUCUUCAAAAAAAAAAAAAAAGAAGAAGAAAAAAAAAAGGAAAAAUAUAUAUAGAUAUUUCUUUAGUUUGCUACCUUGUUUGUAGUAGUGAAAAGGGAAGAUUACAAGUUGAGUUUUCGCGUGAAUCAAUUAUUUGGUUGCAUGAUAAAUACGAUUGAAUUUGGAAUUUUUAUGAGAUGUUUGAUUUAGAGAAUGUGAGUAUGCUUAUUUUUCUUUAUUUGGUAUUGUGUACACUAAGUUAAAGAUACCAAUGUUUGCAUGAUAGGUCCUUUAAGUGUGAUGAGUCGAGCCUAAUUAUGUUAUUAUUAUUCUUUUUAUUUCAAAGGUUUUAUGUUUUGUUUUGCUUGAGGACUAGCAAAAUCUAAGUUGGGGGGUGUGAUUGUGCAUCAAAAGUAUCAUUAAGUCUUUUAUUUUACAUAUGUAUUUAUUUUAUUUGAAUUUUUUAUAAUAAGUGAUGUGCUUUUUAGUAAUGAAGUUUCUUUUAAUGUUUCGAUAGGUUUUUGGAGCUUAAAUGAUUUCAGAAAAUUCAACGUCGGAAUUCGGAACAAAGAAUUGAAGAGAAAUUUAGUUGAAGAUUGAAGCAAAUCUUGGUUCAAAUAAGUGCUCCAAUUUGCCCAAAAAAUCAAUUAUUUUCCAAUUCUAGAAAAGAAUAUCAUAUGAUCCAUUUCAAGCCCAAACUUACCUUAUGUUGUGUGCAAACUUCAACCAUCAAACACUCAAGGUUUCAAUGUCAAUCUUAGCCCAAAUAAUAGGUACAAUUGUAUACUUAUUUGAUGUUUAAAUCCAGCCCAAAUCAGCCCCAAAUCAGCCUCCAAAUCAGCCCAAGCACAAUCCAUGAUCUUACAUGUCCACACAACAAAUAAUAUUUGAUUUAUUUUGGGCAAUUAAUUGAUUCAAGAGGGCAAGCACAUGGAUGGAAAGCUGGAGGGGACAUUGUGACAUUAUUUUGGGUCAACAAGAAGAAAGAAACAGCUCAUAAAGGAGGAAGAAAAACGUGCACCAAAGUGUUCUCCAAGCUGGCCUGAUUUAAUUUUCCAGAACAUCUUUCGGUGUUUUGCCCAUAACGUUUGACUCAGAUGUCCAAAUGAGCUGUUCUUUAAUGAUCUGGAAAGCUCAUAGAAUUUCCUAUACAUAUGUCUCUAAUAGCCAUCUCCAGGGGAGGCUUCUAAGAGGGUCGAAUUUCUGUCCAAAGUUAGAGUCAGAUUUGUGUCCGAAUUUUUACUGAAAUUCUGUUGUGUUCUUCUUUGUAGAUUUCGGUUCUUUAGUUUGUAAAACUUAUUAUUUCAGUUUGAUUCAAGUUAUUUCAUGUUUAUUAAAGUGUUCUUAUAUAUAAUCAUGGUUGGCUAAUCUCUUUCUUGGAUCCAAAUCAAGGAUGAUGGUGAUUGAGGUGAGUUCUUUAAGAUAUGAAUGAAUGUUAAUGAUUAUCUUUCUUUCUUCAUGAAUGUUUUAUUAUUGCAAAGAAAUUUUAGAAAUCAUUUAGGUAAUGUUAUAAUCUUGAAUUUUUAUGCACAAACCUUAGUUUUGGUAUAGAGAUUGCUUGAUUCAAUGUCUUACUUAAUUUGAAAGUACUUGUUCAUUCUUAAGCAAUAAUUAAUCUUCAUCUUUUUAAACUUCAUUGUAAUAUCUUCCGAUCUAAUAUCACCCGUUUAUUAGGUUGAGUUAUCUUAUAUAUGUUGAAGAAAUCACCAAUACAUCACCAUUAAAAUUGAUUUGGACCAAGACUUACUUUUUCUUGUCUUUUAAAAUCUAUUUACACUUUUUCAUCUUUGAAAACAAAUCCAUCAAUUAUUUUCAACCAAGUUAUUGUUAAUUUAAUUUCUCUUGAGUUUUUUUUGUUGUUACCUAGCUUAAUUUCCAGAUCUAGCUCUCUGUGGAUAUGACCUCGAUCUUACCGAGUUAAUUGCUACAUCGCACACUCGUGCACUUGCGAGUUAAAACAAGCCGAUCACAAAAAGCGGUCAAGCAACCAUCUUGCUGGACCUCAUUAAGGAUUUUCCUGUAACAAUUCAAAAAUAUGUGCAAAUGGUUUUUUUUUUUUUUUAGGUUAGAUGAUAUGCAUGCAUCCUUACCUGAUUUGAAAUAAUAGGUCCCCCCUCUUUGAUGCUCCAUCGUCAUAGGGUGCCCUUGUUUGUAUCCCAAAGCUUUCUUUGUUCUUCCGAUGUAUUGGCUCAUUCAUGUGUUAGCCAUCCACUCAGUUGUAAAUGCAGUGCCCAUCCCGGGCUGUCUUCGACAAUUACUGCUUGCAUCGUUCAUGAAGCUUGACCCUGCCCCCAAGUGUGGUACUGCUUGAUUCAUCAUGAGAUUUUCUCUCCUGGAUUCUUCUGAGAAAUUAUCCUCUGAUUGAUUGUGUGCAUCAUGCCAACACCCAUCACGUUUGUUAAUCAGUCAUGAACUUGCCUUUGGUUGAAACACCAUUCAAGUAUGUAUGGUCACCAGCCUUCAUGGAACUGCCAAGUCAUCCAGACAUGUAUCUCAUGCUUUGCAGUAAACAGCUCAUCAUUGUAAGCGCGAUGUAUUUCUCUAUGGAUUCCUCUUAGCUUGUCAAAUCAGAUCGUGAAAAUACCUGCUUUGGCAUCAUCAAUGAUGUUCAUGUUAUCACCCAUAUUCAUGCGGUGAAGUGCGCAUUUGAGCUUCAGAAUAGAUGGUCCCAUCGUAAAUCUUGGUGGUAUGCAUAUGUUCGAUGUUCAUCCAAAUGCACUCACCCGAUAACAUCUGUCCGGAGUCAUAUCCAUGUUUUAAAGUAACCUAAGAUGAAGAUAUGAAAAUAUCUUUCUAGUGCAGCGUUGAUCAUCAAUUGCUGCUGAAGUGCACUAGAUCAUGGAUUGUCUUUGAACAACAUUGGCCUCAGUAUGAUCUGAAGGUUCAUUCAUCGGUUUAUACUCAAUAAGGUUUUUCUUUGUCAUUGUCAGAUGCUAAACAUAACUUUGACGACUCAUCAUCGGAUUCUUUCUUUGCCCCCAGCUGAUCUGAUACUGUUUGCUUUCCUUCUUAAGGUCCACUGUAUUGCCCCCAGGUGGUCAACGUUUCAAGGAGUGUCGAGAAAUGUUGAUGUCAUUUUUGUCAAGAAUUUUGCAAACUCAAUUGAUGUUCUUGUUUGAAAAUCUUUCUUGUUCUGGAAUCAAAUCUCAACAUUUCAACGAUCAUGUCUAUUCAAGUAUAAUUGUUGAAAUGAAAUCAGAGAGAUAUCAGUUUUUGAAAAGUUAUUUUUGAAAUUCGAGCUCCUUUGGUCAAAGACCCAACACACUAUUCAAUGCAGUCCUUUGAUUGUCUUGUAUUUUGAAAACAGAAAUGACCCGUUGUAAGAUUUAAAAUGACUUUUUCAUGGUUCUUUGUGUGCACUUUAAACUCUGAUUUUGGGUAUAUCUUUUGAUGGUCUGUGAUGAGAUGACAUUUUUAUGAAUUUCAAAAACAAGAUGCUCAGGCUUUAUCAAGAAAGGUUGUUUCUCUUCUUAUAACUUGUUUUAUCAGCAUGCAUAAUAACCAAUAGCUUAAUUCAUGAAGUCACGACCCUUAUGGAAAAGCUCUUCAAGUUUUGAGAGCGUCAUUUAUCGGUUCAAAUUGCAUGCUUGAUUAAAAAGGGCUUUUAAAAACACGUAAUGCAGGCUAUGGUUCAUGGCUAUGAAAGAAAGGAAUUUCAAAGGCUCAAAAGGUGUUUGAGGGUUUCAAAGACCUAGGAUCAACAUCAAUUAUUCAUCAACUUGUUUUCUAUUGUUGUCUUUGUAAAGGAAACGACAUAUAACCUUGUUAACCUCAAAGAUUAGACUUCUCUUAACAUAAAAUCAUAAUACAAAUCCACUUUUCCUUGAUGAAUAACCAACCUUAAUCAUCUGAUAACAUCGUAGGCUUUAUAAUGGAUCCCAAAAGUCAACGUUUAUAGCUUAGUCUUUUUCUGGUAUUGACUUUUGUUGUGCCUUUCCUUGAUUGAAAUUUCUUUUGCUCUUCAUAGACUUGAUAGGCGUUCUCCUUCCUUUAUCUUUUUUUCAUAGCCUUCCUCAAAAUUUUCUUAUAUGCCCCCAGUCUAUGUGUUUUCUUUUAGCUCUCUCUCAAUCAUUGGACCUUUGUUCUAAGCCUUCCCCUUUAUCCAUUAAUUAUAUCAAUGUCUCCAAAAUAUCUCUCAUUUGCCCCCAGUGUAGGGUGUGAUCCUAGUCAGGGUUUUUUAUGAAAAGAAUAUUCUAUACAGCUCAAAAUGGGACUACAAGGGAUAUAAUCUUUAGAAAGUGAAGGAUAUCAAAGAUGGCCUUUUCUCAUUUCAAGCAAGAUCGGUUAGAACCGAUAAAUUUUGUCUUCAUCCAGUGUAAUGAUUGGGACUUGUAAGAAUCAUGAUUCACGAGUCCAUAACUAUUGAAUCCACUACAUGUCAUUAUGCAUACUGCUAAAACUUAGCUAUAUGAUGUGUGGUUCAGUUUCAAAAGGUAUGAGUUCAAAAUUGUUUGGUCACCUCAUGUCAUUUUCAAGCAUAGAGUCAUUUCUGUAAUCAAAACCCUUCCUAAUCUUCCGGAUUGAUUAACCUUUAUCGCAUGUUGGAGUUUGAUCAAAAUAUUUUGUCAGAAUAAAAUGCUAAACAUCUGUUGAUUUCAAAACAACAAAGAGACAAAAGCAAGGCAUGUUUCGUUGAAGGAUGAGAUGUGAUCCCAAAACAAAAUGCAGAAUUCCAUAACAAUAUGAUUGACUGUUCAUCACCCUUCUUGAAUCAGCUUUUCUGGCAAUAUCUGUGUUUUGCCAAGCAUUUUCGAUCACAUGUCAUUCUGAAGAUGUUCGGGGAACAAUAUAGCUCAUGACACCCUCCUUCAACGACUCCACUUGUCUCUUACUCACCAACUUUCAGACUCCUUCUUGCAAUUCUUGAAAUUGCUCAUUGAAAUGGUUGAGGACCCCAUCAUGACAUCACAUCUCUUAUCUGGAUUAACCCCAGAAAAUGGUGGUUGCAUGGGAUUUGUCGGAGUCAAGCAAAAUUCUGGAAUCUGGCAGAUGCUGGUCGACAAACUUAAAUGGCAGAGGAAUGUCCCAUCUUGGCAAAGAUAUUUGAGCAAUUGAUGCUACCGUGAGACCUGGCUAUACCACAUAAUUAAGGGCUCACACCGUCAAAGUCAUCUCCUGAUUCACCUCUCAUCAUUGUUCUAGAAUCCAUGGCAGAUCCUUCAAUCUUUCUUCUCUUCAUAGCUUGUUCAAUUCUUCGGCAAAUCCUCACAACAUUAUUUCAAUCUUCCAAUGUUGCUAUGGUUGGUUGAGGAUUGUUAGAAAACUUUCUAACAGCUUGGUAAUCUUGGCAGCGCCCAGAAACUUGUAGUAUCGCCACUACCGACGUGUGGAAUCACACAUUGUCUCUAUUGGAAGAGCACCUGAUGAAUCUAAAACUCCUUUGUCCCCUCUUAAUUUCUCACUGACAGUGCAGCAAACAAACACCUAUAGAGGAAGUCCUGCUCUGUUGAAGUUUCAGUAUUCUUCAUGUUUUUCAGUCUAGGCAUGUAUUCUCUCUACUUUUGCAUUUUAAUACUGACACUGUUGGAGGAAAAUCAUAAUGAUCUGAAACUACUGUAUUCCUUCUUGGAUUUCCCACUUGCGGAUCCACAAACAGAUUCCUGUCGAGAGCUCUGCUACGUUGAAGUUUGAUGUCUGCUCUAUUUUUUCAACCAAGUCUGGCUCUUCAACCUACUAAGUUUCUUCGUGCUGAAACUGAUGAGAGAAAUAUUUGUAGCAUAUGCAAUUAGUAAAUCCCCUCUUGCAUUCCCAAUUUGCAGAGCCAUAAAUGGAUUUUUGUAGAGAGCUCUGCCACAUUGAAGUUUGACAACUGCUAAUAUUAUCAGACCAGGUCUGACUCUUCUGCCUACUACAAUGUUUUGCUGGUGCCACUGGUGGGAAAAAGUUUCAAAGCAUAUGAAAUUAAUACAUUCCCUUUUGCAUUUCCAUUGCAGAUCCACAAAUAAAUCUCUACAGAGAGAGCUCUACCGCGUUGAAAUUCAGUGUCUGAUCAUGGUUUUUUCAGACCAACAUCUUGUGCUGCUGAACUGGAAUUGAGCUCAUAAUUGGGGUAACUUCAAAGCAGACUAAUGCACCAUGAACAGGAGGCUAGUAGUCGUUUGGUUCCAUUAGAUGAUGUGGAGGCGAUGAAUACUUAACAGUGCAACUGGACAGGAAUCAGAGUUGUCAUUAGUUGAUGACUGAAGGCGUUGUUGCUUUGUUCAUGACUGAAAAGGAGAGUACAGCUUCAAUUGGACGUGAACAAGCAGUGUUCCCACAGAAAACUGUGCAGACAUUCUCUUUCAUUUGAUGCUCAACACUUGUUCGAGCAGAUCUGAGUCGCUACUUCACUUUGAUGCUCUCAACCUUAAUCUGAUAAUGAGCCUAUAUCUGACUCCUUUGUUCACUUCCAUUAUUUUUCUUCAAUCACGUGCAGCACAACUUGUGGGGACCUACUUUCACCCGGUUCAUGCAUGAUAAAUGUAUGAACAUGUAAUCUAUAUGAUGAACUCACCCUUCGAGAGGUGACAAUAUGGUCGUAACUCUUGUAUGAUGGACAAGAAUCGUGAUUUUUGCCCAAACUCUACAAUGAAAAUUUUCGGAGCAACGACCAAUGUGUCACCCACAAGUCUUGAGUUCAAGAUGCUUCAAGAAGGGUUUGCCCUUAUGCAAAAAACGAUAGCACAUACAACCUAAGGACAGGUUCUAUUCAUUAUGUGAACAUGGGUAAGUUUUCUAUCUGGUCUCAAAAGGGUCUCAUAUCUGCCCAGUGACGUUCUUCGUAAAGACAGUAUGGGGGCGUUGCAAGGAAUGGUUAAGGCACGUAUACCCACCAUUACCAAGCAGGCACUCAGAUAUGAGUUGGGUGUUUCACGCAUCUGAACCCUGACCAAUAGUCUUAGGGCAGAUCGCUAGUUCCCCACCUAACCUAGAAGCUUGUGUGUGCUUUUAAAAAUAAAUACAGGUGAUGCAUGAGACAAUUCUAUAAAAUGCAUGGAAAUAAAUAUUAACAAAAAGAUAAAAAUGCAAAAACUUAAACACAUCAAAUACACAAAGCUUAGUCCAAUAAUCGAAAAAAUACCUUCCCCAGUGGAGUCGCCAUUCUGUCGCACCCCAAAAAAAAUCAGCGCGCGGCAUCGGCUGGCGAUUUUUUUUUUUUAUCGUUGUUGCGUUUUGCUUGAAUUUGGUUCGUUGGAGUCGCCACCUAGUAAUUGAUUUGGGCUACUAGGAAACCGGAUGUACUGGUCUUGUCAGAGAUUCGCGGGUAAGGGACUGGUUGUGGUUAGGGAAGGUAUUAGCACCCCUAACGCACCCUACCUGAGGUAAGCUGCUUCGCUUUGACGUGUUAAAGAAGUUUUAAUAAUUGUCUUUUCAUCGGAAAUUAGAAAUAUCACUUACGUAUAAGUUAAUAAUUCUUAACCGUGAUCCGAUCAAAAUAUUAAAUUCUUCUUUAAUAUAUUUGCAAUUUUAUCAUUAAAAUAUAUAAAUAAAUAAAAAAAAAUACAACACAACAUACAUUCACUAUUUUAUUUUUUUUCUUUUCUUUUUCUUUUCUUUUCUUUUCUUUUACAUCCAUAUUUACAAAUACAAAUACAAAAAUAAAAACUAAACAAUUACAUAAACAUAAAUUACAAAAAUGACCCAAAACAAAUUCAGGAACAAUUCUGGGCUGCCUGAACAGUAACGGCGUGGACCCCACCACCGCCGUGACUGGCGGCGCGUGGGCUCACGCCGCCCGAAAAUCAGGCCGCGUGAGGGGGCUGUAAUGCUUCCUCCUCUCUCGAUCUCUUCACCUGCAAAUCCAAAAAAACACAGCAAGGGCAGUCGAUUUUAAGUUUUCUUAGUUUUUCAAAUCUGUUUUUUUGUUCUUUCUUUCUCCGCGUCUUCGAUCUGCCCUCUCUGCAGCUUGUUUAUGUUUCCUCUUCUUCUGUUCAGAUGGCCGGCAGUUGUGGGUGUCUUCUUCUCCUCUAUUUCUGGUGGUGGAUCCGGUGGUUGCAAAGGGGGAGCGACGCUGCUGCUGGAGGAAGCUUCGGGUUGAUGGAGAUGAAAGAUCGGUCUGGGUCUUGUCGGAUGUAGGCUGCUGGGUUGUCUCCACUUCUGUUGGUUGCAGCGGCGGAUGGCCCUGCUGCUGUUGUCUGCGUCCGGUGGAGCCGCUGAAGAUGGAGGGGUUGCCUUGGCUUCUCGGGUUUUUGGCUGCUGAAUCCCCAGCGAGGACGGCUGCUCCGGGUGGUCUGUGCGGCUGAAAGGGGAGGGGUUUCUUGGCUGGUGAGAGGCAGCAAUGGGGUUGUCGGGUUGAAGAUUGAGGGGGCGGCUUCGGCUGUUGUUUUGGAUUUGUUUGUGGCCGAGAGAAAGGGAACGGCGGAGAAAAGAUGUAAACAGGGGGAGGCUGGUUCGGGUGGGCCGGUUUUUUUGGGUCAGAAAAAAUCAAACCGAGGAGCAACUCCGGGAGACCAAAAAUGAAAACCAGGGGGGGCGGCUGGUGUGAAGAAAAAAGUUUUUUUUUUUUUAGGGUUAGGGUUUCUGUAUUUUUUUCUUCUAUAAGUGUCAAAAUUACCCCCCCUUUUGCAAGUGUUGGAAACAGUAUUUAUAGACAAAAUUUUUGCUAGGUUUUCAACUUGGUCCCUCAACUUCUUUUUUUUUUUGUAAAUUUUAUUUUUCUUAUUUUUGUAAUUUUUUUGAAAAACGAGCAAUAUCAACGUCGACUCAAAAUGCGGAAAAUCAAUGAUUUUAAAAAAUGACGCGUGAAAAGUCGAACGCGUUUGAAAAAUUAAAUUAUUUAAAUCAAAAUUAAUUCUUUCUAGACGACGCUGAAAAUGCUAAAGACGGGAAUAUAUUAAAAAACAUAUUUUUUGGAUUUUCAUUGUUUUUCUCUAUUUUUUGGAUUUUUUAAAAUAUAUCAAAAACAUGGGUCAAAAAUUGGGUAGCAACAGGAGCAUGACAUUGCCCAAAAAGAGUAAGCCCAUUUGACAAUAUAUCUAUGACGACGUUCAACCAUGCCAUUUGUUCAUUGGUGUGCGGGUAGAGUACACGUGAUGAAUACCAAUUGGUUUUAAAAUACAUAUUGAGUUUUCGGUAUUCACCACCCGCCAAUCUGUUUGACAGAUUUUAUUUUUAAAGAAAAUUGGUGCUCAACAAGCGCUUGAAAUUGAUGAAAAUAUUAAAAAAUCAAACUUGUCAACUGUUGCUACCGAAUUUUGACCCAUGUUUUUGAUAUAUUCAAAAAAAUUCAAAAAUAGAGAAAAACAAAGAAAAUCCAAAAAAUAUGUUUUUUUAAUAAAUUUUCGCCAUUUUAGCAUUUUCAACGUCGUCUAAAAAAGAAUUUAAAUUUUUAAGGGUUUUUCGAAUGCGUUCGACUUUUCACGCGUCAUUUUUAAAAUCAUUGAUUUUCCUCAACGAGUCGACGUUGAUAUUGCUCGUUUUAAAAAAAAUACAAAAAAAUUAAGAAAAAAUCAGAUUUAUAAAAAGAAAGAAAUUGAGGGACCAAUUUGAAAACCUAGCAAUAUUUCCACCUAUAAAUACUGGUUUCCUCAACACAUUCAAGGGAGGGGGGGCAAUUUUGAGAAUUGAGGGGAGAGACAACCCAAAAACAAAACCCUAAUUCUAUCUCUUCUCCAAGCCGCCGCUUGGGACCCCCCCGGCUCCCUUUGAAUUUUUUUUCUCCUGAAGCCAAGCCGGCCGCCCCCCUCCCCUGCCUUGAAUUUUUUUUUGAUCCCCCACACAGACCCCUCUAACGAAAACAGCCACAACCGCCUUACCAUCUCCUCCCACUCUCCCUCACCCUUUGCCAAACAAACCAGCCGCCACUCUCACUCUCCCUUUCCCCGGCCAAGACGCCUAAUCUCCCUCAUCCCUCUCUCGGUUGCAAAAAAAAAAAAAGGGACCAAACCAGCCUCAUUUCCCUUCCUUCUCCCCUCAACCGCAACCUCUGACCAUCUCUCGAUCACCCACACUCCCCUCUCUUUCAGACCAAACAAAUCACCUUCUAAUUUUCCUUCUCAGCCGCCAACCCCCACCUGGAUUUUUUUUUCUUUCUUCUUCCUCUUUCCUAGCUGGCUUGCUAACAACCACAGCAGCCAUCCACUUCCCUCUCUCGGGUGCACUCUGACCGACCUCUCUCUCAGCCACCGAGAACACCGCCUUCCAGCCCGCAGGCCACGGUCUCCCUCCUCAACACAGACGCGAUGAAGCUUCGUUCAUCGGCGCAGAUCGGCCUCCAGCAACGCCGUCCAUAUCCGGCCACAAAUCCACCAUCCACCAGCCGCCGUCCAACUACCUGCAACAGAGAAGAAGACGGCGAAGCCUCAAAAAUAGAUCCCAAAACCGAGAAGAAACCGACCACCUGAAGAAGGAGAAAAUGGCAAACUGAGAGAGAACAUAAGGAUUUGAACGGAUCUGAAAAAUAACCAAAUAAAAUCGACUGCUUGUGUUCUUUUCUUUGUUUGCUGGUGAUGCUGGUGUUACCACCAGCAGAGAAGAGAAGAGAAGGAGAAAACAGGGCAGAUCCGCCCGUUUCCGGCAUGUUCGGCGGCACGUGAACCCACGCGCCGCCAGUGACUGGGGCGCGUGUGAAGACGCGCCGCCGCUGUUCCAGCGGGUGGCCGAAGGGCUUACCUGUAAUUUUUGGAGUUUAGGGACUAUUUUGUAAUUUGUAAAUUAUGUAAUGUAAUUUUUGUUUAAUUUGAAUUGUUUUUUUUAUAUAUAUAAUUUGUAAUGUGGAUGUACAAAAAGAAAAGAAUAUAGAAAAAAAGAAAAGAAAAGAAAAGAAAAGAAAAAUAUAGUAAAAGUGAAUGUGGGUGUUUGUAUUUUGUUUUAUUUAUUUGUAUAUAUUUUUUUAUGAUAAAAUUGCAAAUAUAUUAAAGAAGAAUUUAAUAUUUUGAUCGGAUCACGGUUAAGAAUUAUUAACUUAUACGUAAGUGAUAUUUCUAAUUUCCGAUGAAAAGACAAUUAUUAAAACUUUUUUAACACAUCAAAUUCGUGAAGCAGCUUACCUCAGGUAGGGUGCGUUAGGGGUGCUAAUACCUUCCCUAACCACAACCAGUCCCUUGCCCGCGAAUCUCUGACAAGACCAGUACAUCCGGUUUCCUAGUAGCCUUCAAUAAAUUACUAGGUGGCGACUCCAACGAACCAAUUCAUGCAACCACAACAACGAUAAAAAUUGCCAGCCCGAUGCCGAGCGCGGAUUUUCCGACGUGCGACAUCAACCAUCGGAUAAAACCAGAUAAACUUUGUAUGGGGCAUCCACAAAAAUAACAAAAUAGAGAAAAUUGUAUGAUGACAACAUAGGAAAGGGACCCAGGCUUCACUAAAAUUAAAUCAAGAGGAGCUAGAGUUUGAUGACCUGUAGUUUUAAAGUCAGACGACACAACUUGCCGAGAGGACACAAGACAAUUAAAAUUAAAUUGUUUUGACUUAUAUAACAUCUUUUUAUUUUUCACCAAAAAAUGCAAAAUGCAUGGACUGGGAUGCCCAAGCUGACGAUGUCAAAUAUUAGUGGAAGUAGAGAGGCAUGUAGAUGAGAAAGCCUGAGGCAUCGACAUUACAGACAACUCGGACCAAACAUAUAGACCAUCUCUACUCUAACCGGAAAGAAGCACUUUCUUUGUCAUGAGGUCCUUAACAUAAAAUAGACAGAAAUGAAAUUCAAAAAACACGUUAUUCUCAAGGAAAAUUUUUUUAACAGAUAGCAGAGGUUUUUUAAUGGCAAGAACAUGUAAAAUAUUAGAUAAAGUAAAGGUGCGUUUUUAUGAAUGAAUUUUAGAGUGAGCAAUAUUGGAAAUAACAAGGCCCUUACCAUCACCAACAUGAAGAUGAUCAUUACCAAGGUAACGUUCUGAACUCAUCAUACUAGCAAGAUUUGGCGUUACAUGUUGAUUUGCACUCAUAUCAGGAAACCAUGUGAUAAGAGACGUUGUAGGGGCAUUAUUAAAUGCGAGAUUGACAUUGGCUUGGAGAGGAUGAUUAGCCAACUAAGAGCACUGUUGGGCAAUGUGCCCAUAUUUAUAACACAGCUGACACUUUACAUUGAGAUUAUCCCCACCAAAAUGGUUACCUUACUGCCUAAAUUGUCCUGUUGUCUAAGAGGGAGAUCCAGAAAACUGUCUUGAGGAGAAUUAGUGUCCCUAUUGCCUAAAUUGUUGACCUGAGGUAUAACUGCUAUUGCCAUUAUUUCCACAAUAAGCAUUUUUUGCGAUUAUUAUUAUUUCUCUAGCCCCCACGAAAAUUGCCUCAUCUAGCAGUAUUGAAGCCAAAGUGAUUCUGCACAAAGAAUGCAGUUGGUUGUUGCGUUGUGGGUGUCGCACGUGUGCGGCGGCGCGGCGAUCGUCCACCCUCAAGGAAAAAUCAGAAUAUUUAUUCCAAGCAAAUAGGGAGAGACAAGGAAUUCUUGUGUCUAUAAGUGAAAAUAUGGAUUGCGAGUCGCCACCUAGUAUUCUGGUUACUAGGAACCUUAACUGGUCUUUAGAGAUCGGGUACGGAGACUGGUUGCGUAAAAGGAAGGUAUUAGCACCCCAACUACGCCCUACCUAAGGUAGGCUGCAUUGUUUUAAUGUCUGAUAAAAUCUAAAAUCGUGUUGUGGUUUUUGAAUUGUUGGUUCGUUUACAGUUUAAGAAAAGUCCUCCUCUGUAAGGAGAUCCUUAUCUUUAUCGGGUAAAAAACUAACUAUUCGAAGUCGUCAAAAGAAAAUAUCUUUUUAAUAUCAGGAAUACGAUUUAUGUAUAAAUUCAUAAUCCCUGAUACUAAAAUCAAACAAAAUAAAAUAUUUUGUUGUUUUUGAGAUUUUGGCCAAUGUUCUCUUGACUUUAAUAAACUGGUUAUUAAAACCAAAAUGCAUGCUAAAAUAUUGUUUUUUGACAUAUGAAAAAUACGAUAUGAUUUUUUGAUUUGAGACACUUGGCCGUAUGCACAAAAACAUUUUUUUUCUCUUUUUUGUUUUUAAUUUUUUUGUAAUUUUGAAAGUUGUGACGAAAACCGGGUAUUUUAAUACUGGAUUUAUAUUUUUACGAUGUAAAAUACUACCCGAUAUUAAUCAAAAUGACAUAAAAACUGCACGGAAAAAUUAUAAAAUGCUGAAGCAAAUAUUUUUUAUUUUUUUCUUUUUGAAUGGGCCGAGUCAGGCCCAAAUACAUGUGUGAACAGUGCUGUAAAAUGCCACCUGAUAUUAAUAAAAAAAAUGUGCUGGAAAAAUUAUACAAUUUUGUAUAUAAAAAAAAAAUGAAACUGAAAUGGGCCGGACCCGGCCCAAAUGCAUGGGCUGGGCCAACGGCCCAGACCAGGCCCAAACGGGCUGGCUACUGUGCAUAAGCACAGUAACCAGCCCUUCGUUAUUUGCAGAACGUGAAUUAAUUCACGUUUUGCAUGAAGGUGUUGGCGACCAUAAGCAAAGGGAGGCAGAGGCGGGGCAACAGGAUGGCGUACCUGCGGUGGCGUCGAGGUGAUGCUGCUGGCGGCGUUGGCACGGUGGCCGGUGGUUUUCCUUCUCUUUCUCUCUUCUGUUUUUUUCUCUUUUUCUUCUGUUUCUGUUUUGUUUCUCUUCUCUCUUCUCUUCUCUCUUCCCUCUCCCUUUUGCUGUGUUCUCUCUCUCUCUUCUGUUUUUUUCUCUUUUUCUUCUGUUUCUGUUUUGUUUCUCUUCUCUCUUCUCUUCUCUCUUCCCUCUCCCUUUUGCUGUGUUCUCUCUCUCUCUCGUCCUCCCUCCUGUUUGGUCUGCUUCCCCUGUUUUAAUAGGCAAAAACAGGGGAAGGACAUCAUGGUGGGGCGGCCACUGUUGGCCGCCCCCUCCACUAUCGAUCAGUGGAGAAAAAGGAGGCAAGUGGGCGUCGAAUGGUGGGCGUAUUAUUGCGUAAAAAAUGAGAAAGAAAGUUCGGCGAAAAGUGGAGAAAAAAAUUAUUCUCCCCUGUUCUCUGCGUGCGCAGGGAAGAAGACGAUGGUGCCAUUUCAAAAUGGCAUGAAACAAUGCAUGAAACGGCGCCGUUUUGGUCAAAACGUGCCGUUUGAUUUAAAAGAAAAAGGCGCCAAGAUGCGUCAGAUAUCAAAGAAGUCCCUUAAUUGGCGCGCGUUUUGCAUUUUAGUCCUUGGUCUCGGAUUUCUUCAAUUAAGUCCCUAAUUGGGCAUUAAACUUCAAUAUUUAUGCAAUUAAGCCCCUGAUUUGACCAAUUUAACUUCCAAAAAUUAUAAUUUGACCCCAGAAAAUUAAUUUCUUCUAAUUAAAGCCCAAAUUAACUCCAAAAUCAAUUUUUUUUUGCAAUUAAAACCUCUAUAAAUUCAAUUAAACCUUCAAUAAAAUUUAAUUGAGUCCAUAAACUUCUAAUUUUGCAUUUUUCUUCCUCAAAUUGAAUUUUCUUUAUCAUCGGGGCUCUCAUCAGUCAAUGAUAUACUGUCAAAAAUUAAUUUUUAUAUUUUUGAACAUCCUCAAUCAAUUUUGAGCAUUUUUAGGGCGCUCUGACAUUUUUUUCACUGUUAUAUUUUUUUAUAAUGUAUUUUUUUUAUUUUUUGUAUUUUAUUAUUUUUUAUGUGGGGACCUAAAAAUGGGUUACAACAGUCGGUAACAGAGGUGCUAUUACGAUUGGUUGGAGAAUAGCUUUAUGGAGAAAUUCAUAUGUAAGUAGUUUGCUAUGGAGAUCAGUGUAGGAGAUGGGAUCAACCUUAGUAGACAAGUUGGUGACAAGAUCUUUAAACUCGCAGCGUAACCCUCGAAACACAUGCAGGUAGAAUUCUGCCAAGGAGAUUGGUCUGUCAGCCACCACAAGUUCAUCAAACAAUGCAUUUGCCUUCUACAAGUAGGUGCUAACAAAAUCAUCAUGCUGGCGUAACUCUUGGAAGGAACCGUGAAGUUGCAUGAUCAUGGAAUUCGAAGGAGAAGCAAGAGUUGUUUCUAGCGUUCUCCAGAUAUCAUGGGAGGUGUUAUGUAGGUCAAAAAAAUUUAAUUUUAAUUGUCCUGCAUGUCCUACUUGGUCAUUAGUGCCCUGUCAUCCGUCUAUAAAUGUGAUUGGUAAUAGAUGGGUGUACAAGAUUAAACGCCACGCAGAUGGUCGAAUUGACCGAUAUAAAGCAUGGUUUGUUGCCCGCAACUUCUCUUAGCAAGAAGGGAUUGAUUAUUUGGAGAUGUUUAGCCUGGUCGUUAAACCUACAAUGGUUCACCUUGUGCUCACUAUUGUUGUCUUAUAUGGUUGGAAUAUUCACUAGUUGGAUGUUCAUAAUGCUUUCUUGAAUGACAUUCUUCAAGAGGAGGUAUACAUGGCAUAACCACCUGAGUUUGUUGAUUCUACUAUUUCAUCUCAUGUGUGUCGUCUUCACAAAUCUUUGUAUGGCUUGAAACAAGUACCUCGAGCUUGGUACAACCGGUUGAGCGGAUUUCUCCUUUCCAUUGGAUUUCAAGCAUCCAAGGUUCACACUUCCCUGUUUAUUCUCUCUCUUAAUGGUGCCAUGAUUUAUUUGCUUGUGUAUGUGGAUGAUAUUUUACUGAUCGGGAGUAACUCAGCUUUGCUUCAUAGAUUGAUUAUUUUACUACAAACAGAAUUUAAGCUUCGGAAUUUGGGUUCUGUUCAUUUCUUCUUGGGUAUUGAAAUUAAACCUACAGCUAUGGGUAUCUUAUUAAGUCAACACAAGUAUGCACUCGAUAUUAUCCAAUGAGCAGGUAACUGGUUGAUACAGAUUGUUGGAGCACUGCAAUAUCUUACUUCCACUAGACCUAAUAUUUGCUAUGUAGUCAACAAAGUAUGUCAAUUUAUGCAUGCCCCUACUAAAGAUCAUUGGGUUGCCGUUAAAUGUAUCCUACAUUACCUGCAGGCUACAGCAACCUAUGGUCUGUACAUUACUCGAGACUUUCUCUUAACUCUUCAUGGUUUCACAAAUGCUGAUUGGGCAGGUAGUAUUGACGAUCGCAAAUCCAUAGGUGGGUAUCUUAUGUACCUUAGUUCUACCCCUAUUUCAUGGAAAUCCAGGAAACAACACAUUGUUGCUAGAUCUUCUAUGGAAGUAGAAUACAAAGCCUUGGCUAAUGGUACUGCUGAAAUUUUGUGGAUUCGUUCUUUAUUGGCAGAACUUUGGAUUUCCGCUUCAUCCAUGACUACGUUAUGGUGUGAUAACUUAGGGGCCACUUUCUUAUCUACCAAUUUGGUGUUCCACGCUCCUAAACAUGUUAAAGUUGAUUAUCACUUUGUUUGUGAUUGCGUUGCUAAGAGAGAAAUUCAGAUACAAUUCAUCUCUUUAAAGGAUCAACUUGUUGAUGUUCUUACCAAGCCUCUCCCUCCAGUCUCGUUUGGUUAUGUUUGAUCCAAUCUUCAGGUGGAAUCUCCACCUUCAGCUUGACGGGGUGUAUUAAGAAAAGAGACCACAUAUAUGUAAAUACAUUAUAUAGGGAUAGUUAUCAUGUGUAGUACAUUCCACCAUUGUAUUGUAUACAACCCUAAAGGUAUAAAUACAAAGGGAUGGUUGUUUUAUCAAUCAUUGAUCACAAUUAUACAAAAGACUAUCUUUCUAAUCUUGACAUGGUAUUAGAGUCUUGAUGACCAAACGGUCACGAGUUCGAAUCUCACCAUCCUCAUUUAUUUGAUAAAAAUUAAGCACAAGGUAAUAUAGGUUUGUGCAAUUUUCAAGCCCAAAGGGUUUUUACUUGAAGGGGUGUGUUAGAAAAUAAUGUAAAUCAUAUCAUGAGACCUCACCUAACAGCUUAAGCUAUUAGGUUGAGAUUAUUCUUUGAUACCAAGAUAAUUGGUCUAUCAAGACUAACAAGAGUUCUCUUAAGAUUGUCAGUUAUUUCUUCAUCAGUUCAACAUCCAAUCUGCUCAAUAUUGUUACUUACAAUUUUUCUUUAAGAAGAAAAAAGAAUACAGUGCUUAUAACUGGGAUGGGGGUCCUACCAGAUCUUUAGUUUUCCUCAAUAGAUUUUGUAAGAUUAUCUAAUUGCUUCAAGUACAACACUUAGAAUAGGAUUUUGAAGUCUAAGUAAGUUCUUAGUGAAAGCUGGAUGCUGUAAAAACAAAACACUACAAAAGACAUUAACCUAACCAACUUGUGUUAACUAGAAUCCCGCUUUUUGAUCAAUUAAUUUCCAAACUAGAUUUACUAACUAUAAUUUUGAGGAUAACAACAUAUUUAAGCUAAGGUAGUGGAAGACUUUAACCAAUGAGGCAGUUUCUGAAAAUUUCUUUUCUAAAUAAAAACUAAAUAUUUUUCAUUAAAAAAUAUAAAAAUGGCUCCGUAAGUGAGGGAAGAUGAAGUCGUGUUGUGUGCAAGCAGCAUAAGAAGAAAGAUGAACUAGGUUUGACCAACCUUGACAAGCAUUCAGUUGAGCUACCAAUUAAUUUCUGUUGGCUAAAAGAUGCAAAUAAACAAUGAAUUGAACUAAAUACUCAACAAUAAACAAGGUCCCGUUGGAAAAAAUGCUCCUCGAAUUAUUAACAAAUACACUAAAAGAACUUGACUGCGCAAUAUUCAUAUAAUAACCUAAUUUAAAAUAGAGAGAUACUACUAAGAGUUAAGAGGAGAGAUGGGAGGAAAAGUUGAAUAGAAACAAAAGCAUUUCACACCUUUAAAGUUUGAAAGUUACUGAAGUUUGAAGGAGAUAAUUGAAGGGAGGAGAAUGAGUGCAGGCGGUGAGAAAAAAUAUAAUAGAAAGAAGGGGAAAUGUUAUUUAUAUAAAAAAAUAUUUAAGAUUAUUUAUAUAUUUAGGAGGCUGCUUUUGCGUCAACUGGACAACAAGAGGAACUUUAGAAGCAUGGGCUUCUUUCACUCACGAGGAUUCACACCAAGAAAAGCUUGAAGCUUUGCAUUUUAAUGGAAGAAUUGAGCCUAGAGGUGUAAGUAGCUUUUGGGACCCAAUUUCUUGGAAUCAUAUCUCUUGCAAACAUUGCUCUUCCUGUUGAUAGUGUUGUUAACUUCACAGAUAAUGGUCCUUUCUAUUGAUAAUUAUAGGUAUAUAAAGAAUUGAAUAUUGAUGAUAAUCAGAAAAACAAAGAACAGAGAAUUUGAGCAAAGAACAAAGAGCAGAAUGUUUUUUAUAAGUUACUGCCAUCCCUUAGCUUUUAUUUACAAAUGAAAUCAAUCACAACAAAAUUAAAAAACGCAACUAACAUAAACUCCUUCAUUUAAAGAGUUAUGUAACUUAUCCUAAAGAAGUUUCAAAUCGAAAAAAGUAAAAAUUGACUAAACAACAUCAAGAUAAUGAUGUUACUAAUAAAUAGAUAUUAAUGAAAGAUAACCUACAACUGAUACAUUAAUUUCAGCUUUGGUGCCAUAACUUCAACACUCCUCCUUGGUUCCAAAGCUGCAUAUCCAUAUCCUCUCCCUUAGAUCUUCAAAUCUAUCUUUAGCUAAAGGCUUGUUGAACAGGUCUGCUAAUUGCUCUUUUGAAAUGCAGUAUAUCAUCUUUAGUUCCCCUUCUUGCUGGAAUUACUUGAUAGCAUGGAACUUAAUCUUCAUAUGCUUGGUCUUGUCAUGAAAAAUAGAAUUCUUUGAAAUAGCUAUUGCUGAUAUAUUGUCACAUAACAAUUUUAUGGGACUUCGUUGAUGAAAGUCUAGAUCAUUCAACAUUUUCCUUAGCCAUAUCAAUUGCUUUGUUGCCACAUAUGCUGCUACGUAUUCUACCUCUACAGUGGAAUGUGCAACCACUGAUUGCUUCUUUGAGUUCCAACAAAAAAUGCUUCCUCCAAUAGCAAAGCAAUAACUUGAGGUGCUCAUCAUUUUUUCAUUUCUUCCAGCCUAAUCACUAUUAGAAAAACCAAUUAGUUUAACAGAACUUGAUUUCACAAAAUGCAUGCCAAACUCUAAGGUCCCUUUUACAUAUCUCAGAACUCUCUUGGCUGCAACAAAAUAGAUUUGAUUUGGACUUUGCAAGAACCUAGAGAUGUAAUUGACAACAAAAACAAUGUCUGGACGUGUAGCAGUUAAAUACAACAAGCUGCCAACUAAACUUCUAUAGGUUUUUCCAUCAGUUUUGGGAGAUUCAUCCUCCUUCAUUAGCUUUUGUUCCAGUACCAUAGUACCAUAGGUGUACUGACUGGUUUGCAAUUUUCAAUUGCAAAAUUUUUAGUAGCUUUAUUGUAAACCUCUUUUGACAUAGAAAAUAACUUUGCUCUAACUGAGUUACUUCCAUGCCUGAGAAUUAUGACAGCAAACCAAGUUCAUUAAUCUCAAACUAAUCAUCAAAUGACAACGUGGGACACAAUCUGCAUUAUAUAUUGUAUUCUCUUCUGUUGAUGGAGGGUGGUGUUUGCUGUAUUUGUUAGAACAAAAUAUUUUUUUAAAUUGCUCGUCCUUUUACCUUGAAAAAAAUCCUGCAGCAGGGAUGGGAUGGAUGUUUGUUGAUUUUAUCGUAAUGCACCGUGUCAAUGAUUUUGGGACGGCCAUUUUAAUACUGUUCAGACCAACCAAGCUGUUGAUAUCUUUAAUUAACAUUCGUAUCUUAAUUUGAUUAUUAUUAUUAUUUUUUUUACUCAAUCAAACAACAACAACAGGAGUCUAGUAAAUACAUGCUUAAAAUAUAUAUAUAUAUAUAUAAGUAGAAGUGCGCAUACAUUCAAUUGGAAACUCAAGAGUUAUUACAAAGUUCAAAUUAUUACCACAAUCGCUAGCCAGACACAAUCCAAGAUGUGAUCGAUCCCAAAAUCCCGACCUCUGAUCUUACUAAAGAUUGUGCUUUAUCUUGUGAUCAGAGAGCUUUCUCUUGAGAUCAGAGGGUAUAUUACGCAGCCACCACCUACUGUAGAAAAACAAGAAAAUUAAGUAGUAGAUAUAAUGCAAGAGCACUAGUAGAAGAACCGGGUUGCCAAAUAGCAGGAUAAUCGAAGGAAAAACAAAGGCCACCCCUGCAAUGAUGAUUGUUAACAUCCAACCAUGGGAUCCUAUUAAUGCUAUUCUCACAGAAAAAAGGAAUGCCCCGAACAUCAUGAAAAUAGCCAAACAAACCAUGAUAAUUGAAAACCCAACUGUAGAGAUUUGAAAUCUGGGAAUAUUAAAGUUUGCACAAGAAGGAAUAGAGCUGCCGCCAGAGAGGUAGAUAAAGCCCCCACAUCGAGAAACAAAUAACCAUACAGAAGAUUCUCAUAAGUGCUGUAAUCGGAGGCAGUAUAAGUGACGUUAAAUUCAUGACGAUGAUCACUUGAGUUAUUGUUAUCCCUUAAUUGUGGCAAUUGUAUAGCACCCGCAAAGGUUACUCCAGCAACAAGCACUGCCACCACUAGAAGAUUCCCUGUCAUGCUCUUUGUUUCCUCUUUUGCUUUUGACAUGGGUAGUGGAGUAACAUGGAAAAACCUCUUUAGGGAAUUCUUAGGUCGGGCAUUGAAGAAUAAGAUCGAUAAUGUCAGCACCUGCAUAUAUAGCACGGGGAAAUUAAAAACUUAAUUGUUUAAUGAGUUCUUGGCACUUCCUCAAUUGCAUCUAAAAACGUUGACCUUCGAAUGCCUUUCCCAGAACAAGUAAUUUUCUGGAAUGGUUUAGAAUGUUUUAAUAUAAUGGUUUACGAGUUAAAUCGAUUGUUUUGUUAAAAGAUUAGGGAUGGCAAGGAAAAAAGAAGAAGCAAUAAUACCAAUGGGAGAUACAAAACCGUUAUUUCGUCCUUUGGUGAUGCCUCUUUUGUAUCCAUCUUAUUUGAAUCAAUUUCUUUGCCCUGUCAAAAUAAUAAUAUUAUUAUUAUUAUAUGUGAAAAUGCAGUGCUCUCCUGUGUGCUAUGGCUAGACAACAAUCGAAGCAAAUGAAACUGGUUCAUGUUUGAAAAAAAGUCAUUUGACAUUAAAUGGUUUUGAUUAAAAUAAUAUAUUUAUUGAAGAUUUUUUAUUUCGUGUUGCGAGAUACUUUUAAUUUUUUUAUUUAAUUACAUGACAAUAAAAAUUAAUUUUAUUAAAUAAUUUAAAUUCUAUUAUUGAAAAAAAAAGGUAUCUAUAUUUUUUUUAAUCAAAACCAUUUUCCUUAUUAAUACGUUCCAUUUUUUUUACUAAUGUUUUUAUAAAAUUGUUUUUUUUAAUAACAACCUAUCAUAAUCUUAUAAAUAAUUUUUAAUUUAAAAAAUAAAAUAAUUAUGGAUUGAUGAUUUUCUUGAAAAAAAAAAUAUUAAAUCAGUAAUACUCCUAAAAUAUAUAGACUUUUGUAGCUCGAUAAAUGAUGAUCAAAUUAGUAGCUUACCAUUUCAUCUGUUUUUAAGUAUUCCUCUUCAGAUCUUUUGGAAAAUUGUUCAGCCCACUCAUAUGGUGUCCAAUUUUCAUUGUUAACAAUGAAAUGUUCGACGCGAUUGUCACGCACAAGAAGAAAUGUAGCCGCGCAUCGGCCAUAACCUGCUGCCAAGUGCAAAGGUGUAUUUCCAUCCUCAUCUAUCGCAUUUAGCAGCGGUGCGAUGAGCUUCUGGUCCAGCUUGAGUAUGUACCUAACCACACUGUCAUUUCCAUAUUUGGCCGCUACAUGAAGAAUGUUCUGCCCUUUUUUAUUUAUGAAUUCGUUUGGAUAGGGGAUAACUUUCAGGAAUUCCUUUAACAAAGCAACCGAGCCUCCCUUGCAUGCAAGAUGAAUAGGAUAGUUGCCCUCUUGGUCAGUUUCAUCAGCACCGGGAUGAUACUUUUGUAAUAGGAAUUGAACUCCUUCCACAUAGCCUGUAGAUGAUGCAUAAUGGAGUGGAUUUCCAAACUCUUUGUCAUGGAGACGUAAUAACUCUGGCUUUGCUUCUUCGAUUUUCUGCAAUAUACCUGAAAAUAAAAAUAAAUUGUUUUGAAUGAAUUUAAAGAUAGGUUUGCAAGAUUGGUUUGUAUGUAUAUCACUUUUCUGAUGAGAGGAGACAAUGUGAUCACCUAUGUUACGGUUCUUGAUGGCAGCAUGAACAGGGGACUUUCCUUGUGGUAGCAUGCCAAGUGAAUCUCCAUCUUCUCUUUCUCUAGGGAUCGAAGCUUCCUCAUUCAAGAGAUCAUCAAGAAUCCCCUUCAUAUUGCGAUUUUCAACAGCCAGAUAUAAAGGAGACCUGCCAGUCUUGUUUUUGUAAUAGGCCACUUCUGGAUCUCUGGACAUGAGGAAUUUGGCAACAUCUUUGUUACCAUUGAUCACUGCAACAUGCAAAGGAGUGUUUCCUUCUCUAUUUGUCGUCCUCAGCAAGAAAGCAUUCGAAUUGACAAGGUUUCGAAUUGCAUGACUAAUACUUCCCUCUCUGGCAGCAACAUGAAGGAUUGUGUCUUGCUGGUCGUUUCGGCUGGUGAUUAGAGAAGGGAUCUCUUUAGCCAGGUAAGCAGUAAUAUUAUUACUUUCAUACCUUAUGGCUACAUGAAGUAGCGAAUUCCCACAGGGAGUCACUAGCUUCUCCGCUAAAUGUUGCUGGACACGGCUUUUAAAUUCCUCAAUAUUGUCCUGCUUCACGUACUCAUAUAACUUACUAUCUAUCUUUUUAUUUGCCAUGUGAUCUCUCGGAAUCGAGCUUCCAACUAUGUUUAUUGCUACGCUAGACAUAGCGAAAGAAAAUAUUAUUUGACCUGAAUCAGCUAUACAUAUCAGACGGCAGGACUUCUAAUUUAAAUAGACCAGACUGCAUGUCAAUGGAAUCUGAAAUAAUGUGAAUCUUACUCUUUUUUUUUAUUUGCAAGGAUAUAUACUUUGAUUACUCAAAUACUUCACGCAUUUGUUCUGGAAUCCAGAACAUAGCAAGAGAGAGAGAGAGCAGUCUUGGCUAUGGUUAAAGCAGCAUCUUGAAAAGGAAAAGGGGAAAAUCUGUCCCCUAACUCAAAAAAGAUGAGUGUUCCUAGGGAAAUUCUUAGCUUAAAUUUGUAACUCAAAAAAGAUGAUUGUUGUUAGGAAAAUUCUUAACUUGAAUAUAUAACGCAAAGGAAAUUCUUAACUUGAAUAUAUAACUCAUAUACACUGUGCAGGUGGGAGAAUCCAUGGUUUAAUGAACAUGAUGAUGCACGAUGGCAUGAGAGUCCACAUCUUAUACCUUCCGGUGAUUUAACCAAUUAAUUCAAAAGUUUUAAACUCUCAUGUUAAAAUCCAAGAAUACAGUUUUAUAAUUUUUAUUAUUUUAAUGGGAGAUCUCGUGUGCGUUGGACUGCAUUAUAUAUGUAUAUAUAAACGAAUUUUCAACUAUUGAUUUGGAGUGUCGAUUUAAAGUAUUGUAAUAGCUUAAGAUGUUUAUUGAAUAAGAUGAAUCUAGCUAAGUCUUGGCUUUACCCAGCAUGAACAUUUUCUUUUUAGUUACAUACCUAAUAUGAAUUUCAUUUUGUAGUAAAAGUAUGGAACUGAUGGUAAAAAAAAUAAUAACUAGUUUUUUUAAAAAAAAAAAAAGCUUUGGAACGUUCUGUGCCUUGCCCAGACACUUGUUGGUCGCCCAUUGGACAGCAAGACCGAUUGGUUGCCCAACUUGCCUAGCAACCAACCAACUUAUCUCUCUCUCUCUUUCUUUUUCUUAUUUUUUUUCUCUUUUUAAUUUUCUCUCCUCUGUUUUUCAACAAAUAAAACUACAUGCCACGAACUCUAUAUAUUAUUUUUUUAUAAUAUAAUUUAAUUGUCUUAAUACAAGAGUUAAUAUAUUUUCAUAGUUUUGGAGCACUAAUUAGACAUAAAAAAAAAGAUACAAAUUACAUUAAAAAGCAGGUUCGGAAGGUUCAACAAAAGUAACCUGCUAUCAAGCUAUAAGCCUGAAAAGAAUAAUAAUGAGAGGGUGAGUUCAACAACUCAGUGAGUAAAUAAUAUUCAAUAUACACACACGAGGUAAUACAACAAUGAUAAUACAUAUACAAUUAUGGCUCUAGGUUCUUAUAGGAAGGUUUCUCAAAUAGAUCAUAACAAGAAUAUCAUAUGGUAAAGCUCGUCAAAAAAUCAAAAUGCAAUAAGCAUGAGCUCCGUACUGUGGGAUGAUCAGUCACACAGGUUGGUGACUCCCCGACCAACUAGGGUUCAUAUACGAUAUGCAAAGACUAACAUUACCCUGUUAGCAUGGUAUUCUGACUGACAUACAUAGGUUCAUAAUCAUAAUCAAACAAACAUAUUCAUAUCUCAAAGCUCAACUCAUGACAUCAAUCAAAUGAGGAGCUAUCAAUUCAAAAGUCAAUUCAAAAUAUAUACUGGUUCAUAUCAAGAAUUCAGAUUCAAUAAUUGAUCAUGCUUUAUCAUAACAAGGAUAAUAAUCAACAUAUAUAUUAUCAAGAAGCAUGAUCCAAUUCAUAUUAACAAAUCAAAUAUUUAUAAUAUUUCUCAUGCAUAUGAAAAAUUAUCCACUCACCUGACUCAAAAGCAAACGGCACUCAAAAGUUGAUACCGAAGGAAAUCCUACUAACGUCCCGCUAGUAAAAUAUCAGGAUUAUCUGAAUACAAAGGAGACAUAUUCAAGAACGACUCGAAAAACAUUUAACCUAUUUAAUACACUUAACUAAGGUGUAUUCCGUAACCCUAUAUGUUUUGAACUAACUAGUCAAUUUUCUCAAAAACCCAAAAUUUAAUGGUUUUCCCGAAAUCUAAUCCAUAAUAAAACAACUAAUAAAAUUGGUAAUAAUUCACUAAAUAACCUUAAUUAUUCACAAAAUAAUCUGCAAAAGCUAAUAUUACACUAGGGACUAAUCUGAAUUUAUCAUAUUUUUAGGGCCAAAUUGUAAUUUUCAUCUAAUUGGAGGACCAAACUAAACAUAUCAUAAAUUCAUGACUAUAGUGGAAUUAUGUCCAUAAUUCAUCCGCAUUUCUGUCCAGAACCUCUAAUUAUGCUCCAGGGACCAUUCUGGAUUUUUUUCCCAAAUUUUAGGGUCAAAUUGUAAUUUUUGUCAAAUGGAGGACCAAACUAAAAUUGUCAUAAAUCCAUGACUAUACUGAAAUUAUGACCAUAAUUAAUCCUCAAUUAUGUCCAGAAUAUCUCAUUAUGCUCCAGGGACCAUUCUAGAAUUUUACCAAAUUUUUAGGGUCAAAUGGUAAUUUUUUCAAAUUAGAGGACCAAAUUGAAAGUUUAAAAUUUCAUAACUAUACAGUAAUUCUGCCCAGAAUUCAUAUGUUAUUCUUUCAGAAUCUCGGAAUAUGCUCCAGGGACCAAUUUUUAAUUUUCCAAAGUUUGGGACUAAACUGUAAUUUUCACAAAUUAAGGGACCAAAUUGAAUUUUCGUCAUCUUCAACCUCCAACCCAGAAUUUUAAUAUAAAACCCACUGUUCUCUCCAAAUUUCUAACACAAAUUAACCAUUCAAACAAAAUCAUAACUCAAAAUCAUCAUCUUUCAAUUCAAUCUCUCAAAAUCAACCAAAUAAUCAAAUAUCAACACAACAAUUAACCCUGGUUUUGUUAUGUUAUUUAUUACCUCGACACUCCUGCACUUGGGAUAAGACAUUAAUCUUUUAAUCAUGUUGAAAAUUUAGAUUCCUUUUAUUUCUUAUCAUGAUCAACGACUUGUAGAUGUUUUUAUUAAGUUAUUUUCUAUUGUUUUUCAAUUCAAAUUUCGGGUCGAUUCUUCACCAUAUAUAUAUAUAUAUAUAUAUAUCAAGGAAAUAUUAAUAUGUUUAAUCACUGUUAUAUAAGGUGUUGGUUAACUAAUAAGUUAAUAUAUAAUUCCAUUCACAACAUGACACUUUGACUAUUUGUUUUUUGUUUUUGUUUCUUUUAAUAUAAGAACUUAUAUAGCCUAUCAUUGAUAAAUAAAUAAAUUAAAUUUGCUUUAAUGGAGUCAUUUUAAUUUGCUUUAACUCAACUUAUUGACAAUUUUCUCUUAAAAUUUAUUCAUUUCUGAUAAUAUAUUGAUAGAACACACAUAUUCAAUUCAUUAUUUCAACUGGAAACUCAAAAGAUAUUACAAGUUCAAAUUAUUAUUACAACAUCUAGACACACAAUAUUCCAAGAUGCUUUUUCACCCCUAACCUUCUAAAAAAAGGCGAUCACACAAAAUCAUGACAUCUGUUGAUGAAGAUCAACCUGGAUAGUUACUUGGGCUUUGUCCAGAGAUCACGAAGUNNNNNNNNNNNNNNNNNNNNNNNNNNNNNNNNNNNNNNNNNNNNNNNNNNNNNNNNNNNNNNNNNNNNNNNNNNNNNNNNNNNNNNNNNNNNNNNNNNNNNNNNNNNNNNNNNNNNNNNNNNNNNNNNNNNNNNNNNNNNNNNNNNNNNNNNNNNNNNNNNNNNNNNNNNNNNNNNNNNNNNNNNNNNNNNNNNNNNNNNNNNNNNNNNNNNNNNNNNNNNNNNNNNNNNNNNNNNNNNNNNNNNNNNNNNNNNNNNNNNNNNNNNNNNNNNNNNNNNNNNNNNNNNNNNNNNNNNNNNNNNNNNNNNNNNNNNNNNNNNNNNNNNNNNNNNNNNNNNNNNNNNNNNNNNNNNNNNNNNNNNNNNNNNNNNNNNNNNNNNNNNNNNNNNNNNNNNNNNNNNNNNNNNNNNNNNNNNNNNNNNNNNNNNNNNNNNNNNNNNNNNNNNNNNNNNNNNNNNNNNNNNNNNNNNNNNNNNNNNNNNNNNNNNNNNNNNNNNNNAACAAUAGAAUGUGUGAAACUCUUCUUACAUAAUCAUCAAAGAUCCAUUCGUAGUACAGUCAUAACGUCUGUAUCCAAUAAACUGCAAUUAAUCAUUAGGGACUAAACUUCAAAUCUGAUUCAACUCUUAGGGACCCAAUUUAAAUCUGAUUAUAAAAAUUAAGGACCAAAUCAUAACAAUUCAAACUCAAGGACCAGGCUAUAAUGAUUAUAAAUUUCCAUGGAUUAUAUUGUAUCUUUACCUUCUCCUUCUCGAGAGUUUCUGCCGAUUCUCCUUUAUCGACAUUGGCUUAAUCCUUCUGAAUCAUCUUUUAUUUCUUUGGGACAUACUAAUUGUGCGGUAAACGUAAAUGCACAUGCAAUGACCAUUACUAUCUUUUUUAUUUUUUUUAUCUUAAAAGUUAAUUUUAGUUGCUAAGAAAUGAUUAUUAAUCUAUAAAUAGUCAUAUAAAUUCAAUUUAUUUAUAUAAAAUAUAUUAAAAAAAAAGAUAAAUUACAAUAAUCUCUUGGAAGCAUUACAAAAUAAAUAAAUAAAAGAUUAAUUAUUUUUUAAAAAAAUAUAAACUAAACAAUUAAAAAAAUUAUUAAAAAAUUUAAAUAGAAAUUAAUAAAAUAUUUUUUUUAAAAAAAAAAUAUUAAGCAAUGCUGGGAAUAACAUACCAAGCCCACGCGCUAGGCGAGGAUAAAAAACAUAAGUGUGCUUGAUACUAGAAGCCCAAGCCAGCAUUCCGGCUAAAUUUUUUUUUUCUUUUAAAGUUAUUUCUUGAAAUAGACAAGUUGUUUAUUAUGCAAAAAUUAUUUUUAUCCUCUGCAUCUUUUUCCUGUUACCUCCUGUGUUUGAAAAAUAAAAGCUCAAGUUUUGAAACAUCAACUUCAUUAAACUUUCAUUAAAAGAUAAAUUUAUUAAUAACAAAGUCAAUCUUUUUAUGAUUGAAAUCUGUCCAUUAAAGUACUUUUUCUCUUUUUAAUAUUUUUCGCUAACUUUUUCUCUUCUCUUUCAAUGUUCAGACGCUAAAUUUUAUUUUAUUUUUUUUAAAAGGACUAAAAUGUGAAAUGCUAUAACAACAAGGAUUAAAUAAUAAAUAAGUUGAAACUUUAUAGAGAAAAUUAAAGUUUUCCAUACCAAUAUUCAAAUGGGGUUUUUUUUUAUUAAAUUUGGUCAAGUUCUUAAGUUUUGUUUUAACUAAACAUAAAAUUGUAUUUUGCAAAAUUAAUUUUUAAGUUAUCGUUGUAAAAUUUGUUGACAUUUUGUAUAUGUAAGACAAUGAAAAUUAAAAAAAAAAAAAAACAGAUCUUAACAUGUAAAACUGUUUUAAUAUAAUUUUGAAAGAUUAAAUUGAAAAUAUUAUAGUUUCAUGAUCAAAAUUAAAAAAAAAUAACAUUUGCAUGAAUAGUGUAAUGAAUAAUGAAUCUCGAUCGAGAGGAAGAGUAACAAUACACAGUAUUAAUAUUAAUUCCAUAAAGUAAUAAAUCGUAAUCCACUUUAAUUAUUCAAUUAAUCUAAAACUCAUAACAAUACAUACAAUCCCUUUCCUUUGAGAGUGCUUUUAUUUAUUUGCGAAAUUGCAAAUAAGUGAAUAACUACGAAAUGAGCAUUGUACCUCUAAAUCAAUGCUAGUUAUUAGGGGUGAAUAAAAAAAUUAAAAAAUCAAGAAAAUAAAAAAAAAAACGAUUAAAAUUUUUACAAAAAAACCGGCAAGUUCGGUUCAGUUUCAAUUUUAUAAGCCUAAAACUGAAAAAAUCGAACCGAACCAAACCGAACCGAACCCAAACCGAAAAAAACCGAGCCAAACCAGUAAAAAACGGAGCCAAACCGAGUCAAAAGCUAGUCAAAUCGAAAAAACCGAGCCAAACCAGUUUGAACCGGUUUUGAUCCUAAAAAACCAAACCGAAACCGAUCGGUUUGACCCAGUUUCGGUUCGGUUUUGGUUUUUUCUAAACAAAAAAAAUUAAUUUUUUUUUUUUUUUUAUAAAAACCGAAUCGAACUGCAAAUAAUCAUCCCUACCGCCCAUUAAUUUUCAAAUAAAGACAAUAUAGUCUAUUCACUCUAAUUAUUAUUUUUUAAUUCCAUCUAAGUCCAUAAUUCCUAGAGUUUUGUUGGGCCUUGGCGUUUUUUUUAGUAGGUUUCUACAGUUUUGUUCACAUUACAGCCUACCAUUUUCACGAUGUCUCCCUAUGGAUAAUCAUAUCUCACUUGAUUAUAUUUGAAAGCCUUUUGAGGUAAAGAUGAUAAGGUUUUUUAAUUUUUAUGGAAGGUCCAUCUAAUUUUUUAAUAUAAAAAAUCUUAUUUCUUAUCUUUAUUUUCAACGUAAAGUAUAUUAAUAAAAAGAUAAAUCUUAAUUUUGUUUCUUAUAUUCUUAAAUAUAAUAAUGUUCAUUGUAUUAUACAAAGGAGACCAACUUCCUCAAUGCAUAAGAAAUAAAGGAAUCGAAAAAGUGAAGUGAGGCUCACUUUCCUUCACCAGCAUAUACCAUGCGUUUACCUUUCCAAUAAUUAGAAGAAAGCGACUUGUAUGGAGAGAGCUUUCUAAAUUUCUUAUAUUGAAAUUCUAUAGGUGUCUUUACAUUUUGAUUACAGUUUUUUUUAUGCUUGCUUCAAUUAAAAGAAUUUUAAAUUUUAAAGUUAGAUAUUAAGUUUGAUAUUGUUAACAAUCUAAACUUCAGACAUUAUCCAUGUAAUUCUAAACUUAUAGUUCUAGGCUUAAAAUAAUGUUUCUCAAAUAUAAAUUUAAAACUUAAUGAUCUUUUUAUAUAUAUAGAAAGCAAAUUAAAACUUGUGAAGUAGUCAAAUAACCUAAAUAUUUUGAAUACAAAAAAUAACUUAACAACUCAAGAUUAUAGAAUUUACAUUCAUUGGAUGAUUCUUCAACUUUGGCUAUCAAGGUUGUGCAUGAAGAUCAAGUAGAUGUUGCUAAAGAUUUUACAAUUAGAUAUACAAGGAAUAUUUGUGGUAUUGCUAAUGACAUCUUCACCACAAAUCAACUAAAAAUUCAUAUCAAGAAGGCCAUCAUGGACUAAAUAGAAAUUUCAGUUUAACCUUUAUAUUAUUAUGCAAAGCCAUACACACAAAAGUUGAGCUAUCAACCAAUAAAGGUUCAACAAUUAGAUAGCAAAAGGAAUCUAAGGCAACAUGUGGCUCACUUUAUAGAGGCUUGUAACAAUACUAUAAUUGAUGGUGAUCUCAUGGUAAAACAAUUCAUUCAUUCUUUAAAAUGCAAUGCAUGACUUGGAGUCUUUUUUAAGUUAUUGUUGGGAGAAAUUGAAACAUAUGUUUCUUCAACACUCAUCAUAUAGUUAACAUGAUUAAACUUACCAAUGAACAUUAAUAAAUAGAGAAGCAUGUCACUAACUACAUUCAUCAAUGGAAAAAUCUACAACACUUAUCACAUGGUUAACAUGAUUGAACUUAUCAAUGCAUAUUAAUAAAUAGAGGAGCAUGUCAUUGAUUACAUUCAUCAAUUGUAAAGAUCAACUCAUCAAAAGUUUUACUCUAGAUAUAUGCAUUGAAGGGAUGCAUUAGGGGCUUUGUUGUAUUCUAUAAAGCAUUAAAAACCCAAAUCUUUUAAAGAAUUAGCUACUAGAACACAUAAUAUAGGACUUAAUAUUGCUACAACGGAACCUUAUCAUUACCUAUGUAAGAGCCUAAAAAAAAUAAGUCUGAAAGUCAUAGAUUUGAAAAGAGCACGUCAAAGGUUCAAGGAAAACAAUCUUUGGUAAUUAACUUCGUUGUCAUAAAUGUACCUACUAGAGGUAAAAGGAAUGAUUGUGCAACCCUAAAUGCUUUUCAAAAGGGUGAAAAGAAAACGUAAUCCUUUAAAGAGUGACAAUAAAAAAAGUAUCAAUUCCCCAACUUGGAUAUAUCAAGUACACUAUAAAUCCAUGUUUGAUUUGCAAAGUAAAUUUCAUUAAGCUAUCAAAGUUGAAACAUCAUAAAAAAAAAAAAAAAGCAAAUCAACAUCAUUGAGUUCACCUACGCACUAAGCCCAAGUAUAUAUGGGCAUGACAAGUUGUUAGAUCAAACACAUUGGAUUCACCUACAUGUUGAGCCCAAACAAACAUGGAUUUAUCAAGUUGUCAAACCCAAUAUCCUAGGGUUCAACUACGUGUUGAACCCAAGUACAUAUAGAUCUAGCAAACUCAAUGAUAUUAGGUUCAGCUAUGCACUAAGCAAAAAAAAACGUGGGUUUAGCAAGUUGUUAGACAUAAAAUUCUUGGGUUUAACUAUGCACUGAGCUUAGGCAUAUAUGAGUCUGGCAAGCUACCAAAUCCAACAUCCUUGUUGCUAAGCCCAAAAAAAAAAAAAUUGUGUGGCAAGCUUUCAAACACAACAUCAUUGGGAUCAGCUAUGUGCUAAGACCAAGUACAUAUAGGUCUGUCAAACUACCAAACCUAAUGACCUUGGGUUCAACCACGUGUUGAGCUUAAACAGACAUAGGUUUAGCGAGCUAUCAGACCCAAUAUCCAUGAGUUUAACUAUAUGCUAAACUUAAGUACAUAUAAGUUUGGUAAAUUGUCAUACCCAACAUCUUUAGGUUUAAUUACAUGUUAAGCCUAAACAGAUGUGGGUUUGGCAAGCUGCAAGACCCAUUGCUAAUGGACUUGGCAUCAUGUCAAGCCUCAGUGGGUAUGGGUCUAAAGAUCAUUAUAAGCCUCAUAUUGGGCUAUAAGGCUUUUUUGUUUAUUCUUAUGAUUUUUAAUAUGAAAUGUUAAUGUUAAGAAUACUCAUCUCUCUAUACUUAUAAAUAUAUAAAAGUCUUCUAAGACCUACCAUAUUUUCAUUAGUAUUAAAUAUUGUAUAAGAGAUAUUCAUCCCUCAUUAAUGAUGUGUAAGGAAUAUGUAUCCAUUGUCCAAACACUCAAAAACCUCUUUCUUAAACAUAUUGGAUUUUGAAAUAUCAUAAACUGAUGAACAAGAAAUAGAUCUUUUUUCCAAGAGAAAAGUAGAGAGGAAGGAAAGGAUUAAAAAAUAACAAAAGAAUCAGCUGCAAAACAUGAACCAUAUGACAAAAGUUGAUGCUUUGCCAAGCCAUGUUCACCUAGUAGCCGCAUCCUUGCCUAUAACAGAAACCAUAUCCACUCAAUUAAUUAAGGAAACAGAAGAGGUUUAGCAAACAUGCAUCGAGUAAAUUUUAUAAUUUACACUUUGGUCCCUAAAUCAAUAAUUGCUUUAAAUUAGGCAUCAAACAUUGAUUCUAUGAUUUUAUUUAAUAAAAUUUAAUUGAAAUUGAUCCCUAAAUUUCUGAUUUUGACAAUUAUAUUUUAUUUUUUAAUAAAAAUAUCUAUAUUAAUUUACUUUGAAAAUUUAAUACGAUCAAAUCAAGUUUUAGUUGAAAAAAAGAUAUUCAAAGUUCAAAAAUCCUCUUAACCAUAUUUUUCAAGACAUGUCUACUUAUUUUAAGGCUAAGUGAACUUGUAUCGAAGGGCAACAUCUGUAUCAACAAAAUAUUGUACAAAUUCAAUUUUUUCAUGUCUUUUUUUAUUUUAUUUUGACCUAAAAAAUUAAAAUAAUUGACAUGGAAAAUAAAUGGGCCUUUAUGUAUUUCUUAGCCAACAAAAAGUUGAAAAAUAGGAUGAGAUAUUUAAUUUAUUUUAUCAUCAAUGCAAGAUUUUAUAAUUGAAAAUCAACCAAUAACUGAUAAUAAACUUUAAGUAGAAUUGAACAUUAUUAUUUUUCUAAUGAUAUGGUGAAUUUAAAUAUCCAAUACAAAUUUAUUUAUAAAUGUGUCCACAUAUUUACCCAUUUAAACAUACUUAUUCAACAUUAUUAAUUUUUAAUUAAAAUUAUUUAUAUGAGAUUUAUUUAAAAAUAAAAUAAAAAGUCUUAAUGUAUAUUUGAUUUAAAUUUGAAUUAUACUCAAUUUUUGAAAAUAAUAAUGCAAAUUAUGUCAUUAUUUUUUGCUUCAGUCAAUGUAUCCAAUUAUCGAAUAAAACUUUAUUCAUGAAUGUGUUCGCACAUGUACCUAAUUUUUUUUUAUGAAUAUGUUCAGUACUAAUGUACCUACCAAAGCAUAUCUAUUCAACAUAGUUAAUUUUUUAUAGAAGAAUUUAUUGAUUAGUUUAAGAAAUCACAUCCUAUAAUAAAAUUAAAACUCUAGAUGCAUAUUCAAUUUAAAUUUAUAAUUAUGCUAAAUUUUUUAAAGUACUAAUUUAAACUAUAUCACUUGAUUUUGUUAGUUUGUUCUUAGAAAAAGAGCUCAACUGAAAAUUAAUAUAAUAAGAUGUAAUUUAAAUCUUUUAUUAUAAUAAUAUUUAAAGCAGCUUAAAUGAUAUGAUCAUUAUUUAUAUCAUUUUAUAUUUUUUUAAUAUUUUUUAUUAAAUUAUGAAUUAUUUAAUAUAAAUAAGGAAGGAAAUGAUUAGGUUAAAAGAAUUACACUAAGUUGUGAUUAGAAUGUAACCAGAAAAUCCGCAAAAUUAAUUUUUAGAAAUUUUGAUAAUUAGGUCUGGUAAACUAUCAGGCCCAACAUCUUUGAGUUCAAUUACAUGUCAAGUCUAAACGGAUGUAGAUUUGGCAAGUUGUAAGAUUCAUUGCCAGUGAACUUAACAUCGUGUCAAGCCCAACUGGGUAUUGAUCUAAUGAUCAUAAUAAGCUUCAUGUUGGGCUAUAAGGCUUUCGUUGUUUAUUUUUAUGAUUUUUUAACAUGAAAUGUUAAUGUUAAGAAUUUUAAUCUCUCCAUACCUAUAAGUAUAUAAAAGUCUUAUAAGCACUUAUUAUAUUUCAUCAUUAUUAAAUAUUAUGUAAAAGAUAUUUAUCCCUCAUUAAUAACGCGUAAGAAAUAUUUAUCCAUUCUCUAAACACUUAAAAACUUUAUUUGGAAGCAUGUUAAAUUUUAAAACAUCAUCAACUACUGAACCAGAAAUCGAUCUUUUUGGCAAGAGAAAAGUAUAGAAGAAGGAAAUGAUUAAAACAUAAUAAAAAAAAAUAGUUGCAAAACAUGAACCCCAUAACAAAAGCUUAUGCUUUGCCGAGUCAUGUUCAGCUAGCCACCACAUCCUUGCCUAUAACAGAAACCCUAUCCACACCAUUAAUUAAAGAAACAGAAGAGGUUUAGCAAACAUGCAUAGAGUAAAUUUUAUAAUUUACACUUUGAUCCCCAAAAUCAAUAAUUGCUUUAAAUUAGGCAUCAACCAUUGAUUAUAUCAUUUGAUUUGAUAAAUCUCAAUUGAAAUUGAUCCCUAAAUUUCUAAUUUUGAUAAUUAUAUUUUAUUUUUACAAUAAAAAUAUCUAUAUUAUUAAUUUACUUUGAAAAUUUAAUAUGAAGUUGGGAAAAAAUUUAUCAAAGUUCAAAAAUCCUCAUAACCGACAUGUCCACUUAUUUUAAGGUUAAGUGAACUUACAUCGAGGAGGCAUUUAUAUUAACAAAAAAAUUAUAUGAAUAAAAAAAAAUUAUAUGUCUUUUUUAUUAUUAAUUUUUACCUAAAAAAAUUGAAAUAAUUGAGAUGAAAAAUAAGUGGAACAUUAUGUAUUUUUGAAGACAUGUCCACUUAUUUUAAAUCUUUUAUUAUUAUAAUAUUUAAAGCAGCUUAAAUGAUAUGAUCAUUAUUUAAUUAUAUCUUUUUAUCUUUAAUGUGGAUAAUUAAAGAUAUCAACUUGGUUGGUCUUAACAGUAUUAAAGUGGCCGUCCUUAAAACAAAGAAAAAAGGACAUGGCCAAGCAUUGACACGUUGCAAAUACGAUAAAGUCAACCAACAUCGUCCCACCCUUGCUCUAAUUUGAUGCAAUAAUGUUUAAGGGUGCGUUUAUUUCUGAAAUCCUGCAGCAGGGACGGGAUGGAUGUUUGUUGAUUUUAUCGUUAUGCACCGUGUCAAUGAUUUUGGGACGGCCAUUUUAAUACUGUUCAGACCAACCAAGUUGAUAUCUUUAAUUAACAUUGAUAUCUUAAUUUGAAUAUUUGAUUUAUUUUUUUUACUCAAUCCAACAACAACAAGGUUAACAGGAGUCUAGUAAAUGCAUGCUUAAUAUAUAUAUAUAUAUAUAUAUAUAUAUAUAGAGUAGAAGUGCGCAUACAUUCAAUUGGAAACUCAAGAGUUAUUACAAAGUUCAAAUUAUUACCACAAUCGCUAGCCACACAAUCCAAGAUGUUAUCGAUCCCAGAAUCCCGACCUCUGAUCCUACUAAAGAUUGUGCUCUUUCUUGAGAUCGGAGAGUUUAUUAGGCAGCCACCACCUACUGUAGACAAACAGUAAAAAAAGGCCGUAGUAGAAAGGGUGCAAGUGCACUUUUAGAAAAACUUGGAUGACAAAUAGCAGAAUAAUCAAAGGAACAACAACGGUCACCCCUGUAAUGAAGUUUGUUAAAAAUGAUUGAUGGGAUCCUAUUAAUGCUAUUGUCACAGACGAAAGGAAUGCCCCGAACAUCAUGUAAAUAGCCAAACAAACCAUGCAGCUUGAAAACCAAACUUGAAAUCUGGGAUUACUAAAGCUUGGCACAAGAAGGAAUAGAGCUGCCAACAGAGAGAAAGAUAAAGCCCCCACAUCGAAAAUCAAAUAAUCAUACAGAAGAUUCUCAUAAGUGCUGUAAUCGGAGGCAGUAUAAGUGCCGUUAAAUUCAUGACGAUGAUCACUUGAGUUAUUGUUAUCCCUUAAUUGUGGCAAUUGUAUAGCACCCGCAAAGGUUACUCCAGCAACAAGCACUGCUACCACUAGAAGAUUCCCUAUCAUGCUUGUUUCCUCUUUGCUCGUGACAUGGGUAGUGGAGUAGCAGGGAAAAUCUCAAAUCGGUAUUUCUUGGGCGGGCAUUAUUGAAGAAUAAGAUUGAUAAUGUCAUCGCCUGCAUAUAUAUAGCACGGGGAAAAUUAAAAGCUUAAUUGUUUAAUGAGCAAUUGCAUCCAAAAGCAUUGACCUUCAAAUGCCUUUCCCAGAACAAGAAAUUUUCUGGAAUGGUUUAGAAUUUUUUAAUAUAAUGGUAUACAAGUUCAAUCAAUUGGGCUUGAACUAGAAGUUUAAAAGAUUAGGGAUGGCAAGGGGGGAAAAACAAAAAAAGGAAAGAAGAGAAGCAAUAUUAAUACCAAGUGAAAAGACCCAAACCGUACUUCGUCCUUUGGUGAUGCCUGUUUUGUAUCCAUCUUAUUUGAAUCAACUUCUUUGCCCUGUCAAAAAAUAAUAAUAAUAUUAUAUGUUCAAAUGCAGUGCUCUCUCUGUGUGCUAUAGAUAUAUAUUGAAGAUAUUUGAUUUCCUGCUGCGAAAUACUUUUAAUCUUUUUAUUUAAUUAUAUAAUAAUUAAAUUAAUUUUUAUAAAUAAUUUAAAUUCCAUAGGAUAAAAAAUUAAUUUAAAUUGAUUUGAAAAAAAAAAAAAAGUAUCUAUAUUUUUUAAAACAAAACCAUUUUCCUUAUUAAUACGUUCCAUUUUUUUUACUAAUGUUUUUAUAAAAUUUUGUUUUUUUUUAACAACAACCUAUCAUAAUCUACAAAUAAGUUUUAAUUAAAAAAUAAAAUAAUAAUGGAUUGAUGAUUUUCUUGAAAAAAAAAUUUAGCAAUGUUUUUAUUGCAUAAAAACUAAAAGCAAUUAAAAUAAAUAUGGACAAAAAAUUUCAUGAUUUUAUUGCAAUAAAGAUAAUAAAUAUAUAAUAUAAAUAUAUAUAUAUCUAUUUGAAAAAAAAAAAGCUUUUUUUUAUUAAUCCAUCCUCUCUUUUUUCUGGGGUAGUAUUUUAUAAAAAAUAUUGUUUCUUAAAUAAAAAACUUAUCAUAAUCUUAACGUAAAUACCUUGAUCUCGUGCGCAGGGGUACUACUGUUCUUUGAAUCAAUCGGCUUUCGUUCCUCGGCAGGCUGGCAACAAAGUGGAAGCCCAGAUACCAAAAUAUUAAAUCAGUAAUACUCCUAAAAUAUAUAGACUUUUGUAGCUCGAUAAAUGAUGAUCAAAUUAGUAGCAUACCAUUUCAAUAUCUGUUUUUAUGUCUCUUCAGAUCUUUUGGAAAUGUUCACCUAAGUACUCAUAUGGUGUCCAAUUUCUAUUGUUAACAAUGAAAUGUUCAACGCGAUUGUCACGCACAAGAAGAAAUGUAGCCUGCAUCGGCCAUAACUGCUGCCAAAUGCAAAGGUGUAUUUCCAUCCUCAUCUGUCGCAUUUACCAGCGGUGCGACGAGCUGCUGUCCUUUGAGUAUGUACCUAACCACACUGCCAUUUCCAUCUUUGGCCGCUACAUGAAGAAUGUUCUGCCCUUUCUUAUUGAGGAAUUCUUUUGGAUAUGGGAAUUUAUCAAGAAAUUCCUUCAGUGCAUCAGCAGAGCGACUUUUGCAUGCUAGAUGGAUAGGAUAGUCGCCUUCAAGGUUUGUUUCAUAAGCACCAUCGUGAAACUUCUUUAAUAGGAAUCGAACUCCUUCCAGAAAACCUAUGGAUGAUGCAUAAUGCAGAGAAUUUCCCAACCUUCCUCGGUGAGACGUAAUAGCUCUGGCUUUUCCUUUCAAUUUUCUCCAAAUAUCUGAAAAUCAAAAGAAAAUGUUUCAAACGAAUAUAAAGAUGAUAGCCUUGCAACAAUUGUUUGUAUGUAAUUCAUUUUCUAGUGAGUAAUGACAUUGUGAUCACCUAUGUUACGUUGCUCGAUGGCAGCAUGAACAGGUGACCUUCGUUUUGGUAGGGCAUCGCCAUCUUCACUUCUUAUAGGGAACGAAGCUUCCGUUUUCAAGAGAUCAUCAAGUAUCCCGUUCUUAUUGCCGUUCUCAACCAGAUAUAAAGGAGACUUGCCAUUAUUGUUGUUGUAAUAGGCCACUUCUGGAUCUCUGAAACUAGGAGUUUGGCAAGUUCUUUGUUAUCGGCGAUCACUGCAUCAUGCAAAGGAGUGUUUCCCUUUGUAUUUUUCUUCAUGAUCAAGCUCGGAUUCGAUUCCACAAGAGAUUUAAUUGUAUUACUGGCCUUUCCUUCUCUGGCAGCAAGAUGAAGGAUCGUGUCCUUCUGGCUGUUUUGAAUGGUGAUCAGAGAAGGAAACGUUCCAGCCAGAUAAGAUGUAAUAUUGUCACUUCCAUAGCUUACAGCUACGUGAAGUAGUGUAUUACCGCAGGGUGUCACUAGCUUCUCUGUUAAAUGUUGCUCGACAAGGGUUUUAAAGGCCUCAGGAUUGUCCUGCCUCACACACUCAUGCAACUGACUAUCUAUCAUUGCAUUUGCCAUGUGAUCUCUCGGAAUCGAGUUUUCAUCAAUGUUUAUUGCUACGCUAGACAUGGCAAAAGAAAUUAAAUAUAGUGUUUGUUGAAUCAGCUAUACAUAUCAGACAUCUGGACUUCUAAUUUAAAUAGACCAGACUGAAAUAAUGGAAUCUUACUUUUUUUUAUAUUUGCAAGGAUAUAUACUUUGAUUACUCAAUUAAUUACUUCACCCAUUCGUUCGGGAAUCCAGGACAUAGCAAGAACAAGAGAGCAGUCUUGCCUAUGGUUAAAGCAGCAUCUAGAAAAGGAAAAUUCUUAACUUGAAUUUAUAACUCAUAUACAGAGUGCAGUUGGGAGAAUCCAUGGUUUAAUGAACAUGAUACACGAUGGCAUGAGAUUCUAGGUGAAAUAAACAUUCAAUUCAAAAUUAGUCUCAAACUCUUACGUUAAUGAUAGCAAGUUCCUUUCCUCUAAUUUAAUUUACAUAUAAUUAGAGGAAAGGAACUUGUAUAGACCGAGCUUCUUGAUGUUCUUCUAGGGAAACACUUCAAGCAUCUUUACUUUUCCCUCUUUCUUAUGAAAACUUCAAGUGCGAGUUUGUCCUUUUUUGGAUGCAGUAGUUCUUUUUCUCAUACUUUAUUCUUUCUGCGUCUUUUUUUUUUUAAGUGAUUUUAAUUUAACUUCUACUAGAAAUUGUGAUGAACGUGCAACACAUUGGCUUCCAAGGUAGAGUGAUCAGGUUGUUUUUAUAAGCAAUACUUUUAUUAUAUCAAGCUUUGAAUCUCCUGAAAAUUAUUAUUUAUAUUGUCAAGCUCUUUCAAUUUCAGUGUAGAAUUGACCUCAUCUUUUGCUUAUUCUAGCGUAAAAGUUUGACAUUUAAUUUAGCGUAAAAAUGACUUCAGCCACAAACUACAUAAAUUCACAAAAUUUCAAGAAUUUCAGAAUCUUCAAAACCACACACCCACCAUAGGAACAAUCUUUUCAAAAUAUUAACAGUUAAAAGAGAUGUUUUGACUGUUUAGACAUGUUCAUGAACUAAGUGAUUUCUUUAUAUAAAUCAUUAUUAGCUUAAAUUAUUUAAGUACAAUAUUCAUCAAAAUACAUUAAAUAAAGGUCAACAUUGUGGUUAGUCUUGUUGCCUGUUGGUGAAUUUAGUCUUUUAUCUGAUCUUCAACAGGUUAAUAACAUCACAUUCAGAUGGAAGCUAUGGUAGAAUAUGCAUGUAGCACAAACCAUGUAUAGUAAUUUGACUAGAUGAUUGUCUCACGCAAUGUGGUAAAUGUUGUAGGUCAAAUUAAAUUUAUUUCUUUAACUAAAAAAUUAUCUAGCUAAAUUAUUUUUUUGUGGAAAGAAAUUUAAACUAUAUAGAGAUUGAUCUAAUGUGACCCGGUUACUUUGGCAGGUUUAAAGACAAUUGAACAACCAUUAGAAACGUAAUUCAACUCAAAAUAAAUAUUUAAAAUGAGAUUUGUUUUUAUAAAUAUUGAGACGACAACAUAUUGGAUCAAUUUGGGUUAACCUUUCAAUUCAUAUACUAAAUCAUGAAAUAAUGAUAACCUCAUAGAAUACAAAUAAAAAAAAAGUUAUAAAGUUUAAUUUUCAAUCAACUCAAUUUUGAAUGAUGAAAUUUUUUAAAAAUAUAUAACAAUUAAAGAAGGAUAAAAAAAAAUAACAUGAGUCAACUUGAGUUAAGUUGCUAAACUCGUGACCUAGAUCAUGAGACUAUAAUAACCCAAUAGAAAAUAAAUUAAAAUAAAUUAUAAAGCUUAAUUUCCAAUCAACCUGGUGUUAAGAUGAAAUUGAAAAAAAAAUUGAUAAAGGACAAAAAAAAACCGACGCAAUUGAACUUAGGUUAACCCAUCACCCGAGUCAUGAGACAGGAAUAACCUCAUAGAAAACGAAUCAAAACAAAUCACGAAACAUAAUUUCUAAUUAACUCAAUGUUAAAUGAUGAAAUUGAAAAAAAAAAUCAAUCAGGAAAAGAGAAAAAAAUCAAGUCAACUAAGCUAACAUGUUAAACCUUGAGAUUAACAUUUUUAAUUUGGAAAUUUUUCAUCAUCUUGGUUCCUCACGGGUAACUUCAAGAAUAUAUCAAGCUUCCUUAGCUAUCUCAUACAUGGAGGUUCUUUUAAAUUCAUCAAGAGGCUAUAUAAAUAUAGCAUUCAAGCCUUUAUUAUUCCAAUUAUAAUGAGUGGAUUCAUCUCCGGUCCAGUGAUUGAAAGGAGUUAAUUUUAGGCUUAAUCCAUCUUGAAAUAUUCACAAAAUGAGAGAUUUAAGUUGAAAGAUAUCUUAGUUGAUUAUUUAUUGAAAGUUGAAACAGGUCGAAGAUUUUUUAUUGUGGAAGGAAAAUUGUAAACAAAAUUUUUUUUGUUUAUUUGUGAAUGAAAACUUUCAUCCCCUUUUGUAUGGAAGAUGAGAACUUUUAUUAAUCAACUAAUUUAGUCAUGAAAAGCAUGGCUAAAUAGGAGAAGUAAAGUAACAAGAGAUAGGCUAGAAAACAUACAAAAUAAAACAAAGACCAAUCAAACUUAACUACGUUUCUAUUUACUUAAAAAAACAUAUAAAUCAUGCAAAAUAUAAAUAUAUGAAAGAGGCUUAUAACCAUACAACCAAAUCAGCUUCUUUAUAAACUUUUUAUUUGGCCAAAUGAUCCGCUACAUGGUUACUUUCUCUAUAAAUAUAUGUAAAACUCGUGUGAGAAAGCCUAAGAGAGACAUUAGAGAUGUUAUUAAAAUCACAUUAUAAUCACAACAAUCUCAUAACAUUGCUUCCUUUUAUCCAAGCAAUUGCAUUAUAUAAAUUAAACUCCAUAAUACAACCCUUAAAGGAUGUACAACAAUAUUAAUCAAUACAUAAUACUUAAAGUGAAAGCUUUUUGAAUUCUCAAAACCUCAGCUCCAUUGGAUUCCCUAUACAUAUAGGAAUAAAAUAGUUACAAAGAAAUUUUCCUACGUGAUCCCUUAGAACACCCUUAAUCCCUGAGGGUUUAGGCUUGUUAUUUGUAAAAGCAUCUACAUUUCACUUAAGCAUACUUUGAGGAGGAGGAAUUUAUGAUGAUUCACUAUAUACUUUUUCCUUAUUUGUCCAUAUAAGAAUAUUAUUUGGUGAUCUUAGUAAGUAUAUCCUAGUAUAGCAGAAACUCCCAUCAUAAUAUGUUUUCCAUGUUACAACUCUAUAAAAAAGUGAGUAGUAUAUAUCAUCCAAAUGGUUUUUAACUCAUUAAAGAUCAAUUAUUGUGAGCAUUUCAAAUGGAUCAAACUAUUCCAAAGAAAAAACAAAGGCCACAUCUCUUUGUUUUUGCAUAAAUCCCAAGAUCAUUUCAUGUCACUAUAAGUAAAAAUUAUCGAAAGACUUUAGAAGAUUCAUUGUUGGCCAAAUCAAGACAGUACUACCGUGACCAUAACUGCCAUACCACCUCACAAUAAAAGAAGACAUGUUUUGUAGUCUCAAUUUUAUUUUAUUUUAUUGAAAUGGCAACUCAAAUCACUCACUUGUAACAACUUUGUUGGUGGUGAAAAGCUUGUAUAGAUAGUUUAUUCAUAAUUGUAAGCUAGAUAUUAAACUCAACCUUUGAAGGAGCAAAAAAGGACCACAAAUCAAAAUUAAAAUGUUUAUUUAUUGAAGAAGAAUCGUCUCAAUAAAGGUUGGCAACUUUUCAACUGAAAAAAUACAUUUAAAUAAAGCUGGAUCAAAUUGUUUAUUUAAAAAGCUAAGUGAAUGGCUCAUCGUUUUAUGAAAUGGAUUAGGUAUGAUAAGUGUAUGCCAAAGAUUGUUCAGCUUUUGGUGAGGAGGGUGGGAACUCUAACACUAGAUUAUGGAACGAUAUUGUCUCAAAUAUCCAUAAUGAAAAGGUUGCAUUAAAUUUAUCUUUGAAAAGGUUAAUGCAAGGGGAAGUACAUGGUGUAGAUUGUUAAUGUUUGUGCCAAGGAUGUGAGACUUUAGAAUAUUGCAAACCAAGAAAUUUGUGCGUUAAUUAGUUGGUAAUGGUAAAGUUAGUACAAAAACUUUUCUCCAGCACCGGAAUGUUUUACCUGCCUCACAAGCUUCAUAUGUUUUUGCAGUUUAGAUUUGGAAACCUCGUAGCAUCGUUUUAUAUACUGUAACUUUUCUAAGAGUGUUUGGAUGAAAGUUUUGGAUUGAUGGACUAUCCAAUGUUGUUUACCGAGAAACACUUGACUCACUGCUUAUGCAGUGGCCCGAAAUGGUGCACGGCAAAUUCCAAAGAUCAGUUUGGAGACUAAUUUUCAGUAAUACUUUUGGAGUGUUGGUUAUUGAGGAACAAAAUUGUUUUUGAGGAGGGAACUAUAAGCUUAUUUGAUUGUCUUUCCACCAUCCUUCAUCAGGUUAUUAUUUGUUUGCAUAUUUUAUAUUCAAAUUUCACUUAUACAAGAAAUGACCUCUUAAAAUCUUCUGAUAGCAUUAAAUUGUGGUGUAAUAAGAAAUCUUAGGUAAUCUCUUUGUUAUUUAUUGUAGGAGAUCAUUUUUUUCCUUUUUUUUUCCUAAGUCUUUUUUUUUAUAUAUCCUUGUAUUUCAUUUUGACUAUUGGUUUUAUAGCCUUUUCAAUAUAAUCCAAAAAAAAAAAAUUAUAGAUGGUAAUGGUUGCGGGCUUGGCAAUUCUUGUCUUACUGUACAGUUUCCAAGAUUAUAUAUAUUACCUUUCGGAAGACAAAACCACUUCAAUUCCUAAUAUGGGUGUGUGGGAUCGAUGACUUGUCUUGGAUUUGGAAUUUCUAUGUUUGGUAUGUUGUCCAAAUUAACGUUGUCCAGCAAGGUUUUGGACAAAUUGAGUUAGAAGUCAAUCUCUAAUGGGAUGUCUUCUUUCAUUUCCUAGUCAGCCUAGUUCAUGCAUUUCCUUCAAUGGUGUAUGAAAAGGAUGGUCCCUCCUAAAGUUGAUUUUUUUUGUUCGAUGGCUAUCCUUAAUAAAAUCAACACCAGAGGUGUAUUGGCUAGAAGAAGUAUUAUAUAUUGAGUCUGAUGAAGCAACAUGUUUUGUCUGUUUGUUGGCUGAGGAGAUUGUUGAUCGCCUUCUCCUACGUACAUCAACACCGGAGGUGUUUUGGCUUAAAAUGGUAAGAAAAACUAGAUAGUGUAGCGCAUCAUAUCCCAUUCAUUCAACAUAAAAAUGUAUAAGCAUUGAAUUGAGAAUUUUAAUUUGAAUUAGUAAUGAUAAAAAUGUGUAGUCUCGUGCUUAACAUCAUAGUUUUGAAACCCGGCCCGGCCCGGCGGGUUGACCCGGGACCCGGCUGCCCCGGGCAUGAAACCGGUCCGGGUGGAGGCCAAAACCCGCUUGGGAAUUGGCCCGGCCAGACCUGGUCGACCCGAAACCCGGCAAGACCAGGCCGUAAACCCGUUGACUUUUAUUUUUUUGUUUUGUUUUUACUAAAACGACGUCGUUUUAAUUUUUUUUUAAAAAUAAAAAAUAAAUUUUGACCCGGCCGACCCGGUCAAAACCCGGAACCCGGGCUUUGGACCGGGCCGACCACCGGGCCGGGUCUUAAAACUAUGCUUAACAUUCGUCAAAAGUGCCCAUCCAAAUAAUCUGUCCAACCACUAUCAUAAACAUCAACAUUUAAAAUAAUUAUAAUUAUAAGAAAAACUAAAAGAGAUGGGAAAAGAUAAAAAGCAGCCCUUAUAGGAAGGGGGAAAAAAAGCUGCAUAAUUCAAGGGAAAGUGAGAGGGGAAAAAAAAAAAAAGGAAAAUUGGUUGUCACAUUGGGAAAUAGCCGCCACACGCUGCCUAUAAUGAAUGGCCUUGUCCAGACACUUCCAGAUCAGACGCCAAGAAAGAUCAUUUUUGAAGGCAAGAGGAUUUUGAACGCGCCGUCAUAAUGUGGCAGGUCCUCCACAUGCUGGUGUGUUCCCAUGCGCAACAUUUUUUUGUCAUUUUCGUUAACUUUGGUCUCUAAUUGUAUAAAUGUUUUUUCAUUUAGUUUCAAAUUUCUUCCCAUCUAAAUCCAAGUUAUUUUUUUUUUUCAAUUUAAUCUCUAAUUUUUUUAUAUAAAAAAAAACCCUAAUCAAUCUAGUAUACAGAAAAAUGAACAAAACCCCCCACCAAGAUUCCUAAAUUGAGAACUCAAAUUUCCAAAUUAGCAAAAUUCAAAAAGAAAUAUUUAUGGAAAUGACAGUUACAAAGAAAAAGCUGAAAACACCUAAUAAUUCCAAUAAAACAAAGUUAUUUACAGGUGGGAAAAAAAAGCAAUAAAAAUGCUAACUUUCAACUUAAAAAGUCAAACUUUAAUAACCAAAGGCAGUUAGAUUAAAGAGAUGCAAUAAAUAAAAGUUGGGUUGUGCUCUAAGCAGUUGCAGAUCUAAUUAAUAAUCACCACAAAAGUUGAUAGAAAGAGAUAAGCAUAGAAAUAAAAAGGAAAUGCUCCUUAGAGUGUAAGUUUUUAGAAACUUUAAACACAAGAGAACUACAGAAAGCUGGAGGAAAUAAAAGAAGAAAAACUUGCUAGUUCGAAAACUAAUUUGCAAAGAACACCUACACUUAUAUACAGUGAUGCGAGGAGCUUGAAAACAUAAGCACCAAAAACUUUAGCCAGGCAAGGCCGGCAUGCUUUUUCACCUACAUUACUUACUCGUAUCCAAAACCAUUAUAUGUAAUUGGAAUAUAUAUUAUACAUAGAGAAGAUCCGUAAGGUUGUAGUAUUAGCAAAUUUUAUUGUUGUUAUGUAUAAUUUAUUAAAAAAUAAUAUAAAUUAUAUCUUAAAAAAUUCUCCUAACAACUUAACCUCUUAACCUAAAUACAAGUCAAAGAAUAUUGAUGAAGAACCAUGGUAGUAUACAAUACAAAUUAUCUAAUUAAAAGAAAGUGAUUUGGAUCCAUAGACUAGUCAUACACUAAAUCUCAAUAUUGAUUCUGAAUUCAAUGAUUUAUAUUAGUUUAGGAACAAAAAAUAAUUAAGAUUUGAAUUAUUGUUAUUUUAUCGAGCACUACAUCAUGUCCAUUCCAUUAGAAUAUAAAUUUAUUGAUCAAAGAAAAUGAACUAAACUUGACAUUUUUCUCUUAAAAUAUAUUUAUCUAUGAGAGAACAUAUUGAUAGAACACAUUCAAUUCAUUAUUUCAACCGGAAACUCAGAAGUUAUUACAAGUUCAAAUUAUUAUUUCAAUAGCUAGGCACACACAAUAUUCCAAGAUGUUUAUUCAUCCCAAAAAUAACCUUUUAAAAGAGGGCAAUCCCUCAGAAUCCUGACUUCUCUUGACGAAGAUCAACCUGGAUAGUUACUAUUUCUUUCUACGGAGAUCAGGAAGUUUAUCAGUCAGCCACCUCCAACUGUAGACAAGCACGAAAAGAGAUGUAGUACACAUAAUGCGAGACCAAUCCUUCAAUAAUUUGGUUGACGGAUGGUGGAAGAAUCCAUUGAAUAUAAAGCAAUGUUUGGGCAACGAAAAACGCGAUCCCCACCACUAUAAUGGUGAUCGCGAGCACCCCAUAAUUGGAUCCACCUAAUGCGAUGCUCACGGCAAAAAAGAAUGACAAGCACAUCAUGUAAAUAGACCCACCCACCAUUAACGAUGUAAACCAAAGUGCAAAUGGUGCAAACUUGACAUCAUUCAAGUUUGUCCAAAGAAGGAUUAUAGCUGCCACCACAGAGGUAUUUAAAGCCCACACAUCAAGACAUAAAUAACCAUCCAAAAGAGAUGAACCAGUAGGACUAUCAAAGACAGUGCUGUUCCGGGAGGCAGUAGCAGUGCUGUUAAGUUCAUGAAGAUGCUCACUCUUGUUAUUUUUAUCCCUUAGUUGUGGCAUCUGUAUAGCACCCGCGAAGGUUACACCAGCAACAAGCACCGCCACAACAAGAAGAUUCUCUAUCCUUCUCUUUGUUUCCUGUUUCCUUGGCGGCUUGCCUUGAGUCCUAGUGAAACGCUCAUAUAGGGAUUUUUUAGGGCGGGCAUGGAAGUAUAAGAUAGAUAAUGUUAUCAUCUGCAUAGCAAGGGGAAAUCAAGAUUCUGGAAUGAUUUCAGAAUUUUGAAUAUAAUUGUAUAGAAUCUAAAUUAAUCGGUCUUGAACUAGAUGUUUAAAAGAUUAGGGAUGGCAAGAAAAAAAUAGGAAGGAAGAAGAGAAAUAAUACCGCUCCAUAAUAAUCAAGCAGUUUGUAGUGCUUUUGUGAUGCCUUUCUUGUGUCUUGCUUCGUUGAAUCAACUGCUUUGUCCUGGAAAACAAAAACAAUUUUAUGUUAAUGAAUAUAAGCAAUGCAUAACACAUAAUGGUUCAAAUUACAUGACAUCAAUAUACUGAUCGAGAAGCCUUCUGAUAAAGAAUGAUGAUGGAGUAUAAAAAAAAAAAAAAAAAUUCAAAACAACUCUUAUACCUUGGUCUUGUCCGCAGGGGUACUGUUCUUUGAAUCAAACUGCUUUCGAUCCUCAGCAAGCUGGCAACAAAUAGGAAUCCCACAUACCAAAAUAUUAAAUCAAUAAUACUCCUAAAAUAUAUGCUUUUGUAGCUCAAUAAAUGAUGAUCAAAUAGCGUACCAUUUCAUCUGUUUUUUCAUAUUGCUCUACAGCUAUUUUGGAUUGUUUUUCAGCAAUAUCAUAUGGUGUCAAAUUUUCAUUGUUAACAAUCGAACUAUCAACGCGUUUGUCACGCACAAGAACAAAUGCAGCCACGGAAUGACCAUGAUUUGUUGCCAAAUGCAAAGGUGUAUUUCCAUCCUCAUCCAUCUCAUUUAGCAGCGUCUUCUCUUGUCUGAGUAUGUACCUAACCACAUUGCCAUUUCCAUUUUCCGCCGCUACAUGAAGAAUGUUCUGCCCUUUUUUAUUGAGGAAUUCUUUUGGAAAUGGGGUAAUCUUCAGAAAUUCCUUGACUACAUCAACAGAGUCAUUUUUGCAUGCUAGAUGGAUAGGAUAGUUGCCUUGGUUUCUUUUAUAAGCACCAUUGAGAAACUCUUGUAAAAGGAAUUGAACUCCCUCCUGAAAACCUCUGGAUGAUGCAUAAUGCAGUGAAUUUCCCAACUCUUUGUCAGUGAGACAUAAUAGAUCUGGCUUUGCUUUUUCAAUUUUCUCCAACAUAUCUGAAAACAAAAGAAAUUGUUUCAAAUGAAUAUGAAGAUGAUAGGUUUGCAACAACUGUCUGUAUGUAAAUCAUUUUCUACUGAGUAUAGACAUUGUGAUCACCUCUGUUACGUUGCUCGAUGGCAGCAUGAACUGGUGACUUUCCUUUUGAUAGGGCAUCACCAUCUUCACUUUCUAUAGGGAACGAAGCUUCUGUUUUCAAGAGAUCAUCAAGUAUCUCUUUCUUAUUGCCGUUCUCAACUGCCAGAUAUAAAGGAGACCUGCCAUUCUUGUUGUUGUAAUAGGCCACUUCUGGAUCUCUGGAAACUAGGAGUUUGGCAAGUUCUUUGUUGCCCUUGAUCACUGCAUCAUGCAAAGGAGUGUUUCCCUUUGUAUUUGUCUUCCUCAUCAAGCUCGGAUUCGAUUCCGCAAGAGAUUUAAUUGUAUGACUGGCCUUUCCUUCUCUGGCAGCAAGAUGAAGGAUUGUGUCCUUCUGGCUGUUUUGGAUGGUGAUUAGAGAAGGAAACGUUUCAGCCAGAUAAGAUGUAAUAUUGUCACUUCCAUAGCUUACAGCUACAUGAAGUAGUGAAUUCCCAGCGGGAGUCUGUAGCUCCUUUGCUGAACGUUGCUGGACGCGGCUAUUAAAUUCCUCAAUAUUGUCCUGCUUCACAUACUCAUAUAACUUACUAUCUAUCUUUGUAUUUUCCAUGUCAUCUCUCGGGAUCGAGUUUUCAUCAAUGUUUAUUGCUACGCUAGACAUGGCAAAAGAAAAUAUUGUGUUAGUUGAAUCAGUUCUACAUAUCAGACUGCUAGUCUACUAAUUUAAAUAGACUGCUUGCCAAUGGAAUCUGAAAUAACGUGAAUCUUCCUUUUUUUAUAUUUGAUUACUCAAUUACUUCACCCAUUCGUUCUGGAAUCCAGGACAUAGCAAGAACGAGAGAGCAGUCUUGGAUAUGGUUAAAGCAGCAUCUAGAAAAGAAAAAGGAAAAGGAAAAGAGGAAAAUAUGACCGCUAACUCAAAAAAAGAUGAUUGUCCCCGAGUCCCUGGGUAAAUUCUUGACUUGAAGUUAUAACUCAUAUACACUGUGAUGCAGAUGGGAGAAUUCAUAUUUUAAUAACAAUUUUUAUUAGUUUUAUAGGACAUCUAGAAAUUAUUUUGCAACCUGAAACAUCUACGUAUCACACAACAAGACCUCUAAUUCAAAUAGAACUUACUCUGGUUUUAUAUGCAUGGAUACUUUGAUUGCUCAAAUACUUCACCCAUUUGUUAUGAAAUCCAGGACAUAGCAAGACAUAGGGAGACCAGUCUUGCCUAUGGUUAAAGCAGCAUCUAGAAAAGGAAAAGGAAAAGGAGAAGAGGAAAAUAUCUCCCCUAGCUCAAAAAAAGGAAAAUUCUUAACUUGAAUUUACAACUCAUAUACAGGAAAAUUCUUAACUUGAAUUUACAACUCAUAUACACAAAAAUAUACAAAAUGCAGGUCUUUCCUAUCCGCGACAGGAGUAGUAUCUUAGUUGUUGCAUUUUCUUUUAUGUUAUUUGGAUUCAAUAGGUGCUGAUGUAUUUUGUAUCGAAGAACUUUAGAACUUGUUCAGAUGACAUCUUGUAAUCUAAGUACUUGAAUAAUUAAAAAAUCUCGAGUUUAAAUUUUAUUUUUUUUAUUUUUUAUUUUUAUUUAAAAAUAUAUAUUAGAUAAUAAUAUAAUUUAUAUCUUAAAAUUUUAUUUAAUAAUUAAAAUUUUUAAAUUAAAAUGAUUCUUUCUUAUAUAUAAUAGCAACCAAAACUAUAAAAAAAAAGGAAAAAAAUGUUCCAUAAGCGACUGAUUGUCCUUAUUCUUAACUUGAGAAUAUAACUCACUUAGCGAAUACUCAAAGAUUAAAAGAACAGGAUCCACAAUGGCAUCAGAUUGGUUUAGGUAAAAAUAUCCAAAAUUUUUAACUGGUUAUCAGGAAGCCCAAGGGAUGUUUUAUGUUGUUUUCUUAUAAACUAAAAACUUCUAUAAAUUACUAUGUUGCACGAAAAUACCUUAAAUGAACUUUUUUUUAGUUAAGUUCUCAAAGAAAAAAGUUUAUUUCAGCAUGAAUUUUUAAAUGAAGUUUUUGGAUCGUUUUAAUUCAUUAAUUUAAAAAUAAUUUUUAUAAAAUAAAAAUAUAUCAUUUUAAUAUAUUUCAGUAUAAAAAAUACUUCAACAAUUAACCGCAACCAUCGAAUAGGCAUACCAAAACCUACUUAAUUUAAAAUCAUCACUUGUAGAAUGGUGAUCAAGUAGAUCGUUGAUUGAAUAUAUAAGACCAAUAGUUAAGUAUUUGCUUUUACACUGUACGAGUUUAAUUGCCUUUGUGUCACACGUUUGGAACCUCGUUCUUUCUAAAGUGAAGAUGUAGGUGGUUCUUUUUUUCUUCUUUUUUAAUGUUCUAUGUGCUUGUCCCCGUUUAUAGAAAACAUAAUGACAUGGGAAACAAUAGAAUGUGUGAAAUUCUUCUUACAUAAUCAUCAAAAUCAAUAGGUUAUAAAUCUAUCCAUUCGGAGUACAGUUAUAACGUCUGUAUCCAAUAAACUGCAAUUAAUCAUUAGGGACUAAACUUCAAAUCUGAUUCAACUCUUAGGGACCCAAUUUAAAUCUGAUUAUCAAAAUUAAGGACCAAAUCAUAACAAUUCAAAGUCCGAGGACCAGGCUAUAAUGAUUAUAAAUUUCCAUGGAUUAUAUUGUAUCUUUACCUUCUCGUUCUUGAGAGUUUCUGCCGAUUCUCCUUUACUGACAGUGGCUUAAUCCUUUCUGAAUCAUCUUUUUAUUUCUUUGGGACAUGCUAAUCUUGUGCGGUAAACGUAAAUGCACAUGCAAUUAUUUAACCAUUACUAUCUUUUUUUCUUUUUUUUUUAUCUUAAAAGUUAAUUUUAGUUGCUAAGAAAUGAUUAUUAAUCUAUAAAUAUGUCAUAUAAAUUCAAUUUAUUUAUAUAAAUUAUAUAAAAAACAUUUAAAGAUAAAUUACAAUAAUCUCUUUGAAGCAUUAUAAAAUGAAUAAAUAAAAACUUAAUUACUUUUAAAAAAAUACUAAAAAAUUAAAAAAAAAAAAACAAGAUAGAGUAUUAAUUAAAAUUUAAAUAAAAAUUAAUGAAAUGUAUAUUAAUAAAAGUUAAGCGAUGCUGAGAAUACCAUACCAAGCCCACGCGCUUGGCCAAGGAUCAAAAAACAUAAGUGUGCUUGAUACUAGAAGCCCAAGCCAGCAUUCCCGGCUAAUUUUUUUCUUUCUUUCUUUUGAAGUUUUUUCUUGAAAUAGACAAGUUGUUUAUUAUGCAAAAAUUAUUUGUUAUCCUCUCCAUCUUUUUACUCUUACCUCCUGUGUUUGAAAAAUAAAAGCUGAAGUUUUAAACUAUCACCUUCAUUAAACUUUCAUUAAAAAGAUAAAUUCAUUAACACCAAUAAACUUUCAUUAAAAAGAUAAAUUCAUUAACACCAAUUUCAAUCUUUUUAUGAUUGAAAUCUAUCCUUUAAACCAUUUUUUCUCUCUUUAAUAUUUUUUGCUAACUUUUUAUCUUCUCUCUCAAUAUCCAGACACUAAAUUAUUAUUAUUAUUUUAAAAAAAUAGGACUAAAAUAUGAAUUGCUAUAACAACAAGGAUGAAAUAAUAGAUAAGUUGAAACUUUAUAUAGCAAAUUAAAGUUUUCCAUACCAAUAUUCAAAUGGGGUUUUUUUUAUUAAAUUUGGUCAAGUUCUUAAGUUUUGUUUUAACUAAACAUAAAAUUUUACUUUGCAAAAUCAAUUUUUAAUUCAUUGUUGUAAAAUUCGUUGACAUUUUGUAUACGUGAGACAAUGAAAAUUAAAAAAACAAAUCUUAACAUGUAAAACUGUUUUUAAAUAAUUUUGAAAGAUUAUAUUUUAAUUAUAUAUCAUGAUCAAAAUUUAAAAAAAAAAAUGACACUUGCAUGAAUAGUGCAAUAAAUAAUGAAUCUCGAUCGAGAAGAAGAGUAACAAUACACAAUAUUAAUAUUAAUUCCAUAAAGUAAUAACUCAUAAUCCAUUUUAAUUAUUCAAUUAAUCUAAACCUCAUAACAAUACAUACAAUCCUUUUGAGAGUGCUUUUAUUUAUUUGCGAAAUUGCAAAUAAGUGAAUAACUACGAAAUGAGCAUUGUACCUCCAAAUCAAUGCCAUCCAUUAAUUUUCAAAUAAGGACAAUAUAGUCUAUUCGCUCCAAUUUUUUUUUUUUUUUAAUUCCAUCUAAGUCCACAAUUCCUAGAGUUUUGUUGGGCCUUGGCGUUUUUUUAGUAGGUUUCUACAGUUUUGUUCACAUUACAGCCUACCAUUUUCAAGAUGUCUACCUGUGGAUAAUCAUAGCUCACUUGAUUAUAUUUUGAAAGCCUUUUGAGGUAAAGAUGAUGAGGUUUUUAAAAUCUUUUGUGGAAGGUCCAUCUAAUUUUUGAAUAUAAAAAAUCUUCUUUCUUAUCUGUAUUUUCAACAUAAAGUAUAUUAAUAAAAAGAUAAAUCUUAAUUUUGUUUCUUAUAUUCUUAAAUAUAAUAAUAUUCGUUGUAUUAUUUGAACCUUUUAAUUAGAGUGGAAGUUUAAUUUCAUCACUUUCUUACAAGGUUUUUUUUUUAGUGGAUAAUCUGAAAAAAAAUCUAAGAGAAGCUAGAUUCGUUUCAGAGGGUAAAUUUAUGCAUGGAUAUACAAAGGAGACCAACUUCCUCAAUACAUAAGAAAUAAAGGUAUCGAAAAAGUGAAGUGAGGCUCACUUUCCUUCACCAGCAUAUACCAUGCGUUUACCUUUCCAAUAAUUAGAAGAAAACGACUUGUAUGGAGAGAGCUUUCUGAACUUCUUAUAUUGAAAUUCUAUAAGUGUCUUUACAUUUUGAUUACAGUUUUUUUUAUGCUUGCUUCAAUUAAAAGAAUUUUAAAUUUUAAAGUUAGAUAUUAAAUUUGAUGCUAACAAUAUAAACUUCAGACAUUAUCAAUGUAAUUAUAAACUUGUAGUUCUAGGCUUAAAAUGAUGUUUCUCAAAUAUAAAUUUAAAACUUAGUGAUCUUUUUAUAUACAGAAAGCAAAUUAAAACUUGUGGAGUAGUCAAAUAAUCUAAAUAUUUUGAAUACAAAAAACAGCUUAACAACUCAAGAUUAAAGAAUUUACAUUUAUUGGAUGAUUCUUCAACUUUGGCUAUCAAGGUUGUGCAAGAAGAUCAACUAGAUGUUGCUAAAGAUUUUACAAUUAGAUAUACAAGGAAUAUUUGUGGUAUUACUGACGAUAUCUUCACCACAAAUCAACUAAAAAAUCAUAUAAAGAAGGCCAUCAUAGACCAAAUAAAAAUUUCAGUUUAACCUUUAUAUUAUUAUGCAAAGCCAUACACACAAAAGUUGAGCUAUCAACCACUAAAGGUUCAACAAUUAGAUAACAAAACAAAUCUAAUUAAAGGUUCAACAAUUAGAUAGCAAAACAAAUCUAAGGCAACAUGCAUGUGGCUCACUUUAUAGAGGCUUGUAACAAUACUAUACUUGAUGUUGAUCUCAUGGUAAAACAAUUCAUUCAUUCUUUAAAAUGCAAUGCAUGACUUGGAGUCUUUUUUAACUUAUAGUCGGGAGAAAUUGAAACAUAUGUUUCUUCAACACUCAUUAUAUGGUUAACAUGAUUAAACUUACUAAUGAACAUUAAUAAAUAGAGAAGCAUGUCAGUGACUACAUUCAUCAAUGGAAAAAUCUACAACACUUAUUAUAUGGUUAACAUGAUAAAUCAAACACAUUAGAUUCACCUAUAUAUUGAGCCCAAAUAAACAUGGAUUUAUCAAGUUGUCAAACCCAAUAUCCUAGGGUUUAACUAUGUGUUGAACCCAAGUAAAUAUAGAUCUAGCCUCGUAUUGGGCUGUAAGGCUUUCUUUGUUUAUUCUUAUGAUUUUUAAUAUUAAAUGUUAAUGUUAAGAAUACUCAUCUCUCUACACUUAUAAAUAUAUAAAAGUCUUCUAAAAACCUACCAUGUUUUCAUCAGUAUUAAAUAUUAUGUAAGAGAUAUUUAUCCAUCAUUAAUGAUUAAUGAUGUGUAAGGGAUAUAUAUCCAAUGUCCAAACACUAAAAAACCUUUCUUAAACAUAUUGGAUUUUUGAAAUAUCAUAAACUGAUGAACAAGAAAUAGAGUUUUUUUGCCAAGAGAAGAGUAGAGAGGAAGGAAAGGAUUAAAAAUCAACAAAAAAAUCAACUACAAAACAUGAACUGUAUGACAAAAGUUGAUGCUUUGCCAAGCCAUGUUCACCUAGCAGCUGCAUCCUUGCUUAUAACAAAAACCCUAUCCACUCAAUUAAUUAAGGAAACAGAAAAGGUUUAGCAAACAUGAAUAGAGUAAUUUUAUAAUUUACACUUUGGUCUCUAAAAUCAAUAAUUGCUUUAAAUUAGGCAUCAAACAUUGAUUCUAUAAUUUGAUUUGAUAAAAUUUAAUUGAAAUUGAUCCCUAAAUUUCUAAUUUUGACAAUUAUAUUUUAUUUUUACAAUAAAAAUAUCUAUAUUAAUUUACUUUGAAAAUUUAAUACGAUCAAAUCAAGUUUUAGUUAAAAAAAAAAAAGAUAUUCAAAGUUCAAAAAUCCUCUUAACCAUAUUUUUCAAGACAUGUCUACUUAUUUUAAGGCUAAGUGAACUUGUAUCGAAGGGGCAACAUCUGUAUAAACAAAAAUAUUGUACAAAUUCAAUUUUUUCAUGUUUUUUUUUUAUAUUUAUUUUGACCUAAAAAAUUAAAAUAAUUGACAUGGAAAAUAAAUGGGCCUUUAUGUAUUUCUUGGCCAAUAAAAACUUGAAAAAUAGGAUGAGAUAUUUAAUUUAUUUUAUCAUCAAUGCAAGAUUUUAUAAUUGAAAAUCAACCGAUAACUGAUAAUAAACUUUAAGUAGAAUUGAACAUUAUUAUUUUUCUAAUGAUAUGGUGAAUUUAAAUAUCCAAUACAAAUUUAUCUAUAAAUGUGUUCACAUAUUUACCCAUUUAAACAUACUUAUUCAGCAUUAUUAAUUUUUAAUUAGAAUUAUUUAUGAGAUUUAUUUAAAAAUAAAAUAAAAAGUCUUAAUGUAUAUUUGAUUUAAAUUCUGAAUUAUACCCAAUUUUUGAAAAUAAUAAUGCAAAUUAUUUCAUUAUUUUUUGCUUCAGUCGAUGUAUUCAAUUAUCGAAUAAAACUUUAUUCAUGAAUGUGUUCGCACAUGUACCUAUUUUUUUUUUAUGAAUAUGUUCAGUACUAAUUUUUUAUAGAAGAAUUUAUUGAUUGCUAAUUUUUAUGUUCAGUACUACCAAAGCAUAUCUAUUCAACAUAGUUAAUUUUUUAUAGAAGAAUUUAUUAAUUAGUUUAAGAAAUCACAUCCUAUAAUAAAAUUAAAACUCUAGAUGCAUAUUCAAUUUAAAUUUAUAAUUAUGCUAAAUUUUUUAAAAUACUAAUUUAAACUAUAUCACUUGAUUUCAUUAGGUUGUUCUCAGAAAAAGAGCUCAACUGAAAAUUAAUAAAAUAAGAUGUAAUUUAAAUCUUUUAUUAUAAUAAUAUUUAAAGCAGCUUAAAUGAUAUGAACAUUAUUUAUAUUAUUUUAUCUUUUUAUCUUUUUUUUUAUUAAAUUAUGAAUUAUUUAAUAUAAAUAAGAGAGGAUAUGAUUAGGUUAAAAGAAUUACACUGAGUUGUGAUUAGAAUGUAACAAGAAAAUCCCCAAAAUUAAUUUUUAGAAAUUUUGAUAAUUAGGUCUGGUAAACUGUCAGACCUAAUAUCUUUGAGUUAAAUUAGAUGUCAAAUCUAAACGGGUUUAGAUUUGGCAAGUUGUAAGAUUCAUUGUCAGUGAACUUAACAUCAUGUCAAUCCCAAGUGGCUAUUAAUCUAAUGAUCAUAAUAAACCUCAUGUUAGGCUAUAAGGCUUUCUUUGUUUAUUUUUAUGAUUUUUUAUCAUGAAAUGUUAAUGUUAAGAAUUUUAAUCUCUCCACACCUGUAAGUAUAUAAAAGUCUUAUAAGGGCCUACUAUAUUUUCAUCAUUAUUAAAUAUUAUGUAAGGGAUAUUUAUCCCUCAUUAAUGACUUGUAGUGUAAGAGAUAUUUAUCCAUUCUCUAAACACUGAAAAACUUUAUUUGAAAGCAUAUUAAAUUUUAAAACAUCAUCAACUAUUGAACAAGAAAUCAAUCUUUUUGCCAAAAGAAAAGUAGAGAAGAAGGAAUAAUGGUUAAAACAUAUAUAUAUAUAUAUAUAAAAUCAUUUGCAAAACAUGAACCCUAUGACAAAAGCUUAUGCUUUGCCGAGCCAUGUUCAGCUAGCUCCCACAUCCUUGCCUAUAACAGAAACCCUAUCCACACCAUUAAUUAAAGAAAAGAAAAGGUUUAGCAAACAUGCAUAUAGUAAAUUUUAUAAUUUACACUUUGGUCCCCAAAAUCAAUAAUUGCUUUAAAUUAGGCAUCAAACAUUGAUUCUAUCAUUUGAUUUGAUAAAUCUCAAUUGAAAUUGAUCCCUAAAUUUCUAAUUUUAAUAAUUAUAUUUUAUUUUUACAAUAAAAAUAUCUAUAUUAAUUUACUUUGAAAAUUUAAUAUGAAGUUGGGAAAAAAAUACCAAAGUUCAAAAAUCCUCUUAACCAACAUGCCCACUUAUUUUAAGGAUAAGUGAACUUACAUCGAGGAGGCAUUUAUAUCAACAAAAAUAUUAUACAAAUCAAAAAAAUUUAUGUUUUUUUAUUUUAUUUUUCACCUAAAAAAAUUGAAAUAAUUUGAGAUGAUAAAUAAGUGGAACAUUAUGUAUUUUUGAAGACAUGUCCACUUAUUUUAAAUAUUUUAUUAUUAUAAAAUUUAAAGCAGCUCAAAUGAUAUGAUCAUUAUUUAUAUCUUUUUAUCUCUCUUUUUUUUUUUACUUUUUAUUUGAUUAAAUUAUGGAUUAUUUAAUAUAAAUAAGGGAGGAAAUGGUUAGAUUAAAAGAAUUACACUGAGUUGUGAUUAGAAUAUAACAAGAAAAUCUGCAAAAUUAAUAAUUAGAAAUCUUGAUGAUGAACAACGGUUUUGGGACAAACAAGAUCAGAAAGGUGGACAAAAUGGUUGAAAUAUCACAAGGAGCCUGGUUUGAUAAGCACCGAAGACAAAUCCAGAGUUGUGUUUGAGAAUGCUUAGAGCGAGCCACAAAUGAUAUCCUAGCUUUAAUAUUGUUGUCCUUCGUCCAUAAAUGAAACAAUUUAGGACAACAAUGUCUUUAAUUUGGAUCAUUAAAGAUAUCAACUUGGUUCGUCUUAACAGUAUUAAAAUGGCCGUCCCAAAAUUACCCCUUAAAACAAGAAAAAAGGACAUGGCCAAGCAUUGACACGUUGCAAAGACGAUAAAGUCAACAAACAUCGUCCCACCCUUGCUCUAAUUUGAUGCAACAAUGUUUAAGGGUGCGUUUCUUUCUUAAAAGUAAUUUUCAAGAAUUUAUUUUUUAAUUUUUUCCUGUAUUUAUUUGUUAUUAAAAAAAUUAAUUAAUAAAAAUAUUUUUUAAUCAAUGAAAAAUACUUUCUUAUCAAAGAAAAAUUUAGCUUGAUUUUUUAAAAAAUAUAUAUAUUUAUUUAUUUUAAACAGAAAAUACUUUUUAAAAGUUGACAAACAUAGAAUCAAGAAAAAGUUGGAGUUUUUUUUUUUUCUUCUAAUAGAAAGUUUUCUAAUCAACGAAAAAUAUUUUUCUAUAAAAACAAAUUUAAUUUAAUUUCCAGAAAAAUAAUUUUUUUUUAUUUUAAACGGAAAAUACUUUCAAUAAAUUAACAAUUAUGAAGUUAAGGAAAAGUAGGAUUUUUUUUGUUAAUAGAGAGUUGUUUAAGUGUAUGGCAAUUUUUUUUGUUAAAAUAUAUUAAAAUAAUAUAUUUUUUUAUUUUUUUAAAUUUAUUAUUAACAUCAAUAUAUUAAAAUAAUUUAAAAAUAUAAAAAAAAUUAAUUAUAAUUAAAAAUUUUAAUUUUUAUAACAUACUGUUUAUAAGCAAUUCUAAAAUGGAAUACCUAUAGACAACAAAAAAAAAACUUAUCAUCAAAUGACAACGUGGGACACAAUCUGCAUUAUAUAUUGUGUUCUCUUCCGUUGAUGGAGGGGUGGUGUUGGCCGUAUUUGUUAGAACAAAACAUUUUUUAAAAUUGCUCGUCCUUUUACCUUGAAAAAAAUCCUGCAGCAGGGACGGGAUGGAUGUUUGUUGAUUUUAUCGUUAUGCACCGUGUCAUUGAUUUUGGGACGGCCAUUUUAAUACUGUUAAGACCAACCAAGUUGAUAUCUUUAAUUAACAUUGAUAUAUUAAUUUGAAGAUUUGAUUUUUUUUUUUACUCAAUCCAACAACAAGAAGAGGAGUCUAGUAAAUCCAUGCUUAAUAUAUAUAUAUAUAUAUAUUCCAUGCUUAAUAUAUAUAUAUAUAUAUAUAUAUAUAUAUAUAUAAGUAGAAAUGCGCAUACAUUCAAUUGGAAACUCAAGAGUUAUUACAAAGUUCAAAUUAUUACUCCAAUAGCUCGCCAGACACAAUCCAAGAUAUGAUCGAUCUCAAAAUCCUGAACUUUCUCUUGAGAUCAGAGAGCUCUCUCUUGAGAUCAAGAUCAGAGAGUUUAUUAGGCAGCCACCAGCUACUGUAGAUAAACAAGAAAAAAAUGCCGUAGUAGAAAUGGUGCAAGAGAACCCGUAGAAGAACUUUGUUGAAAUAUCCCGACCUCUGAUCCUAGAGAGUUUAUGAGGCAGCCACCACCUACUGUAUAUAAACACUAAAAAAAGGCUGUAGUAGAAAUAGUGCAAGAGCACUUUUAGAAGAACUUCGUUGCCAAAUAGCGGAAUAAUCGAAGGAAAAACAACGGCCACCCCUGUAAUGAUGAUUGUUAACAACCAACCAUGGGAUCCUAUUAAUACUAUUCUCACAGAAAAAAGGAAUGCCCCGAACAUCAUGAAAAUAGCCAAACGAACCAUGAAUAUUGAAAACCAAACUGCAGAGAUUUGAAAACCUUUCGUAACGCUUGGCAAAAGAAGGAAUAGAGCUGCCGCCAGAGAGCAAGAUAAAGCCCCCACAUCGAGAGCUAAAUAAACAUACAGAAGAUUCUCAUAAGUGCUGUUAAAUUCAUGGCGACGAUCACUUGAGUUAUUGUUAUCCCUUAAUUGUGGCAAUUGUAUAACACCCGCAAAGGUCACUCCAGCAACAAGCACUGCUACCACUAGAACAUUCCCUAUCUCGCUCCUUGUUUCCUCUUUUAGUUUUGACACGGGUAGUCCAGUCCAGGGGAAAAGCUCCUUGAGGGAUUUCUUAGGGCAGGCAUUGAAGCAUAAGAUCGAAAAUGUCAUCACCUGCAUAUAUAUAGAAUUUUCCUCAAUUGCAUCCAAAAGCAUUGACCUUCAAAUGGGUUCUUGGCACUUCCUCAAUUGUUUAAUGGGUUCUUGGCACUUCCUCAAUUGCAUCCAAAAGCAUUGACCUUCAAAUGGCUUUCCCAGAACAAGUAAUUUACUGGAAUGUUUUAGAAUUUUUUAAUAUAAUGGCAUACAAGUUCAAUCAAUUGGGCUUGAACUAGAAGUUUAAAAGAUUAGGGAUGGCAAGGGAAAAAGAAGGAAAGCAAUAAUACCAAGUGAAAAUACCCAUCCACUAUUUCGUCCUUUGGUGAUGGCUCUUUUUUAUCCAUCUUAUUUGUAUCAACUUCUUUUCCCUGUCAAAAAAAAAAAAACAUAUUAUUUGUUAAAAUGCAGUGCUCUCUCUGUGUGCUAUGGAUAUAUAUUGAAGAUAUUUGAUUUCCUGCUGCGAAAUACUUUUAAUCUUUUUAUUUUUAUAAAUAAUUUAAAUUCCAUAGGAUAAAAAAUAAUUUAAAUUGAUUUGAAAAAAAAAAGAAAAAAGGUAUCUAUAUUUUUUUAAAACAAAACCAUUUUCCUUAUUAAUUAUACGUUCCAUUUUUUUUUACUAAUGUUUUUAUAAAAAAAUUUUGUUUUUUUUUUAACAACAACCUAUCAUAAUCUAUAAAUAAGUUUUAAUUAAAAAAUAAAAUAAUAAUGGAUUGAUGAUUUUCUUGAAAAAAAAAAUUUAGCAAUGUUUUUAUUGCAUAAAAACUAAAAGCAAUUAAAAUAAAUAUGGACAAAAAUUUUCAUGAUUUUAUUGCAAUAAAGAUAAAAAAGAUAUAUAUCUAUUUGAUAAAAAAAGCUUUUUUUUAUUAAUCCAUCCUCUUUUUUUUUUGGGGUAGUAUUUUAUAAUUUUUUAUUAAUCCAUCCUCUUUUUUUUUGGGGUAGUAUUUUAUAAAAAAUAUUGUUUCUUAAAUAAAAAACUUAUCAUAAUCUUAACGUAAAUACCUUGAUCUCGUGCGCAGGGGUACUGUUCUUUGAAUCAAUCGGCUUUCGUUCCUCGGCAGGCUGGCAACAAAGUGGAAGCCCAGAUACCAAAAUAUUAAAUCAGUAAUACUCCUAAAAUAUAUAGACUUUUGUAGCUCGAUAAAUGAUGAUCAAAUUAGUAGCUUACCAUUUCAUCUGUUUUUAUGUAUAAUCCACGUGGCAACCUCCCUCUCUCUCACACACAGCUACAGUAACUUUAGCUUUCCCUUUCGUCCCCGAUCCCCUUCUCACCAAUCCCAUCAGGCGACCACAACCAACUUCAUCAACAGCAGCCCCAGUCAUCAUCCUCAUCUAAAGCACUAUCGACUGCCUGUAUCGGCCAGCCUUCUUUGCUACAAUAGUUCCUACCAUCAAUGGGGAUUCUAGAAACAAGCAAACCUCUCAACACCAGCAUCGUGAGCAGCAGCCUUGAGUGACGGAUUCACUUUUCUUCAUCUACACACGACCACAAGUUUCAUCACAGCAUCCACGCUACAGCUUCACAGUCCCGCCGAAGUCAACCAGAAGACCCAUCCUUUUAGCAAAUCCACACUUUUCUUGCACUCUCAACACCACAUCAACACCCAUCUUCCCGAUCUCUCAUCUCCUUUAGCACUGAGAGAACCGAACGGUGGAGCAGAGAACACAGACAGCAGAGGAGCCAGCAUCACCAUCGAUUUCCUUUCUCCAGAAGCAGGGGUCUACCGCCACAUCAACACCCAUCUUCCCGAUCUCUUCAUCCCUUUUAGCUCUGAAGCUUCCUCCAGCAGUGGCCAACACACGGCAGCCCCUACGGACACCUCAUUUACUUCUGGUGCUCGACCCAAUUCUGAAAACCAUGGAUUGCACUCGCCCCAUCUCCUCUUGAAAUGCUUUUCAUGAUCCAAUAAUGCUACAGCGGCUUCAGAUGGAUCCACCUCAUAGAAUACUGGCAAGUCUCUCUCUUUCUGUACUGCUACUUCAAGCUUGAAUUGCUUUGCUCGUUGGCUAGACGAUGAUGUUUGGUUUUCUUUGAGAGUUUGGUUUUCUCUGCUUCUAAGUUACAGCAGCUAGUCCUAAUCAUUGAUGUUUAUGCGUGUCACUGGCUAUAUGAGAAUCCAUUAUGUUUUGAUGAGUUUAUAUUCGGGAACAAAUAUUGGGCCAUUAACCUUUUCAAGCACUGAUGGAGUAGGGUGCAGUUAAAACACGCCCUAGCUGUUUGAUAGAAUGCCAUUGACCAGCGAAAGCUAAACAAUAAUGUUGUAAGCAUAGAAACAAACAAUCAAAAAUCCCUAAAAAACUCAGAAUGCUCCCCUCCAAAAACCUCCCCUGCUACCUAGGUCUUAGAACCUGCUUCAACCUUCCCCUUACAAUUCACCCCACACUGUAAAUGCCCCUAUUAAACAUACACAACACCACCCUUCAUCCGCCUAGCAACCUAUGUAUUACACAACAACAGCCAAACAACAAACACUUACCUAAAACAGCUUUCACUCCCUCUGUCUCUACUAAGAUUUAUUUUGAAUGUUUCCCGUCUUGGCUCGAUUACCAAGAUCUCAAAAAGACUUUUUCAAAGAUUAGUCUUGUCACCAACCUCUUUGUUUCCAGGAAAAAAACAAAACGAGGGAGACGGUUUGGUUUUGUAUCUUUCUUCUCCCAUUUAGAAGAUACAGACCUUUGUGAUAGAUUGAACCUUGUAUGGUUCGACUCUUUCAAAAUUCGUGCAAACCUAGCAAGAUUUCAACACCUACAGAUUCCAAGGAAAAGACAGUCCCCUCCACAAAGCCAGAAAUCAAAAUCCCACCCAAACUAGCCCUUAGAGACAACAGGACCUUUGUUGAAGCUCUUUUGGUCCAACAACCAUCAAAGAAGACUGUGAUGUAUGAGUCUACUCAGGAUGACAAGGAAUGGCUGUUGAGAAGUCUAGUCGGUUCUAUAGCCACAGAAGUGGACUAUGCAAAACUGGAGCAUAUGGUUUUGAAAACUGUCAAGAAGGCAAUUGGAUUUCGUUUCCUAGGAGCAAGCCAAGCAGUUAUCACCUUCACAGACAGAGAGACUAUGGAGAAGAGUUAACAAACAGUAGCUCUGCCUUGGCAAACUACUUCUCUAGUAUCAAACCAUGGAAGAGGGAAGUAAAAGCAGUGGAUAGAUUUGUUUGGGUGUCUAUUAUGGGACUUCCUCUAAUUGGCUGGAACCGAAGAUGUAUUGAAUCAAUGGUUGAAGAUGCAGGCAAGAUGAUUGGUUACGAUAUUACAAGUGUGAGUCAAGGUUCACUUAUGGGAGUCAAGGUUCUUUUGUGCACAACCUCUUUCACGAUUUUAAACAAACAGAUUUCACUGAUUCUAGACGGAGAGGAAUUUGAUAUAUCAGUCAUGGAAAUGAAGCCAGGUUUUAGCCCCCUGCUUACCACAAUUAAAUACUCAAUGGAUACAUCAGGCACUGAAGAAUCAGAUGAAGAGUCAUGCAGUAAAAUCACACCUCCAGAUGAGUUUCCGCUAGCCAGUAUAAAUGAACCAGAAGUUGACCGAACCUCAACAGAGCAACAGGAUAAGGACAUGCAAAAUGACCCCUCUCUCAUUCUCUGCACAAGAUACACUGAAUCACUCAACAACCUAGACCAAACUGACACAACAUACAAAACCUUCUGCCUCUUUCCUGAAACUAAGGAAACACACAAGCUACAAACAAAAAACCAGCAACUGCACAUCGCCUCUCACCAAUUGCCCUCUAUAGAACCAUGCUAUGACACCAUUAAGGAAAAAAUUCAAGUGGUAGAAACCAGCUACAGCAACUCAGAUGACUCAGCAUCAAUAUCCUUUUCGAGAGUAGCCCUCGAUAAAAAACAAACACAAACUAAAGCCUCCUCUGUCCAAGUUACAAGGCCUACCCCAAAACUAACCAGACCCAUGAUACUAGCACAGAGCCGGAGCCACAAUACACAUCAGCAAUCUUUCUCUGCCUUCAUACGUGACCUAGCAGAACCACAAGAAGUAGUGGAAAUGGAGUUGGAAGGAAAGAUGAAAGAUAAGAAGCUUAGAAGAGCUAGAAGGGUUGCGCCUAAAUCUUCUUUCAACAAAAAGAAGAAUGUGUUGAAAGUUAAAUCAUUUGCAGCUCAUAUACCUAAUGGAGCACCCAACCUUUUUGCAAUGAAGGUAACCAGCACCCAAAACAACACACCUCUACAAGACACCACACCAUCCCCUGUUAUUAAGUCAUUCGGCAUUGGAAAGAACCAUAACUAUGCCUCCACGGAUGAUGAAACCAGUGUCAUGCAUCUCCAUUUACCACCCCUGUUGAACCCUCAAAGCAACCCACAAACAUUUUCAGAUGCAACCAAUGAAAACACAAACGAGAAAAGCAGCAAAACAAGAAAACUGAAGUUGUUGCAAGCCAAUGGUAGUGUUGCUAACACUAUGGAGGAUUGUGAUUCUUCCGACUCCUUAAACUCAGGAAUCCAACAAGGAAAUAUUCGGUUUCAGAUCACUUGUACGAAGCAUCAAGACAAUGGGUUUGACAGUGAAAAGGAGACUCAAGAAAUGAUACAAGAUGCCGUGGCUCUAGGUUUGGGAAACCCGCAAGAACUAAACGGGUUCAAAGAAGGAAUAAUGAGAAAUAUUGAUAGAGAAGUUGAUGAGUGGACAUCAGUUAACCAGUUGUAAGUUCUCUAUCUUGAUAAGUCUAGCCUGCCUUGGUUUUUGCUCUUUUUAUGAAUAUCUUUGCUUGGAACAGCUGUGGUUUAGGCAUGUCACACAAGCAAAAUUCAAUCCGGAAUAGGCUUAUAAAAAUAAUAUUGGCAUCUGUUUUCUUUUAGAAACAAAGAAAAACUGUUGUGACUCCUUCAUUAGAAAUCUGUGGAAUAUUGCAACUGUCAAAUGGGCUUUCUAGAAUCUAUAGGGAAAUCAGGAGGGAUUAUAGCAAUGUGGGAUAGCUCUGUCUUUGAAGUUAGCUCGGUAGAAUUUGGGGGGCAGUGGAUCAGCCUAUGCGGCACAUAUUCCUUCUUCCUUUACUUGUAUGAUAGUUGGUGUAUAUGCUGCAUCUUCAGUGAAGGAUCGUGCUGAUAUGUGGGAAGAAAUCACCACUCUUAAGUUUGCUUUUGAACUUUGGUGGUGCUAGGCGACUUCAACGAAACUCUACACGCUCAUGAGAGAAGUAGUGGUCACCUCAAUUCAUCAGGUUCAACUUCAUUCCACAAAUUCAUAUCAGACUGUGAACUGGUUGAAUUCAAUUUGCAAGGGCAUCGGUUCACUUGGUUUAGGGGUGGUUCUAUGAGCCGCAUUGACAGAGCUUUCGCUUCUCCGGAUUUUCAGCUACAGUUCCCGUCUCUAUCUCUCUGCCGCUACCCUAGAGGGAUGUCCGAUCACUGUCAGCUGCUUCUCCAAAGCCCGGAGGUAGACUGGGGGUGGAAGCCGUUUCGUUUCAUAAAUUGCUGGCUGUCGCACCCUCUUUCUUAACAGAUUUUGAGGCCCUCUGGUCUGAAAGCUGCAAGGAAUUUCCAGGUGAGUUUAGUUUGAUUAAGAAGCUGGGGAACAUGGGAAAAAAGCUGAGACAAUGGAAUAAAUCCACUUUCGGGGAUCAAAAUCUAAAACUUGCAGACAUCCAGAACUCCAUCACAACUUGAAACUUAAGCGAAGUGCGUCCCUUGUCUGAGACCGAAAAACAAAGCUCCAGGGGCUGAAUUCUGAGCAAUGGGAGGUUAACAGAAGGGUGGAAGAUAUGUGGAGGCAAAAUCUCGUCAAAACUGGUGUAAAAUGGGGGAUAAGAACACUCUUUUUUUCACAUAUCAGCAAGUCUAAGGAAGGGCCGCAACUACAUUAGUAAGAUUGAACAUAAUGGCAGUCAUCUAGUCUCCUCAAAUGAUAUAAAAGAAGGCGCUGUCAACUUCUUCUCAUCCUUGUUUCGCAAACCAACAUGUAAAAGAAUUGAAAUGGGAGGCUCGGGGUUCUCUAAAAUUUCAGAAGCCAAAUCAAUUUGGCUAGAAAGACCACCUUCAAUGGAAGAAGUGAAGCAAGCUGUGUGGGACUGUGAUGGUUCCAAAGCCCCUGGCCCCGAUGGUUUCACCUUUUGUUUCUAUAAAAAGGUAUGGAAUAUCAUCAGCUCAGAGGUUUUUAUGCUGGUUAAAAGUUUUUUCAGAACUGGUAAACUUCCAAAGGGUAUCAACUCUUCUUUUGUAACUCUGAUUCCGAAAUCAAAGGGCCGAGCAGAUUCUCCCAUUUUCGUCCGAUAAGCCUGAUUCACGGGCUAUACAAAAUAGUGGCAAAGCUACUGUCCACUAGGCUUCGACAUGUCAUGACAGAUGUGAUCAGUGUUAACCAGUCUGCAUUUAUUGCGGCGUCAGAUUCUAGACGGGUUCAUGAUAGCAAAUGAGGUUGUCCAUGGUGUGCGCAGCAAGAAGAAGCAUGGCCUCUUACUGAAGGUAGAUUUCCAUAAAGCCUUUGACUCAAUUUUAUGGGAACAUAUUGACACAAGUAUGGGAUACAUGGGUUUUGGCUCACACUGGAGGAAGCUGAUAUUCGAAUGCUUAUCCACUUCAAAAUUAGCCAUCUUGAUAAACGGUUCUCCUAGUAGAGAAUUUAGUUUGGAGAGGGGUCUCAGGCAAGGGGACCCACUCUCUCCAUUCCUAUUUGACAUCGCAGUUCAGGAUUGACAGUUUUAUUCAAUAGGGCAUCAGCUUCAGGUUACUUCAAAGGCUUACAGACUACCCCAGGACAUUACUUAACUCAUUUGCAAUAUGCCGAUGACUCUCUGAUUUUCUUGCCAAAUGAUUUUCCCUCUCUUCUACAUGCCAAGAGGAUUCUACGUUGGUUUGAGAUCAUUUCCGGACUGAAAGUUAACUUCUAUAAAAGCUCACUAAUAGGUAUCAACUUGGACAACGACUACACCUCUAGCCUGGCGAACUCAGUUUUCUGUCGUAGUGAUACUUUCCCGGUUAGGUACCUUGGACUACCUCUUGGAGCCAAUCCCAGCAGACUCUCUACUUGGAAACCAGUGUUGUCCACUAUCAGAGCAAAGCUACUCACAUGGAAAGGGAAUUUUUUGAGCAUGGCGGGAAGGUUAUGUCUAAUUAAAUCAGUCUUGAGCUCUCUUCCUCUGUUUUACAUGUCAGUUUUUGCUAUGCCAAAGGGUGUUACUAAAGCCAUCUCUUCUCUAACCCGGUCUUUCCUUUGGAAAGGAAGCUCAACUUCUCAUGGCCUUUUUAAGGUGGCUUGGCACAAGGUAAUAAAGGAUAAAUCUUCUGGUGGUCUCGGGCUGGGAUCCAUCCACAACAAAAAUCUGGCUUUGCUUUUAAAUGGCUAUGGAAUCUAGACAAUGGAGUGGCAGGAGGCUGGCAAGAACACAUUCUUCUAAAAUACCGACCUCACUUUAUAAAUGGUAUCCCUGAGUUUGCAGGUUCUUUAUCUCCAACUUGGCAUGGCAUUGUUUCGGCAAUCUUCUCAACACAAAACAUAGCCAAUCUUUUACAUGCAAAUGUCGGGUUCAAGGUGGGUGACGGGAGGAACAUACGGUUUUGGACUGACUCUUGGCUCGGCUCUGCAACCACUCUCCAGCUCUUAUUCCCCAAACUUUAUAACCUCUCCUUGCAGCAAAACACCAGCCUUGCAGAUAUAUACAAUUUGACAGAUGCAUCUUUAAACCUAUCCUGGAGAAGAACCCUUCGGCCUCGUGAGAUCUGCCAGAGGGAGAGCUUGAUCGCAGAGGUGCAGCGUGGUCUCCUUUUCUCAGAUGGUGCAGACUGCAAGUUAUGGAAAUUCCACAGCUCUGGCAUAUACUCAGCUCAAUCAGGUCGCCUCUUCUUUGAUAGUCUAUCGGCCACUAAAAAUAAUCACUCCCCUACUCUGCUAUGGAAUGGUUAUGCCCCCCCAAAAGUGGAUGUGUUCAUUUGGCUUCUUCUUCAUGGAGGUUUGAGUACAAGAAGUUUUUUAGCUGAGAGGAGAAUCAUUAAUUAUGAGGAAUCUCACUGCCCAUUCUGCUGCAAGGAAACCGAGACAAUUAAUCAUCUUUUCCAUUGGUGUCCUAUAACAUGGUCUCUUUGGGGUCGUUUCUUAAAUGGUUCGGGUGCUCAGGUUGUCUGCACAAAGACCCAAAUCAAAAUCUACAGGAAUGGUCCGGAUUGAUUAAUGGAAAUUUUCAGCGACGUGCUAUUACCCUCCUCUGUAAAGGUCUGUAUUGGUCAAUUUGGAUAGCGCGCAACCGCUUAAUCUUCGAAUCCAAGGCUCCUGAUUGGGAUAUGAUUUUUGAUCUCACUUUUCACCGUUUGGCUUUCUGGUUGAAGUCCUCAGUUACAAAUUUCAGCUAUACAGGUUCAGAUCUUUUUAGAAAUCCUGAAUGUAUUAUGAACUGGACUAACUAAUUAAGUCCCUCUUCACUUUGGUCUUUUCUUUCUUUAUAUUCCCAUUGUAUUCUAUCUUUCGUUCAGCCCCACUUACUUGAUGGGCCUGUUUAUUUAAUAUAUAAUUAUCUCGUUUACUAUAAAAAAAAAAAAGAAAUUCCUUUCCAGAUCUUUUGGAAAAUUCUUCAGUCAAGUACUCAUAUGGUGUCCAAUUUCUAUUGUUAACUAUGAAAUGUUCAACGCGAUUGUCACGCACAAGAAGAAAUGUAGCCGUGCCUUGGCCAUAAACUGCCGCCAAGUGCAAAGGUGUAUUUCCAUCCUCAUCUAUCGCAUUUACCAGCGGUGCGACGAGCUUCUGAUCCUGCUUGAGUAUGUACCUAACCACACUGCUAUUUCCAUAUUUGGCCGCUACAUGAAGAAUGUUGUGCCCUUUCUUAUUGAGGAUAUGGGAAUAUAUCAAGAAAUUCCUUCACUACAUCAACAGAGUGACUUUUGCAUGCUACAUGGAUAGGAAUAGGAUAGUUGCCUUCAAGUUUUGUUUCAUAAGCACCAUCGUGAAACUUCUUUAAGAGGAAUCGAACUCCUUCCAGAAAACCUAUGGAUGAUGCAUAAUGCAGUGAAUUUCCCAACUCUUCCUCGGUGAGAGGUAAUAGCUCUGGCUUUUCCUUUUCAAUUUUCUCCAAAAUAUCUGAAAAUCAAAAGAAAAUGUUUCGAACGAAUAUAAAGAUGAUAGCUUUGCAACAAUUUUUUGUAUGUAAUUCAUUUUCUAGUGGGUAAUGACAUUGUGAUCACCUCUGUUACGUUGCUUGAUGGCAGCAUGAACAGGGGACUUUCCUUCUGGUGGGGAAUCACCAUCUUUUCUAUUUUUAGGAAUUGAAGCUCCCAAAUUCAAGAGAUCAUCAAGUAUCUCGUUGUUAUUGCCAUUCUCAACAGCCAGAUAUAAAGGAGACUUGCCAUUAUUGUUGCUGUAAUAGGCCACUUCUGGAUCUCUGGAAACUAGGAAACUGGCAACUUCUUUGUUGCCCUUGAUCACUGCAUCAUGCAAAGGAGUGUUUCCCUUUGUAUUUGUCUUCCUCAUCAAGAUCGGAUUCGAUUCCGCAAGAGAUUUAAUUGUAUGACUGGCCUUUCCUUCUCUGACAGCAAGAUGAAGGAUUGUGUCCUUCUGGCUGUUUUGGAUGGUGAUUAGAGAAGGAAACGUUCCAACCAGAUAAGCUAUAAUAUUGUCACUUCCAUAGCUUACAGCUACGUGAAGCAGUGUAUUCCCGCAGGGAGUCACUAGCUUCUCCGCUGAACGUUGCUGGACACGUCUUUUCAAGGCCUCAGGAUUGUCCUGCUUCACACAAUCAUGUAACUGACUAUCUAUCAUUUCAUUUUCCAAGUGAUCUCUCGGAAUCGAGAUUUCAUCUAUGUUUAUCUCAACGGCGCUAGACAUAGCAAAAGAAAAUAUUAGGUUACUUGAAUCAGCGAUACCUAUCACUUAUCAGACAGCACGACUUCUAAUUCAAAUCGGCUAGACUGCAUGUCAAUGGAAUCUUAAGUACUGUGAAUGGAAAUUUAGCUUUAUGAUUGUUUUGAUUUGUUUUGUACAAGGUAAUUUUAAUUUCAUGAUUAAAGUUAUGUGUAUAGCAAAUUAAUCUAGUUUAAAUCAUGUUUUUAUUUUUUAAUUUUUUUUUUCAUGAAGUUAUAUUGGUUUGAAGACUUGGGUCAUGGAUUUGAUAAAUUGACUUGGUUUUUUUUUUUUUAACUUCUUUUUCUAAUUAUAUCCUUUAAUAUUGGUUUUAUUGGGGAUUGAAAUUCAUCAUUUAUUUUUAUUUACUUUACAUUAUAUUAUCUUGGUUUUAUGACCCGAGUGAGUUUGGCUGGUUAACUAGGAUUACUUUUUUAGAUCUUUUUUUAAUUGAUUUUUUUUCAAUAUCAUCCUUUAACAUUGAGUUAAUUGGAAAGUAGACUUUAUAAUUUAUUUUGAUUUACUUUCUAUUGGGUUAUCAUAAUCUCAUAAUAUAAGUUGCAAAUUUGACAUGUUAACUCAAGUUAACUCAAGUCAAUCCAAUAUGUUGUUAUCUUAAUAUUAAAAAAAAAAUUAUCAUCUUGAAUUGUUUUAGUCAUACUAUGUUCUUACAUGUCUUAUGAAUUGUUUUUAGAUCCACAAAGUCAUUCAAGUAUAUCGGGUCAACACUUACAUGGUUUUAAUUUUUUAUUUUAUAAAUAUGUAAAAAUAACAUUAUUUUGGUCAUACUUUUUUUAAAAAAAUUCAAUGGGUUUUCAGCAGGGUUUUUAAAAAAAUUAAAAAGAAUUUAACAAAAAAAUUAGGUAGUACAAAUUCUAAAUAAAAAAUAAAUAUCACGGUUAAUUAAAAACAUUGAAUAAUUUUUAAUAAAUUUCCUUUUAUAAAAAAUCCCUAAAAAUCUAAUAUGUUUGGCAUUGCCUUUUAAAUGGCAUUGGAUAAAUUUUAAUGUUUUUAUUUAAAAUUAAUUUUUUUAUGUUUUUAGAUUGUUUUUAUGUACUAAUAUAAAAAAUAAUUUUUAAAUAAAAAUAAAAAAUUAUUAGUUUUAAUAUAUUUUCAGUAAAAAAACACAAUUUUUUUUUAUUCUAACCACAAUUUAAAACGCUACAUAGCAAAAUUGAAAACUUAUUACAAGCUGGGGUAUGAAAAGGACAUCUGAAAUAAAAUAAAUACAGAAAGCCGUAAUCUGAUCGCAUUAAUUCCCAUAAUUUAUUACACCUUGCCAGUUGUCCUUUCUCAUAACUUUCUAAUUCACUCAUUAAGCUGAGACAGAAAAAAUGCACUGAUCGGAGUGAUUUUAUAAGGGAUGAAAGAGGUUUAAGUUGUGUUUUUAAAAAAUUUAAAAGUUUUGUUUUUUUUUGUUAAAAUUAAGUGUGGUUUGUAUUUUUUAUAUCAUUUUAAUGUGCUGAUAUCAAAAAUAAUUAAAAAAAAAUAAAAUAAAAUCAUUGGCAUGCAUUUCGAUAUAAAAAGUUAUUUGAAAAGCAAUCACUACCACGCUCCCAAACACUCGACAGAUUCUGUGAUAUGCAAGAGGUGUGUCUUCUUUAAGAAGACCAUGUGUUUGAAAUUAAUACCUUUUGGAACAGAUAUGGGAAUUGAUACAGAAAAAACCUGGAUUACUCGAUUAGUUUAAAUUAAUUAUUUAAAUUUUUUUUUAGAAUUGACCUAAUCAACUAGCUAGCCUAGUAAGGUAUAGUAGGGUUAGGUCAACUAGAUUACGAGUAAAUUAUAUUUCACUAAGUCAAUUUCUUUUUUGUUUUAAUUUAAAACCUCGGCCAAGCCACACAUCGGUGAAUGUUUAAGCCACACUUCCGGCGUUAACGUUCCAAGUCAACCCAUUAUACUAGGCUAGGUUUAACAAGAAUGUUUAAGACAUUUUAUUUAACAAUAAAAUAAGUAAUCCAAUAUUUCUAACAUCCGAUUCAACAGACUCAAUGUCUUUCCAAUAUGUUUGAAGGCUUAAACACCGAUGUCAAGGCAGUUUUUUCCUGUCUACCAGCCUUCGGACCCCUGACCUAGUUGUGACAAGGCAUAAGAGCUGUGCAAAGAGCUUGCCAUGCUCUCUGCUUAAACCUCUUGAGAUUUUGAGAUAUUAGUCUGGAAAUUUCUUGAUUCCCUCAUAAACAAGAAGGAAAAUCCCAUGACUUUUCAUCUUCCUGCCAUUUCAUGACCAUACUUUGUAUUCGUAGAAGUUAAAACACUUUUACAUUUUCUUAAUUAAAAGAUUCAAAGAAAGUAAGUUUAAUAUAAAAAAAAAAAAAAACAUUGGUAGAAGACUGGAGCAUGCAGCUAGCCUAGACAGAAAAUUAAUUGAUGUACAAUCAUAGUCUUAAUUAAUACUCAGACCCACCUGUACAGAUUCGGGUUGACGAAAAAAUAAUAUAGUUGACCUAGUUAAAAUCCGAAUAUCAAAUAUUUUUUUAAAUAAAAUAAUACUGUUUUAAUUUUUAUUUUUCUAAAUCUUCUUUAGUAGCCUCGUUAUUCAAAUAUUUCCUCAAGUUUGACACCGGGUUGAUUUUUAAAACAUGUGUACAAUUGCUACCCCACUAUCAGGUCAUUAAAGGGUUCCCCUAGAGUACUACUGUUAUUUCACUUAUUUCUGAAAAAGACUCCAUGCAUGCAUGCGUUCAUAUAUUUACAACUUUAAUUGUACAAGUUAGACCGUACGUAUUCAGUUAUUGGCAUCACCUACUGCUCUCCACCUUCCAUGUCCUCUCCACUUGAUGAUGAGGCCUUGCUGUCCAUCCUCCUAAUAAAAGUUGCCCAUCCGUAAAUUUAUUACACACCCUGCACAAUUCCCUUUUUUUGUCUGUUUACUGUGUUAGAAAAUAGUAUGAAAUCAUUCUUGUGAUUUUACCUAAUAAUCAUGAUUUUAAAACUCACCUCACCACCUCCAAUUUAACUAAAAUAAAAUUAAAUAUAAAGUAAUGUUGAGUUUCUGCAGAUUUUGUUAUAUGAAACUAUGACAGAAUAGAUUAAUUGAAGAAGUCGGUGUUGACGCUGAAGAUGCAAGAAAAGCACUAUUAUGAGGCUUAAUCUGCAGUGGACAAGGACUCUCCUUUGUAACCGGCUUGAUGGCCCCCUGUAUUCCAUGUCUUCUUUGUGAACGCAUCUUUGUGAACGCAGGUUUGGAAUCCAGGAAAGUCAUCACCAGAAUCCCCCGUUUUCCGUCAGUGCCUCACUCCUUAUAUAUCUCUUAAAGGACAACUGGCCAGGUGUAAUAAAUAGUUUACUAUUUUCUAACACAGUAAACUGCAGAAUUCCAAACCCAAAACCAUUAACUUAUUCCCUUUUUUUAUAUGGUGCAUACAAGAAAGAACAUUGAACAUCCAUCUCUCUUUGAGGACUCUGGCUCUCUACAAUUUCCUUCUUCCUUUUUCUAGAUGAACAACACUGCUCUCUACAAUUUCCCACUCCAGAUUUCUCAUAAAAAAGGUUAAAAAACAGAAUAAGCAACGUGUAAAAUUAGAGGUUAAAGCAUGUUGUUGCAAGUAGCUUCAACGCAUCCAAAACUUAUUUAAUUAACACCAUAUAAAGUUAGAGCAAAGGGGAAAAAAAAAACUCCUAGAAAACACUGCUAUUUCCACUAGAAAACAGUUCUCUCACUUGAAAACUUGAAAUUAUUGGUUGUACUGUGGAAGCAUUACUGACCCCGAAAAACAUGCAUGAAGGCAAUUAGAUGUAAAACUCCUGGGACCCGAAAUAGUAGAAAUGACUAUUGACGAGGACAAUAAGAUAAAAAAUAAAGAAAGUUUGAGAUAAAUAGAAAAGUUAGGUGGACAAUCAAAUAAAAUCUUUGAAAUUUCAAACAAGAAAUAAAGUGUUUUUGAAGGUGACACAUUAGUAUCAUUUAGUUGGAAAUGCAAGAAAAACUUAUUUUUUAGAAAAAAUAUAUAGUUUAACUAAUCAAGUUCUAAAUUUAUUUUAUAGAAAUUAUUAGUUUGAAUUUUACAAACUUUAAAUUUAUUGAAAGCUUACAUAAUUAUUAAUUUUAAAAUAUUUAAAAUUAAUCAAAAUAUACACAAACAAGUCUAAACAUUCACAUUAAUAAAACUUUAAUCAUAAAAUAUCUGAUGAGGUAGCAUAAAAUUGUUUGAAUAAUAAUGUAUGGUAUCUCCUCGAGGCCCUGUCAAAAUGAACAUUGAAUUGUAAAUUAUUCAUCAACUGUUAUUUCCAAAAGAAAACAGUUCUCUCACUUGAAAUUAUUGGCUGUACUGUGGAAGCAUUAUUGACCCUAGAAACAUGCAUGGAGACAAUUAGAUGAUGUAAGACUCCUGGGACCCGAAAUAGUAGAGAUGACGAUUGACGAGGACAAUCAGAUAAAAAUUAAAGAAAGUUUGAGAUAAAUAGAAAAGUUACGUGGACAAUCAGACAAUCAAAUAAAAUCUUUUAAAUUUCAAACAAGAAAUAAAGUGUUUUUUUAUGAAGGUGUCACAUUAAAAGGGUACCAUUCAGUUUGGAUUGAAAGAAAAACGUGAUACAAUGAUCCUUUUGAAAUUAUAAAAAGGAUAUGGCUAGUUGCUUAUUGAUUGGAGCUACAUAUAUAUUUUGAUAACAUUCACAAUAUAUUUCAUCUGUCUUUAUUGUAAAAAGUAAAGAUGAAUUUCUCACAAGUGUUAUUACCGGUUGAGGUUACCUAUUUUUGGAUUCCUCGAAAAAAAAUCGAAAGGAAUAAAAAUAAAAAAAAUGAGAAAAUGAUGCUGGAACGCUCAUAAAAUAACUAGGAAUUGGUUGAGAAGGUUCAGAAAUAUAAAAAUUAAAAUUUGACAUUAUAUUUUUUUUUACUGAUAAGAGCCUUAUUGACAAAGAAAAUUCAAGUUCAGAAAGAAAAAUCCAAAAUAAAAUGUUUAUAGACUCAAUUAAAUUUUAUCCAAGGUUUAAUUGAAUUUAUGGAAGGUAUGAUUGCAAGAAAAUUGAUUUUUUAAAGUCAAUUAUGGCUUAUAUUGGAAGUAAUUAAAGUUAUGAGGUCCAAUUAUAAUUUUGAAGAGUUGAUUUGGUCAAAUCAGGGGCUUAAUUGCAUAAUUAUUGAAGUUUGGUGGUCAAUUAGGACUUGAUUGAAGCAAUCUGAAACAAAAGGACCAAACCGGAAAAGAUACUAAAAUCAAGGGAUCCAAUUACAAUUUAUCCGGAGGGCUUGAUUACAAAAUUGUAAGAACAUCCAAGGACCAAAUCAGAAAUAUCCAUUUUGAUAGGAAGACGGCGCCGUUUCAGAGCACAAUUUCAUCACCUUUCUUCACAGCCGUUUCAGCAGACAGUGGAGCCAUUUCAGCAACAAAAACAACAGAUUGCUUCAAUUAUAGAGAAUGUUUCAUGGCUACCAUUCCUCUACAUGCCGUUACCAAGCCAAACGUUGCACCACAGGGCAUUCUUUGGCUUAUAAAAGCCAGAGAAAGACGAUGAAAGAGGGGAGGGAGGACAGCGGACAGAAAAGAAAGGAAAGGGGGGAGAGAAAAGGAACGAGAGAGGAGAAGAAGAGAAAACAGAGGGUGGGAAAUAUUUUGAAGAGAACGAAAGAAACAGAGAGACGGGGAAAGAAAGUUACAGAGGAAGAAAGAAGGAAAAAGGAGAACCACCGCUGGUCUUCCUCUCCACCGCUGCCACAACGCCGCCACUGAGAAGGGAGUAUCGAUCAACAGAAAAAAAGAAAACAGAGGCUCAUGCCUCUGUACAGAGAGGAGAAGAGCCACCAUCGCCCCCCACAGCAACUCCACCGGCCAGCAACCUCCACCACACCGUCUGAAAGCCACCAGCAGCUCCACCCACACCAGUGACCAAAAGGAUAAGAACCAAACAGAAGUAGACGAGGAAGGCAAAAAAAAAAAAAGAGGCUGGUGUCUCUGCACGGGGAAGAAGAAGAAAAGCUGCAACAAACACUGCCCGCCACUGUCAUAACCACCGUGAACCAUCGUCGGCUUCCUCUCCACUGCCACCAACAUCACUGUGAGCGUCAGCAGGUCAGCCUUCCUCCCCUUCCCCAUUUCCUUCUUUUCUUCACUGCACCGUCUCCACUGUUCUACAUGAACAGUGGAGAGUGAAUUAAUUCAAAAUUAAUAUAAUAUUAAAGGAUAAAUUUGAAUAAAAAAAAUCUAUAAAAAAAUUAAUCAAAAGAUAGAAAAAAAAAUUAUCUCCUUCACUAUUGAUAUUUACAUGAACAAUAUUUAUAUUUACAUAAAGAAAGUUCUUUUAGUAGAGUUGCUAGAGUAGAUAGUGAAUACAUUAAUUCAAAAAAUUAAAAUAACACAUUAAAAUAAGCAUAAACAGUAAAAAAAUUGUUUCGGGGUUUAAUCACAAAAAAUUUCAUUAUUGAAAGGAGGGAGAAAUCAUUUGGGAAGCAGCUGCUCAGCCCAUAGAAUCACACAAACAAGCCCCCAAGACAUCUAAGCAUUCAAGCUAAAGCUAAAUAAAAGAGCAGGAAAACUGAAACCCUAUUAUUCAUUGGGCUACAACAUGCUCGACCUCUCCUACUUGUACUGGAAGGAGAAAUUACUGAUAUAGUGAUAUUGGUGUCAAUUUCAAGCUGUAAUACAAACUAGUCAGAUUCAGAAUCCAAGUACAUUCUAUAAGCAUUUCUGUCUGAAGAGUAAUAACCUUCUACCAAACUAUCAACUUGAAAACCAAGUUUCUUGUAUAGAGUCAUAGCUGCAGUCCUCAGGGGAUCAACGUGCAGUGAUAUACGUUGAACCUUUCUCUCUUUGCAUUUCUCAAUUGCUGCUUUAAGCAAUGCCUCUCCAUGACCUUGCCUUCUAUAGUUCUCCUUCACUGUUUUAUACUUGCCAUUUACAAAGAAAAACACCCAUGUAAGAAAUCAAGUCCUGGCCAAUCAGAUAACAAGAAAAAGAAAUUAUACUAAAUGGAUUUUAGUGGGUUUUGCCUAAUCAAUCCCUCUAUUCAGAGAAAAGAAAACCAUGCCUCUUUGAGUACUUUCAUCAAACAGGUUAUGGGUUUGUUAAACAGCAAAAAGAGAAAAAUACAACCCGAAAACAAUGAGGAGAGAGGAAGAAAUAAGUAAUGGGUAUUGAAACCUGCAAGUUUUGUGAUAGAAGCACACAAAGAAGAGGGCCAGGAAUACAUGACAUAGCCAGCAACUUCUCCAUUUAGUUCUGUAUAUAGAAGCCCUGAAUUCUUCUUUCUAAGCUCUUCAUCAAAUGAUCUAGCAAGUGAUUCAUGUUUCGGGAAGAUCUUUCUUUCUAUCUUCACAAUCUCUCCCACAACGUUGGCCCAGUUGGUUGACUUUUUUUGCAACUCCACUAUGACCUCACUCCCCAUGCUUCAGGUGAUAUUUUGCUCUUGGGUUCCGCUGGGACAAAUUGUUGUCUCGGUUUUAACUUAAAAUAAUCGUUUAAUUUAAAACCUAGCACAAAUCAGACCUCUUGAUUAACAUGCUCGAUAUUGCCAAAUUUAAUAACAAUGCUUUAAAUAAAAAUGUGGAUAUGAUAGCAGGUCGUAUGCAUUGCAUAGGUGGCCUGCUAUGUGACAUGACAUGGACUUUGUUAAAUUUUUUCAAACAUAAAAAAAAAAAAAAAACCUCAAGCAAUGAUAAUAUUUUAAAAAAAAGUAAGAGAAAUUUAGGAUUUGAAUAGAUUUAAUAAACUUGUUUGAUUUAAUAAUAUGAUUAUAUAAAAAAAAGCUAGUGACAAUUAAAAAAACAAAGAAAACAAAAAAUAAUGACUAAUAAAAAAAAUUAAUGCUUGCAAAUAUUAAAAAAAUACUCUUUAAAUAUUCUUAAAAAGUCUCAAUAAUCUUAUUCAAUAACAAAAUAAAAAUUAAAAGAGAAUGAAACAACCUCAUAAAAAAAAAAAAAACUCAAUUACUAGCAAAUCAGAUAUUGAAUUAGAAAAAAAUCAAUUUUAAACAGGAUAAAAAUCUUGACUCUAGUUAGCAUAACAAACUCAUAGCCUACUUGUGAGGUCAAAAUAACCACAUAUAAAUUUUUUUGAAUAAAACAAGUUAACUCUCAAGCAAACUAAAUAAUAAAAGACGAAACUGAACAUUAAUCAAUAAAAAAUGUCAAGAAAAACCCAAAUAAACUUGGAUUAACUCGACUAACUUAUGGCUCGAGAUAUGAGAUUUGGAUAACCCAUAGAAAAAAAAAUGACAAUAAUCACGAAGCUAAAGGCCUAAUAACUUAAUGUCGAAUGAUGAAAUUGAAAACAAUAUUAUUUUUUUAAAAAAAAGAACCUAAAAAACAUCAAAGUCAAAUUAAGCUAAUUUUCAAAACCCGUGACCCGGGUCAAGAGACUAGGUUACCCCGAUAAUACAAACCUAAAAAAAUCAUAAAGUAAAAUUUCCAAUCAUCCAAAAUUAAAAAAUAAAAACAAAUAGAAAUCAAAAGAAUGAGGACCAAAUCUGGUAUAAAUAUUAAAUGAAAUAAAACAAUGAAUUUGAGUGCAUUAAUUUCUUCGUUGAAAGCAAUAGGAUCAACUUAUUUUGAGUGCAUUAAUUUCUUGUUUUUCAAUGGAUGUGCUGCAUCUUGUUGUCGAUUGUUAGUCCUCUUAUUGUGUUUGGCGUACUAUUGAGUAAGCUCUCGCUUCCCCAUCUAAUUCUUGCAUUAUACAACUUCUUGGUCCUUUCAAAAUCUUUGGCAAGGUGAUGCUUCGGUUGCUAUAUAUAUGCAGAAGGAAAUAUCAUUAUUUGAUGAGUUAGCUGCUACUAGUCGACCAAUCUCUCUUGAAGAUUUCAAUUUAUAUGUGGUUCGUGGUCUUUGUUGCUACCCAAUUUUUGAUCCAUGUUUUUGAUAAAUUUUUAAAAAAAACCAAAAAUAGCAAAAAAAAAAAAACAAUGAAAACCCAAAAAAAUGCAUUUUUGAUAUAUUUGCAUUAUUUUUAGCAUUUUCAACGUCAUCUUAGAAAUAUUUUAACGCGUUAAUUUUACAAUCAUUGAUUUUCCUUGUUGAGUCGACGUUGAUAUUGCUCGCUUUCAAAAAUACAAAAAAAUAAGAAAAAAAUUCAAAAUUGACAAAAAAAUAAAGAAGUUGAGGGACCAAUGUGUUUUGGAGACCAAGCCACUUUGCCUAUAAAUAGAGGUCACAACACACAUAAAAAGUGGAAAAAAUUGUCAAGGGGGUAAUUUUGCACAUUUGAAAGCAAAAAAAAAAAAAAACCCCUAAUCCUAAACCCAUUUAAUCUUUCGCCCGCACCCCUUUCUAACAAAAAUCUAGAGAAACUAUUCUCCCCAUGGAUCAGAGUUGUCGCCUCCCUCUUUUGAAGCCAAAGACAAACCAGAAGAUCAAGGCAGCCACCCUUGAUCUCCCUCAUUCCUCUCUCAGCUAGCCAAACAUAUCUUCACCCCCUUUUGCUCUCCCUUCACUCUCUCGGCUACACACAGACCAGCCUUUCCCUCUGCAGCCAGACAACGACAGCAAAAGCCAACCAUUGCUGCCACCAACAGGAGUGAAGACCAUCCAGCAGCGACGGCCUGCUCCCCGAGCAACAACGUCUCAUUCCCCGCUAGCAGCAUCACAGACACGACCAGACUUGCUGCUACCCACUGACACAUGAGACCAGCCCCACAUCGGCUCCUUUCUUCCUCAGGCCAAACACAACGGCAGCCCCCACUGUCUUCUCUCAAUCCCACCGGGACAACAACACCAUAGCAACACCCUAGUGCCACCAUCAGCUCGAGUAUCGCCGAGGCCACCACUAGCAAUCCAAGCACGGCGUAACCGAGCCCGCCAACUAGAUCACCACUUCCAUCUCCGCUGGUCAGACCUGACAAAAUCCUAGCACUUGGCGAUCCCCUUGGUCUUGCCGCCACCUAAAACAAAGAAGAAUGGGAAAGAGAAAGAAAAGAGCAGAUAUGUAGAUAUAAGCAGAUCCAAAACAGAGAAGAAGAGAAAGAAAAACAGAUCUGUGAACAAGAAACAAAAACUAAAAUCAACUGCUUGCUGUGUUUUUUGGUGUUUUGCAGGUCAUCACCGACGAGGAAGGGAAGAGGGGAGGAAGUCGUUCUAGAUCGACCCCUCCCUUGGUUUUUUUCUUGCGGUGGCGCGUGAACCCACCGCUGCCAGUGGCGGUGGUGUGUGGAGAAGACGCGCCGCCACUGUUCCUGCGUUCCCAGAAGUCCUUCUCAACAAUUCCUGAAGUUUUUGGGACUUAUUGUGUAAUUUUUGAAUUGUAUUUGGUAUAUUUAAAUUUUUUGUUAUUUUGGAACAUGUAAAAAUGAUGUAUGUAAGUGUGAGUGUGUGAGUAAACAUACUAAAAGGUGAUGAAUGUGUGUUUGUAUUUUUUUAUGUAUGUUUUCUUUUAAUGUUAAAAUUUUAAAAAAAGAACAAAAAAAUAAAAAGAAGAAAAAAGAAUUAAGUGUUUUAAUUUGUAUAUAGUCAAGUAUUUUAAGGACAAAUAAAAUCAUGUUGUACUUCCCGUGAAAAUGUAAGAACACGUUUCUACAUAUAUUUUUGGAUUUAAUAAUUGAUUUAUUAAAGCCUUAAGAAUUUGAUUAAUAUUUAAAAUUUUCAAAUCACAUCAAACCGCAAAGCAGCUUACCUAAGGUAGGGUGAGCUAGGGGUGCUAAUUAAUACCUUCCUUAGCCAUAAUCAGUCUCUUACCUAUAAAUCUCUGACAAAGAUAAGUACAUCCGGGUUUCCUAAUAACUCUCAAUCAAAUACUAGGCGGCGACUCCCAAAUCAAGCAAAUGAGAUGAAAAUCGCCAACAAACACUGAGCGGAUGACAUGCGACAGUCUUCGUGGUGAGUUCAAAGAUUUGGUAACCAGCCUUAUGACCAAGACAAAACCUCUUUCGUAUGCAGAUCUCCAUAGCCAUCUUCUUACUCAUGAGUUCCUUCAUAAGACCUCCCUUCAAUCCAUGGAUGUCAAUCCUUCUUUGUUGCCAAGCCACCUCUACCACCCUCAGCGAAUGUUGCCCAAUAUCAAUCUUCUGCCACCUAUAACAACAAUCCCAAUCCUCUUCCACCUAUAACAACAAUCCCAAUUUCGGCCAUAAGAGAGGACAUUUUCAUAAUAACCACCAACACAAGUCUGAUUUUCAUGGCUUUCAGAGGUCUACUAACAAUGACUAGAAGCAGGGCAAUUGACAACAAAACAAAAGGAAUACCGGUCCUUCACAGUUGUCCCCUAACUGAUCCUUUGAGAAUCAUGUCAAAUGCCAGCUCUACUUCUCCUUUGGCCACACAACCCCUUAAUGCUCUUAGCUUUGUAGCCAUGGACAACAGUCGACUGCCAAUCUUGUUCUUGGUAAUGGCUCUUCUCCUAACAUUGUGGAUUGGUUCCCGGACACUAGAGUGAAUCAACACAUUACAUCUGAUCUUGCGACUUUGAUUGGGUUUGAACCCUAUCUUAGUAAUGAUCAUUUACAUAUUAGUGAUGAUAAAAGGCAUUUUCAUAUCCAAUAUUAGACAUACCAUGUUACAUACCCCAAAAUACACUUUUGCCUUAUCUAUUGGUCUUCAUGUGCCUCAUAUUACAAAACCUUUAUUUUAUGUUCAUAAACUUUAUCGUGAUUAUAAUGUCUAUUUUGAAUUUCAUGCUUCUAUGUUUUAUAUAAAAGAUCUCACCACCAAGGCAAUACUUCUUUUGGGUCAGAGUAACAAUGGUUUCUAUGUUCUAUUUGAGUCUUCUACCAUGCAAUCCCUCAGGCUUACUGGUCUUCUUGCAUCUCUACAUUUGCUGAUAUCUCGCAUCGUCAAUUGGGUCAUCUUACUUCCGUGUUUUUAAUUUUUUAGUUUCCAAAAAUAAAAUAGCUUGUACCUCUAGAUGUUCUCUUGUUCAAUGUCAAGCUUAUCUGUUAGGCAAGUUUCUUUCAUGAAAAAUUAAAUAUGUUCAAACUGAUUGAGGUGAUGAAUAUCACAAGUUAAAAAGUUUCUUUCAAACUAUCAGUAUUCAUCACCAUUUAAUUUGUCCUCAUUCUCAUGAGCAAAAUGGCACUUGUGAACGUUACCACUGACAUAUUGUCAAAACUGGCCUUACCCUCUUAGGAUAAUGUAAUGUCCUAUUAUGGUUUUGGAAUUAUAUGUUUGAAUCAUUGGUGUAUCUUAUCAAUCGUAUACCUAUUCUUGUUCUUCAAAAUCAAUCCCCAUUUAAGUGUCUAUUUAAUCGUACUCCUGAUUAUGAUUUCUUGAGUACCUUUAGGUGUCUUUGCUUUGACGAAAACCGAGUAUUUUAAUACCGGGUUUGUAUCUUUAUGGUAUAAAAAUACAAAUUAAUAUUAAGCAAAAUUUAGUAGAAAAAAACAGGUAGGUUCUCUAUACCUAUACUUUCUUAAAUUACAAUAAUUUUGGUAAUCUGUUCAAUUCUUGGAUUUUAUAUCUAUGGGUGAAGCCAUGAAGAGAAAAAAAUAAGGUGAAAUAAGUGAGAAAUGAAAUUAGACUUGAUUAAUUGAUUUGAUAAAAAACAUGAGCUAUAUUAAUGGACUUUAUUGAUGAUCGCUUCUUGAAUUUGAUUAGCCGGUCUCGAGCAUGAGAGGCUAAUGAUGUUAGUAAAGUUUACUAACAUUGGCAUGAUCAUUCCAUAAAAUAAGAGAUACUGAACUUGAUUAACUAUUUAGGUUAAGAAUAGUUAAUGAUAUUAAUAGGUGACAUUGAUAUCGACAAUCAUAUGAAACUUGAUUAGCUGAUGUGGAAGCUAAUGAUGUCAAGAAUCUUUGACAUCAACAUUCCAAUAAAUACUCCAAGGUGUUAUGGAAAAUUGAUUAACUAUUUUAGGUUGGAAAUAGUUAAUGACAUUAAUUGGUCGCGUUGAUGUCGGCAUUUACAAUGAACUUGAUUAGUUGGUUCCGGUAAGGGUGACUAAUGAAACUAAUGAGAUUCAUUAGUGUCGGUAUUACCUUCCAAGUUUUGGGAAUUAAUGUUAUGAUGAUAUUAUCAAUGAAGAAUGAUUGAGGGUGUUAAUGAAAUGGGGAUUGAUAUUUUGAAAGAAUUAGUUCUCCGGCCUUAAAAAUAAGAAUGUUGUUGAAAUUUGUGGAAUGUAAAAAAGAGGAAGGAAAUGUUUAGUGAUUCUCGGAACAAUAAAUUCAGAAAUAUUAGAUGGAAAUUAUGUAAACCCUCAUAAUUAAAAAAAAACAUAGGAUCGAAGUAAUGACUCUUGAUGAGUAAUAGAGAUUUUGUAUGAAAUAAAUGAAUAAAUAGUAGGAAUGAUAAUAAAUGUGUCAUGUGAGAGAGAUAAUAAUCUCCAUAAAUAAAUUUAAAGGGAUUGUUGAAUUCGAAAUGAGAGUCAUGAUUUUUAGUUUAAAACUCGUAAUGUUGGUGAAACCAGUGACGAGUUUCAUUGGAUAAAAGAAUAAGAAAAAACGAGAAGAUAUGUAAACCCUGAUAAAAAAAAAAACUUAUUUCGACAAAUUAGUGAUAAAUGUUGUAAUAUUGAAUUUAUUGAGCAUAAAUUAAGGGGAAAUGUCAUGAUAAUCUAAGUAAAUAAAGUAAUGGAUGAAAUUCAGAGUUUAGCGUAAAAGAAACUGAUUGUCUAGUUUUAUGGUAUCAAUAAUAUAUCUCAAUCCAAUCGUUGGAUCGGGCUGAAAUUGUAUAAGGAAUCUUUAGAAUUAUUGGUUUAUCUUAGGUUAAAAUUUUAUGUCAAUUGGAGUUUAGGAAGGCUUUAUGAGAGUACUCAAAAUCGGGUAAAUUGAAGAAGAUGACACGAGGGACAUUAAUAAGGGCAUUUUGGUAAUUUUAUAUAAAACAAUAUCCCCCUCUCCUUUUUUAAACACAUCUCAUGUUCUUUGCAAAAGGAGAAAAUAGGAGGGAGACCAUUUUUCUCCCAUUUUCUUCAUCUCCUCUCCAUUUCUUCAAGUUAAAUAAAAAGGGAGUGUUCUUCGGAGGAUUAUAUCCAAGAAAACAAAUCAAGUGACCAUACUUAAAGAGUUAUAAAGCUUGGGAAAAACAAUAAUAAUAAUAAUAAUAACACUCCCCGAUUGAUGUGUUAUAUGAGAGAGAUAAUAAUCUACAUAAUAAUAAUAAUAAUAGUAAUAGUAGUAAUAAUAAUAAUAAUAAUAAUAAUAAUAAUAAUUCUUAUCCUUGAAUUGUCAUAUCCACUCGUCUGAGGGUGAUAAGGGUGGCAACUUUGUUUGUGAUUCCGUAUUUCUUCAUUAAAGAUUCAAAUGGCUUGUUGCAGAAAUGUGUUCCACCAUCACUUAUCAUGGCUCGAGGGAUUCCGAAUCGACUUAAAAUGUUUUCUUUCAAAAAUUUUAUCACUAUUUUGUGAUCAUUGGUUCUACUUGGAAUUGCCUCUAUCCAUUUUGAAACAUAAUCUACUGCGACCAAUAUACAAGAAACCAAAUGAUGGAGGAAAUGGACCCAUAAAAUCUAUACCCCAACAAUCAAAGAUCUCAAUGACAAGAAUAGGAUUUAAAGGCAUCAUGUGACGAAAUAGAUCCCAACUUUUGACAAUUUUCACAAGUCUUGCAGAAUGCAUGUGAGUCUUUGAACAUGGUGGGCCAGUAAAAUCCACUUUGUAAGAUUUUUGCAGUUGUCUUUCUUGAUGAGAAAUGACCCCCACAUGCCUCAGAAUGACAAAAUUUAAUGACACUACUUACCUCAUUGUCAGGAAUGCAUCUUCGAAAUAUUUGAUCAGGACAAUAUUUGAAUAAAUAAGGGUCAUCCCAAUAAAAGUGCUUCACUUCGUUCAAGAACUUUCUUUUGUCUUGGGUACUCCAAUGAGCUGGCAAUUGUCCUGAAACAAGAAAAUUAACAAUAUUAGCAAACCAAGGCAUCGUAGAGACAGAAAAUAAAGAUUCAUCAGGAAAGUAGUCAUCGAUUGGUGUGAUGUCAGAUCUCGAAUCGGUUGUCAAUCUUGACAAAUGAUGCGACAACAUUUUCGGUGCCUUUCUUGUCUUUGAUUGUGAUAUCAAAUUCUUGAAGUAACAAAAUCCACCGCACCAAUCUAGCCUUAGAAUCUUUCUUAGAGAGAAGAUAUUUCAAUGCUGCAUGAUCACUAAAAACAACAACAGGUGAGCCAACAAGAUAAGAUCUGAACUUGUCACAUGCAAAUACUACUGCAAGUAAUUCUUUUUCAGUGGUAGUGUAAUUCAUUUGAGCACUAUUUAAAGUUUUACUUGCAUAGUAAAUCACAUAAGGUUUCUUAUCUUUUCUUUGUCCCAAGACAGCACCCACGGCAUAAUCACUAGCGUCACACAUUAUUUCAAAAGGUAGUGACCAAUCAGGAGGUUGAAUGACAGGAGCAGAAGUAAGCAAGCUUUUAAGUUUAACAAAGGCUUUUUCACAAUGUUCAGUCCAUUCAAAAACAUUUUCCUUUGUUAGAAGGUUACACAAUGGUUUAGAUAUUACACUAAAAUCUUUGAUGAACCUUCUGUAAAAACCAGCAUGUCCUAAGAAUGAUCUAACAUCUUUAACAGAUUUUGGUGUUGGUAAGUUGGCAAUUAACUCGAUUUUAGAUUUGUCAACCUCAAUUCCUUCGAUGAAACAAUGUGACCAAGUACAAUGCCGUUUGUUACCAUAAAGUGACAUUUUUCCCAAUUCAGUACAAGAUUCUUCUCUUCACACCUGUUCAAAACCUUUUCAAGUUAGUUAACAAUCAUCAAAUGAAUCACCAAAAACAGAAAAAUCAUCCAUAAAAAUCUCAAGAAAACGUUCAACCAUAUCACUGAAUAUGCUAAGCAUGCAUCUUUGAAACGUGGCUGGUGCAUUACAUACCCAAAAGGCAUUCUUCGAUAUGCAAAAGUACCAAAUGGACAUGUGAAAGUAGUCUUCUCUUGAUCUUCCAAUGCAAUUUCAAUUUGAUUGUAACCUGAAUAGCCAUCUAGGAAACAAUAAAAUUCAUGACCUGCAACUCUUUCUAGGAUUUGAUCCAUGAAAGGUAAAGGGAAAUGAUCUUUUCUAGUCAUUGAAUUAAGUUUCCUAUAGUCAAUGCACAUGCGCCAACCAGUAAUAGUCCUAGUUGGAAUUAACUCAUUUUUCUCAUUUGUUAUCACAGUGACUCCAGACUUUUUGGGUACAACUUGGGUAGGACUUACCCAUUUGCUGUCAGAAAUAGGAUAAAUGAUUCCAUUAUCUAGAAGCUUAAUGACUUCAUUUUUCACUACUUCUUUCAUAUUAGGAUUAAGUCUUCGUUGCAUUUCUCUAGAUGGUUUAGCAUUUUCCUCCAAAUAAAUCUUGUGUGUGCAAAUCAAAGGACUAAUUCCUUUUAUAUCAGCUAUAGUCCAUCCUAAUGCGUUUUUGUGCAUUUUCAGAGUCUGUAAUGACUUACCUUCUUGAUAUGCAUUAAGUUUGGAAGAGAUUAUUACUGGAAAAGUUUCAUUUUCUCCCAAAAAUAAGUAUUUGAGAUUGACUGGUAACGGCUUCAAAUCAGGUUUUGGUGGUUGAACACUUGAAGGUAUGGACUCAAUUGAUUGUGGUGGCAAUUCUUCAAUUUGUGGUCUCCAAUUACAUGCCUUUGCUUCUUCCUGAAAAUAAACCAUUUGCAACUCGUCAGGUUCAUCAAUCUCAGUUUCACUAGAAGUGGUUUGAAAUUGAUCAUGAACUAAUUUUUCAAUAAAGUCCACUUCCUGUAAAUCAUUAUCAUCUCCAGGUUGCUUGCAAAUGUUGAAAAUAUUCAUCUCCAAUGUCAUGUUUCCAAAUGAUAGCUUCAUCAGUCCAUUCCUACAAUUAAUCAAUGCAUUAGAAGUUGCAAGAAAUGGACGUCCUAAAAUAACAGGAAUUGAAUUACAUGCUUCAACAGGUUGUGUAUCCAAGACAAUAAAAUCUACAGGGUAAAUGAAUUUAUCAACUUGUACUAACACAUCCUCAACUAUUCCUCUAGGCACUUUUACAGAUCUAUCAGCAAGUAAAAGAGUUACAGAAGUUGGUUUUAACUCACCUAGAUUGAGACUUUGAAAAACCGAAUAUGGAAGUAAAUUCACACUAGCUCCAAGAUCAAGUAAAGCUCUUUCAAUUUUAUGUUCUCCAAUAAAGCAAGAAAUUGUAGGACAACCAGGGUCUUUAUAUUUCAAAGCAUUAUUGUUCUGAAGAAUAGCACUUACUUGUUCGGCUAAAAAUGCUUUCUUUUUCACAUUCAGUUUUCUCUUCACAGUGCAUAGAUCUUUCAAAAAUUUAGCAUAGGAAGGUACCUGUUUAAUAGCAUCCAACAAAGGUAUAUUGAUCCUUACCUGUUUAAAAGUUUCAAGGAUUUCAAAAUUGUGAUUGACUUUCCUUUGUUUGGUCAUGGCAUGAGGAAAUAGAAGUGCUGGCGGUGAAUCAAUUUUUUCUUUACAAUGUUCAGAUUCAACCCCUUCCUUACCCUUAGAGAUUGACUCAUCAUCUUUCUCACAAGGUUCAAGAGUGGGUUUUUCAAUAACCUUACCACUGCGAAGAGUGAUGACUGAUUUGACUUGAUCCAUGUGUUGGCUUUCGGAACUACUUGCAUUUGCAUUGUAUUGCCCCUUUGGAUUUUGCUGUGGUUGAGAUGGAAACUUACCUUUCUCUUGAAAACUGAGAGCAGAUGUGAAUUUUGCAAGAGCAUCUUUAAAAUUUGUCAUGCUUUGAGUAAGUUGAGUGUUGAUUGUCUCUUGCUUUUCAAUGAAUGCAUGUAAUGUUUCCUCAAGAUUUCUUCUAGGAGGGGGAGCAUAAGGAGGUGCAUAUCCAUGAGAAUUUUGAAAAUUAUGGUGUGCUUGAAACGGUGGCUGUGAAGUUUGUGCAUUAUUGUUAUCACUCUUCCAACUGAAAUUUGGGUGAUUUCUCCAACCAGGAUUGUAUGUUUGCGAGUAUGGGUUAUGAUUGGGCCUUUGGAAACUGUUUAAAGCAUGGGCUUGUUCAUGGAGGCAUUCCUUGAAAGAAGGCAAAGUUGGACAGUCAUUGGUUGCAUGUUCAUUUGUUUCACAGAUUUGACACACAAUGUCUUGAACAGAUUUUAAUUGACCACUCUUUUUCAAUUCUAGUGCCUCGACUUUUCUAGCUAAAGAUGUAAACUUGGCUUGGAGGUCAUGAUCUUCCCUAAGGUUAUACAUACCUCCACUAGAUGUAUGAGGUUGUUUUACUUGGUGCCUCAUAAGUACCUUAGUGUCCCAAUUUUGCGCAUUUUCAGCUAGCAAGUCUAGGUACUCCAUUGCUUCAUUAGGGUCUUUAUCUUCAAAAGUUCCAUUGCACAUCAAUUCAACCAUUUGCCUAUCUUUAGGUGUUAAUCCUUCAUAAAAUUGUGAAACCAAUCUCCAUGUUUCAAAACCAUGAUGAGGGCAAGUAUUAAGCAAGUCUCGAUACCUAUCCCAACAUUGGUAAAAUGUUUCUCCUGGUUUUUGAGUGAAAGUGGUGAUUUGUCUUUUGAAAGAGUUGGUUCUGUGAGAUGGAAAAAACUUCUUUAAAAAUUGUUGUUGCAUUUCAUCCCAAGCACGAAUGGAUCCUGACCUAAGAUUUUGUAGCCAUGUUUUAGCUUUAUCUUUUAAUGAAAAAGGAAAAAGCUUUAAUCUAAUGGUUCAUGCUACAAUUUAAGUCAUUAUAGUGUUACAAACUUCUUCAAAUUCUCUCAAAUGCAAGUAUGGAUUUUCUAGAUCUAAGCCAUGAAAAGAGGUAAAAGUUGAAUAAUGCCUGGCUUAAAAUUAAAAUGAGAUGCAUCAGGAGGGAAAACUAUGCAUGAGGGUGCACUUGUUCUUGUGGGAUUCAUGUGGUCUCUAAGUGUCCUAACACGGUUAUUCUCAUUAUUCUCAUUAUGAAGUGAUUGGUUAUCUUCUUCGGCCAUAUUUUCUGAAAAUGAUGAGGAUACCCUAAAAGUCUACCACUUAAUGUACGUGACCAAACACUCAUGCACGUGUAGAAAGAGAAUAAAAGGAAGAAGAAAACAAAAGAAAAAAAAACAAACAAAAGAAACAAAGUUAGAUACAAGAAAAGUGAAAAGAAAAAAAAAAUACUAAAUUUGUAAGAAUUUACCUCCCCGGCAACGGCGCCAAAAACUUGACACGACCAAAAGAUUGAUGUCUUCUCCCAAGUGCAGGAGUGUCGAAGUAAUAAAUAACCCGGCAAGACCGGGGUCGAACCACAGAGAGGUUAAUUGUAUAAAUUAUAAAUAACAAGACAACAACAAAAUAAUAAUAACAAAAUAACAACAAACAACAACAACAACAACAACACAACAAUAAUAAUAAUAAUAAUAAUAAUAAUAAUAAUAAUAAUAUAAUAUAUAUAAUAAUAUAAUAAUAAUAAUAAUAAUAAUAAUAAUACUCAGUACGUGGCGUUGUUAUACCUGAGAAUGAUCUAAAAGAUCGGGUCACAGGUUUCCAGCCUAUAUACUGAGUUUAUGAAAAGAUCAAAGAGAUAUAUUAUAUAAUAUAAACAGAUUUCUGAUGCGAAUGAACAAGGCAAGACCAACAAUAUCAGGAUCCUUGAUCAAACACAGAGCAUACUUAACGUACAUAAAAUAUAACAAGAAUGUAAAUUAAUAAUAAUAAUAAUAUAAUAAUAUAAUAAUAACAAUAAAAAGGAGGAGGAAGAAAUUAAUGAGAACUUUGAGAUGGAAGAUUAAUGUAAGGAUUAAACAAUGAUAAAGACAAAUGUCAAGGUUAGAGGAUCCACCAAUGGUAUUUCAAACAAGUAUAGUAUAAACUCUUAUUACUCAAUUUGGAAACCACACACGAAGGAGGUUCCAGUCGGAUGAUUUGUCAUUAAUAGCUCAUUAUAAAUUAUUAACAUGAUCAUAUUAAUUAUCUUACAUAACACCAAACUUUUAAAUAUUGUCAGGAAUUCAUGAUGUUAACUGAUGUUAACAACAAAUCAAGUACCUUUCAUAGCCCAGGUGUAGGUAAUACCAUACGGUUGGGCUAUGAGAGUGCCAAGCAUUUGUUGUACCAAGUAUUAUACAACACAAAUUUAGAUUAACCAUUUAACAAGCAAGGUAUUAAGAAUUAGUAAGAUAAAAAGAUAAGACAUGUUAAUAUUAAACAUUAAGGUCCAUAUUGAGUUUACACCAUACUUGUUCUUACACCAUUAGUGUAACCUUUUCACCUUGACAUAAUAAACUUAGCUAAACAUAAUGAAGAAGAAAAACAUAAAUAAAAAAAACAAGAACAUAAAUAAAAUACAAGUUAACUAAGGAAAGGAAAGGAAAUGAAAAGCAUAAACAAGAAAUUAAUGAAAGCAAAACUUAAGAAUUACAAAAAAUAUAAAGAGAGAAAUAAAGAGCAUGAACUUGAUCUGAACAACCAAGCCCCUAAAUACAUGGCAAAUGCCUCCUUUUAUAGGCCAAAAUUCGGAAUUAUUGAUUUGAUGACUAAUUGUUGAGUGGGUGGCCACUUUUGACUUGGUGAAAAUCCUUAUCUUCUUGUCUUAAUAAAACAAAUGCUAGCAUCAGAACUGGGUCCAGAUGUCCAAAUGAAAGUUCUGAAAUUCUCUUAGCUUUCCAGAAAAAAAAGAUGAGGUCAUUUGGACUUCUAGAACUCAAGAUAUGGGCUGAACACUGAAUAGUGUUUGGGCUGCAGGACAGAUUCGGACUUCUCCGUUGUUGCUAUAAUUUGGACUUGAAAAGGCCUUCUUAGAUCUUGAUGUCCAAAUGAAAGUUGUAGGCCUAUGUCUUAUCAAAUCUCUGUAAAACAUUUCAGAUCAUUUGGAUAUCUAGAACUCGAGAUAUGCUGAACACUGAACAGUUGUUGGGACUGCAGAACAUCUUCUUUUCUAAGCUUCACCCUUCUUUAUCUUCAAAAUUUCAGUAGUUAAAUUCAUCAAUCAAUCCUUAGAUUUAUGUGAUAUACCUGCAUUUAAGAUGAACAUUUACCAUAUAUUAGGGUAUUUUAUAGUAUUAGACUUGUUAUUAUAUAACAUGCUUUAGUUAAGGAGUUAUUGAUACUUUAAGUGCAAAAUGAUGAUAUAAACCCUUGAUAAACAUGCACUUUUAAGUACUAAUCAAUUAUAUCCAAGAAAACAAAUCAAGUGACCAUACUUAAAGAGUUAUAAAGCUUGGGAAAAACAAAGAGUAGGAGCUGGAACUUGAAAGAGGAAGACAUGAGUUUUGUAGAUUUUUGCAAGAAUUCAUUGAAAUAAGUUAAGGUAGCAAAGGUAAGCAACAUACCCUUUAGUAAUUUUGUUUUUCUCUCUUGUUCUUGCAUGAGAAGAAGAAAACCUCCAAGUUUAAAAUUAUAGGGUUCAUGUAAAUAUUUUGGGGGAAUAAUUGUUCUUGUGAAUUUCGAGAUUAAUUGCAUGAUAAUGGCUUGAAUUGCAGAAAAAUAUAGAAGGAAUAAGUUGAUUUGAAACUAUAGGUUUUGGGAUGGCAACAGGGCAGGAACUUCGGCAGCCAUAUCUUGGCUUUCCACUGUUGGCUUAGGUUGUGUUUUGGUUAUGUUAUUAUGCUCAAUGUCACCUACAUUCUGAUCGGAGGGAUUGUCAAUAAUAGACUUUGUUUGAGGGUUGCCGGAGGAACAUUUCUGGAAAAUCACCCUUCAAGACAGCCUCGUUUGUUGGCUGUUAUAUCAUCUUUUCACCGUUGGAUUGGUCUGGCUUUUUGAUAUGUUGUUCGUCUAGAUGUUGUAUAAAUUCUGAACGGUUACGAUCGGAAACAAACACUCAUCUGAGUGAUCACGACAUAAACUAGUAUAGUACUCUCAUCUGAGUGAUUAUAUGUUCUCUUUUGGCUUCCAUGGUUCAAAGUUUGACACAUUAUUAUUUAUAUUGUCUGAUGAUGUUGAUCUCUUUUACCUUCUAGUUUAUGUCGAUAAUAUCUUGCUUAUAGGCAACAACUUCGUUCUGCUUCAAAAACUAAUAUAGUUACUGAGUUUAGAGUUUAAGCUUUGAGAUUUAGGAGCUAUUCAUUAUUUUUUGGGAAUUAAGGUUUAAUCCACUAGUAUGAGUCUAUUCUACGAUAGGAUAAGUAUAUUCUUGACAUACUUACUCGAGCUGGAAUGACAUCAUUUAAACCUGUUGAUACUCCUAUUUCUACCUCUAAAGUUACAAUGAUGCUCGAUUGCUUAUUUUGUGAUCCUACAUGGUUUUGUCAAAUCAUUGGGCUCUUCAAUAUCUCACUUUUACGAGACCAAACAUUUGUUUUACUGUUAACAAAGUCUGUUAGUUUAUGGAUGCUCCUACAAAUUCCCAUUGGGUUGUUGUUAAACACAUUCUGCAUUAUCUUCGGGGUAUGGUUUCUCAUGGCUUACAUAUCACUCAUAGUUACUCCGUUGCUUUAUGUCGCACGUCGAAAAAAAUCCUCGCGCGGCAUCGGGCUGGCGAUUUUUCGUUGUUGCGUAGUGUUUGCUUGAAUUUGGUUCAUUGGAGUCGCCACCUAGUAAUUAGUUGCGGGCUACUAGGAAACCGGAUGUACUGGUCUUGUCAGAGAUUCGCGGGUAAGGGACUGGUUGUGGUUAGGGAAGGUAUUAGCACCCCUAACGCACCCUACCUGAGGUAAGCUGCUUCGCGAAUUUGAUGUGUUAAAGAAGUUUUAAUAAUUGUCUUUUCAUCGGAAUUUAGAAAUAUCACUUACGUAUAAGUUAAUAAUUCUUAACCGUGAUCCAAUCAAAAUAUUAAAUUCUUCUUUAAUAUCUGCAAUUUUAUCAUUAAAAAAAAUAUAUAAAAAAAUAAAACAAAUACAAACACCCACAUUCACUUUUACUAUUUUUUGUUUCUUUUCUUUUCUUUUCUUUUCUUUUUUCUUUUUUUCUUUGAUAUUUCCACAUUUACAACAUACAAAUAAAAAUUCAAAUUAAACAAAUAUUACAUCAAACAAAUAAAAAAAAUACAAAAUAAACCCUAAAAAAUCUUAAAGCUUCUAGAACAUGCAGGAACAGUGCACGGGAACAGUGCUGGGAAGACAUCUGAGGGCAAAAAAUAGUGGCGGCGCGUGGGUUCACGCGCCGCCGAUGAAGGCCGAAAGCCAGUGGAUCGGGAGCGCCUUCUUCUUCCCUGUCUUCCUCCACCGGCGGUGAGGGUCAUCGUCGCCUGCAACAAGGACAAAAAACACACAACAAGCAGUCGGUUUUAAUUUUUUUCUUUCCGUUACAGAUCUGCUUCUCCUCUCCAUCUUCGACUUCACGGCGGGCCAAUUUGUUGUGGGUUUCGUCUUCUCCUCUACUUUGGAUGGCCGACGGUUGUAGGGGGAGCUGUCGGUGGUCGGUUGAAGGAGGAGAUCAGUGGUUGCUUGAUGCUGUGGUCGGGUCUGUUCGUUGACCCGGAGAGGGAGAAAGGGGUAGUGGCCAGCUGUUGUGGUGGCCGUCGCUGCUGUGGAGGUCGAUGGGUCGACUGUUGCCUGGUGGCUGAGGGAAGGGAGGCCUGAUCCGGUCGGCGAUCGGAGAAGAAGAGUUAAAGGACAGAUCGGGGGAAAAGGAGAAGUGAUGUCUAUCUUGUCUGCAGAAGAGAUAGGGGCGAAAAGAUGAGAGGUCCGGUGAGGUGGGGUGAGGGGCUGCUGUGUUUUGAUGGCUCCCGGAUUCUGUCCAAAGGAAAACAAAAUGUGGGGGUUGUCCGGUGGAAGAUUGAGGGGCCGGUUGAGAGGGAAGAAGAGCUUCAAACCGGCUGGGGGCUGCUGUUUUGGCCGGUUCAGGGAGAAGAGAAAAAAAAUUCAAAAGGUGAGGGGCUGGCUUGGGUGAGCGGCUGCGGGGAGAAAAAAAAAUCUUUUAGGUUUAGGUUUUUUUGUUCUUGUGUUGUCUCUCCCUCCAAUCUCAAAAUUGCCCCCCCCUUUUGUGUGAGUUAAAGACCAGUAUUUAUAGGCAAAAAUGUUGCUAGGUUUUUCAACUUGGUCCCUCAACUUCUUUCUUUUUGUAAAUUUUGAUUUUUCUUAUUUUUUUGUAUUUUUUGAAAACGAGCAAUACCAACGUCGACUCGAUGAGGAAAAUCAAUGAUUUAAAAACUGACGCGUGAAAAGUCGAACGCGUUUGAAAAUCUUUUAAAAAUUUAAAUUCUUUUUUUAGACGACGUUGAAAAUGCUAAAAUGACGAAAAUAUAUUAGAAAACAUAUUUUUUUGGAUUUUCUUUGUUUUUUUGCUAUUUUUGGAUUUUUCAAAAAUUUUAUAAAAACAUGGGUAAAAAAAUGGGUAGCAACAGAUGCCCCCUCUUUACAAUGCUUACGAAGCAAAAACUCCUCAAAAUUUUGCAUAGUAAGCUUUGUAAAGAAAACAAAAGGAAAAUGAUUUCAUUAUCUUGGGCGACCUGUCCACACACUCACACUGAUCUAUUUUCACGGGCGACCUGCCCACACAUACUCAAAGUGGUCUAUUUUCAUGGGCGACCGGUCCACACUCACACUGGUCUAUUUUCACGGGCGACCUGCCCACCCAUACUCACUGUGGUCUAUUUUCACGGGCGACCUGCCCACCCAUACUCACUCUGGUCUAUUUUCACGGGCGACCGACCCAUACUCUCACACUGGUCUAUUUUCACGGGCGACCUGCCCACCCAUACUCACUCUGGUCUAUUUUCACGGGCGACCGGCCCACACUUUCACACUGGUCUACUUUCACAGGCGACCUGCCCUUUUAAUUGGGUUUACCUGAGAUCCCAUCUGGCGACCUCAUUCAACUGGAACAAAAAUAUUGUGUAACUCGGUUAACCUGAAAUCCCAUCUGGCGAUUCCCUUUAACCAAAGCUACAUGAGAUCCCAUCUGGCGACCUCAUUCAAUUGGAAUGAAAUAUGCGUAACUCGGUUAACCUGAAAUCCCAUCUGGCGAUUCCCUUUAACCAAAGCUACAUGAGAUCCCAUCUGGCGACCUCAUUCAACUGGAACUAAAUUGUGUGUAACUUGGUUAACCUGAAAUCCCAUCUAGGGAUUCCCUUUAACCAAAGCUACCUGAGAUCCCAUCUGGCGACCUCAUUCAACUGGAACGAAAAUAUUGUGUAACUCGGUUAACCUGAAAUCCCAUCUGGCGAUUCCCUUUAACCAAAGCUACAUGAGACCCCAUCUGGCGACCUCAUUCAACUGGAACAAAAAUAUUGUGUAACUCGGUUAACCCGAAAUCCCAUCUGGCGAUUCCCUUUAACCAAAGCUACAUGAGAUCCCAUCUGGCGACCUCAUUCAACUGGAAUGAGAAUAUGUGUAACUCGGUUAACCUGAAAUCCCAUCUGGCGAUUCCCUUUAACCAAAGCUACAUGAGAUCCCAUCUGGCGACCUCAUUCAACUAGAACUAAACUGUGUGUAACUCGGUUAACCUGAAAUCCCAUCUGGCGAUUCCCUUUAACCAAAGCUACAUGAGAUCCCAUCUGGCGACCUCAUUUAACCAAAACAAAAGAAAGUGUAAAAAACGGUCUCAUUGUAUGGGUGACCUACCCAGAUGGAAAAAUAUGAAGUGGGUCUCAUUGUAAUGGGUGACCUACCCAGUGGAAAAAUAUGAAGUGGUCUCAUUUGUAUGGGUGACCUACCCAAAUGAAAAAUGUGAAGUGCGGUCUCAUUGUAAUGGGUGACCUACCCAAAUGGAAAAAUAUGAAGUGGGUCUCAUUGUAAUGGGUGACCUACCCAGAUGGAAAAAAUAUGAUGAAGUGCGGUCUCAUUGUAUGGGUGACCUACCCAGAUGGAAAAAAUGUGAACGUCUUAUUAUGAUGGGCGACCUACCCAGAUGGAAAAAUGUGAUAUGACAAGUGUGAAAAAUAGGACUUACCUGGCGAAGUCCUGAGGGGAUGACAGAAGAAGGGCUGGAAAACUUGGUGCUUCCUGAUAAUUCCCGAUCAUAGGGUUUGAAAACUCGGUGUUUCCUGACUGCAAGGGUUGAAAACUCGAGGCUUCCCGAUUGCAAGGUUGAUCUAUUCAUUUCUUUGGGAUUUUCCUAAUGGUAGGGUUCAUCCCAUCGUCCUUUUAUUCCAUGAUCAAAACCGAUUCUUUAUUAUCAUCACCACAAUGCUUCUUUCUCUUUCCACCAUCUUGCUGGACCUCAUUAAGGAUUUUCCUGUAACAAUUCAAAAAUAUGUGCAAAUGUUUUUUUUUUUUUUUUUUGAGGUUAGAUGAUAUGCAUGCAUCCUUACCUGAUUUGAAAUAUAGGUCCCCCCCCUCUUUGAUGCUCCAUCGUCAUAGGGUGCCCUUGUUUGUAUCCCAAAGCUUUCUUUGUUCUUCCGAUGCAUUGGCUCAUUCAUGUAGCCAUCCACUCAGCUGUAAAUGCAGUGCCCAUCCCGGGUUGUCUUCGACAAUUACUGCUUGCAUCGUUCAUCAAGCUUGACCCUGCCCCCAAGUGUGGUACUGCUUGAUUCAUCAUGAAGGAUUUUCUCUCCUGGCUUCUUCUGAGAAUUAUCCUUUGAUUGAUUGUGUGCAUCAUGCCAACACCCAUCAAGAUUGUUAAUCAGUCAUGAACUUGCCUUCGGUUGAAACACCAUUCAAGUAUGUAUGGUCACCAGCCUUCAUGGAACUGUCAAGUCAUCCAGACAUGAAUCUCAUGCUUUGCAGUAAACAACUCAUCAUUAAGCGCGAUGUAUUUCUCUAUGGAUUCCUCUUAGCUUGUCAAAUCAGAUCGUGAAAAUAACUGUUUUGGCAUCAUCAAUGAUGUUCAUGUUAUCACCCAUAUUCAUGCGGUGAAGUGCGCAUUUGAGCUUCAGAAUAGAUGGUCUCAUAGUCAAUCUUAGUGGUAUGCAUAUGUUCGAUGUUCAUCCAAAUGCACUCACCCGAUAACAUCUGUCCGGAGUCAUAGCCAUGUUUUACAGGGUAACCUAAGAUGAAGAUAUGAAAAUAUCUUUCUAGUGCAGCGUUGCUCAUCAAUUGCUGCUGAAGUGCACUAGAUCAUGGAUUGUCUUUGAACAACAUUGGCCCCAGUAUGAUCUGAAGGUUCAUUCAUCGGUUUAUACUCAAGAAGGUUUUUCUUUGUCAUUGUCAGAUGCUAAACAUAACUUUGAUGAACUUUGACGACUCAUCAUCAUUGUUUGUUUUUCUUCUAAGGGUCCACUGUAUUGCCCCCAGGUGAUCAACAUUUCAAGGAGUGUCGAGAAAUGUUGAUGUCAUUUUUGUCAAGGAUUUUGCAAACUCAAUUGAUGUUCUUGUUUGAAAAUCUUUCUUGUUCUGGAAUCAAAUCUCAAUUUCAACGAUCAUGUCUAUUCAAGUCUAAUUGUUGAAAUGAAAUCAGAGAGAUAUCAGUUUUUUGAAAAGUUAUUUUUGAAAUUCAAGCUUCUUUGGUCAAAGACCCAACACACUAUUCAAUGCAGUCCUUUGAUUGUCUUGUAUUUUGAAAACAGAAAUGACCCGUUGUAAGAUUUAAAAUGACUUUUCAUGGUUCUUUGUGUCCACUUUAAACUCUGAUUUUGGGUAUAUCUUUUGAUGGUCUGUGAUGAGGUGACAUUUUUGUGAAUUUCAAAAAACAAAGUCAGGCUUUAUCAAGAAAGGUUGUUUCUUUUCUUAGCAUUUAUUUUAUCAGCAUGCAUAAUAACCAGUAGCUUAAUUCAUGAAGUCACGACCUUAUGGAAAAACUCUUCAAGUUUUGAGAGCGCCAUUUAUCGGUUCAAUUGCUUGCUUGAUUAAAAAGGGCUUUUAAAAGCACGUAAUGCAGGCUAUGGUUCAUGGCUAUGAAAGAAAGGAAUUUCAAAGGCUCAAAAGGUGUUUGAGGGUUUCAAAGACCUAGGAUCAACAUCAAUAUUCAUCAACUCUUUUCUAUUGUUGUCUUUGUAGAGGAAACGACUAUAACCUUGUUAACCUCAAAGUUCAGACUUUUCUUAACAUAAGUCAUAAUGCAAAUCCACUUUCUUGAUGAAUAACCAACCUUAAUCAUCUGAUAACAUCGUAGGCUUUAUAAUGGAUACCAAAAGUCAACGCACGUUUAUAGCUUAGUCUUUUUUUUUUUGAUUGAAAUUUCUUUUGCUUUCAUAGACUUGAUAGGCGUUCUCCUUCCUUUAUCUUUGACUUGUAUUUAAGUGAAGGCAAUUUCAACUUCCUUUUUUUUCUCUUUUUUUUUUCAUAGCCUUCCUCAAAAUUUCUUAUAUGCCCCCAGUCUAUGUGUUUUUUUUAGCUCUCUCUCAAUCAUUGGACCUUUUUCUAAGCCUUCCCCUUUAUCCAUUAAUUAUAUCAAUGUCUCCAAAAUAUCUCUCAUUUGCCCCCAGUGUGGGGUGUGAUCCUAGUCAGGGUUUUUUUGAAAGAAAAUAUUUUACCAGGCUCAAAAUGGGACUACAAGGGAUAUAAUCUUUAGAAAGUGAAGGGAUAUCAAAGAUGGCCUUUUCUCAUUUCAAGCAAGGUCGGUUAGAACCGAUAAAUUUUGACCUCAUCCAGUGUAAUGAUUGGGACUUGUAAGAAUCAUGAUUCACGAGUCCAUAACUACCGAAUCCACUACAUGUCAUUAUGCAUACUGUUAAACUUAGCUAUAUGUGUCAGUUUCAGGAGGUAUGAGUUCAAAAUGUUUAGUCACCUCAUGUUAUUUCCAAGCAUAGAGUCAUUUCUGUAAUCAAAACUUUUAAUCUUUCGGAUUGAUUAACCUUUAUCGCAUGUUAGAGUUUAAUCAAAAUAUUUUGUCAGAAUAAAAUGCUAAACAUCUGUUGAUUUCAACACAACAAAAAGACAAAAGCAAGACAUGUUUCGUUGAAGGACGAGAUGUGAUCCCAAAACAAAAUGCAGAAUUCCAUAACAAUAUGAUUGAUAAUUCAUCACCAUUCUUGAAUCAGCUUUUCUGGCAAUAUUUGCGUUUUGCCAAGCACUUUCGAUCAACAUGUCAUUCUGAAGAUGUUCGGGGGGCAUUAUAGCCAAUGACACCCUCCUUCACCGACUCCACUUGUCUCUUGCUCACCAACUUGCAGAGCCAUAAAUGGAUUUUUGUAGAGAGAGCUCUGCCACAUUGAAAUUCAGUGUUUAAUCAUGGUUUUUCAGACCAUCUUGUGCUGCUGAACUGGAAUUGAGCUCAUAAUUGGGGUAGCUUCAAAGAAGACUAAUGCACCAUGUGCAGGAGACCGGUAGUUGUUUGGUUCCAUUAGAUGAUGUGGAGGCGAUGAACAUUUAACAGUGCAACUGGACAAGAACCAGAGUUGUCAUUAGUUGAUGACUGAAGGCAUUGUUGCUGUUGUUCAUGACGGAAAAGGAGAGAUACAGCUUCAAUUGGACGGGAACAAGCAGUGUUCCCACAGAAGACUAUGCAGACACUCUCUUUCCAUUUGAUGCUCAACAUUUGUUCGAGCAGAUCUGAGUCCAGCUACUUCACCCUUGAUGCUCUCAACCUUAAUCUGAUAAUGAGCCUUUAUCUGACAUCUUUCUUUGCUCCCAUCAUCUUUCUUCAAUCACAUGCAGCACAGCUUGUGCGGGGGACCUACCUUUCAACCCGGUACAUGCAUGAUAAAUGUAUGAAUAUGUAAUCUAUAUGACAAACUCGCCCUUCGAGGGGUGACAAUAUGGUCGUAACUCUUGUAUGAUGGAACAAGAAUCGUGAUUUUUUCCCAAACUCUACAAUGAAAAUUUUCGGAGUGACGGCCAAUGUGUCACCCACAAGUCUUGAGUUCAAGAUGCUUCAAGAAGGGUUUGCCCGUAUGCAAAUAAUGAUAGCACAUACAACCUAAGGAUAGGUUCUAAUCAUUAUGUGAACAUGGGUAGGUUUUCAGAGAUUCGCGGGUAAGGGACUGGUUGUGGUUAGGGAAGGUAUUAGCACCCCUAACGCACCCUACCUGAGGUAAGCUGCUUCGCGAAUUUGAUGUGUUAAAGAAGUUUUAAUAAUUGUCUUUUCAUCGGAAUUUAGAAAUAUCACUUACGUAUAAGUUAAUAAUUCUUAACCGUGAUCCAAUCAAAAUAUUAAAUUCUUCUUUAAUAUCUGCAAUUUUAAAGAAGGAGCUGUCGGUGGCCGACGGUUGUAGGGGGAGCUGUCGGUGGUCGGUUGAAGGAGGAGAUCAGUGGUUGCUUGAUGCUGUGGUCGGGUCUGUUCGUUGACCCGGAGAGGGAGAAAGGGGUAGUGGCCAGCUGUUGUGGUGGCCGUCGCUGCUGUGGAGGUCGAUGGGUCGACUGUUGCCUGGUGGCUGAGGGAAGGGAGGCCUGAUCCGGUCGGCGAUCGGAGAAGAAGAGUUAAAGGACAGAUCGGGGGAAAAGGAGAAGUGAUGUCUAUCUUGUCUGCAGAAGAGAUAGGGGCGAAAAGAUGAGAGGUCCGGUGAGGUGGGGUGAGGGGCUGCUGUGUUUUGAUGGCUCCCGGAUUCUGUCCAAAGGAAAACAAAAUGUGGGGGUUGUCCGGUGGAAGAUUGAGGGGCCGGUUGAGAGGGAAGAAGAGCUUCAAACCGGCUGGGGGCUGCUGUUUUGGCCGGUUCAGGGAGAAGAGAAAAAAAAUUCAAAAGGUGAGGGGCUGGCUUGGGUGAGCGGCUGCGGGGAGAAAAAAAAAUCUUUUAGGUUUAGGUUUUUUUGUUCUUGUGUUGUCUCUCCCUCCAAUCUCAAAAUUGCCCCCCCCUUUUGUGUGAGUUAAAGACCAGUAUUUAUAGGCAAAAAUGUUGCUAGGUUUUUCAACUUGGUCCCUCAACUUCUUUCUUUUUGUAAAUUUUGAUUUUUCUUAUUUUUUUGUAUUUUUUGAAAACGAGCAAUACCAACGUCGACUCGAUGAGGAAAAUCAAUGAUUUAAAAACUGACGCGUGAAAAGUCGAACGCGUUUGAAAAUCUUUUAAAAAUUUAAAUUCUUUUUUUAGACGACGUUGAAAAUGCUAAAAUGACGAAAAUAUAUUAAAAAACAUAUUUUUUUGGAUUUUCUUUGUUUUUUUGCUAUUUUUGGAUUUUUCAAAAAUUUUAUAAAAACAUGGGUAAAAAAAUGGGUAGCAACACUUUACAUGAUUUUACGGAUGCAAACUGGGUUGGUAGUAUUGAUGAUUACAAGUCUAUGGAUGGUUACCUUGUUUUUUUGGUCAUAUACUGAUUUCAUAGAAAUCAAGUAAGCAACGCAUGAUUGCUUGUUCUUCUACCGAGGCCAAGUAUAAAGCUUUAAUAGAUGGCAUUGUUGAGGUUAUAUGACUUUUGUAUUUAUUAUUAGAUCUGCAGAUUACUCCUAGUUCUGCUUAGACACUUUGAAAUGAUAAUCUCGAUGCUACUUAUUUGCCUACUAAUCCUAUCUUUCAUGCUCGUACUAAACAUGUUGAGGUUGAUUAUUAUUUUGUAUCUGAUAGGGUUGCCAAGAAGGAAAUUCAGAUUCAUUUUAUCUCUUCUGAGGAUCAACUUGUAAAUGUUUUUACUAAGUCACUUCCUACUGCUUCUUUUACUGCUUUUCGAUUCAAUCUUUGAGUCGAUUCUUCACCCUCAUCUUGAGGGGGCAUAUUAUAGGAUGUAUAUAUCAAUGAAAUAUUAAUAGGCUUAAUCACUAUUGUAUAAGGUUGGCUAACUAAUAAGUUAAUACAUAAUUCCAUUCAAAACAUGAACGCGAUCUUCGCAUUACACUUUGGCUAUUUGUUUUUCAUUUUUUUUUCUUUUAAUUUAAGAACUUAAAUAGCAUAUCAUUAAAAAAAAAAUUAAAUUAAAUUUGCUUUAAUGGAGUCAUUUUAAAUUUGCUUUAACUCAACUUAUUGACAAUUUUCUCUUAAAAUUUAUUCAUUUAUGAUAACAUAUUGAUAGAACACAUUCAAUUCAUUAUUUCAACUGAAAACUCAAAAGAUAUUACAAGUUCAAAUUAUUAUUACAACAUCUAGACACACAAUAUUCGAAGAUGCUUUUUCAUCCCAAACCUUUUUUUUUUUAAAAGGCGAUCCCACAAAAUCAUGACAUCUGUUGAUGAAGAUCAACCUGGAUAGUUACUUGGGCUUUGUCCAGAGAUCACGAAGACUAUCAGUCAGGCACCUCCAAUUGUAGACAAACAUGAACGAGAUGUAGUAGACAUAAUGCGAGAGAUUUCCUUCAAUAAUUUGAUUGACGGAUGGUUGAAGAAUCCAUAGAAUAUAUAGCAAUGUUUGAGCAAGGAAAAACACGAUCCCCACCACCAUAAGUGCUAUGGUCAUAGAACUCCAUGAAGCGGAUCCACCCCAUAAUGCUAUGGUCACAGCAAAAAAGAAUGACAAGCACAUCAUGUAAAUAGACCCACCCACCAUUAACGAUGAAAACCUCACUGCAAAUGGUGCAAACUUGACAUCAUUCAAGUGUGUCCAAAGAAGGAUUAUAGCUGCCACCACAGAGGAAUUUAAAGCCCACACAUCAAGACAUAAAUAACCAUCCAAAAGAGAUUGAACAGUAGAACUGUCCAAGGCAGUGCUGUUAUUUUUAUCCUUUUGUUGUGGGAUCUGUAUAGCACCCGCAAAGGUUACACCAGCAACAAGCACCGCUACAACAAGAAGAUUCUGUAUCCUGAUCCUUGUUUCCUGUUUCCUUGGCGGCUUGCCUUGAGUACUAGUGAAACGCUCAUCAUAUCGGGAUUUCUUAGGGUGGGCAUGGAAGAAUAAGAUAGAUAAUGUUGUCAUCUGCAUAGCAAGGGGAAAAUAACUUCAUAAUAAUGAGUUUCUGGCACUUCCUCAAUCGCAUGCAAAAGCGUUGGCCUUGAAAUCUUUUUUUUUUUAAGAACAAGCACGAUUCUGGAAUAAUUUCUGAAUUUUGAAAAUAAUUGUAUAGAAUAUAUAUUAAUCGGCCUUCAAGUAGAUGUUCAAAAGAAUAGGGAUGACUAGAAAAAAUAUAGGAAAGAAGAUGUGUAAUAUUACCGUUCCAUAAUAAUCAAGCAGCUUGUAGUCCUCUGAAUCAACUGCUUUGUCCUGUAAAAAAACAUAAUUUUAAGUUAAUGAAUAGAGCUACCUGUUUUUUCUUUCUUUCCUUCUUUCCUUUUGUGCUAUGGCUAGCCAACAAUAUAAGCCACUGAAACUGAUGAUCAGCCCAUGUUUGGAAAGUAGUUCUUUGAGCUUAGAAGAGAUAAUUAACCUCGAUCUGAGGAAUGAAGACAGAAAUCAUGAAGCAACUCAGAGCAGAUAAUUGUACAAAUUACAUGACAUGAGCUCUUCUGACAAAAGAUGAUUGAGUAUAUCAAAGAACCACUCAACCCAAAAGCUUCAACAGCUAAUUGAGGUUUAAGGAUACGAUUUUAGUCCUGAAUUUCAGCCAGCUUUUAAGAGUGCUAAGUUAUAUACUCUGUUUCCAUUUUUUCAUGACAUCAUCCUUUAUUAUGUAAAAUAUGAUAUCCUUUAGUGAAAUGGAAUCCUUGUCUACUUAAAAUGUAAGAACAUUGUUUUUCAAUUGAACUCUCAUACCUGGAUCUCGUCCGCAGGAAUACUGUUCUUUGAAUCAAACUGCUCUCGUUCCUUAGCAAGCUGGCAACAAAGAGGAAGCCCAGAAACCAAAAUAUUAAAUAAAUAAUACUCUUAAAAUAUGUAGUUUUGUAGCCUCGAUAAAUGAUGAUGAAAUAGCAUACCAUUUCAUCUGUUUUUUCAUAUUGGUCUACAGCCGUUUUAGAUUGUUGUUUCGCUACAUCAUAUGGUGUAAAAUUUUCAUUGUUAACAAUUAAAUUUUCAACGCGUUUGUCACGCACAAGAGCAAAUGCAGCUAUGGAUUGACCAUGUCGUGCUGCCAAAUGCAAAGGUGUAUUCCCAUCCUCAUCCAUCUCAUUUAGCAGUGGUUCUACGAUCUUCUGAUCGUUUCCGAGUAUGUACCUUACCACAUUGCCCUGUCCAUUUUCAGCCGCUACAUGAAGAAUAUUCUGCCCUUUUUUAUUGAGGAAUUCUUUUGGAAAUGGGGUAAUCUUCAGAAAUUCCUUGACUACAUCAACAGAGUCAUUUUUGCAUGCUAGAUGGAUAGGAUAGUUGCCUUCAUGAUUUCUUUUAUAAGCACCAUUGAGAAACUUUUGUAAAAGGAAUUGAACUCCCUCCUGAAAACCUCUGGAUGAUGCAUAAUGCAGUGAAUUUCCCAACUCUUCGUCAGUGAGAAAUAAUAGCUCUGGCUUUGCUAUUGCAAUUUUCUCCAAUAGAUCUGAAAAUCAAAAGCAAAUGUUUCAAAUGAAUAUAAAGAUGAUAGGUUUUCAACAAUUGUUUGUACGUAAAUCAUUUUCUAGUGAGUAUAGACAUUGUGAUCACCUAUGUUACAUUGCUCGAUGGCAGCAUGAACAGGGGACUUUCGUUUUGGUAGGGCAUCACCAUCUUCUCUUGUUAUAGGAAUCGAAGCUCCCAAAUUCAAGAGAUCAUCAAGUAUCUCUGGAGACCUAUUGAAAUUCUCAACAGCCAGAUAUAAAGGAGACCUGCCAUUCUUGUUGCUGUAAUAGGCCACUUCAGGAUCUCUGGCAACUAGGAAUUUGGCAACUUGUUCGUUACCCUUGAUGACUGCGUCGUGCAAAGGAGUGUUUCGCUUUCCAUUUGCCAUCCUCAUCAAGCUCGGAUUCAAUUCCACGAGAGAAUUAAUUGUAUGAAUAGCCUUUCCUUCUCUGGCAGCAAGAUGAAGGACUGUGUCGUUCUGGCUGUUUGCCAUGGUGAUCAGAGAAGGAAACUCUUUAACAAGAUAAGCUAUAAUAUUGUCACUUCCAUAGCUUACAGCUACGUGAAGCAGUGUAUUCCCGCAGGGUGUCACUAGCUUCUCCGCUGAACGUUGCUGGACAAGCCUUCUAAAUUCCUCAGUAUUAACGUUGCUGGGCAAGCCUUCUAAAUUUCUCACACACUCAUGCAACUGACUAUCUAUCAUUUCAUUUUCCAAGUGAUCUCUCGGAAUCGAGAUUUCAUCUAUGUUUAUCUCAACGGCGCUAGACAUAGCAAAAGAAAAUAUUGGGUUACUUGAAUCAGCUAGACGUAUCACUUAUCAGACAGCACGACUUCUAAUUCAAAUAGGCUAGACUGCAUGUCAAUGGAAUCUGAAGUACCGUGAAUGGAAAUUUAGCUUUAUGAUUGUUUUGAUUUGUUUUUAUAGGGUUAUUUUAGUUUUAUGAUUAAAGUUAUGGAUUUGGCAAGUUAAUCUAGUUUAAAUUAUGUUAUUUUUUUUAUUAUCUUUUUAUAAGGUUAUGUUGGUUUGAAGACUCGGGUCAUGGAUUUGAUAAAUUGACUUGGUUUGUUUGUUUGUUUUUUUUUUUUACUUGACUUCUUUUUCUAAUCAUGUCCUUCAACAUUGGGUUUAUUGGGGAUUGAAAUUCAUAAUUUAUUUUUAUUUGCUUUCCAUUAGAUUAUCUCGGUUUUAUGACCCGAGUGAGUUUGACUGGUUAACUAGGAUUACUUUUUUAGGUCUUUUUUUAAUUGAUUUUUUUUCAAUAUCAUCCAUUAACAUUGGGUUAAUUGGAAAGUAGACUUCAUAAUUUAUUUUGAUUUGCUUUCUAUUGGGUUGUCAUAAUCUCCGAAUACAAGUUGCAAAUUUGACAUGUUAACCCAAGUUGACUUAAGUCAAUCCAAUAUGUUGUUAUCUUAAUAUUAAAAAAAAAUUAUCAUCUUGAAUUUUUUUAAUCAAACUAUGUUCUUACAUAUAUGUCUUAUGGGUUGUUUUUAGAUCCACAAAGUCAUUAAAGUGCGUAGGGUCAACACUUACAUGGUAUUAAUUUUUUAUUUUACAAAUAUGUAAAAAUAACAUUAUUUUGGUCAAACUUAAAAAAAAACAAAAUUCAAUGGGUUUUCAGAAGGUUUUUUUUUUAAAAAAUUAAAAAAAAUUAAAAAAUAAUAAUUAGGUCGUACAAAUUUUAAAUAAAAAAUAAAUAUCAUGGUUAAUUAAGAACAUUGAAUAAUUUUUAAUAAAUACCCUUUUAUGAAAUAUCCCUAAAAGUCUAAUAUGUUUGGCAUUGCUUUUUAAUCGGGGAUGGAUAAAUUUUAAUUUUUUUUAUUUAAAAUUAAUUUUUUUAUGUUUUCAAAUCGUUUUGAUGUACUAAUAUAAAAAAUAAUUUUUAAAUAAAAUAUAAUUAUUAAUUUUAAUAUACUUUCAGAUAAAAAACAUAUAUUUUUUUUAUUCUAACCCCAACUUAAAACGCUACGUAGCAAAAUUGAAAACUUAUUACAACCUGGGAUAUGAAAAGGACAUCUGAAAUAAAAUAAAUACAGAAAGAUGUAAUCUGAUGGCAUUAAUUCCCAUAAUUUAUUACACCUGGCCAGUUGUCCUUUCUCAUAACUUUCUAAUUCACUCAUUAAGCUGAGACAGAAAAAAUGCACUGAUCAGAGUGAUUCUCUAGAGGAUGAAAGGGAAAUUAAUCUUAAUUUAAUUUCUUGCAUCUCAUUCAACAACUUCACAGGCACGGCUGUCUAUAUCCACAUCCCAUGAGCGGAAUCGAAAAGGCAUCAACCAGACCUAACCAUAACUAGGCAUGUGAAGAAGAUCGUUUCACUGCAUGGGUGCUUUGGGAGGUUUAGUUUGACAGAUUCUGUGAUAUGCAAGAGGUGUGUCUUCUUUAAGAAGAAACCAUGUGUUUGAAAUUAAUACUUUUUGGAACAGAUUUGGGAAUUGAUACAGAAAAAACCUGGAUUACUCGAUUAGUUUAAAUUAAUUAUUUAAAUUUUCUUUUAGAAUUGACCUAAUGAACUAGCUAGCCUAGUAAGGUAUAGUCGGGUAAGGUCAACUAGAUUACGAGUAAAUUAUAUUUCACUAAGUCAAUUUCUUUUUUGUUUUAAUUUAAAACCUCGGCCAAGCCACACUUCCGGCGUUAACGUUCCAAGUCAACCCAUUAUACUAGGCUAGGUUUAACAAGAAUGUUUAAGACAUUUUAUUUAACAAUAAAAUAAGUAAUCCAAUAUUUCUAACAUCCGAUUCAACAGACUCAAUGUCUUUCCAAUAUGUUUGAAGGCUUAAACACCGAUGUCAAGGCAGUUUUUCCUAUCUACCAGCCUUCGGACCCCUGACCUAGUUGUGACAAGGCAUAAGAGCUGUGCAAAGAGCUUGCCAUGCUCUCUGCUUAAACCUCUUGAGAUUUUGAGAUAUUAGUCUGGAAAUUUCUUGAUUCCCUCAUAAACAAGAAGGAAAAUCCCAUGAGUUUUCAUCUUCCUGCCAUUUCAUGACCAUACUUUGUAUUCGUAGAAGUUAAACACUUUUACAUUUUCUUAAUUAAAAGAUUCAAAGAAAGUAAGUUUUAAAAAAAAAAAAAAAAACAUUGGUAGAAGACUGGAGCAUGCAGCUAGCCUAGACAGAAAAUUAAUUGAUGUACAAUCAUAGUCUUAAUUAAUACCCAGACCCACCUGUACAGAUUCGGGUUGACGAAAAAAUAUAUAGUUGACCUAGUUAAAAUCCGAAUAUCAAAUAUUUUUUUAAAUAAAAUAAUACUGUUUUAAUUUUUAUUUUUCUAAAUCUUCUUUAGUAGCCUCGUUAUUUAAAUAUUUCCUAAAGUUUGACACCGGGUUGAUUUUUAAAACAUGUGUACAAUUGCUACCCCGCUAUCAGGUCAUUAAAGGGUUCACCUAGAGCACUCCGGUUAUUUCACUUAUUUCUGAAAAAGACUCCAUGCAUGCAUGCAUUCAUAUAUUUACAAUUUUAAUUGUACAAGUUAGACCGUACGUAUUCAGUUAUUGGCAUCACCUACUGCUCUCCACCUUCCAUGUCCUCUCCACUUGAUGAUGAGGCCUUGCUGUCCAUCCUCCUAAUAAAAGUUGCCCAUCCGUAAAUUUAUUACACACCCUGCACAAUUCCCUUUUUUUGUCUGUUUACUGUGUUAGAAAAUAGUAUGAAAUCAUUCUUGUGAUUUUACCUAAUAAUCAUGAUUUUAAAACUCACCUCACCACCUCCAAUUUAACUAAAAUAAAAUUAAAUAUAAAGUAAUGUUGAGUUUCUGCAGAUUUUGUUAUAUGAAACGAUGACAGAAUGGAUUAAUUGAAGAAGUCGGUGUUGACGCUGAAGAUGCAAGAAAAGCACUAUUAUGAGGCUUAAUCUGCAGUGGACAAGGUGCUCUCCUUUGUAACCGGCUUGAUGGCCCCCUGUAUUCCAUCUCUUCCUUGUGAACGCAGGUUUGAAUCCAGGAAAGUCAUCACCAGAAUCCCCCGUUUUCCGUCAGUGCCUCACUUCUUAUAUAUCUCUUGAAGGACAACUGGUCAGGUGUAAUAAAUAGUUUACUAUUUUCUAACACAGUAAACUGCAGAAUUCCAAACCCAAAACCAUUAACUUAUUCCCUUUUUUUAUAUGGUGCAUACAAGAAAGAACAUUGAACAUCCAUCUCUCUUUGAGGACUCUGGCUCUCUACAAUUUCCUUCUUCCUUUUUCUAGAUGAACAACACUGCUCUCUACAAUUUCCCACUCCAGAUUUCUCAUAAAAAAGGUUAAAAAACAGAAUAAGCAACAGGUAAAAUUAAAGGUUAAAGCAUGUUUUUAUAAGUAGCUUCAACGCAUCCAAAACUUAUUUAAUUAACACCAUAUAAACUCAGAGCAAAGGGGAAAAAAAAAAGACCAUGCUGAAGUCAGAGGUGGGAUAUCCCAUCAAUACAUGCAUUUUGGUAAAAAUUUAGGAAAGCAGUGGAAUAUUUAUGAUUUGUUAUGGGUAUGUAAAAUUUGACAAAAAGCUAAUGUAAUGACAACUGAGAAUAAUAGAAGACUUUGUUAAACUAAUUGAGAUCAAACACAAAAAGGAGGCUACAAUUCUGAAUAAACUAUAUAUUAUGAAUGCAUAGUCUUAACCUAAUUACAAAUAAAGUAUAUAUAGGUUAAACUGAAAGUACUAUUCUACCCUUAAUAAAUAAGACAACAUAAAUAUUAUUUAACAUCUCCCCUCAAACUCACGAUGCGGCAGCUACAAGCAUCGAGAGUUUGCCGACUAGAAAACGAAAACGAGAUAUGGAAUGCGCCUUGGUAAAGAAAUCUGCAAUCUGCAAUGAAGAAGGAACAAAAGGCAAAGUAAUGGUUCCAUGCUUGAGAUGAUGACGAGUAAGAUGACAAUCGAUUUCAAUGUGCUUAGUCCGCUCAUGAAAAACCGAGUUGUGAGCAAUCUGAAUAGAACUCUGGUUGUCACAAUACAUAGGAGUAGGAUGGGAAAAGGAAACUCCCAUAUCAGCAAGUAACCAACGUAACCAAAUAAUCUCUUUGGUAGUAGAUGCCAUGGCACGAUAUUCUGCUUCGGUGGAUGAUUGAGAAACAAUAGAUUGUUUCUUGCUCUUCCAAGAAAUAAGAGAAUCACCUAAAAAGAUACAAAACCCGGUAACAGACUUGCGAUCUGUGGGAUCACUACCAUGAUCAGCAUCAGAGUAUGCACGCAACUCCAAGGAAGAGGUGGAUGAAAGUAAAAGACUUUGAAAAACUGUACCCCGAAGAUAUCGCAAAAUACGAAGAACAGCUGCCCAAUGAACAGUAGUAGGAGAAGCAACAAACUGACUAACAACAUGAACAGCAUAUGCAAUAUCUGGACGAGUAAUGGUGAGAUAUACCAAACUCCCAACAAUAGUGCGGUAUAAAGUAGGAUCUAUCAAAGGUAAACCAUCAGAAGAAGAGUACCUUGCGUUAACCUCAAUAGGAGUAUCCACAGUCUUGUUAUCAGUAAGUCUAGCCCGCUCAAGAAUAUCUGCAACAUAUUUCGACUGAGAAAGAAGGUAACCUCUAGGUGAGUAUGCUACCUCAAUACCCAGGAAAUAUCGAAGAUAACCCAAAUCCUUCAUCUCAAAUCGUCUAGCCAACUCUGUCUUCAAAACUGAAAUACCAUCAAUGUCAUCACCAGUAAUAAUCAUGUCAUCAACAUAUAAAGACAGAAUGAUACGACCUGCAUCAGUGCACUUAAUAAAAAGAGCAGAAUCAUGACUGCUAGAAACAAAGCCAAGUGACGAGAUCACAAUAGAGAAUUUCUCAAACCAAGCACGGGGUGCUUGUUUGAGACCAUAUAAUGCUUUCUUAAGCUUACAAACAUAUCCAGAGUCAUGUGAAAUACCAGGAGGGGGUGCCAUAUAAACUUCUUCUUGAAGAUCUCCAUUCAAGAAGGCAUUUUUAACAUCAAGUUGAGAAAUAUGCCAUUGACGAAUCGAAGCUACAAUAAGAGUACGAAUAGUAGUCAUUUUUGCAACCGGAGCAAAUGUCUCCUCAUAGUCCAUACCAUACUGUUGAGAGUAUCCUUUGGCAACCAACCUAGCUUUAUAUCGCUCAAUAGACCCAUCAGAAUUAGUCUUGAUCUUAUACACCCAACGACAACCAACAACACUCUUACCAGGAGGUAGAGGAACCAGAUCCCAAGUAUCUGUCUUAUGCAAUGCAGAAAGUUCCUCAUCCAUAGCUUGCUGCCAAAGCGGAUCAAGAAUUGCCUCUUUAUAGGAAGAGGGCUCAACAAGACAAUGAAUAGAGGCUAAAAAGGAAGUAAAUGAUGAAGAAUAACAAGAAUAAGCAAAAUCUGGUAGUUUUGUGGACUUACGAAUACGGAUGGACUGACGUGGAGGUGGAUCCACAAUCUCAGAUGAAGCUUGAGGGGCUGUAGAUGAGAAUGGAGCUUCAGGUGUGCCAGAGAGUAAAGUACCAGUACCUGCAGAGUUAUGAGUACAAAUUGAUCGAACAUGGGGAGAGCUAUCAUUACCAGAAUCCUCAGAAAAUGGAUCUAUACUAAUAAGAUCAGAUUUAGUCAGGUUAUGAGUAGUGGAUGGAAUAGAAAAGAAAGGUAUAUGCUCAAGGAAGACAACAUGACGAGACACAUAAAGUUUCUGAGUUAUUGGAUCAAAACAACGAUAACCCUUUUUACCUUCACCAUAGCCCAAAAAGACACAAAUAGCGGAUCGAGAGGAUAGCUUACUUCGUUCUACAUGAGGACGAAGAACGAAACAAGUACAACCAAAGACUCUAAAUGAGGAAUAAUCAGGGACAUACCCAUAUAACUUUUCAAAAGGAGAUAGACCCGAACUAUGAGAAGAUGGAAUUGUAUUAAUCAAGCUUACAGCAGUAAGAACAGCUUCUCCCCAAAACUCACUAGGAACAAAAGCAGACAACAAGAGAGAACGAGCAGUUUCGACAAUGUGCCUAUGUUUUCUUUCAGCAACACCAUUUUGCUCAGGAGUAUCUGUACAUGAAGUUUGGUGGAUGGUUCCAUCUAGGGCAAGCAAUUGGCAAAAUUUAUUAGAAGUGUAUUCCCCACCUAAAUCACACCUAAAGCAUUUGAUCACAGUAGAAUAUUGAGUUUUGAUAAGAGCUCGAAAAGCUGCAUAUAUCUCAAAGAAUUCAGAACGAUGUUUCAUUAAAUAAACCCAACAAUAACGAGUAUGAUCAUCAAUAAAAGAGACAUAAUAUCGAGACCCUCCUUUUGUGGCAACAGGAGAAGGUCCCCAUACAUCAGAAUGAAUCAAAUCAAAUGGUGAAGAAGAAACAAAAUACUUCGAUUAAAAGGUAAGGCGGAAAAUUUUGCCAAUUUACAUCCACUACAAUCAGAAAUGUCACAAGUUUUCAAAUUUCCUAAAGCUCCUGUGGAUGCCAAAAAUCUCAAACGAGAAGACGAAACAUGACCUAGACGAGAAUGCCAUAAAUAAAAACUAGAAGAUGAAAUACUCAAACGAAAGGAAGACAAAUCAAUUGUAGGAGUAGCAGCAGCAGCAGCAGCAGCAGCAGCAACAGCAACUGGCACUUUUAACUCAUCCAAAAUAUAUAGUCCAUUCUCCCUACGGCCUGUCCCAAUCAGCUUCUGAGACUGCAGAUCCUGUAUACAACAAAAGGAACCAGAAAACAUGACUAAAUAAUCACCAGAAUCACAUAUUUGACCAACAGACGCAAGAUUCAAUUUGAGUUGUGGAAUAAGAUAAACAUUAGGGAGAGACAUGUGAGGUGUGACAACAGAACCAACACCUGCUAAUGGCAUUUGAGUGCCAUCAGCAGUCAUAACAGGAAUGGAGGACAAAGGUGAUACAGAGGUAAAAGAUGAGGAAUCUGGAGACAUAUGAUGAGAAGCACCAGAAUCCAAGACCCAUUCAGAAUGUGACAUACCUGAGGAACUAUGAGGCAACUGACCUAUGGAAGAAGAAGCGGACAUUGCUUGUGGCUGCAAGGAGAGAAACUUCUGAAAUUGCUCAGCCAAAAUAUUAGGAUCGGUAAUAGAACUCGAGGAAGCUACUGCUGCAGUAUUGUGGUGUUGUGGUUUAUAACCCUGAGGUGGUCUAUGAGCAUUAGAUUGUGACUGAUUGCCAGGCUUCCAAGCUUGAUUCUGAUGUCUCAACUUAGGACACUGAGCCUUCCAAUGACCUUUCUGCUUACAGAAGCUGCACUCAUCGAAGCCAACCCUUGUGUGAGACUUAUUCUGAUGAUUAGAGAAUGACCUAGAAGGUACUGCUAGUACAGAAGGAUUUGAAGCAGAAAGAAUUCCUUUUUCAGAAUAAGACUGAAAACGUAUUUCUUCAGCCAAUAACUCACUGACAACAGAGUCAACAGAAGGCAGUGGAGAACGAUGCAGAAUUGAACCUCUAAGUCCUUCGAAAUCACUGCGAAGUGCUGUUAAAAACUGUACCAAUCUUUGCUGCUCUCUACGCUCAAUAUAGGCACCACAUGCCUUUAAUUCUGUCGAUUCUGUAAGAGCCAAUUGAUCCCAAAGAUCUGUCAUAGCAGAAUAAAACUCUUGAAUACUCAUAUUCUUCUGAUGAAGAGCUCGUAUGUCAUUCUCUAAUUGAUACUGUUUUGCAAAAUUUGAUUGUGUGAAUAACCUUUGCAGAUGAUCCCAAACCUCUUUUGCUGUCUCAUAUUUCGCCAACUGCGUACCUAUUGAAUGCUCAACAGAAUUGUUGAUCCAAGUAAUGAUCUUUGCAUUAUUUGCUUCCCAUGUAUCUAUCAAACCAGCAUCCCCCUCCUCAAUAUUCUUAGGUAUCACAUAAGUUCCACUAACAUACCCCCACAUCUUCUUACCCUUAAGGAAAUUUCUCAUUACAUAACUCCAAUAUGAAUAGUUCUUCCCAUCCAACCUCACACUCACAGACUGAAGCGAAUCAUCUCUUUCAGUAGCCAUAAUCAACAAUCACAGAUAACCAGAAUGCAAAGCAGCAAAUACAAGCGGAAGACAAAAUACUCAAUUGCAGAAACUAAACAAAUAUCUUCUCGAAAUUAUACGAUUACUCCCAAAACACAAAACAAAUUUGCAAAAACUGAACGCAGAUACCAAAUUGCAGAAGCUGAAGGGAAGACGAAAUACCAAAAUAAUUGCAGAAACUGUCGAAAUACCAAAAUAAUUGCAGAGACUGUCGAAAUACCUAAUUUUGCAGAAGCGGAAGACAAAAUAUCACUCCAAAAAAAAUUGGAUCCGCGAAGCUGUAUUUGGGAUUAAGCUUCGUUCCAUAAAACCAGCUCUGAUACCAUGUUAAACUAAUUGAGAUCAAACACAAAAAGGAGGCUACAAUUCUGAAUAAACUGUAUAUUAUGAAUGCAUAGUCUUAACCUAAUUACAAAUAAAGUAUAUAUAGGUUAAACUGAAAGUACUAUUCUACCCUUAAUAAAUAAGACAACAUAAAUAUUAUUUAACAGACUUAACAUAUUAGUUAGUUAACUUGUCUGUUUAUAUAUAUAUAUAGUAUAAUAUUCAAUAAUAAAAGUAAAGAUUACAAUCCUAGAGUAACUUAUAAUAUUUUCUAUAGACACACAUUCCAUAACAAGGACGUAGUUACAGGUAAAUGACCCUACCAGCAUGCAUGAUUUAUGGCAGAGGUGGGAUAUACAAAGCGAUAAGAGUCAGAAAGCAACCCUUCAGGUAGGGCUCGGGUGGAGAAAGUCUCGAUACCUAAGGGAUCCACAUCAAACAGACGGGCACAUGGGAGCAUUACGGAGGACAUCCCAUCAAUCAAUACUAAUAAUUACUUUCACAAUGUGUUUUGCCAUUCCAUUUCAGUAGUAACUUAUAUCCAAUUACAAUAAACACUAAUAAAAGAAAAGGAACAUUUUAAACUUGAAGAAGAAGUAUAAAUGUAAUUGCAGGGAAGAAGUAAAAAGAAGUCCUACAAAAUAACAACAUAAAUGUGAAUUACCGCAGCACUUGCAGCCUUCUCUCCAAAUCCCUCAUGCAGGGGGUAUCUAUAAUGCUUGCUUCAAUUUUUGAACACGGAUUCAGAGUUUCAGCUACAGUUAAUAAUCAAAAGAAAGGAAAAGGUUAAUUGAUUGUUGAUUGUCGCACGUGUAUGGCAUUGUGACGAUUAUCUUUCUGGAUUGAGAAUGGUCUAGAAGAAAAGAUAACAAAUUAUUGUUCUUUAUCAAUAAAUAGAGAAAAUGAAAGUUGUCAUUUAGUAUUUUAGUUACUAUAAAACCUAACUAGUCCCUAUUAUAGAAAAUAUUAUAACAUAGGAAAUAUUAUGUUUCCUCUUGUAUAGUUUUAUUCUGUGUAAUAGGUUACACCAUAACAUAUAUACAAUGCCCUACUUAUAUAAAUAGUAGAGGAACUGCUCUGAUUAAGGCACUCACCAAAUUAUUACAUAUCUUUACUUUAACUUGGUAUCAUAGCCUCUCUAUCUUAAAUAGGUUUUUUUUCUUCUACUCUGUUGUAGAUUCUUCUCCCUACCGUGAUCCCUGCUCUUUUAUUUUCUACUGCAGAUCCAUCUCUCUACUGCUUGCUAUUCACCCUCUGCUACAGCCUCAAUGUCAACAUCGUUUCUCCAUCUGGGUACUUUGCUCAGUCCCUGCCCGAUCUGGACUUGUGCGUGGAUCUCUCCACAUAUUCUCUUCCACAAUAGACCUUCAUUGAUCUGCCUUCUGCUCUGCCACCCAUUUGGCAGUUUCCCAUGGUGAUGCAUCAUAGACAGCAGAAGAUUGCCAACAUUAGCUCUGCUUCUGCUCCCUUCGCUAGUUUCAGCUCCACAGGUAAUGUUCCCCUCUUCUUUUGAGCCUCUAAGUUUCAAGGAAGUUGUCCAGUACUUGUGUUGGCAUACUGCCAUGAAGGAUGAAAUUGCAGCCUUACAUGCCAAUGUCAUUUGGUCAAUGGUGCCGUUUGAUCCAUCUAUGAACAUUGUUGGUUGUUGAUAGGUGUAUAAAAUCAAGCGUCGAGUUGAUGGGGCCAUUGAUUGUUACAAGGCUCGCUUGGUUGCGCGAGGGUUCACUCAACAGGAAGGUAUAGAUUAUUCAGAAAUAUCCAGUCUUGUUGUUAAACCGAUUACUGUUAGGCUAGUCCUCAUGAUUGUAGUCUUAAAAGGAUGGCAGAUUCUGAAACUUGAUGUUCAUAAUGCUUUCCUCAAUGGCUCAUUCCGCGAGGUUGUUUACAUGCAACAACCCUCAGUUUUUGUCGACUCUACUUUGCCCACUCAUGUCUGUCGCCUUCACAAAUCUCUUUAUGGCUUAAAAAAAGCAUCGCGGCCCUGGUACAUGCAAGUGAGUGAUUUCCUCCUGACUAUUGGUUUUCGGGCUUCAAAGGUUGAUACCUCCUUGUUUAUUCUAAAUGUGAAUCAUGCUAUCUGUUACUUACUUGUCUAUGUGGAUGGUAUCUUACUUAUCGGUAAUAAAUCUCAAUUGAUUCAUCGCCUCAUUACUUUUGUGAUUUGGGUCAUGCAUAUUAUUUUUUGGGGAUUGAAGUUGCUCCCAACAAUGUGGGUCUUACGCUUAGUCAACACAAGUAUGUUUUUGUUAUUCUGAGUCAUGUGUGUAUGUCAUUGUGUAAACCUGUUGAUACACCAGCUUGUGUUUCCAAACUUGAUCUGUAGCAUACUGAGUUGUUUUUGGAUCCCACUCGCUUCCACCAAAUUAUUGGUGUUCUUCAGUAUCUCAUAUUUACUUGACUAGACAUCUGAUAUGCUAUAAAUAAGGUAUAUCAGUUUAUGCAUGCUCCUACUGAAGGUCAUUGGGCCGCUGUUAAGCGUAUCAUGCGAUACUUGAAAGGUAAUCCACCUUUGGUCUCCACCUUUCUCGCGACUCUACUUUAACUCUUCAUGGUUUUAUUGAUGCUGAUUAGGCCCACAGUAUUGGUGAUUGAAAAUCCACGGGUAGUGUCGCACCCUCGCGGUGGAGCGCGGCGUCGCGGCGACCAUUCGAUUGAAUUUCGGGUUAUUUUUGUUUUAUUGUGAAUAUAGGAGUCGCCACCUAGUAUUUUGGUCACUAGGAACCCUAACUGGUCUUUUAGAGAUUCUAAGGUGAGGGACUGGUUGCGUAAAGGGAAGGUAUUAGCACCCCUAGUACGCCCUACCUAAGGUAAGCUGCUUGGUGUUUUGUUUGUGCUAUAAUUGAUAUGGUGUUGGUGUUUUCUAAUCCCAUCCAUUUUUCUAGAUUUGAUUCAAACUAAAUUUAUUAAGAUAGAAAUCCAAGGAGAUUCCAUGUGCUUCGAAAGCUCAUUUUCCCUUAGUAUUUCAAAAGUUUGUGACUCGUAAAUCGCAAGGAGGAGGGACAAAAACCUUAGAAAUCUAGGGCGCUAAAAAAAACCUAUAUAUAUAUAUUUUAGUGUUUUAUACUCUCACGGCUCGUAAACCGUGGAGUAAACAAAUUUAAAAUGUCAUCGAUUAUAAUCAAGGCUUCUUUCAAAGAUGUGUGCAGAUUUAUUACUCGCAAUAAUAUUUUGGAUAUUCGUCCUUUGAGGAUUUCUUUAUCCAAAAAUUAACGGUGAAUAAUAGAUGAAUUCUCCCCAAAAAUAGGAUUUUUAUUUUUUUUUGAAAUAUUGGCCAAUACCUUUUGGAGUUUUACAAACAUGUUGUAAAAUCCAGAAAUACAAGAAAAUAAUUUUUUGUUGUGUUUACGAAAUCCAUGCGAAAACACCUUUUUCGAAACUUCAAAUAUUUUUUUUUAUAUAUAUAAAAAAAAAUUCAAAACAUGUUAGGGUAUUGGCCGUAUGCAACACACAAGAAAAAAAAACAUUUUUUUCUUAAAAAAACAUGAAUAACAUGAUUAAACAAACAUCACAAAAAUAUUCACCUAUUCCAAAAUUCGCAAGAAGCUUAAAACAAUUUAUCUCAAAUAAACAAGGUUCGGCACACCAAUUUAAAAAACACAAGUCAGUGUGCACAAAACAUAAAAAAAAAAAAAAAACAAAGUCCUCAAGCUAAACAAAAUUACAACAUGAACCAUGACCCCUCCCUGCAAACUCAAAAACAAAAGAAAAGAAAAGAAAGAAAGAAAAAGGUGUGAACCCAGAAUCGGCAUUAACUGAAGAAAGGGACCCUCCCUCACGUUUUUUUCAACUCUCUCUUCUGCACCUAAUUAAACACUUGUUUCUAAUUAGCGUUCCAUUGCAAGAGAACGCUUAAGCGAUGGGAGAAAGGGAUGUUUAAAGCUUACAGUUUCUCAUCACUAGGGAGUAAAACACAAAAAACGCAGCUCUAACAGUGAUAAUAAACUAAACUCAAAGACAUGGGAUGGACAGUAGGCAAGCAAGCCACUUUGUUGCUAAGAUGAAAAUAAACGUCCCCAAAACAAAAGCAGAAAUAGAAAACAAAAACCAAACAAAGCUUUAAAUAUGUCAAAGAUGAAGGAAGUCGAGACUCAUACUUGCAGAUCCUGCACGUUUCAACUACAGAAGAUGAGACACAACCCGAUAGAAAAGCUCCUGCCUUUUGCCUCAGAAAAACCAAAGAAAGACUUCCUCUUUUAUUCUAUUGGCUUUUCUGGUUUUACUGUCGCCUACCUCCCUAUUCUCCUUUCUUUCUUUUUUUCUUUCACAGUGACGAAAGGAUCAAUGAUGCGAACCUCGUGAUCUCGUGGUCACGCAACCCACAAUCAAGAUUGAGAUUUGAUCCCGGAAAGCCGAAAUAGGUCUGAUAUGAGUGCGACACAAUGGAAACCUGCCCCAAGGCACCAACACUAUUGGAAUGAGUAGAAUGACGCCACGAAGCCAAUUAAUCUUCGAUAAGUCAGAUUCAGUUCGUUCAAGAACUGAAGAAUGCAAGAAUCACUCUCACACGUUAAAACUGAAAAAUUUAGAAUAAUAAUCAUCAAAGCUGCCGAAAUUUUUGGCCUACAUGAGUUUAAAUAGUUCUUGAAAAGUUAACCCUAAUGGACCCUUUAUGUGAACUUAUAUGAGGUCCACUCAAAACUAGCCCAAAACCCUAAAAUGAAAAGCCCAUAACUUAAUCCAAACAAGCCUUGGAUCCUAGCUUAAAACAAAGUAUGAAUUAAGCCCAAACAAGCCUUGGGCUGUAGCUAACAAAAUAAAAUAAAGCCCUUAUCUCAUGGCCCAAAUAAGGUUGUAUUGGACCCCUCUUGCACAUGGAUAAGAUGUACUAGGAUCUCCUCUUGAUACUCCAAUGGACCUUCCAAUUCUGACUUGGUGAAAACCUUCAAAACCAAUGCAUUCAAUGCGUCUUUCAAUGUCUUUGUCUUGGACCGAGUCAUUGGUCCAUUUGGAACAUGUAAUGGGUCCUUGCUGGUGUUUCUAGGCUGGUCCGCAUCAUCCCCUCUCUCCUCAAAAGGAUUCGACCUCGAAUCAAAAUCUGUGUCAAACAAAGUAAGAUCAACAACAUUAAAGGUAGCACUAACACUAUACUCACCUGGAAGGUUAAUUUUGUAUGCAUUUGCACCCAUACCCAAUCACCGGGUUGGAAAACAACCAGUUUACGUCCCUUAUUUGUUUUAGAAGCGUAAAGUCUGUUCUUUUUCUCUAUUUGUAGUCGAACUCCCUCAUGGAGUUCUCUCACCAUCUUUGCCUUCUUUUCACCAUCUAAACUUACCCUUUCUUCAAAAGGUAAAGGAAUUAAGUCCAUAGGAGUUAGUGGAUUAAAACCAUAAACAAUUUCAAAAGGAGAAAAAGUAGUAGUUGAAUGCAUAGUUCUAUUAUAAGCAAACUCAACAAAAAGGCAAACAUUCUUCCCAACUUUUCAAAUUCUUUUGAAUUACAGCACGUAAAAGUUGGGAUAAUGUUCUAUUCACUACCUCAGUUUGUCCAUAUGUUUGAGGAUGGCAUGUUGUCGAAAAUUAGAGUUUAGUUCCCAACUUUCCCUAUAAGGUCUUCCAAAAGUAACUAAGGAACUUAACAUCACGAUCUGACACUAUACUCUUAGGAAUGCCAUGCAAACGUACAAUCUCUCUAAAGAACAAGUCUGCGAUAUGAGAUGCAUCAUCUGUUUUAUGGCAUGCAAUGAAAUGCGCCAUUUUAGAAAACCUAUCAACCACAACAAAGAUAGAGUCUCUACCUUUCUUUGACCUAGGUAAACCUAAAACAAAGUCCAUAGAGAUAUCUACCCAAGGUUCAGUAGGCACAGGUAGUGGUGUAUAUAGUCCAUGCGGUUGUACUCUAGAUUUUGCCUUUCUACAAGCAAUGCACUGUUCACAAAUUCGUUGCACAUCUCUUUUCAUCUUUGGCCAAUAGAAAUGCUCAUGCAAUACAUCCAAGGUUUUCGCAACCCCAAAGUGACCCAUUAAACCACCCCCAUGUGCUUCACGAACAAGCAAUUCACGCAAAGAACUAGCAGGAACACACAAUCUAUUCUCUUUGAACAAAUAACCAUCCAUCAAAUAAAACUUACCGAAAGCCGAAUGUCCACAUGCAUUAUAAAUCUCAGCAAAGUCAGAAUCAUUAUCAUACAAUUCCUUCACAUAUUCAAAACCUAACAAUCUAGUAUUCAUGGUGUGUAAAAGAACAUACCUGCGCGAGAGUGCAUCAGCUACGAUGUUCUCUUUCCCUUGCUUAUACUUGAUUACGUAAGGAAAGUUUCAAUGAAUUCAACCCAUUUUGCAUGCCUCCUAUUCAACUUACCUUGUCCUUUCAGAUGUUUCAAGGACUCAUGAUCCGAAUGGAUUACGAACUCUUUUGGCCACAAGUAAUGCUGCCAUGUCUCAAGUGCUCUUACCAAUGCAUAGAGUUCUUUGUCGUAAGUGGAUAGUUCAAGGUCGCUCCACUUAACUUCUCACUGAAAUACGCAAUAGGUCUCCGAUCCUGCAUCAAAACAGCAUAUUCCUAUUCCAGACGCAUCACAUUCUAUUUCAAAUGCUUUCGUAAAGUCAGGUAAACCCAAAACAGGUGCAGAACAUAAUUUCUCUUUCAAAAGAACAAAUGCCAAUUCUUGUUCCUCCCCCCAUUUAAACCCAACUGAUUUUUUAACAACUUCAUUAAAGGGGCAGCUAUUGUACUGAAAUCUUUCACAAAACGCCUGUAAAAACUAGCUAACCCAUGAAAACUCCUUACCUCACUUACCGAUUUGGGUGUAGGCCAAUCCCGGAUGGCCUUAACUUUCUCCUCAUCCAUCUCGAUACCCUGUGCAGUUACAACAUAGCCAAGAAACACAAUUUUUCCAUGCAAAAGGCACACUUUGUAAAUUAGCAUACAAUUUCUCACUACGCAACACACUAAGUACAUUACGCAAAUGAUCAAGAUGCUCAGUUAAGUUCUUGCUAUAUAUCAAAAUGUCAUCAAAAUACACAACCACAAACUUACCUAUGAAUGCACGCAACACAUGAUUCAUUAAACGCAUAAACGUACUAGGUGCAUUUGUAAGUCCAAACGGCAUUACUAACCAUUCAUACAAACCAUGCUUAGUCUUAAAUGUUGUUUUCCACUCAUCACCUUCUUUCAUCCUAAUUUGAUGGUACCCACUUUUCAAGUCAAUUUUAGAGAAAUACAGGAUCCAUGUAACUCAUCUAACAUGUCAUCAAGCCUAGGAAUGGGAUGUCUAUACUUUACCGUUAUGUUGUUGAUGGCCGCAAUCAACACACAUCCUCCAUGUUCCAUCCUUCUUUGGCACAAGUAGCACGGGUACAGCACACGGGCUCAUACUCUCACGAAUGUAGCCCUUUUCCAUCAGCUCAUCAACUUGCCUUUGAAGCUCCUUCGUCUCCUCGGGAUUGCUUCUAUAAGCUGGUCGGUUAGGAAUUGAAGCUCCGGGUACGAAAUCAAUCUGAUGCUCUAUCCCCCUCAAUGGUGGUAAUCCGCUAGGAGUAUCGUCGGGGAACACAUCAUCAAAUCCCUGCAACAAAGAAAUAGCAACACUAGGCACAAUAUGAUCAAGAUCAUUAGUAUUAAAGUAAGCCUCUUUGUACACAAGUAAUCAUUGGCUUGUUAGUGAAAAAUGCAGAUCUGACCUCACCCUCUCUAGCAUAAAAAUUGGGUUGUUUCUUUAGUUUUUCCACACAAUUCUCAUCACACUUGCUGACUUUCUUCACUCCUCUUGUCUUACCUCCACUCUCGGCCAGAUUUGGGUGUUUUUGAGUUGUGGUCGAAUGGUUUGAUUUGUUUGGAGUGUUGGCCGAAUAUUUGCUUGUGUUUGGAUGGGUGGCCGAAUGGGUUGUAGUGGUUUGGGUUCUAGCCGAAUCUGAUGGUCUUCUCUCCCCUUGUUCCUCACCUUGAUUUUCUCUCCCCAUCGCCUCAUGCUCACUUUUUAGCUUUAUUUGAUCAUCAUACACCUGUUUGGGUGUAAGAGGUACAAGAGUGAUGGUUUUACCAUCUUUUACAAUGGUAUACCUAUUUUUAACCCCAUCAUGAAUUGCCUUCCUAUCAUAUUGCCAUGGUCUCCCCAACAAGAUGUGACUUGCUUGCAUUGGUACCACGUCGCACAGAACUUCAUCAACAUAUUUCCCAAUCGAAAAUGGAACCACAACCUGUUUAGUCACUUUCACUUCACCACUAUCAUUCAGCCAUUGCAAUCUAUAUGGUUUAGCAUGCUUAGCAGUACACAAAUUCAGUUUACUAACAAGGGUGGCACUGCAAACAUUAACACAGCUUCCACUAUCUAUAAUUAAACCACACACCUUUCUUUGUACGUAACAACGCGUAUGGAAGAUGUUCUCCCUUUGUUCAUUAGUAUCAUCUUCUUUGACCUGAACCUGAAGUGUUCGCCUUAUAACCAAGGACUCCUCAACCGGUAAUGCUAACUCAUCCCCAUCACUAUCCUCCAAUGGUGGCAUGCCUUCACAAUCAGAACUGUCACUUUCAGAUUCCACAUCACCAUUAUCUCUAAUCAUCAUGAUUCUCUUGUUUGGACACUCUGAAGCAUAAUGUCCAUGUCCCUGACACCUGAAACAUUUAACAUCACGAGUACGUUUAGGUUGAGUUUCAGAUUUACCUUUGGCAUCAGUAGGGACAUCAACUUUAGCCUUUGGUGGUUCAGUUCUAGAACCAAAGGAUCUUGGCCGGAUAGUACCCUCUCUCUUUAGAUUCGGCUUCCAAAAUGAUGACGAACCCGAAUUAAACGCUGGCCGAGCAUGCCCUUCCUAAGUUGUCUCUCCACCUUCGUCGCCAUGUGAACCAUGUCCUCUAGCUCCACAUAGUGUGUAGCUCAACCACAUUAGCAAUUCCCGAUUCAACCCAUUAAGAAUCUAGCCAUGGUGGCUUCUCUAUCCUCAACAACAUUAGCCCGAAUCAUUGCUAUCUCCAUCUCUUUGUGAUAUUCAUCUACUGUCUUAUAACCUUGAUUCAGACCUUGGAGCUUCAGAUAUAAGUCUCUGUAAUAGUGGUUUGGCACAAAUCGUCUCCUCAUUAAGACUUUCAUCUCCCCCCAAGUCUGAACGGGUCGCUCGCCAUUCCUCCUCCUACUGAUCACAAUCUGAUCCCACCAAAUAAUGCAUACUCCGUAAACUCAAUUAUCACCAAUUUCACCUUUUUUUGUUCAGAAUAGCUAUGGCAAUCAAAAAUCCAAUCCACCUUUUUCUCCCACUCCAAAUAAGCCUCGGAUCGUUUUUACCUUGAAAGCUAGGAAUUUUCAGUUUAAUGGUGUCCAAGUCCCCAUCCAUAUCUUCAUAAGUGCUCAUGCCACGAAAAUUCACAUUCCUCCUAGCCCUGUUCGGUCCAGACCUGAUUCCUUGGCCAGCUGAUGCAAAAUCAUAGUCAUCUUCACCCCAUCUGCGUUUUCAUCAACAAACUCUUCAAAAUCAGAUCUGACAUUCCGUGGCCAUACGGACCGUAUUUCCCCGGCGAUCAGCCCCACUAUUCUGUUGCUUUAUCGAAUUCACCUCAUCUUUCAGAUCCUUGUACGUCCUAGACAACAGCUCAAGUUGCUGGCCUAUGGAUCGCAAUUGGAAAGCUACGUCAACGUUUUGUGUCGCUGAUUCGUUGUUUUCAGACAUUCUUUGAAUCUAAAAUUUGGUAGUAGCACAAAUAUAUCCUCACACCUCUCGUGUAUCACACAAAAUAAAAUCAAGGCUUUUCACUCUAUUAAGCUCUCUACGCCUUUUACCUCACAACUUGCUUUCUUUUGGUUCUUUAGGAACUGAAAUCAACAAAUCAAAGUCAAUAGCUUUCGCGGCGCACUCUAAUUAUAAUUUUCAGACUCAAGAAGCAAAAAAUAUACUGAAAACAAAGCAAAACGAAACUACGAUUACGAUUUUGCGAGUAGCAAUGCAAAUUCGUGCGAAUUGUGGACGAAACGAAGACACGAAAUAAAACAAAAGCGAAUAUUAGCGAAAACAAUUACUUGACUCCUAGAUAACCCAAAUAUAAUAGAAAUAAAAAGAUUAAGACAAACCUAAACAGUAUAGAUCAUGUUCUCAAACUUGACGCAAAUCUAUCCUAUUACGCAAUUUUUACGUAACAGAAUUGAAACCCAGACCAAACGAUCUCGAAAUGACCUCAAAUUCAAUAUUUAGUAAUAUAAUACUAUGAAAACACUAAUACUCAAUUUAUAGGUCGUUCUCUUAUGUCUAGGUACCCAAACCCCUUGUAUGAUCAGUUUGCGGCAGAAUUGAACCUCCAAUUAAAACCUCCAGAAACCGAUAUCAAAAUAAUCCCAAAUUUAAUAUGUGGUGCAAUCGCAUACCCAAUACUCAGAAUAUGAAGUUUCAAUAGAUUCCAAGGUGUUUUACCUAGGGUUCACUAAGAGUAGUGUUUUGCGGCAGAAUUGAAACUCGAAUUAAAACCUCAAGCAAAUAAUAUCAGAAUAAGCCCAACUUUGAUAUAUCAUGCGAUCCCACCCCCAAUAGACUGAAUAUGAAGUUUAAAUUGAUUCCGAGGUGGUUUGCUUAUGGUUCACCAAGAUUUGUGUUUCUGCGGCAAAAAUUGAAUGAUCCUUCAAAUUUCAACUAAUCACUUUUCUCUAUUUCUUUCUGAUUUUUUUUUCUUUUUAACAAACUGAUAUGAUUAGAGACAGUAACAAGAUGAAAUAUAAACUUUUUUUUUUUGCUUAGAUGACACAGACACGAAGAACAAGAGGAUGGACGCAAACACUGAAAAACUUAAGGGACACUAAAAAAAAACGAAAAUAACAGAAUGAUAUGACCUUGUUUCGGAGCCUAGCUCCGAUACCAACUGAUGCGAACCUCGUGAUCACGUGGCCACGCAACCCACAAUCAAGAUUGAGAUCUGAUCCCGGAAAGCCGAAAUAGAUCUGAUAUGAGUGCGACACAAUGGAAACCUGCCCCAAGGCACCAACACUAUUGGAAUGAGUAGAAUGACGCCACGAAGCCAGUUAAUCUUCGAUAAGUCAGAUUCAGUUCGUUCAAGAACUGAAGAAUGCAAGAAUCACUCUCACACGUUAAAACUGAAAAAUUCAGAAUAAUAUUCAUCAAAGCUGCCGAAAUUUUGGCUACAUGAGUUUAAAUAGUUCUUGAAAAGUUAACCCUAAUGGACCCUUUAUGUGGACUUAUAUGAGGUCCACUCAAAACUAGCCCAAAACCCUAAAAUGAAAAGCCCAUAACUUAAUCCAAAAAAGCCUUGGAUCCUAGCUUAAAACAAAGUAUGAAUUAAGCCCAAACAAGCCUUGGGCUGUAGCUAACAAAAUAAAAUAAAGCCCUUAUCUCAUGGCCCAAAUAAGGUUGUAUUGGACCCCUCUUGCACAUGGAUAAGAUGUACUAGGAUCUCCUCUUAAUACUCCAAUGGACCUUCCAAUUCUGACUUGGUGGAAACCUUCAAAACCAAUGCAUUCAAUGCGUCUUUCAAUGUCUUUGUCUUGGACCGAGUCAUUGGUCCAUUUGGAACAUGUAAUGGGUCCUUGCUGGUGUUUCUAGGCUGGUCCGCACCAGACUUCCUCUUUUAUUCUAUUGGCUUUUCUGGUUUUACUGUCGCCUGCCUCCCUAUUCUCCUUUCUUUCUUUUUUUCUUUCACAGUGACGAAAGGAUUAAAGAAAAACAAACUCUCUAUGUUCCCCUGUUAUCUAUGUUUUUUCAAUCCCUGCCUCUCUUGCAUUUUUCCUUUAUUUUUCUGCUCUCUUUCUGCUAUUUUUUUGCUCUCUUUUUGGCCCCCUCCGUUAGGUCAUUAGAGGGGCUUAUAUAUAGUCUAAAAUGUCUCCAUUUAGGAAGGAUUCAAUGCACUAAUCCUAGGGCAUAAAUCCCUACUGAUUUGUAGUAAAAAAAACGCAAAAAAAUCCCUAGCAUAUUCUUAUUUUAUGCUAGUUCUUUACGUCUGAUUUCUUUCCAGUUUUAGAGGAAGGUGUGGCUAUUUUCUCUCCUUCCAUAGGGUCAGCUGCUCCCUUUGAAAUGAGGCAAGAAAAAACAUGGUUGCAGCUCCAAAAUUCAAGCAUGAUGAUAAAGGAAAAACAACAAGAAUUUGCAGCAAAAAAAAAGAAAGAAAUCAGAUGGAGGGUGCAGCUGCAAAGUCUCAUUUUCCUUAUUUCGGUGUGGAAAAAAUCUUGUCAUUUAUGAUGAUCCAGCCCCCUCUCCAGCUUUCCAUAUCCUUUUUCAAUUCAAUCCCUCAUUUUAACAAUUUUCGAUUCAGUCCUUGGUAAAAAACAAAUCCUUCGAAUCAACCUCGCGAACUUGGGCUAUAUCCUUUCUACGGCAGAAUUUGCUACCUUCACGUUAGAUAUUCAAAUGGGAAUAUCUUGAGCUUCUGAUAUCAAAAUCAAGUAAUUCAAAAACCAAAAUUCAUCUACGCGUCUAGGACUACAACUUUGAUGAAGGAGUCAAAGUGAGAUAAAAUCAUUUUAUAGAAAGAAACUGGCAGUAAUCUAGUUGGUCAAAAGGGAUCUCCAGGUCUAACUAAAAAAUUGACGAAUACCGAGCAUCCUAAUAUGACUGAAAGUAUGAACUAAGAACAAAAAUCACAAAAACUAGGCCAAAAAUAGAGUUUUUUUAGUGCAGACUUAGGUCAAUAUCUUUCUCGCGGCAGAAUUCUCUACCUUCACGUUAGAUAUUCAAACGGGAAUACCUUAAGCUUCUGUUAUCGAAAUCAAGCGAUCCAAAAGCCCAAAUUCAUCUAUGCAUCUAGGACUACAACUUUGAUGAAGGAGUCGAAGUGAAAUAAAAUCAUUUUAUAGAACAGAAUCUGGCAGUAAUCUAGUUGGUCAAAAAGGUUCGUUAUCUGACAAUGCUAAGCAUCCAAAUCUGACUAAGAAUCUGCUCUAAGAACAAUGAUCCCUAGGACUUAAUAAAGGUGUACGUCAAUUUUUCAACAUGUAAUAAGUGACAGAAUAUACCUAGGAUGGUCAUAUAUCGUACGAAACCAAGUCAAAAUCAGAGCCUAAAUUGGAACAAAAAAUUGCGACAACAGCAGAACCAUUUUUUAGUGCAAAUUCUAAAGGAUUUAUUCAACCUUAAAAACAAGAUAAUGAAGGAAUGAAUUUAGCAUUCUGAAGACUCCUGAUCAACCUAAGAAAACCUGAUGAUUUUGGUAGUAAAAGGGAAGGCUAAAAAAAGAGAGCAGAAAAUAGCUCACACUAGGUUUUUUUGGAAAAAAAUAAUAUUUCUUAUGUGCUUUUGUCAAUCUUCUGGCGAACAUGAGCUAAACUCCUACACUCUAUUCAAAAGAGGUAUACACUAUCUCUAGCAUGUGGGGGUCCAAAAAUGAGUAACAACAGGUGGAUACAUUGUAUUUCUUGGCAUCACUCCCAUUUCAUGGAAAUCUGGCAAUCAAUGCAUUGUUGCUCGCUCCUCCACUAAAGCAAAGUAUAAGGCCUUAGCUGAUGCUACUGUUGAGGUUGUUUAGCUUCGUUAUCUUUUGUUAGAUUUAUGUUCCUCUCCUAGUUCUGCUACCACUAUCUAGUGUGAUAAUUUGGGUGCUACUUAUCUAUCAGUUAAUCUAAUCUUUCAUGCUAGUACGAAGCAUGUUGAGGUCGAUUAUCACUUUGUUCGUGAUCGAGAGGCUAAGAAGGAGAUUUAGAUUUGAUUCAUCUCCUCCAAAGAUUAAUUAGUCGAUGUUCUUACAAAGUCACUUGCUUCCUCUUCUUUUACUUCUCAACGUUCCAAGCUUCACGUAGAUAACUCACCUUCAGCUUGAGGGGGUGUAUUUUAGGAAAUAUUAUAAAAUUAGAAAUAUUAUGUUUCCUCUUGUAUAGUUUUAUCUUGUGUAAUAGGUUACACCAUAACAUAUUUAUAAUGUCCUACUUAUAUAAAUAGUAUAGGAGCUGCCCUGAUUGCAAAAAUAAAAGGUAUUAGCACCCUUAAUAUAUCUUACCUAAGGCAAACCAUGUUUUUUAUUUGUCUGAUAUAAACUAAGGUAUUGUCGUGUUUUCUAAUCAUUGAUCUGUUUAAAAGUAAAGAAAAAUCAUUCUCAAUAAAGAGAUCUUCAUCUUAUUAGGGCAAAAACUUAACAAUUCUAAUGCUGAAACAUGAAAAAGAAAGAAAAUUGUCUUUUCAUUUAAUUUUAGAAAUAUAUCUUAUGUAUAAUCUUAUAAUUCCAGAUAUUAAAAAAAAUGUGUUUCUUCCGAUCACAAUUUUAUUUUCCAAGUGUUAAAGAAUAAUAUAAAUCAUAACCUAGGACCUCACCUAACAGCUUAAGCUAUUAGGUUGAGAUGGUUCUUUGACAUGAUAUCAGAGCAAACAAAUCGUCCAGUAGCCUUCUAUCAUCUAGCAGCCUUCUAUCAUCCCGCAGUCUUCUUUCAAAUUUCUCCCUCACAUCUAAUUCUCUUCUUCUAGCAACUUUUUUCCUUUAUUUCAUCCACAAUACUGCUAAACUUCUUUCUCCUAUGGACAAUCAAGAACUUCAUCAUUUUGUUGUCGUUGCAUCAGCACUUCAAUCUUCUUUCUCCAUUAUGGCGCUAAUAGCCACCUAAGGUGUAUCCACUCCUAUUGCUGCCAUCAUAUCUCUUCCUAACACGUAACAGGUAAUGUCUUUAAAACUCUCCAACACUAAUUUUAUGUAUUGGAUGAUGCAGAUGAAACCGUUCCUUUGGGCCAAGGCAUGUACUCUUUUGUUAAUGCCACAUCAUUAUGUCCUCCUUCUCAUCUGAAAUCUGUUGCAGCAUCUUCACCUGAUGGUUAUCAACACUGGCCGAUAUUUGCUGAAGCUGGAAUUUAGACAAAUCAAUACAUAGAUUAAUUCUAUAAGGGGAAUCAGAAGAAGAACCUGAUAGGGAGCUUAAUAUAUGUGCAGGAUGUGAGGGAGAACUAGCUGGAGAAUCUACAGAGUGACCGCCACAACAGGGGAACCAGCAGGGGAAAAACCAAGGGAGCUGGCAGGAGCGAUGGAUAAUGCAUGCGAGGGUGGUGAAUCUGAAGUUGUACCUGAAGCAUGAUUAUGAUAAUAACAUGCAAAUAAUGGUAAGGGAGCCAAUGAGAUGUAGGGGGUGUGGGGGGCAGCGGUGAAAAAGCUGAAGAUGGUGGCUCUGGAUGGUGUAAAGUAACCGGUAUAGUGGCAGCAUAAGGAUUUGUAGGUGGGACUGUAAUCUGUUCAGGUUUACCAAGAAGAAAAACAUGUUCAUGAAACUGGAUAUCACAAGCAAGAGAAAUACUUUUGCAUGACAAGUCAAGACAUCGAUAACCUAAAUGAGAGUUACUAUAUCCUAGAAAAACACAAGUAGAUAAACGAAAAUCUAACUUAUGAGCAUUGUAUGGACAGAGGAAUGGAAAACAAAGACACCCAAACAUACGAAGAAAAGCAUAAUCAAGAGAUGAUUUUAAAAGACAUUCGAAAGGACUCUUAUAAUUAAGAACCGGAGUUGGCAUGCGAUUAAUCAAGUAAACAGAACUUUCAAAAGUAUAACUCCAAUAUUUAAGGGGAGCAUGACAUUGCCCAAAAAGAGUAAGCCCAAUUUUGACAAUAUGUCUAUGACGACGUUCAACCAUGCCAUUUUGUUCGUGGGUGUUUAGAUUGAUCACACGGUGAUGAAUACCAAUUGUUUUAAAAUACGUAUUAAGUUUUCAGUAUUCACCAUCCCAAUUUGUUUGAAUAGAUUUUAUUCUUAAAGAAAAUUGGUGCUCAACAAGCGCCUGAAACUGAUGAAAAAUAUUAAAAACAUCAAACUUAUCAAUUAUCGAAUAAAACCAGAUAAAUUUUGUAUGAGCAUUCAUAAAAAUAAAAAAAUAUAGAAAACCAUCUGAUGACAACAUAGGAAAGGGACCCAGACAUCACUAAAAAUUAAAUCAAGAGGAGCUAGAGUUUGAUGACCCGUAGUUUUUAGAGUCAGACGACACGACUUACUAAGAGGUCAUACAGGACAAUUAAAAUUAAAUUGUUGACUUACAUGACAUCUUUUUAUUUUUCACCAAAAAAUGCAAAAUGCAUGGACUGGGAUGCCCAAGUCGAAGAUGCCAGAUAUUAGUGGAAGUAAAGAGGCAUGUAGAUGAGAAAGCCUAAGACAACGACAUUACAGACAACUCAGUCCAAACAUUUAGACCAUCUCUUCUCUGACCGGAAAGAAGCACUUCCUUUGUCAUAAGGUCCUUAACAUAAAAUAGACAAGAAUGAAAUUCAAAACACAUGUUAUUCUUAAGGUAAAUUUUUUUAACAAAUAGCAGAGGUUUUUUAAUGGCAGGAACAUGUAAAAUAUUGGAUAAAGUAAAUGUGCGUUUUGGUGAAUGAAUUUUAGAGUGAGCAAUAUUGGAAAUAGUAAGGCCCUUACCAUCACCAACAUGCAGAUGAUCAUUACCAAGGUAAGGUUUUGAACUCGUCAUUCUAGCAAGAUCUGGCGUUACAUGAUGAUUUCCACCCAUAUCAGGAAACCAUAUGAUAGGAGACGUUGUAGGGGCAUUAUUAAAUGCGAGAUUGACAUUGGCUUGGAGAGGAUGAUUAGCCAAUUAAGAGCACUGUUGGCCAAUAUGCCCGUAUUUAUAACACAAUUGACACUUUACAUUGAGAUUAUACCCACCAAAACGGUUACCUUAUUGCUCAAAUUGUCCUAUUGUCCAAGAGGGAGAUCCAGAAAACUGUCCUGAGGAGAAUCAGUGUCCUUGUUGCCUAAAUUGCUGACUUGAGGUAUAACUGAUAUUGCCAUUAUUUCCACAAUAAGCAUUGUUGUGAUUAUUAUUAUUUCUCUAGCCCCCACGAAAAUAGCCUCGUCUAGCAGUAUUGAAGCCAGAGUGAUUCUGCACAAAGAAUGCAAUUGGUUACUGCAUUGGGGUUGGUAACAGAAGUGUUGUUACGGUUGGUUGGAGAACAGCUUUAUGGAGAAAUUCAUAUGUAAGUAGGUUGCUAUGGAGAUCAGUGUAGGAGAUGGGAUCAACCUUAGUAGACAAGAUCUUUAAACUUGUUGCAUAACCCUCAAAACACAUACAGGUUGAAUUCUGCCAAGGAGAUUUGCCUGCCAGCCACAACAAGUUCAUCAAACAAUGCCUUUGCCUUCUACAAGUAGGUGCUGACAGAAUCAUCAUGCUGACAUAACUCUUUAAAGGAACCAUGAAGUUGCAUGAUCAUGGAAUUCGAAGGAGAAGCAAGAGUUGUUUCUAGCGUUCUCCAGAUAUCAUGGGAGGUGUUAUGUAGGUCAAAAAAAAUUAAUUUUAAUUGUCCUGCGUGUCCUACUUGGUCAUUGGUGCCUUGUCAUCCGUCUGUAAAUGUGAUUGGUAAUAGAUGGGUAUACAAUAUUAAACGCCACGCAGAUGGUCGGAUUGACUGAUAUAAAGCAUGGUUUAUUGCCUGCGACUUCUCUCAGCAAUAAGGGAUUGAUUAUUUGGAGAUGUUUAGCCUAGUAGUUAAACCUACAAUGGUUCACCUUGUGCUCACUAUUGUUGUCUCAUAUGGUUGGAAUAUUCACCAGUUGGAUGUUCAUAAUGCUUUCUUGAAUGGCAUUCUUCAAAAGGAGGUAUACAUGGCAUAAUCACCUGGGUUUGUUGAUUCUGCUAUUUCAUCUCAUGUGUGUCGUCUUCACAAAUCUUUGUAUGGCUUGAAACCAGUACCUCAAGCUUGGUACAACCGGUUGAGCGAGUUUCUCCUUUCCAUUGGAUUUCAAGCAUCCAAGGUUGACACUUCCCUGUUUAUUCUCUCUCUUAAUGGUGUCAUGAUUUAUUUGCUUGUGUAUGUGGAUGAUAUUUUACUGUCCAGGAGUAACUCAGCUUUGCUUCAUAGAUUGAUUAUUUUACUGCAAACAUAAUUUAAGCUUUGGAAUUUGGGUUCUAUUCAUUUCUUCUUGGGCAUUGAAGUUAAACCUACAACUAUGGGUAUCUUAUUAAGUCAACACAAGUAUGCACUUGAUAUUAUCCAACAAGCAGGUAUGGCUCCCUCUAAAUUGGUUGAUACAUAUUGUUGGAGCACUGCAAUAACUUACUUCCACUAAACCUGAUAUUUGUUAUGCAGUCAACAAAGUAUGUCAAUUUAUGCAUGCCCCUACUGAAGAUCAUUGGGCUACCGUUAAACGUAUCCUACGUUACCUACAGGCUACAACAACCUAUGGUCUGCACAUUACUCGAGACUCUCUCUUAACUGUUCAUGGUUUCACAGAUGCUGAUUAGGCAGGUAGUAUUGACGAUCGUAAAUCCACAUAUGGGUAUCUUGUGUACCUUGGUUCUACCCCUAUCUCAUGGAAAUCUAGGAAACAACACACUAUUACUAGAUCUUAUAUGGAAGCAGAAUACAAAGCCUUGACUGAUGGUACUACUGAAAUUUUAUGGAUUCGUUCUUUAUUGGCAGAACUUUGGAUUUUCGCUUCGUCCAUGACUACGUUAUGGUGUGAUAACUUGGGGGCCACUGUCUUAUCUACCAAUACAGUGUUCCACUUUUGUACUAAACAUGUUAAAGUUGAUUAUCACUUUAUCCGUGAUCGCGUUGCUAAGAGAGAAAUUCAGGUACAAUUCAUCUCUUCAAAAGAUCAACUUGCUGAUGUUCUUACCAAGCCUCUCUCUCUAGUCUCGUUUGCUUAUUUUCGAUCCAAGCUUUAGGUGGAAUCUCCACCUUCAUCUUGACGGGGUGUAUUAAGAAAAGAGACCACAUAUAUGUAAAUACAUUAUAUAGGGAUAGUUAUCAUGCGUAGUACAUUCCACCAUUGUAUUGUAUACAACCCUAAAGGUAUAAAAACAAAGGGAUGGUUGUUUUAUCAAUCAUUCAUCAUAAUUAUAUAAAAGACUAUCUCUCUAAUCUUGACAUGGUAUUAGAGUCUUGAUGACCAAGCGGUCACGAGUUCGAAUCUCACCAUCUCCAUUUAUUUAAUAAAAAUUAAGCGCAAGGUAAUAUAGGUCCGUGCAAUUUUCAAGCCCAAAGGGCUUUCACUUGAGGGGGUGUGUUUGAAAAUAAUAUAAAUCAUAUCAUGGGACCUCACCUAACAGCUUAAGCUAUUAGGUUGAGAUGAUUCUUUGACAUCAAGAUAACUGGUCUAUCAAGACUAACAAGAACACUCUUAAGAUCGUCAAUUAUUUCUUCAUUAGUUCAACAUCCAAUUUGCUUAAUACUGUUACUUACAAUUUUUCUUUAAGAAGAAAAAAGAAUACAGUGCUUAUAACUGGGAUAGGGGUGCUACCAGAUCUUCAAUUUUCUUCAAUAGAUUUUGUAAGAUUAUCUAAUUGCUUCAAGUAUGACACUUGGAAUAGGAUUUUGAAGUCCAAGUAAGUUCUUAGUGAAAGCUGGAUGCUGUAAAAACAGAACACUACAAAAGACAUUAACCUAACCAACAUGUGUUAACUAGAAUCCCGCUUUUUGAUCGGUCAAUUUCCAAACCAGAUUUACUAACUAUAAUUUUGAGGAUAACAACGUAUUUAAGCUAAGGUAGUGGAAGACUUUAACCAAUGAGGCAGUUUCUGAAAAUUUCUUUUCUAAAUAAAAACUAAAUAUUUUUCAUUAAAAAAUAUAAAAAUGGCUCCGUAAGUGAGAGAAGAUGAAGUCAUGUUAUAUGCAAGCAGCAUAAGAAGAAAGAUGAACAAGGUUUGACCAACCUUGACAGGCAUUCAGUUAAGCUACCAAUUAAUUUUUGCUGGCUAAAAGGUGCAAAUAAACAAUAAAUUGAACUAAAUACUCAACAAUAAACAAGGUCCUGUUGGAAAAAAUGCUCCUCGAAUUAUUAACAAAUACACUGAAAGAACUCGACUGAGCAAUAUUCAUAUAAUAACCUAAUUUAAAAUAGAGAGAUACUAUUAAAAGUUAAGAGGAGAGGAUGGGAGGAAAAGCUGAAUAGAAACAAAAGCAUUUCACACCUUUAAAGUUUGAAAGCUACUGAAGUUUGAAGGAGAUAAUUGAAGGGAGGAGAAUGAGUACAAGCGGUGAGAAAAAAUAUAAUAGAAAGAAGGGGAAAUGUUAUUUAUAUCAAAAAUAUUUAAGAUUAUUUAUAUUUAGUAGGCUACUUUUCCGUCAACUAGACAACAAGAGGAACUUUAGAAGCAUGGUCUUCUUUCACUCAUUGGAUUCACACCAAGAAAAGCUUGAAGCUUUGCAUUUUAAUGGAAGAAAUUGAGCCUAGAGGUGUAAGUAGCUUUUGGGACCUAAUUUCUUGGAAUCACAUCUAUUGCAGACAUUGCUCUUCCUGUUGAUAAUGUUGUUAACUUCACAGAUAAUGGUCCUUUCUGUUGAUAAUUAUAGGUAUAUAAAAAACUGAAUAUUGAUGAUAAUAAAAAAAAAACAAAGAACAAAGAAUUUGGAGCAAAGAACAAAGAAUUUGGAGCAAAAACAAAGAGUAGAAUGUUUUUCAUAGGUUACUACCAUCCCUUAGCUUCUAUUUAUAGAUGAAAUCAAUCACAACAAAAUUAAGAAACGCAACUAACAUAAACUCCUUCAUUUAAAGAGCUAUGUAACUUAUCCUAAAUAAGUUUCAAAUCUAAAGAAGUAAAAAUUGACUAAACAACAUCAAGAUAAUGAUGUUACUAAUAAAUAGACAUUAAUGAAAGAUAACCUACAACUGAUACAUUAAUUUCAGCUUUUGUGCCAUAACUUCAACACUCCUUCUUGGUUCCAAAGUUGCACAUUCCUAUCCUCUCUUUUAGAUCUUCAAAUCUAUCUUUAGCUAAAGGCUUGGUGAACAGGUCUGCUAAUUUCUCUUUUGAAAUGCAGUAUAUCAUCUUUAGUUCCCCUUCUUGCUGGAAUUACUUGAUAGCAUGGAACUUGAUCUUUAUAUGCUUGGUCCUGUCAUGAAAAAUAGAAUUAUUUGAAAUAGCUAUUGCUGAUGUAUUGUCAUAUAACAAUUAUGUGGGACUUCGUUGAUCAAAGUCUAGAUCAUUCAACAUUUUCCUUAGCCAUAUCAAUUGCUUUGUUGCCACAUAUGAUACUAUGUAUUUUGCCUCUGCAGUGGAAUGUGCAACCAAUGAUUGCUUCUUUGAGUUCCAACAGAAAAUGCUUCCUCCAAUAGCAAAGCAAUAACCUAAGGUGCUCAUCAUUUCUUCAUUUCUUCCAGCCCAAUCACUAUUAGAAAAACCAAUUAGUUUAACAGAACUUGAUUUCACAAAAUGCAUACCAAACUCUAAGGUCCCUUUCAGAUAUCUCAAAACUCUUUUGGCUGCAACAAAAUAGACUUCACUUGGACUUUACAAGAACCUAGAGAUGUAAUUGAUAGCAAAAAUAAUGUCUAGACGUGUAGCAGUUAAAUACAACAAGCUACCAACUAAACUUCUGUAGGCUUUUCCAUUAGUUUUGGGAGCUUCAUCCUCCUUCAUUAGCUUUUGUCCCAGUACCAUAGGUGUACUAAUUGGUUUGCAAUUUUUCAUUGCAAAUUUUUUAAUAGCUUCAUUGUAAACCUUUUUUGACAUAGGAAAUAAGCUUGCUCCAACUGAGUUACUUCCAUGCCUGAGAAUUAUGAUAGCAAACCAAGUUCAUUAAUCUCAAACUUAUCCUUCAUGUUGGUUUUAAACUCCUCUACUAGGUGCUCCUUGUCUCCUACAAUCAUUAAAUCAUCUACAUACAAUGAUACGAUUAGAGUAUGUUUGUCAAUAUUUUUUAAGUACAAAGUUACUUCAUUCAUGCUUCUUUCAAAGCCUAAGCUCAAAAGAUACGCAUCCAAUCUAUUGUACCAGGCUCUAGGAGCAUGAUUAAGUCCAUACAAAGCCUUCUUUAGCAAAUAUACUUUGUUUGAUGCUAUCUCUUUUUCAAAGCCACCAGGUUGUUCAACGUAUAUUUCUUCAUUUAGAACACCAUUAAAAAAUGCAGACUUAACAUCCAACUGAAAAAUAUACCAACCAUUUUGUGCUGCUAGAGCAAGCAAGAGCUUUAUUGUAUCAAGCCUAUAUACUGGAGCAAAUGUGUUAGUGAAGUUAAUACCUGACUCUUGUGAAUAACCCUUCACUACAAGUCUUGCUUUGUGCUUGUUGAUACUUCCAUAUGCAUUCAACUUGGUUUUAAAAAUACAUUUCACACCAAUUAUCUUCUUAUAAACGGGUCUAUCAACCAACAUCUAUGUUUCAUUCUUUUCUAUCAUCGUGAGCUCCUCCUUCAUUGCAGCUAUCCAUACUUGUGAGUUGAUAGCUUCUUCAAAAUCUAUUGGCUCUCCUUCAUUUGAGCCAGGUUUGAAUAUUUUUAUCCAUACUUUUUGUCGUAUGUCACCCGCGCGGCGUCGACUUGGCGAUUUUUUGUUUCUUGUUUGCUUUGAAUGGUUCGUUGGGAGUGGCCACCUAGUAUUUAAUUGAGAGCUACUAGGAAACCCGGGUGUACUGGUCUUAUCAGAGAUUCACGGGUAAGGGACUGGUUGUGGUUAGGGAAGGUAUUAGCACCCCUAACGCACUUUACCUGAGGUAAGUUACUUUGUGGUUUUUGAUGUGAUAAAAAAGUUUUAAAAAUUUUGUUCUUUCAUUGGAUAUUAGAAAUACGACUUACGUUUAAGUUCAUAAUCCUUAACCAUGAGCAUAUCAAAAUAUUAAAUUCUACUUUAUUCUUGCAAUUUUAUCAUAAAAAAAAUAUUCAUAAACAAAAUACAAAUCACAUAUUCACUUUCACUAUACUUUUCUUUUUUUCUUUUCUUUUUUUUUUGUUUUUUUUUUUGUACAUCCACAUACAAAUUAUAAAAAAAAAUUCAAAACUAAACAAAAAUUACAUUAAAUAAUUUAAAAUUUACAAAAUAGUCCCUAAAACUCCAGAAAUUGCAGGGAAGGCCUUCUGCAACCGCAGGAACAGUGGCGGCGCGUCUCCCCACGCGCCCCCAUCACUGGCGGCGCGUGGGCUCAUGCGUCGCUGCCACUAAACCCGGCCAAGCAGAGGUCAGUAACAACUUCCUCCCCUCUUCAUGUCCUCGUCGGUGUGACCUGUAAAAACACCAAAAAAAGGCCACAAACAGUUGAUUUUACCUUUUUCUUUCUUUGUUUUUUUUUAUCUGCUUUAGUCCCUUCAUAUCUUUUUCACCGAUGAUCCUUCUUUAGCUUAUCCUUCUUUGGCGGUGGCCGUGGACGUGGUGAUGGACGGAUCUGCCUAUGCCUGAAGGCUUCGGUGUGAAGGAGAAGGAAGUUUUCCUGGGCAGGGGAGCAAACUACGGUGGAGAUGUGAGUGGUUGUCUGGUCGGCGAGUUCAAUUGGAGGAAGUUGAGCAGCGGUUGGCUUCGGUGGGCGCCACCGUAUGGGGACUGUGGGUCUGUGGCCGGCUGCUGUGGUCGGGUCUGUUCGUUGACCCAGAGAGGGAGGGCAAUGGGUCGGCAGAGAGAGGGAGGAUAUGGUCGGGUCUGUGGGGAUGAGGGAGGGAGGGAGAUCAACGGUGGCUGGUUCUUUGGUGGCUAGGAAAGGAGUGGCUGAGAGAGAAGUGAGGGGUUGUUAAGAGAGAACUGGUUGAGGGGAAGGGAAGAAAAAGAUGGGGCUACGGUGUGGAGGGAGGGGCGGCUGUGUUGGGGUUGAGGGAGCUCAGCUCUUGGCUAGCGAGAAGAAAGGAAAUCUGAUAAAGGGGGAAGGGGCGGCGACUUGGAGAAGAGAUAGAUUUAGGGUUUUCCCUUUUUGGUUUUUUUUUUUACUCUCCAAACUGCCCCCUCCCCUUUGUGAAUUUUCUCCCCUCUUGGGAAAUUUUUUUGACUUAUAUUUAUAGGUAAAAUAUUGCUUGGUCCUCAAAAUUGGUCCCUCAACUUUUAUUUUUUGUAAAUUUUGCUUUUUUCUUGUUUUUUUUUAAAACGAGAAAUAUCAACGUCGAUUCAAUUAGAAAAAUCAAUUAUUUUAAAAAUGACACGUGAAAAGUCGAACGUGUUCGAAAAACUUUUGAAAAUUUAAAUUCUUUUUUAAACGACGUUGAAAAUGCUAAAAAUGAUGCGAAUAUAUAUAAAUUUUUUUUUUUUUGGAUUUUCAUAGUUUUUUGCUAUUUUUUAAUUUUUAAAAAAUUUUAUCAAAUAGGUAGGUCAAAAAUUAGGUAACAACACUUUUUUUGUGUCAAACCAAUUUUUAAUAUUUAAAAUCCUUCCCUGAAAUUCUAUAAUCCAAUCAAAGUAUAUUAAGACUUUGUGCGUAAGUCAAAAUACAUAAAUAGGAAAACCCAAAAGAAAAUAUUUAAAAAGAAGAAGAAAAAAGACCCGUGGAUCUAAAGUUUUCUGUUUAAAUUUAUUUCUUAUUUUCUCUCUCCAUAAAUUUUAUUGAUAUUUUAUUUUUUUUAUUAUUUCAUAGCUUUCACAUUUGACGUAAUAUUAUCAUUUCACAUGUGGACAGAUGUUCUGUCAAAAGCAAAUCUUUCAGCACAACAUUUCUUGAAAAUUGUUAUCGUUUUACUAUUAUUUCCAUACAAGUUAUUUCUUUCUUUCUUUUUUCAAGAAAAAUAAGUGCUAUAAAGUAUAAUUUGUAUUUUUAAUAUUUUUACAGCAAAAGGAGUCUAAUAAAUGCAUGCUUCAAAAAAAAAAAAAAACUUCAGAAAUGCGCACACAUUCAAUUGGAAACUCGAAAGUUAUUUCAAAUUCAAAUAAUUAUUACAAUCGACAGACACAAGCGAUCCAAGGUUUUAUUGAUCCCAAAACCUUUUAAAGGUGGGAAAUCCCAAUAAAGCCUGACCUCUGUUGGCGAAGAUCAUCCUGGAUAGUUUUUUGUGCUUAAUUUCUCUUGUAAAUUUUAUAAGGCAGCCACUCGUAAGUGUAGAAAAGAAACAAAAAAUAUAUGUAGUAGAAACAAUGCAAGAGCAUUCGUUGAAGAUUUGAGAUGCCUCCCAACGGAAGAGUCAUAAUGAAAACCACAGCAUAUACCAUCGUAAGGAUCUCCACUAAAUUGGUACUGGUGUUUAACCACGCAUCAUGGGAUCCUAGUAAUGCUAUAUUCACAGCAUCAAUGAAUGCCCCGAACAUCAUGAGAAUAGCCAAACCAACCAUGAAGGCUGAAGAUCCAACCGCAAUGAUUUCAAAAUUGGCAUUAGUAAAGUUUGCCAAAAGAAGGAUUAGAGAUGCCACCAGAGAGAGAGAUAAAGCCCAAACAUCGAAAGCUAAAUAUUGAUGCAGAAGUGCCUCAUAACCAUGAGGACUGAAAAGGUCUGUGAUCUUAUAAUGGGAGGCAGUAAUAGUACUGCUGUGAAAUUCAUGAUGAUGUUCACUUGAGUUAAAGUUACCCCUUAAUUGUGGCAAUUGAAUAGCACCCGCAAAGGUCACACCAGCAACAAGCACUGCUACCACAAGAAGAUUCGCUAUCCUUGUUUUUGUUUCCUUUUUCCUUGGUUGCAUGGGUCGAGUACCAGCAGUGAAAUGGUCACGGAAGGAUAUUUCCCAAGGGAAAGCAUGGAAGUAUAGGAUCGAUAAUGCCAUCAUCUGCACAUCAAGGGAAAAAGACUUGAUGGUUUUAAUAUGUUUUUGGCACUUCUAUUAUUGGAAUUUUCCCUAUUGCCUUUGAAGAUCAUUAAAAAGCGUUAGCAUCCCUUGAAAUUUCUUUUUCGUAACAAGAUAGCAAGAUUCUGGAAUGGUUUCGGAAUUUUGAAUAUUAUCAUAUAGAAGUUAAACUAAUCGGCGUAGAACUAGUUCAGAAACACGCAUCUAGUUGAUCAACACCGCUUUUAGCAAAGGUAUUGUCUUUGCAUUUUAAACCAAGACCCUCAAGAAGCCAUCCUUUUUUCUUUCUUAAAUUCUAUCUUCUCUUAAGCUCUUCUGGAAACCAAAAGACCAAAACUAAAAUGAUAAAAGAUAAAAAGAAGAAAAGAAGAAAGAAGAAAAGAAGUAAUACCCCUCCACGAAAAUCUGGCAGCUUGUAAUCUUUUAGUGAUGCAUUUUUCGUGUCUUGCUUGUUUUGAUCAGCUGGUUUGUCCUGUCUCAAGAAAAACGUUAACAUGUGUUACUUUUUAUUUAUUUAUUUAUUACAGCUAGACAAUAAUAUAAGGGGUAAUAUCAGCUGGUUUGGCCUCAUAUAUCUUGAUUCCCAUAACAUCAUAACAUAUUCCAUUAUUUUCAAAUCUUUUCAUAUCGUUUCUGUACGUAUAUGGAAUGUAUAUCUUUAAUCAAAAUAUUUAAAAUGCAAGCACAGCAAGUAUCAGCAGAUCUCUUAUACCUCGGUCCCUUCCACCCUGUUAUUUGAAUCAGAGUGCCGUCGCUCCUUGGCAAACUGGAAACAAAGAGGAAGCAUAGUUACCAAAUUAUUAACGCAAUUAUAAUACUAAAAAUUGUACUGUUGUAGCUCUUCAUACAGUUUCAUCUGUUCCUUCAUAUCGCUCUAUCGCUAUUGUGGAUUGUUUUCUACCAAGUUCAUAUGGUGUCAAACGGUCGUUGUUAGCAGGAUGAGGAUAAACGCGUUUGUCACGCACAAGAAGAUAUACAGAUGCGGGUCGGCCGUGCUGUGUUGCCAAAUGCAAAGGUGUAUUUCCAUCCUCAUCCAUCGCAUUUAGCAGUGUUUCUACGAUCUUCUGAUCCUGUUCGAGUAUGUACUUAAUCAAAAAGCUAUUUUCAUUUUGGGCCGCUACAUGAAGAAUGUUCUGCCCUUUUUUAUUUAUGAAUUCGUUUGGAUAGGGGAUAACUUUCAGGAAUUCCUUUAACAAAGCAACCGAGCCUCCCUUGCAUGCAAGAUGAAUAGGAUAGUUGCCCUCUUGGUCAGUUUCAUCAGCACCGGCACGAUACUUUUGUAAUAGGAAUUGAACUCCUUCCACAUAGCAUGUAGAUGAUGCAUGAUGGAGUGGAUUUCCAAACUCUUCGUCAUGGAGACGUAAUAACUCUGGCUUUGCUUCUUCGAUUUUCUGCAAUAUACCUGAAAAUAAAAAUAAAUUGUUUUGAAUGAAUUUAAAGAUGAUAGGUUUGCAAGAUUGGUUUGUAUGUAUAUCACUUUUCUGAUGAGAGGAGACAUUGUGAUCACCUAUGUUACGGUUCUCGAUGGCAGCAUGAACAGGGGACUUUCCUUGUGGUAGCAUGCCAAGUGAAUCUCCAUCUUCUCUUUCUCUAGGGAUCGAAGCUUCCAAAUCCAAGAGAUCAUCAAGAAUCCCCUUCAUCUUGCGAUUUUCAACAGCCAGAUAUAAAGGAGACCUGCCAGUCUUGUUUUUGUAAGAGGCCACUUCUCGAUCUCUGGAAAUGAGGAAUUUGGCAACAUCUUUGUUACCAUUGAUCACUGCAACAUGCAAAGGAGUGUUUCCUUCUCUAUUUGUCGUCCUCAGCAAGAAAGCAUUCGAAUUGACAAGGUCUCGAAUUGUAUGACUAACACUUCCCUCUCUGUCCUCUCUGGCAGCAACAUGAAGGAUUGUGUCUUGCUGGUCGUUUCGGCUGGUGAUUAGAGAAGGGAUAUCUUUAGCCAGGUAAGCAGUAAUAUUUUUACUUUUAUACCUUAUGGCUACAUGAAGUAGCGAAUUCCCACAGGGAGUCACUAGCUUCUCCGCUAAAUGUUGCUGGACACGGCUUUUAAAUUCCUCAAUAUUGUCCUGCUUCACACACUCAUAUAACUUGCUAUCAAUCUUUGUAUUUGCCAUGUGAUCUCUCGGAAUCGUGUUUUCAUCAACUAUGUCUAUUUCUACGCUAGACAUAGCGAAAGAAAAUAUUAUUUGACCUGAAUCAGCUAUACAUAUCAGACGGCAGGACUUCUAAUUUAAAUAGACCAGACUGCAUGUCAAUGGAAUCUGAAAUAAUGUGAAUCUUACUCUUUUUUUUUAUUUGCAAGGAUAUAUACUUUGAUUACUCAAAUACUUCACGCAUUUGUUCUGGAAUCCAGGACAUAGCAAGAGAGAGAGACCAGUCUUGGCUAUGGUUAAAGCAGCAUCUUGAAAAGGAAAAGGGGAAAAUAUGUCCCCUAACUCAAAAAAGAUGAGUGUUCCUAGGGAAAAAUUCUUAGCUUAAAUUUAUAACUCAAAAAAGAUGAUUGUCGUUAGGGAAAUUCUUAACUUGAAUAUAUAACUCAUAUACACUGUGCAAGUGGGAGAAUCCAUGGUUUAAUGAACAUGAUGAUGCACAAUGGCAUGAGAUUCCACAUCUUAUACCUUCCGGUGAUUUAACCAAUUAAUUCAAAAGUUUCAAACUCUCAUGUUAAAAUCCAAGAAUACAGUUUUAUAAUUUUUAUUAUUUUAAUGGGAGAUCUCGUGUGCGUUGGACUGCAUUAUAUAUGUAUAUAUAAACGAAUUUUCAACUAUUGAUUUGGACAGUCGAUUUAAAGUAUUGUAAUAGCUUAAGAUGUUUAUUGAAUAAGAUGAAUCUACAAGUCUUGGCUUACCCAGCAUGAACAUUUUCUUUUUAGUUACAUACCUAAUAUGAAUUUAAUUUUGUAGUAAAAGAAUGGAACUGAUGGUAAAAAAAAAAAAAAAAAAAAAACCUAAUUUAAUAUUGUCACUUCCAUAGCUUACAGCUACAUGAAGUAAUGAAUUCCCACAGGGAGUCACUAGCUUCUCCGCUAAAUGUUGCUGGACACGGCUUUUAAAUUCCUCAAUAUUGUCCUGCUUCACGUACUCAUAUAACUUACUAUCUAUCUUUUUAUUUGCCAUGUCAUCUCUCGGAAUCGAGUUUUCAACUAUGUUUAUUGCUACGCUAGACAUAGCGAAAGAAAAUGUUAUUUUACCUGAAUCAGCUAUACAUAUCAGACAGCUGGACUUCUAAUUUAAAUAGACCAGACUGCAUUAUAAUGGAAUCUGAAAUAAUGUGAAUCUUACUUCUUUCUUUAUUUGCAAGGAUAUAUACUUUGAAUACUCAAAUACUUCACACAUUUGUUCCGGAAUCCAGGACAUAGCAAGAGAGAGAGACCAGUCUUGGCUAUGGUUAAAGCAGCAUCUUGAAAAGAAAAAGGGGAAAAUAUGUCCCCUAACUAAAAAAAGAUGAGUGUUCCUAGGGAAAUUCUUAGCUUAAAUUUAUAACUCAAAAAAGAUGAUUGUUGUUAGGGAAAUUCUUAACUUGAAUAUAUAACUCAUAUACACUGUGCAGGUGGGAGAAUCCAUGGUUCAAUGAACAUGAUGAUGCACGAUGGCAUGAGAGUCCACAUCUUAUACCUUCCGGUGAUUUAACCAAUUAAUUCAAAAGUUUCAAACUCUCAUGUUAAAAUCCAAGAAUACAGUUUUAUAAUUUUUAUUAUUUUAAUGGGAGAUCUCGUGUGCGUUGGACUGCAUUAUAUAUGUAUAUAUAAACGAAUUUUCAACUAUUGAUUUGGAGUGUCGAUUUAAAGUAUUGUAAUAGCUUAAGAUGUUUAUUGAAUAAGAUGAAUCUAGCUAAGUCUUGGCUUUACCCAGCAUGAACAUUUUCUUUUUAGUUACAUACCUAGUAUGAAUUUAAUUUAGUAGUAAAAGUAUGGAACUGAUGGUAAAAAAAAUAAUAAACUAAUUUUUUUUUAAAAAAAAAAAAAGCUUUGGAAUGUUCUAUGCCUUGCCCAGACAACCUUGUUGGUCGCCCAUUGGAUAGCACGACCGAUUGGUUGGCCAACUCGCCUAGCAACCAGCCAACUUAUAUCUCUCUCUCUCUCUCUUAUUUUUUAUCUUUUUUUUCAACAAAUAAAACUACAUGCCACACACUCUAUAUACUAUUUUACUUGUAGCACAUACUUUUUUAAUCUACGCACACACAAGAUCAUUGCAGGACAAGCGUUGUAUUAUCAGCCACUUGAAGGUCAAUCAAAAUAAUUACACCUGGUGGCUUCAUUUUGUGUAAUGCCUAUCAUUUCAAAGUUAUCUUCAAACUUCUUUUUAUGUAUUGUAUAUAAUUUUAUAUAGUUAACUCUUUUUAUUAAUGCCUAUGUAGAUCGAUCCUAAUUUUGUUAGGUUAUUUAUUAUUUUAACAAUCCUGUAUUUAAAAUAAAACAUUAAUUUUUUAAUUAUAUUAGAAAUUUAGAUUUCAUUUAUCUCUUUUCAUGAUCAACUUGCAGAUAUUUUUGUUAUGUUAUUUUCUAUUACUUUUCCAUUCAAGUUUUGGAUUGAUUCUUUACCCUUAUUUUGAGAGGCAUAAUAUAUAUCAAGGAAACAUUAAUAUGUUUAAUCACUAUUAUACAAGGUUGGUUAACUAAUAAGUUAAUAUAUAAUUCCAUUCAAAACAUUACACUUUCACUAUUUGUUUUUUAUUUUUUUUCUUUUAAUAUAUAUAAGAACUUAUAUAGCCUAUCAUUGAUAAAUAAAUAAAUAAAAUUUGCUUUAAUGGAGUCAUUUUAAAUUUCCUUUAACUCAACUUAUUGACAAUUUUCUCUUAAAAUUUAUUCAUUUCUGAUAAUAUAUUGAUAAAACACACCUUUAAUUCAUUAUUUCAACGGGAAAGUACUUAAAAGAUACUACAAGUUCAAAUUAUUAUUACAACAUCUAGACACACAAUAUUCCAAGAUGCUUUUUCACUCCUAACCUUCUAAAAAAAGGCGAUCACAUAAAAUCAUGACAUCUGUUGAUGAAGAUCAACCUGGAUAGUUACUUGGGCUUUGUCCAGAGAUAACGAAGUUUAUGAACACGAGGAAGACUAUACGACGUCAGGCACCUCCAAUUGUAGACAAGCAUGAAAAACGAGAUGUAGUAGACAUAAUGCGAGAGCUUUCCUUCAAUAAUUUGGUUGACGGAUGGCGGAAGAAUCCAUUGAAUAUAAAGCAAUGUUUGAGCAACGAAAAACGCGAUCCCCACCACUAUAAGGAUGAUUGCGAACACCCCAUAAUUGGAUCCACCUAAUGCUAUGCUCACGGCAAAAAAGAAUGACAAGCACAUCAUGUAAAUAGACCCACCCACCAUUAAUGAUGAAAACCAAACUGCAAAUGGUGCAAACUUGACAUCGUUCAAGUUUGUCCAAAGAAGGAUUAUAGCUGCCACCACAGAGGUAUUUAAAGCCCACACAUCAAGACACAAAUAACCAUCCAAAAGAGAUGAACCAGUAGGACUGUCAAAAGCAGUGCUGUUCCGGGAGGCAGCAGUAGUGCUCGAGUUAUUUUUAUCCCUUAGUUGUGGCAUCUGUAUAGCACCCGCGAAGGUUACACCAGCAACAAGCACCGCUACAACAAGAAGAUUCUCUAUCCUGCUCUUUGUUUCCUGUUUCCUUGGCGGCUUGCCUUGAGUACUAGUGAAACGCUCAUAUUGGGAUUUCUUAGGGCGGGCAUGGAAGUAUAAGAUAGAUAAUGUGUCAUCUGCAUAGCAUGGGGAAACAAACUUCGUAAUAAUGAGUUUCUGGCACUUCCUCAAUCGCAUGCAAAAGCUUUUGCCUUGAAAUCCCUUUUUUUUUUGAAGAACAAGCACGAUUCUGGAAUGAUUUCUGAAUUUUGAAAAUAACUGUGUAGAAUCUAAAUUAAUCGGCCUUCAAGUAGAUGUUCAAAAGAAUAGGGAUGACUAGAAAAAAUAUAGGAAAGAAGAUGUGUAAUAUUACCGUUCCAUAAUAAUCAAGCAGCUUGUAGUGCUUUGAAUCAACUGCUUUGUCCUGUAAAAAACAUAUUUUUAAGUUAAUGAAUAGAGCUACCUCUUUUUUCUUUCUUCCCUUCUUUCCUUUUGUGCUGGCUAGCCAACAAUAUAAGCCACUGAAACUGAUGAUCAGCCCAUUUUGGAAAGUAGUUCUUUGAGCUUAGAAGAGAUAAUUAACCUCGAUUUUGUGUAGUCAAUGUAAACUUGUACCUUUCCUUGAGAACCAGUCGAAGCGGUCGCCUUUUCUGUUGUAGAAUUCUUCUUUCCAUCCUUCACAUCUUCUGAAUUAACUUCGAUCUGAGGAAUGAAGACAGAAAUCAUGAAGCAACGCAGAGCAGAUAAUUGUACAAAUUACUUGACAUGAGCUCUUCUGACAAAGGAUGAUUGAGUAUAUCAAAGAACCACUCAACUCAAAAGCUUUAACAGCUAAUUGAGGUUUAAGGAUACGAUUUUAUAUUAUAUCUUUAGUCCUGAAUUUCAGUCAGCUUUUAAGAGUGUUAAGUUAUAUACUCUGUUUCCAUUCUUUCAUGACAUCAUCCUUUAUUAUGUAAAAUAUGAUAUCCUUUAGUGAAAUGGAAUCCUUGUCUACUUAAAUUGUAACAACAUUGUUUUUCAACAGAACUCUCAUACCUGGAUCUCGUCCGCAGGAAUACUGUUCUUUGAAUCAAACUGCUCUCGUUCCUUAGCAAGCUGGCAACAAAGAGGAAACCCAGACACCAAAAUAUUAAAUAAAUAAUACUCUUAAAAUAUGUACUUUUGUAGCCUCGAUAAAUGAUGAUCAAAUAGCAUACCAUUUCAUCUGUUUUGUCAUAUUGGUCUACAGCCUUUUGAGAUUGUUGUUUCGCAACAUCAUAUGGUGUAAAAUUUUCAUUGUUAGCAAUUGAAUUUUCAACGCGUUUGUCACGCACAAGAACAAAUGCAACCAUGGAUUGACCAUGUCGUGCUGCCAAAUGCAAAGGUGUAUUCCCAUCCUCAUCCAUCUCAUUUAGCAGUGGUUCUACGAUCUUCUGAUCGUUUUCGAGUAUGUACCUUACCACAUUACCCUGUCCAUUUUCUGCCGCUACAUGAAGAAUAUUCUGCCCCUUUUUAUUCAGGAAUUCUUUAGGAUAUGGGGUAAUCUUCAGAAAUUCCUUUACUACAUCAACAGAGUCAUUUUUGCAUGCAACAUGGAUAGGAUAGUUGCCAUCACUGUUUGUUUCAUAAGCACCAUUGAGAAACUUCUUCAAUAGGAAUUGAACUCCUUCCAGAAAACAUAUGGAUGAUGCAUAAUGCAGUGAAUUUCCCAACUCUUCGGCAGUGAGACAUAAUAGCUCUGGCUUUGCUUUUGCAAUUUUCUCCAAUAGAUCUGAAAAUCAAAAGAAAAUGUUUCAAAUGAAUAUAAAGAUGAUAGGUUUGAAACAAUUGUUUGUAUGCAAAUCAUUUUCUAGUGAGUAUAGACAUUGUGAUCACCUAUAUUACGUUGCUCGAUGGCAGCAUGAACAGGGGAUUUUCGUUUUGGUAGGGCAUCACCAUCUUCUCUUGUUAUAGGAAUCGAAGCUCCCAAAUCCAAGAGAUCAUCAAGUAUCCCGUUCUUAUUGCCAUUCUCAACAGCCAGAUAUAAAGGAGACCUGCCAUUCUUGUUGCUGUAAUAGGCCACUUCUGGAUCUCUGGAAACUAGGAAUUUGGCAACUUCUUUGUUACACUUGAUGACUGCGUCGUGCAAAGGAGUGUUUCGCUUUACAUUUGCCAUCCUCAUCAAGCUCGGAUUCAAUUCCACGAGAGAUUUAAUUGUACGAAUAGCCGUUCUUUCUUGGCAGCAAGAUGAAGGACUGUGUCGUUCUGGCUGUUUCGCAUGGUGAUUAGAGAAGGAAACUCUUUAACCAGAUAAGCUAUAAUAUUGUCACUUCCAUAGCUUACAGCUACGUGAAGCAGUGUAUUCCCGCAGGGAGUCACUAGCUUCUCUGUUAAAUGUUGCUGAAAACGUCUUUUCAAGGUCUCAGUAUCGUCCUGCUUCACACACUCAUGUAACUGACUAUCUAUCAUUGCAUUUUCCAAGUGAUCUCUCGGAAUCGAGUUUUCAUCUAUGUUUAUCUCAACGGCACUAGACAUAGCAAAAGAAAAUAUUAGGUUACUUGAAUCAGCUAUACCUAUCACUUAUCAGACAGCAGGACUUCUAAUUCAAAUAGGCUAGACUGCAUGUCAAUGGAAUCUGAAGUAACGUGAAUCUUAAUUACUCUUUUUUUUAUUUGCAAGGAUACUUUGAUUAUCAAAUACUUCACCCAUUUCGUUCUGGAAUCUUGGCUAUGGUUAAAGCAGCAUCUAAAAAAGGAAAAGGAAAAGGAAAAGAGGAAAAUUCUUAACUUGAAUUUAUAACUCAUAUACAGAGUGCAGUUGGGAGAAUCCAUGGUUUAAUGAACAUGAUACACGAUGGCAUGAGAUUCUUCAUCUUCUCGCGGUGAUUUAACUAUUCAAUUCAAAAGUUUCGAACUCUAACGUUAAGCUCGAGUGGUUAGCGCCUGAAGCAAGCCGAAGUCGCGGGUUUGAUCCCCCUGGACGCACAAUUUUUAGUUUUCUAAAAAAUAAAACACAUACAAGUUUUUCCCCCUCAAAAAUAGGUUUCUAUUGAUUUUUUUCAUUUAGUAUUGAUUUCAAAGUAAAUUAAUUUUUUUAUUGAUAUAAAAAAAACAAAAACUCAAUCUAAUGAAUUUUGAAUAGUAAAUGUAGCGGAUUAACUAUGGUGAACUUGACUUGAUUCUUUACUUUUCUGUUUUUUUUUUUUUUUUUUUGCAUUUAUACAGUCAAUAAGAUCAUGUCAGAUAAUUUUUAUAAAAUUUAAUUUAAAACUAGAGUUGAGUAAAAUGUCGUGUCAAGUGUUUUUGACAUUUUAAUUUUUAUACCAAAUUUAUAUAAAGCUGAAAAAUUGAUACAGUUUAGUUAUUAUUUUUAAUGUUUAAAAAGAAUUAGGAUGAACUAUAUAUGGUAAUAUACAAUACAAGUUGCUUGUUCUGAAGGGAAAAAAAGAAGCACUAAAUCAUCUCCGAAUUUGAAUUCAAUGAUUUAAACUUAACGAACAAAAAGAUGAUAGAAGAAAACAUGCGAUGAUCUCAAUCCAAAAAUAAAGAAAUAAAGGUUCAAAUUUAUAAUUCUCUUAGAAAAAAGUUGAAUAAUUAAAGGUUUAUGAGCAAUUUCAUAUUUAAAAGGGUGUUUUUGAAAGUAUAGAAUAUAAACUUAUUGAUCAAAGAAAAUUUUGAUUGAAAUCAUUGGUCUUUUACUUCCUAAAACUCAACCUAUUGAUAAUUUCCUCGUAAAAUUUAUUCAUUUCUGGGAACAUAUUGAUGGAGCACAUCAAAUUCGUUAUUUCAACUGGAAAUGGAAAAGUUAUUACAAGUUCAAAUUAUUAUUACAGUAGUUACACACACACACAAUAUAUAUCCCAAGAUGUUUAUUCAUCCCGAAACGUUUUAAAAGAGGCCAAUUCCACAAAAUCCUGACAUCUCUUAUGAACAUCAACCUGGAUAGUUACUUCGGUUUCUCUUGAGAUCAGGAAGUUUAGGAAUCUUAAAGACCUACCUCCAACUGUAGAAAAGCAAGAAAAACGAGAUGAGGUAGACAUAAUGCGAGAGCAUGACUACAAGAAUUUGGUUGAGUACAGAGGGUGGAAGAAUCCAUUGAAUAUAAAGCAAUGUUUGAAUAUUAUAUGUGUGUAUAUUUAAUUCUACUAUAUUGUACAAGUUUGGAACCUUAUUCUUACUUACAAAAUUAUCUCAAUUUAAAAAUUUAUGGAACUUUAAAUUCAAGAAUGAUUUUUUUUAUUCCAAUAUAUUUUUUAUAAAGUUUUUUGUGCCGAAAUCUUCUUGUCCAAGCAUUUAAAAGUUCAAUAUCACUCUUAUUCUUUUAAAUAUAUUAUAUAAAUUUGAGUAAUGGAUUUGUGGAAUUUUCAAACUUGAAAAACUUUCAUUUAGUAUACUGUGGCAUAGUAUACUGUGGCAUAGAGUUAGCACAAAAUCAUUUUUAUGGCUACCUAAAAUUUAAAAUUUUGAUUGAUAUAGUAUUUGAUCGUCUUCACCAAUAUAGUGAAGCUGUUGCUAGUUUCUUUUGAAACAUUGAUGUUACUAUUCUGGCCUAAAUGCAAGUCAAAGAAUGAUGAACUAUAUAAAUGGUAGUAUACAAUACAAGUUGAUGAAUCUAAUUAAAAGAAAGUGAUUUGGAUCCAUAGACUAGUCAUACACUAAAUCUCAAUAUUGAUUCUGAAUUCCAUGAUUUAUAUUAGUUUAGGAACAAAAAAUAAGUAAGAUUUAAAUUAUUGUUAUUUUUAUCGAGCACUACAUCAUGUCCAUUCCAUUAGAAUAUAAACUUAUUGAUCAAAGAAAAUGAACUCAACUUGACAUUUUUCUCUUAAAAUAUAUUUAUCUAUGAGAGAACAUAUUGAUAGAACACAUUCAAUUCAUUAUUUCAACCGGAAACUCAGAAGUUAUUACAAGUUCAAAUUAUUAUUUCAAUAGCUAGGCACACACAAUAUUCCAAGAUGUUUAUUCAUUCCCAAAAAUAACCUUUUAAAAGAGGGCAAUCCCUCAGAAUCCUGACUUCUCUUGAUGAAGAUCAACCUGGAUAGUUACUAGUUCUUUCUUUCUACAGAGAUCAGGAAGUUUAUCAGUCAGCCACCUCCAACUGUAGACAAGCACGAAAAACGAGAUGUAGUACACAUAAUGCGAGACCAAUCCUUCAAUAAUUUGGUUGACGGAUGGUGGAAGAAUCCAUUGAAUAUAAAGCAAUGUUUGGGCAACGAAAAACGCGAUCCCCACCACUAUAAUGGUGAUCGCGAGCACCCCAUAAUUGGAUCCACCUAAUGCGAUGCUCACGGCAAAAAAGAAUGACAAGCACAUCAUGUAAAUAGACCCACCCACCAUUAACGAUGAAAACCAAAGUGCAAAUGGUGCAAACUUGACAUCAUUCAAGUUUGUCCAAAGAAGGAUUAUAGCUGCCACCACAGAGGUAUUUAAAGCCCACACAUCAAGACAUAAAUAACCAUCCAAAAGAGAUGAACCAGUAGGACUAUCAAAGGCAGUGCUGUUACGGGAGGCAGUAGCAGUGCUGUUAAGUUCAUGAAGAUGCUCACUCUUGUUAUUUUUAUCCCUUAGUUGUGGCAUCUGUAUGGCACCCGCGAAGGUUACACCAGCAACAAGCACCGCUACAACAAGAAGAUUCUCUAUCCUGCUCUUUGUUUCCUGUUUCCUUGGUGGCUUGCCUUGAGUACUAGUGAAACGCUCAUAUAGGAAUUUCUUAGGGCGGGCAUGGAAGUAUAAGAUAGAUAAUGUUAUCAUCUGCAUAGCAAGGGGAAAUCAACUUCAUUAUAAUGAGUUUCCGGCACAUCCUCAAUCGCAUGCAAAAGCAUUGGCCUUGAAAUCCCUUUUUUUUUUUUUCAGAACAAGCAAGAUUCUGGAAUGAUUUCAGAAUUUUGAAUAUAUUUGUAUAGAAUCUAAAUUAAUCGGCCUUGAACUAGAUGUUUAAAAGAUUAGGGAUGGCAAGAAAAAAAUAGGAAGGAAGAAAAGAAAUAAUACCGCUCCAUAAUAAUCAAGCAGUUUGAAGUCCUUUGGUGGUGACUUUUUUGUGUCACGCUCCUUUGAAUCAACUGCAUUGUCCUAUAAAACAGAAACAAUUUUAUGUUAAUGAAUAUAAGCCACUGAAACUGGUGAUCAGCAAAUUUUUGGAAAAUAGUCCUUUGGGCAAAGAAAAUUUCAACACAACUCUUAUACCUGGUUCUUGUCCGCAGCGGUACUGUUCUUUGAAUCAAACUGCUUUCGAUACUCAGCAAGCUGGCAACAAAUAGGAAUCCCACAUACCAAAAUAUUAAAUCAAUAAUACUCCUAAAAAAUAUGCUUUUUUAGCUCAAUAAAUGAUGAUCAAAUAGCGUACCAUUUCAUCUGUUUUUUCAUAUUGCUCUACAGCUAUUUUGGAUUGUUUUUCAGCAAUAUCAUAUGGUGUCAAAUUUUCAUUGUUAACAAUCGAACUAUCAACGCGUUUGUCACGCACAAGAACAAAUGCAGCCACGGAAUGACCAUGAUUUGUUGCCAAAUGCAAAGGUGUAUUUCCAUCCUCAUCCAUCUCAUUUAGCAGCGGUUCUACGAGCGUCUUCUCUUGUCUGAGUAUGUACCUAACCACAUUGCCAUUUCCAUUUUCCGCCGCUACAUGAAGAAUGUUCUGCCCUUUUUUAUUGAGGAAUUCUUUUGGAAAUGGGGUAAUCGUCAGAAAUUCCUUGACUACAUCAACAGAGUCAUUUUUGCAUGCUAGAUGGAUAGGAUAGUUGCCUUCAUGGUUUCUUUUAUAAGCACCAUUGAGAAACUUUUGUAAAAGGAAUUGAACUCCCUCCUGAAAACCUCUGGAUGAUGCAUAAUGCAGUGAAUUUCCCAACUCUUUGUCAGUGAGACAUAAUAGAUCUGGCUUUGCUUUUUCAAUUUUCUCCAACAUAUCUGAAAAACAAAAGAAAUUGUUUCAAAUGAAUAUGAAGAUGAUAGGUUUGCAACAACUGUCUGUAUGUAAAUCAUUUUCUACUGAGUAUAGACAUUGUGAUCACCUCUGUUACGUUGCUCGAUGGCAGCAUGAACUGGUGACUUUCCUUUUGGUAGGGCAUCACCAUCUUCACUUUCUAUAGGGAACGAAGCUUCUGUUUUCAAGAGAUCAUCAAGUAUCCCGUUCUUAUUGCCGUUCUCAACAGCCAGAUAUAAAGGAGACCUGCCAUUCUUGUUGUUGUAAUAGGCCACUUCUGGAUCUCUGGAAACUAGGAGUUUGGCAAGUUCUUUGUUGCCCUUGAUCACUGCAUCAUGCAAAGGAGUGUUUCCCUUUGUAUUUGUCUUCCUCAUCAAGCUCGGAUUCGAUUCCGCAAGAGAUUUAAUUGUACGACUGCCUUUCCUUCUCUGGCAGCAAGAUGAAGGAUUGUGUCCUUCUGGCUGUUUUGGAUGGUGAUUAGAGAAGGAAACGUUUCAGCCAGAUAAGAUGUAAUAUUGUCACUUCCAUAGCUUACAGCUACAUGAAGCAGUGAAUUCCCAGCGGGAGUCUGUAGCUCCUUUGCUGAACGUUUUCGAACACAGCUCUUAAAUGGAACAACGCUGUCAAGCUUCACAAAUUCAUAUAAUGAAGGAUCCAUCAUUUCAUUUGGCUCAUGAGGCUCAUCGUCUAUUUUUAUGAGUAGAGUACCCAUAGCAGAAGAAAAAUAAUUAUGUUAGCACUUGAAUCAGCUACAAAUCGGGGUGGAACUUUAUUUGAAUAGAACAGAGUGCAUUUCAAUAGAAUCUGAAGUGAUAUAGAUGUUACUUUGAUUUCAUUUGCAUGAAUAUACUUGGAGUACUCGAGUCCUUCUCCAAUUUGUUGCGCACAACCAUUACUCAGCAACAUUAUCAUUAUUAAAUAUUACUAGAGAAUAAUAUAAAUAAUAUUUUUAAUUUUUAAUUUUUUAUUUCAAUUUUUAAGUUGAGAUAAUUCUUUAAUAUAGUUUUAAAACUUUAAUAAAUAAAAAGUCUCGAGUUUAAAUUUUACUAUUUUUAUUCUUGAUUUUUUCUUAAAAAAAUAUAUUAGAUAAUAAUAUAAUUUAUAUCUUAAAAUUUUAUUUAAUAAUUUAAAUUUUUAAAUUAAAAUGUUUUUUUUUUUGUAAUAGCAACCAAACCCAUAAAAGAAAAGGAUAAAAAUGUUCCAUAGGCGACUGAUUGUCCUUAUUCUUAACUUGAGAAUAUAACUCACUGUCCGAACACUCAAAGAUUAAAGGAACAGGAUCCACAAUGGCAUCAGAUUGGUUUAGGUAAAAAGAUCCAAAAUUUUUAACUGUUUAUCAGGAAGCCCGGGGUAUGUUUUAUGUUAUUUUCUUAUAAACAUAAAACUUCCAUAAAUUACUAUGUUGCACAAAAAUACCUUAAAUGAACUUUUUUUUAGUUAAGUUCUCAAAAAAAAAAAGUUUAUUUCAGCAUGAAUUUUUAAAUGAAUUUUUUGGAUCGUUUUAAUUCAUUAAUUUUAAAAAUAAUUUUUAUAAAAUAAAAAGAUAUCAUUUUAAUAUAUUUAAACAUAAAAAAUAUUUUAAAAAGUAAUCAUAAACACAUAGACACAUCAAAACCUACUUAAUUUAAAAUCAUCACUUGUAGAAUGGUGAUCAAGUAGAUCGUUGAUUGAAUAUAUAAGACCAAUAUUUAAGUAUUUGCUUUUACACAGUACGAGUUUAAUUGCCUUUGUGUCACACGUUUGGAACCUCAUUCUUUCUAAAGUGAAGAUGUAGGUGGUUCUUUUUACUCUCUUUUUUUAAUGUUCUAUGUGCUUGUCCCCGUUUAUAGAAAACAUAAUGACAUGGGAAGCAAUAGAAUGUGUGAAAUUCUUCUUACAUAAUCAUCAAAAUCCAUAGGUUAUAAAUCAAUCCAUUUGUAGUACAGUCAUAACGUCUGUAUCCAAUAAACUGCAAUUAAUCAUUAGGGACUAAACUUCAAAUCUGAUUCAACUCUUAGGGACCCAAUUUAAAUCUGAUUAUAAAAAUUAACGACCAAAUCAUAACAAUUCAAACUCCAAGGACCAGGCUAUAAUGAUUAUAAAUUUCCAUGGAUUAUAUUGUAUCUUUACCUUCUCCUUCUCGAGAGUUUCUGCCGAUUCUCCUUUACCGACAGUGGCUUAAUCCUUUCUGAAUCAUCUUCUUAUUUCUUUGGGACAUACUAAUCUUGUGCGGUAAACGUAAAUGCACAUGCAAUUAUUUAACCAUUACUAUCUUUUUUUAUUUUUUUUAUCUUAAAAGUUAAUUUUAGUUGCUAAGAAAUGAUUAUUAAUCUAUAAAUAUGUCAUAUAAAUUCAAUUUAUUUAUAUAAAUUAUAUAAAAAACAUUUAAAGAUAAAUUACAAUAAUCUCUUUGAAGGAUUAUAAAAUAAAUAAAUAAAAAACUUAAUUACUUUUUAAAAAAAUACUAAAAAAUUAAAAUAAAAUAAAAACAAGAUAGAGUAUUAAUUAAAAUUUAAAUAAAAAUUAAUGAAAUGUUUAUUAAUAAAAGUUAAGCGAUGCUGGGAAUACCAUACCAAGCCCACGCGCUUGGCCAAGGAUCAAUAAACAUAAGUGUGCUUGAUACUAGAAGCCCAAGCCAGCAUUCCCGGCUAAUUUUUUUUCUUUCUUUCUUUUGAAGUUUUUUCUUGAAAUAGACAAGUUGUUUAUUAUGCAAAAAUUAUUUGUUAUCCUCUCCAUCUUUUUACUCUUACCUCCUGUGUUUGAAAAAUAAAAGCUGAAGUUUUAAACUAUCACCUUAAUUAAACUUUCAUUAAAAAAAUAAAUUCAUUAACACCAAUUUUAAUCUUUUUAUGAUUGAAAUCUAUCCUUUAAAGCAUUUUUUCUCUCUUUAAUAUUUUUUGCUAACUUUUUAUCUUCUCUCUCAAUAUCCAGACACUAAAUUAUUAUUAUUUUUAAAAAAAGAUUGGACUAAAAUAUGAAUUGCUAUAACAACAAGGAUCAAAUAAUAGAUAAGUUGAAACUUUAUAUAGCAAAUUAAAGUUUUCCAUACCAAUAUUCAAAUGGGGUUUUUUUUAUUAAAUUUGGUCAAGUUCUUAAGUUUUUUUUUAACUAAACAUAAAAUUUUACUUUGCAAAAUCAAUUUUUAAUUCAUUGUUGUAAAAUUCGUUGACAUUUUGUAUAUGUAACACAAUGAAAAUUAAAAAAACAAAUCUUAACAUGUAAAACUGUUUUAAUAUAAUUUUGAAAGAUUAUAUUUUAAUUAUAGUUUCAUGAUCAAAAUUUUUUUAAAAAAAAACAUUUGCAUGAAUAGUGCAAUAAAUAAUGAAUCUCGAUCGAGAAGAAGAGUAACAAUACACAAUAUUAAUAUUAAUAUUAAUAUUAAUUCCAUAAAGUAAUAACUGAUAAUCCAUUUUAAUUAUUCGAUUAAUCUAAACCUCAUAACAAUACAUACAAUCCCUUUGAGAGUGCUUUUAUUUAUUUGCGAAAUUGCAAAUAAGUGAAUAACUACGAAAUGAGCAUUGUACCUCUAAAUCAAUGCCAGACAUUAAUUUUCAAAUAAGGAUAAUAUAGUCUAUUCGCUUUAAUUUUAUUUUAAUUUUAAUUCCAUCUAAGCCUUGUUUGUUUCCCGGAAAAUAGUUUCCGGGAAACCAUUUUCCAAACUUUCCUGUGUUUGUUUGUCAUUAGGAAAGUUGGUCAACGGAAAACAAUUUCCGGUCAGCGAAAAACACUUUCUAGUCAACGGAAAACACUUUCCGGUCAACGGAAAACACUUUCCAGUCAAUUUUAGUAAAAAAAAAAAAUUGACUUGGUUUUCAGAAAUAUUAAAAAAAACACUUUCCGGAAGUUGUGAAAGAUUUAGAAAUAUCAUUAUUUGCUGAUUAUAUCAAAUUUGAUCCUCAAACGUUUGAUUGUUAUAUAUAUUUUGUUUUGAUUAUUUAUUUUUCAAUUUCAUCUCUUAAAAUUUUAUUUUUAUAUUAACUUUGGUCCUUAUUUUUAUAAUUGCUAUUUGCUUUUUUCUUAUCAUUUUUUUAUUAAAAAUUUUUAUUUAUCAAAUUUGAUCCUCAUUCUUUUGAUUGUUACUUAUUUUAUUUGAAAUAAUUUAUGAAAUGUUGAUUAUUAUUAUUUUAAUUUCUUCAUUUUUCAUUUUUUUUAAUUUUUUAGAUUUGAUCCCUAUUAUUUUGAUUAUUAUUUGUUUUAUUUGAGAUAAUUUAUGAAAUUAUAUUUUUUUUUCAAUUUCAUUCUCAUUCCACUUUUUAAUUUGUAAGAUUUGUUCCUUAUUAUUUUAAUAAACUUGAGAAAAAUAAAAUAUUAAUAAGUUAUUUUCAGCUCAUUUUCCAUGACAUAACCAAACACUGGAAAGUAUUUUCCAGUUUAUUUUCCAUAACAACCAAACAUCGGAAAAUACUUUCCGGAAUUCACUUUCCAGGAAUUCAUUUUCCCCGGAAUUCACUUUCCAAAAGGAAUUCACUUUCCUGCAAACAAACGGAGUUUUGUUGGGCCUUGGCAUUUUUUUAGUAGAUUUCUACAGUUUUGUUCACAUUACAGCCUACCAUUUUCAAGAUGUCUACCUAUGGAUAAUCAUAUCUCACUUGAUUAUAUUUUGAAAGCCUUUUGAGGCAAAGAUGAUGAGGUUUUUAAAAAUUUUUUGUGGAAGGUCCAUCUAAUUUUUGAAUAUAAAAAAUCUUAUUUCUUAUCUUUAUUUUCAACGUAAAGUAUAUUAAUAAAAAGAUAAAUCUUAAUUUUGUUUCUUAUAUUCUUAAAUAUAAAAAUGUUCAUUGUAUUAUUUGAACCUUUUAAUUAGAGUGGAAGUUUAAUUUCAUCACUUUUUUACGAGGUUUUUUUUUCCAGUGGAUAAUCUGAAAAAAAUCUAAGUAAGAGAAACUAGAUUCGUUUCAGAGGGUAAAUUUAUGCAUAGAUAUACAAAGGAGACCAACUUCCUCAAUGCAUAAGAAAUAAAGGUAUCGAAAAAGUGAAGUUAGGCUCACUUUCCUUCACCAGCAUAUACCAUGCGUUUACCUUUCCAAUAAUUAGAAGAAAGCGACUUGUAUGGAGAGAGCUCUCUGAAUUUCUUAUAUUGAAAUUCUAUAGGUGUCUUUACAUUUUGAUUACAGUUUUGACACGUGUGCGGCGAAAAAUUAUAUAGUGUUUGUUUCCAUUUUCUUAAUCUACCAUGUAAAUCUAUAUAUAUCUAUAGGGAUACAAAAAACAAUAUUGUCUUUUAUUGGUAGAAAAUGGAAUGGGAGUCACCACCUAGUAUUUUGGUCACUAGGAACCCUAACUGGUCUCAGAGAUUGGGUACGGGGACUGGUUGCGUAAAGGGAAGGUAUUAGCACCCCAAAUACGCCCUACCUAAGGUAAGCUGCGUUGUUUUAUUGUCUGAUAAAAACUAAGGUGUUAUUGUGUUUUCCUAGUUGCUGAUCUGUCUAUGGUUCAAGAAAAAUCCUCCUCGGUAAGAAGGUCUUUAUCUUAUCGGGUAAAAUCCUAACCGUUCUAACGUCCAUACCAAAAUUUCAUUAAUAAUAUUUAGGAAUACGUUUUACGUAUAAAUUCGUAAUCCCAAAUACUAAAAGAAAAGAAAAAGAUUUUUUUAGAAUUUUUGAAAUAUUGGCCUAGUUCUCAUGGCUUGAAUAAACUGGUUAUUAAAGCCAAAAUGCAUGCUAAUACAUAUAUUGUUUUGAAAAUUUUCUUUGUUGUGAAAAUAUGAUGUUAUAAUAUUUAUAUAUAUAUAUAUAUUGGAGAGACUAGGUUAUUUAUGCUUUGACGAAAAUCGGGUAUUUUAAUACUGGAUUUGUAUCUUUACGGUAUAAAAAUACAAACCAACAUUAAGCCAUUUUGACAAAAAUAUGUAGGAAAAUCAAAAAUAUUUUUCAAAGAUUUUUCAAAAUUUAUUAUUAUUAUUAUUAUUAUUAUUUUUAAUAUAAUAUAUACACACACAUAUAUAUAUUACAAUUUAUAAUAAUUUAUAUAAUAUAUUAUAUUAUGGGGCUGGGCCGGCCCAAAUAAAUGGGCCAGGCUCAGCCCAACAAGAGAGGUUGGGCCGAACUCGGCCCAGACUGAGUUGGGCCGAUCUCGGCCCAACAGGCCUCAUGCUUCUUCUGGUCUGGGCCGGACCCGGCCCAGAUCUAAAGGCUGGGCCAGAACCGGUCUGGCCUAGGGGAAAAAAAAGAAACGGGGAGGGGAAUUAAUUUUCCCCUCCCCUCCUCCUGCAUGCAACUGGCUUAUGCAUGCAGGAGGAGAACCUGUUUUAAAACAAAACGAUGCAGGGGAAGAGGACUUUACUUGGCGCGGAGGAAGCGGUCGCUGGUGGUGUUGCGGUGGCAUGGCUCGCGUACGGCGGCUCGGGGCGGUGCUGUGGCGGUUCGAACGGCGGAGAGAAAGAGAUUUCGCUUUUUCGGUGGUUCUCCUUAUGCUCGGUUGUUUUUUUUCCUUUUUUUUGUUUUCAGUUUGCUCCUUUUCUUCCCUCUCACUCUCGUUAGUUCUCUCUCUCGUUAGUUCUCUCUCUCUCCUCCCUUUCGGUCUCCUCCUCCUUUUUCCUUUGUUUUCGGGUAGUCCCCUGUAUAUAUAGGGGAAGAAAAGGUUGGGACCAUUGUUAGUGCAUCUUGGAGCGGGUUUUACGGGCACCUGGUUGGCCACCACCCGCGACAGCAAAGUGCCGCUCCCUUGCUUUCGGCGGGGCGAGCGACCGGUGGUCGAACAUUGGGUUCGGUCGGUGGUCCAGUGUUUCGGGUUGGUCGGUGGGUGCAAGGAGAGAGAGGCGGGAAGAUUUUGAGGAAAAAAAAAAAACAAAGUUUCCUUCCUUCUGUUGCAGGUUUGGGGGGGGGGAGGAAGAUGAACAGUGUCGUUCAAAACGACACCGUUCUGGUCUCUUUUUUUUUUUUUUUUAACAUGAAACGACGUCGUUUUGGACAAAACGCGUCGUUUCAUUAAAACAGGGCGCCAAAACGCGCCAAACUUCAAAUCAGCCCUCAAUCAUCUUUAAUUCAUUUCAAUUGCAUCCCUGCCAAUUUCGAUCUCCGUCCCUCUUGUUGGCCGCGUUUUUCACUUUGGUCCUUGGCCUCUGAUUUAUGCAAUUAAGCCCUCAAUUGAUCAAUAAACUUCCAAUUUCUUCAAUUAGGCCCCUGAUCCAAAGCAAAACAGCCCCCUCUAUUUACCCGGUUUUUCCAAAUUGGUCCCUGGUUUCGGUUUUUCACAAUGAAACCCCUAAUUGGCCAUUAAACUUCAAUAUUUAUUCAAUUAAGCCCCUGAUUUGGCCUAAUAAAUUGCUAAAAAAUAUAUUUUGGCCCCAAAACUUAAAUUUCUUCUAAUUAAAGCCCAAAUUGACUUAAAAAACAAUUUUUCUUGCAAUCAAAACUCCUAUAAAUUCAAAUAAAAAUCCAAUCAAGUCCAUAAACAUCCAAAUUUGGGCUUUUCUCCCCAAAAAUUCAAUUUUUCCUUCUCAAUAGGGCUCUCAUCAUUCAAGAAUAUAUUGUCAAAAAUCCAUCUUUGUAUUUUUAACCUCCUUGACCGAUUUUUCUGACCAUUUGCUGAGCGCUUCUGCCUCCUGUUAUUUUUCUAACCUUCUUUGGAUAUUUAUUUUAUUUCAUUUAUUUGGGGACCUAAAAAUGGGUUACAACAAUAGUUUUUUUUUAUGCUUGCUUCAGUUAAAAGAAUUUUAAAUUUUAAAGUUAGAUAUUAAAUUUGAUGCUAACGAUCUACACUUCAGAUAUUAUCCAUGUAAGUCUAAACUUGUAGUUCUAGGCUUAAAAUGAUGUUUCUCAAAUAUAAAUUUAAAACUUAGUGAUCUUUUUUAUAUACAGAAAGCAAAUUAAAACUUGUGGAGUAGUCAAAUAACCUAAAUAUUUUGAAUACAAAAGAUAACUUAACAACUCAAAAUUAAAGAAUUUACAUUCAUUGGAUGAUUCUUCAACUUUGGCUAUCAAGGUUGUGCAAGAAGAUUAACUAGAUGUUGCUAAAGAUUUGAAAAUUAGAUAUACAAGGAAUAUUUGUGGUAUUACUCACGAUAACUUCACCACAAAUCAACUAAAAAAUCAUACCAAGAAGGCCAUCAUGAACCAAAUAGAAAUUUCAGUUUAACCUUUAUAUUAUUAAGAAAAGCCAUAAACAUAAAAGUUGAGCUAUCAACCAAUGAAGGUUCAACAAUUAGAUAGCAAAAGGAAUCUAAGGCAACAUGUGGCUCACUUUAUAGAGGCUUAUAACAAUACUAUACUUGAUGGUGAUCUCAUGGUAAACAAUUCAUUCAUUCUUUAAAAUGCUGAAACAAUUAUUUUUUAUUUUUUUCUUUCUGAAUGGUAAACAAGUACCGUGGGACGAAAACCGGGUAUUUUAAUACCGGAUUUAUAUUUUUAUGAUGUAAAAUACAGACCGAUAUUAAGCAAAAUUGAUAAAAUAAAUAAAUAAAAGUGCUGAAAAAAAUUGUAAAAUUUCUAAAAAAAAAAUAAAAAAAUUGAAAUGGGCCGGAUCCGACCCAUUACUAAAUGGGUUGGUUACUGUGCAUAAGCACAGUAACCAGCCUCUCAUCAGUUGCAGAACGUGAAUUAAUUCACGUUCUGCAUGAAAACAGAGAAGGAGACGCUGGCGUCGAGGCGGUGCUGCUGGCGGCGGAGGCACGAUGCCCGGCGGUUUUCCUUCUCUCUCUCUCCUCUAUGUUUUUUUUUCAUUUUCUUCUCUGCUUCUUCUCUUCUUUGCCUUCUCUCCUCUCUUCUCUCGGUCUUCUCCCUCUUCUCCCUCUCUUCUCCCUUCUAUUCUCUUUUUUCUUUCUCUUCGAUCCUCCUUGUCCAACACGUGGAAAGUGGUCGGAAAUUCGGCGUCUUUUUGAAGGGGAGGCGGCGUCUUUUUGAAAGAAAAUGUGGCGGUGAACAGAAGAAGAAAAAAAAUUCUUCUUCCCCUACUUCGCUGCAUGUCCAGGGGAAGAAGAUGAUGGUGCUGUUCAAAACGGCACCGUUUUGCGUUUUUCCUUUUUUUAUAUAAACAGUGCAUGAAACGGCGUCGUUUUGCCCAAAACGCGACAUUUCAUUUAAAUGGAUUUUGGCGCCAAACACGUCAGAUUCACAUUUCGGCCCUCCAUUUGCGCGUGUUUUACAAUUUAGUCCUUGGUCUCGGUUUUCUUCAAUUAAGUCCCUAAUUGGCCAUUAAACUUCAAUAUUUAUGCAAUUAAGCCCCUGAUUUGACCAAAUUAACUUCCAAAAAUUAUAAUUUGACCCCAGAAAAUUAAUUUCUCCUAAUUAAAGCCCAAAUUAACUCCAAAAUCAAUUUUUCUUGCAAUUAAAAUCUUUAUAAAUGCAAUUAAACCUUUAACAAAAUUUAAUUGAGUCCAUAAACUUCUGAUUUUGCAUUUUUCUUCCACAAAUUGAAUUUUCUUUAUCAUUGGAGCUCUCAUCAGUCAAUGAUAUACUGUCAAAAUUUAAUUUUUGAUUUUUGAACAUCCUCAAUCAGCAUUUUAGGGCGCUCUGACAUUUUUCACUGUUAUAUUUUUUUGAUAAUAUAUUUUUUGAAUUUUGUAUUUUAUUAUUUUUUAUCUGGGGACCCAGAAAUGGGUUACAACAACCUACAUGUUGAGCCCAAACAAAUAUGGAUUAUCAAGUUGUCAAACCCAAUAUCCUAGGGUUCACACUACAUGUUGAACCAAGUACAUAUAGAUCUAGAAAACUCAAUGAUAUUAGGUUCAGCUAUACACUAAGCAAAAAAAAUGGGGUUUACAAGUUGUUUAGACCUAAAAUCCUUGGGUUUAACUAUGCACUGAGCUCAAGCAUAUAUGAGUAUGGCAAGCUACCAAAUCCAACAUCCUUGUUGCUAAGCCAAAAAAAAAAAAAUAUGUGGCAAGCUUUCAAACACAACAUCAUUGGGAUCAGCUACGUGCUAAGACCAAGUACAUAUAGGUCUGUCAAACUACCAAACCUAAUGACCUUGGGUUCAACCACGUGUUAAGCUUAAACAAACAUAGGUUUAGCGAGUUAUCAGACCCAAUAUCCAUGAGUUUAACUAUAUGCUAAGCUUAAAUACAUAUAAGUUUGGUAAAUUGUCAUACCCAACAUCUUUGGGUUUAAUUACAUGUCAAGCCUAAACAAAUGUGGGUUUGGCAAUCUGCAAGACCCAUUGCUAAUGGACUUGACAUCAUGUCAAGCCUAAGUGGGUAUGGGUCUAAAGAUCAUUAUAAGCCUCGUAUUGGGCUAUAAGGCUUUCUUUGUUUAUUCUUAUGAUUUUUAAUAUUAAAUGUUAAUGUUAAGAAUACUCAUCUCUCUACAUUUAUAAAUAUAUAAGAGUCUUUUAAAAACCUACCAUAUUUUCAUCAGUAUUAAAUUAUUAUAUAAGAUAUAUUUAUCCCUCAUUAAUGAUGUAUAAGGGAUAUGUAUCCAAUGUCCAAACACUAAAAAACUUCUUUCUUAAACAUAUUAGAUUUUUCAAAUAUCAUAAACUGAUGAACAAGAAAUAGAUCUUUUUGCCAAGAGAAGAGUAGAGAGGAAGGAAAGGAUUAAAAAAACAAAAGAAUCAGCUACAAAACAUGAACUAUAUGACAAAAGUUGAUGCUUUACCAAGCUAUGUUCACCUAGCAACCGUAUCCUUGCCUAUAACAGAAACCCUAUCCAUUCAAUUAAUUAAGGAAACAGAAGAGGUUUAGCAAACAUGCAUAGUAAAUUAAUUUACACUUUGGUCCCUAAAAUCAAUAAUUGCUUUAAAUUAGGCAUCAAACAUUGAUUCUUUAAUUUGAUUUGAUAAAAUUUAAUUGAAAUUUAUCCCUAAAUUUCUAAUUUUGACAAUUAUAUUUUAUUUUUACAAUAAAAAUAUCUAUAUCAAUUUACUUUGAAAAUUUAAUACGAUCAAAUCAAGUUUUAGUUAAAAAAAGAUAUUCAAAGUUCAAAAAUCCUCUUAAGCAUAUUUUUCAAGACAUGUCUAUUUAUUUUAAGGCUAAGUGAACUCGUAUCAAAGGGGCAACAUCUGUAUAAACAAAAAUAUUGUACAAAUUCAAUUUUUUCAUGUCUUUUUUUAUUUUUAUUUUGACCUAAAAAAUUAAAAUAAUUGACAUCGAAAAUAAAUGGGCCUUUAUGUAUUUCUUGGCCAAUAAAAAAGUUGAAAAAUAGGAUGAGUUAUUUAAUUUAUUUUAUCAUCAAUGCAAGAUUUUAUAAUUGAAAAUCAACCAAUAACUGACAAUAAACUUUAAGUAGAAUUGAACAUUAUUAUUUUUCUAAUGAUAUGGUGAAUUUAAAUAUCCAAUACAAAUUUACCCAUUUAAACAUACUUAUUCAACAUUAUUAAUUUUUAAUUAAAAUUAUUUAUGAGAAUUAUUUAAAAAUAAAAUAAAAAGUCUUAAUGUAUAUUUGAUUUAAAUUCUGAAUUAUACUCAAUUUUUGAAAAUAAUAAUGCAAAUUAUGUCAUUAUUUUUUGCUUCAGUCGAUGUAUCCAAUUAUCGAAUAAAACUUUAUUAAUGAAUGUGUUCGCACAUGUACCUAUUUUUUUUUAUGAAUAUGUUCAGUACUAAUAUACCUACCAAAGCAUAUCUAUUCAACAUAGUUAAUUUUUUAUAGAAGAAUUUAUUGAUUAGUUUAAGAAAUCACAUCCUAUAAUAAAAUUAAAACUCUAGAUGCAUAUUCAAUUUAAAUUUAUAAUUAUGCUAAAUUUUUUAAAGUACUAAUUUAAAUUAUAUCAUUUGAUUUUGUUAGUUUGUUCUCAGAAAAAGAGCUCAAUUGAAAAUUAAUAGAAUAAGAUGUAAUUUAAAUAUUUUAUUAUAAUAAUAUUUAAAGCAGCUUAAAUGAUAUGAUCAUUAUUUAUAUCAUUUUAUCUUUUUUUUCCUUUUUUAUUAAAUUAUGAAUUAUUUAAUAUAAAUAAGGGAGGAGAUGAUUAGGUUAAAAGAAAUACAUUGAGUUGUGAUUAGAAUGUAACAAGAAAAUCUGAAAUAUUAAAUUUUAGAAAUUUUGACAAUUAAGUUUGGUAAACUGUCAAACCUAAUAUCUUUGAGUUCAACUACAUGUCAAGUCUAAAUGGAUGUAGGUUUGGCAAGUUGUAAGAUUUAUUGUCACUGAACUUAACAUCGUGUCAAGCCCAAGUGGGUAUUGAUCUAAUGAUCAUUAUAAGCCUCAUGUUAGGCUAUAAAGCUUUCUUUGUUUAUUUUUAUGAUUUUUUAACAUGAAAUGCUAAUGUUAAGAAUUUUAAUCUCUCCACACCUAUAAGUAUAUAAAAGUCUUAUAAGAGCCUACUAUAUUUUUAUCAUUAUUAAAUAUUGUGUAAGAGAUAUUUAUCCCUCAUUAAUGACGUGUAGUGUAAGAGAUAUUUAUCCAUUUUCUAAACACUUAAAAAAUUUAUUUGUAAGCAUAUUAAAUUUUAAAACAUCAUCAACUACUGAACAAGAAAUCAAUCUUUAUGCCAAGAGAAAAGUAAAGAAUAAGGAAAUUGUUAAAACAUAUAAAAAAAAAAAUCAGUUGCAAAACAUGAACCCUAUGACAAAAGCUUAUGCUUUGCCGAGCCAUGUUCAGCUAGCCACCACAUCCUUGCCUAUAACAAAAACCCUAUCCACACCAUUAAUUAAAGAAACAGAAGAGGUUUAGCAAACAUGCAUUGAGUAAAUUUUAUAAUUUACACUUUGGUCCCUAAAAUCCAUAAUUGCUUUAAAUUAGGCAUCAAACAUUGAUUCUAUCAUUUGAUUUCAUAAAUCUCAAUUGAAAUUGAUCCCUAAAUUUCUAAUUUUGAUAAUUAUAUUUUAUUUUUACAAUAAAAAUAUCUAUAUUAAUUUACUUUGAAAAUUUAAUACAAAGUUGGGAAAAAAAUUAUCAAAGUUAAAAAAUCCUCUUAACCGACAUGCCCACUUAUUUUAAGGUUAAGUGAACUUACAUUGAGGAGGCAUUUAUAUCAACAAAAAUAUCAUACGAAUCAAAAAAAUUUAUAUGUCUUUUUUUUAUUAUUUUUUACCUAAAAAAUUGAAAUAAUUGAGAUGAAAAAUAAGUGGAACAUUAUAUAUUUUUUAAGACAUAUCCACUUAUUUUAAAUAUUUUAUUAUUAUAAAAUUUAAAGCAUGCAGCUCAAAUGAUAUGAUCAUUAUUUAUAUUUUUAUCUCUUUUUUUUACUUUUUAUUUGAUUAAAUUAUGGAUUAUUUAAUAUAAAUAAGGGAGGAAAUGGUUAGAUUAAAAGAAUUACACUGAGUUGUGAUUAGAAUAUAACAAGAAAAUCUGCAAAAUUAAUAAUUAGAAAUCUUGAUAAUGAACAAAGGUUUUGGGACAAACAAGAUAAGGUGGACAAAUUAUCACAACGAGCCUGGUUUGAUUGGAUCGAGUAGAUAAGGUGAUUGAGAAUGUUUAGAGCGAGCCACAAAUGAUAUGACCUCGCACUUAUAUGAAGAUGUUACAAGGGAUGAAGUGAAAGAAGUCUUAGAAUAGAUGGAACCGAUACAAGUUCCAGAACCAAAUGAUAUCCUAGCUUUAAUAUUGUUGUCCUUCGUCCAUAAAUGAAACAAUUUAGGACAACAAUGUCUUUAAUUUGGAUCAUUAAAGAUAUCAACUUGGUUCGUCUUAACAGUAUUAAAAUGGCCGGCCUUAAAACAAGAAAAAAGGACAUGGCCAGGCAUUGACACGUUGCAAAUACGAUAAAGUCAACAAACAUCGUCCCACCCUUGCUCUAAUUUGAUGCAACAAUGUUUAAGGGUGCGUUUCUUUCUUAAAAGUAAUUUUCAAGAAUUUAUUUUUAAAAUUUUUCCUGUAUUUAUUUGUUAUUAAAAAAAUUGAUUAACAAAAAAUAUUUUUUAAUCAACGAAAAACAUUUUUCUAUCAAAGAAAAAUUUAAUUUGAUUUUCAGAAAAAUAUUUUUCUUUUACACAACAAGAAUUCACAGUUUUACUAACGAAAAUAUUCCGUCGGUAAAAUAUUUACCGACUAAAUUACCGAUGGAAUACGUCUGUCGGCUUAUCUUUCGUCAGUGAUUCCCCAUUUCGUCGCUAUAUCGGUCGGCAAAACAAAAAAACCAUUUACCAAUGAUUUUAUAGACGGAAUUUGUGCGCCAAAAAAAAAAUUCCCGCUUCAAUAAUACCGAUGGAUUGUUAUUCCGUCGGUGAUAUCACAAUUCAUCGAUGGUUAAUUUCCGUCGGUAAGUUAGUCGGUGAAUUGUUGAAAUACCAACAGAAUAUACCGUCUGUAAAUUCGUCGGUAAGUUAUAAUACCGACAGAAUUAAUCCGUCGGUAAAUCUGUUGGUGAGUCAUGAAAACACCGACCGAAUUUAUCCGUCUGGAAAUUUGUCGGUGAUGGUCGCUGAUACUGUCUAAUGCCGACGGAUAUAUUCCGUCGGUAAAUCCAUUUGUAAUUUUUUUAUAUAUAUAAUUAUUUAGAAUACAUAAUAUAAAAUGAUAUAAAUUAAUGGUAAUAAAAACCAAUUAUGCAAAUAAAAAUUAUAUUAAGCAUCAAAAACAAAAAAUGAAAGAUAAAUAAUAUUCAUUACAAAAUGAAAUUGUUCAAAAAAACAUUAAAUGAAAUUUUAAAUAUAAAUAAUGUUUAUCAAAAAUUAAUAUAAAGGAGGUUGAGGAGGAUCAGGAGGAGGAGGAGGCUGACUGUUAUGCGGCCAACUUGGAUUGGGUGCACAUGUUCCACCUUGUGACAUGUUUAUGACCAUUUGACGAAGCUCUUCAUAGGCCGCUCUUUGUUGUGCAGAUUCUGCUGUAUUGUUCUUUGAGUUGUGUGUAUGCUCUGAUAGGUGGUCGCACCUUUGCUGCAAGGCCACAACUCCUUAGAUUGGGAGCUCGAUAUGAUUGGGAGCUCCCGACGGUUGAAGCAGUACGGGUCGUCCGCAAGUGUCGGCCCUAGUGUUGGAGAGCCCGUAAACCCGAUUCUUAUCGGGUCCACCUGACGAUCCAGCCUCCAUCCACAAAUCCGGAUCGAAUUCCGGAUGGGUCGAAGGAUCGUCCCCGUAUGUCUCCCUCAACCGAUUAUUAUAGGUCUCCUGAAAAUAAAAAAAAGUAAUCAUCAUAUUCAAUUCAAUAAACAUAAUAAUAACUUACAAAAUAAAAUGGAUGAAUAAAAUACCACAAAAUGUUGAGCGACUGUCAACGAACUGUUGCACCCCCUUUUGGCGGUCUUGACUCCGCACGUGCGUCUCCACAAACAGCUCCAUAGGGCUCGGCUCACGUCCAAGAGACGUAGCCUAUAAUGAAAAAAAUUAUUAACAACAAAUUAAUUGAACGAUAUAUUUCAUUUAAAUUAAUCUUACCAUCCGUUUCGCAUGAGCAGCAAACGGAACGGAGCCGCCGGUGUGCGUUGUCACCGAGCCAUGAAUUGGCCGAUUCCGGUUGCCAGCACCGGACUGUGAGCGUCGUGUGAACCACUCAGGCAUCACGUGCUCAAGAUAGUGCGGCCAUAUAUCCUCCGGAUGUAUAUCGGUUUGAAAUCCCUCCAAACCGCAACAUCGUUCCAGCCUUGGAACCCCCUAUCCCUCGCAGUUUUUUUUGCCUUUUUUUGGGCUUCGUACCAAAAAUCACGCAACCUACUUAACGCAAUCAAAAAUUACAUUUCGAAACAUAAAUUUUUUUGUAAAAAAAAGUUGUAUUGUUUUCGAUGUUACCUAGUUGCCGCGUGAUUUUCCCACACCCUCCUCACAACAUUGUUAUGUUCCUCGUCCCAGCAGAAUCGAUUCUGUGUAUAAAAAAUAAUUUUUAAAAAUGUUAAUAAUUUAUUUACAAUUAUAUUAAGAAUUUAUUAGAAAUAAGCUGAAAAUUAUAUAUUAACACGAACCUCAAAUCUGGAAAACCAUGCAUUGAUUUGAGGCAUCCAUUCAGGAUGCCUGGAUAUCUGACUCCAUUGAAACAAUGGAAUCUCCAUCGACGCUUUAAACGCCGAUGAUAUUACUCGGGCGGCCUCAAUGUUUGUGAACCUGAAAAGAAUUGAAAUUAAUUAAAUAGUGACUUCAUAAAUUUGUUUUUUAAAAAAAAAUUAAAACCUUAACAAACUUACAUUGAAAGAUCGUCCUUCCAUUGUGCCUCGUACUUGCGGGUCCAUCGAUUCGCUGCGAAGGCACGCCGCUUCUGCGAUGUGAAACAUCGCUGGAAGAGGCAGCAUCAGCUGACGGCGCAAGUGGUGUAGGUGCCUCUUCUUGAGAGGCACCUAAGGAAAUGUCUUCGUCGCUGCUAGACGAACUAGAUGCGACCGUACGUGAAGCUCUGGUUUUCAUUCUCUGCAUUAUCUAACCAAUUUUAUAUAAAUAAUUAUAUAAUUCAAUUGAAAUGUUAAAAAAAUUCGCAGCACCUCCCCUAUACUUGGAUACUACCCAAAUCCACAAACCUGCAAAUAUUAAUGUCGCACCCCAAAAAAAAUCUAGCGCGCCAUCAUCGAUGGCGAUUUUUUCUCGUUUUUGUGUUUGCUUUGAAUUUGUUCGUUGGAGUCGCCACCUAGUAAUUCAUUGAGGGCUACUAGGAAACCUGAUGUACUGGUCUUGUCAGAGAUCGCGGGUAAGGGACUGGUUGUGGUUAGGGAAUGUAUUAGCACCCCUAACACACCCUACCUGAGGUAAGCUGCUUUGUGUUCUGAUGUGAUUUGAAAAUUUAAAAUAUUAAUUAAAUUCUAAGGCUUGAAUAAAUCAGUUAUUAAAUCCCCGAAUAUAUGUAGAAACUUGUUCUUACAUUUUCAUGGAAAAUACAACUUGAUUUUAUUUAUCCUUGAGAUAUUUAACCAUAUUUAAAUUAGCAAUUAAUUCUUUUUGUCCUUUUUUAUUUUUAAUUCAAUAAUAUAAAUAAAAAAAAUAAAAAAAACAAACAUACAAGCACACACAAACAUUUUUUUUUGUUGUUAUUUAUCACUUUCUCUUUUCUUUUCCUUUUUCUUCCAUAUUUAAAAAAUACAAAAAAAAACUCAAAACUAAAUAAAUAUUACAUUAAACAAUUUGGAAAAUACAAAAAUGACCCAAAACAAAUCCAGGAACAAUUCUGGGCUACAUUCUAAGCUACCUGAACACUGGCGGCGCGUGGAUUCACGUGCCACCGCAGAAAAAAUGGGCAACCGGUGGAUCCGGCUCGUCUCUGUUUCCUCUUCCUUUCCUCGCCGGUGUUACCUGCAAAAACAAACCAAAACGCAACAGGCAGUCGAUUUUAUUAAGAAUUUUUUUUAUUUCUUUUGUUUUCCCAAUCUUCCUCUCUUCUCCUUCAAAUCUGCUUCGGUUUUUUGCUUCUUCUUGUCCGAUCUGGCUUCUCCUUCUCUGUUUCAGGCGGCGGUGGAGUUAUGGGUGUCGCCGCUGCGGUCCAGGCGUUGAUGAAGGGGCUCGACCGGUGGGGCUGUCUUGUGGUUGAAAGAGGAGAGAACCGGCUGUGGUGGCUGCUCCGGUUUUGUUGGCUGCAAAAGGAGAAGAAAAUGGGGCCAGGACUGGAAGAGUGAGGGGGCCGGAGAUGGAGAGGGCUGUGUGGGGAAGAUGAGGUCGGCUGAGAAGGUCUGUGUGGGGGAAAAAAAAUCAACAUGGGGGCCGGCGGCUGGUUUUUCAGAGAAGAACACUAGGGAGAAAAAUUUAAAACCAGUGGGGGGAGUCGCCGCCGGCCCCUUUUUUUUUAGUGGGGAGAAAGAGUUGGGUUUUAGGGUUUUAGGGUUUUUGUGUUUUUUUCUGAAUGUGUCAAAAAUGCCCCCCUUGUAAAUGUUGGAAACCAAUAUUUAUAGGCAAAAAAUAUUGCCAAGUUUUCAAAAAUUGGUCCCUUAACUUUCUUUUUUUGUAAAAAUUUAAUUUUUCUUGUUUAUUUGUAUUUUUUGAAAACGAGCAAAUCAACGUCGACUCGAUGAGGAAAAUCAAUGAUUUUAAAAAACGACCCGUGAAAAGUCGAACGCGUUUGAAAAUCUUUUUGAAAAAUUAAAUUCUUUUUAGACGACGCUGAAAAUGCUAAAUGACGCGAAUAUAUUAAAAAAACAUAUUUUUUGGAUUUUCAUUGUUUUUCUCUAUUUUUUGGAUUUUUUGAAAAUAUAUCAAAAACAUGGGUCAAAAAUUGGGUAGCAACAAUUAACAAUAGCCACAACCAAUUGACCCAAUCUAUACUAAUUAUUCCAACAUAUUCAAUUACUAAUCCUAAGGUAAAUUCUACAUUAACAAUUACAAUUCAACAAAUUAUUCAAUAAUUAUGUCAAUACAACAAAACUAUAAAUUCAAAAUAAAUAGAAACAAUUAAACACAAAUCAUCAAGUUAGAGUAAAAUUAAUAAUUCUUCCAACAUAUUCAAUUACUAAAUCUAAGAUAAAUUCAACAUUAACAAUAUUAAUUCAACAAAUUAUUAAAUAUUCAUUAUGGCAAUACAACAAUAAAAUUAUUCUAAGGUAAAUUCAACAUUAACAAUAUUAAUUCAACAAAUUAAUCAAUAAUUAUAUAUGGCAAUACAACAAUAAAUUAUAUUCAAUAAAUUAAAAAAAAAAUAGACUAACAAUUAAAAUCAAUGGAAAUAAUUAAAUACAAAUCAUGCAAUAAUAGAGUAAAAUUACUAAUUAUUCUAACAUAGUCAAUUACUAAUUCUAAGUUAGAUUCCACUUUAACAACAAACAUUCAAUAAAUUAACUAAUACCAAUUAUAACAACACAACAAUAAAAAAUAUUCAAAAAAUUCAAAAAAAAAAAAACCUACAUCAAGAAAAGAACGAAAUAUACAUACCUUAAUAUGUCCAAUUCAAAACUUUAUCUACAUUAGAAAAAAAUACACCAAAACAACAAAAAACAAAAUAAAAACAAGUACAACUAAAAUAAAAGAAAAUAAAAUAAAAUAGAAAAAACCACAUACCUUUAUUCAAAAUCUUGCAAGAGAUUCAAGGUGAAAGCCUUGAAGGAUUGAGAGCAAAAAACUGAAAAUUACAGGGUAGCGGAGGAGAAGAAAAAUGGAGGAGAAGACAAAAUGGGGGGAAGCGGCGGGCGCUAAAUAUUAUUAAUUUUUUAAAUCCGUUGGUAACAGGUAAACAAUCCGUCGGUAAUUUUUGAAUUUCACACCAAAUUUUUUAAUUGCGCUCCAAAUUUUUCGCGGUCCUUCGGUAAAUUUGACAUGGUCAGAGGUGCAUUCAAUUCAUACCCUUUGAAAUUCGCGCAUUCUGUCGGUAUUUUUGUCAGUAAAAUUUGCCACCGACAACUUACCGACGGAUAAAUUCCAUCGGUAUGGACGUCGAUAAAGUUGUCGGUAUGGACGUCGGUGAUUGUGACAUUUUGGUGUAAUUAUUUUCAAACUCUCUGUGAUAUGCCGACGGACUACUGUCCGUCGGUAUGGACGUCGGUGAUUGUGGCAUUUCGGUGUAAUUAUUUUUGAACUCUCUGUGAGAUGCCGACGGACGGCUGUCCGUCGGUAUGGACGUCGGUGAUUGUCAAUGUACAAGAGUGUUGUGUUUGUAUUUUCUAUUUACCUUCCUGCAAAAAAUUCAAUGAUAAACUGUCCAUCGCACAAAACAAUAGCAACAAUGCUUAAACAAUAAAUAUAUAUUUCAUGUUUCAAAAUAUAUCAUCCAUAAUGUAAAUUACAUGAAGAAAAGGGUUUUACACAGGGCUUCGUUUUGAUAGUUAGUCAGAAUUCUUCUUCUUCGUCAUCAAUUGAAUAGUCAUCACCUUCAUCGCAAUCUUCAAUAUGGAUAUCAUCUUCUUCAUCGACAUUUGCUUGUCCGCUAGAGCUCAAAACAACUUCAACUCCUCUCGUCAACAUCAACAAGACUAUCAUCGAAAACUCGAAAAUUUGAAUUUUCUUCCAAUUCAAUCGAAGGAGCAACUCGAUAUGGUUCAACCAACUCACGAACUUGAAAGACUUCAUCUUUGUGUCUUCAUCCUGAACAACCUCGACACGACCCCGUGGUUUCGUUUUUAAAACGGACAACCAAUCAACUCUUGAUCGAUCCUUUCUAAAUGAAGGGGUGUAUGUGUAAUAAACUUGUUGACAUUGCUUUGCGAAAACAAAGACAUCGUUUAUGUUGCGGAGUCUAGCUUUUGAGUUGAUUUCGACCAGACCAUGGUGCGGAUCAACUCUGAUUCCUCUGUCCGUCGUGUCAUACCAAUAGCAUUUGAAUAAAAACACUUUAUUCUGCUCGCUAUGAUAUUGCAGUUCGACGACCUCUUCUAAUCUACCAUAGUAGUCAACUUCUAACUCUACUUGUGGAUCCCUUAACACAAACACCGCAGUUGUAUGUCUUUCUUCCUUGCCCGUAUUCUUCAGUAUGGAAAACAUAUCCAUUGACAAAAUACCCGUUGUAGCACUUAACUUUUCUUUCAGGGCCGAGGCUUAGUGAAGACAAUGACUUGGGCGCACUCCUUCCCAUUUGAUAAACCUUGUAUAUAUGUAAUGUACAUCAAUAACGGUAAAUGAACGAGAAUCUCGUAAUGACAUGCAUACGUACAUACGUUAGAAUGAGUUUGUGAUAGUGCUUACAUGUGUUCUGAACCAUGUGGCAAAUUGUUCAUCUUGUAAUUGAAAGAUCUGGGAUUCGGUCAGCUGCGAGUUAUUGGAGAGCAAAUAUUGUCGAUGUUGCCUGCAAGUGAUAAUGAGUGUAUGAUAUUACAAUAUAUAAUUAACAGUAUAUUACUGACAAAGUUUAAUUAGUAUUACACAUAUAUAGACUUACUGAAUAAAUGGUCUCAGCUCAUCACAGUUAAAUAGAACAUAGUUGUGUGCUUGUUUGAAUUCUAUUUCCGACAAAUAUCUUCCUCUUACGGCAUUUUUAGGUGUGGGUCGUCCAGUAUUGGAGAAUAUUGACAAGUUCCCACUGGAAGGCACUUCACCGCCAUCGUCAUGCCGUGGAACGCGAUUGAUUCUUGUUCUCAGAUGAGGUUCGAAAUAGUACGAGAUAAAUGUUGAUAUCUCUUCAACAAUAUAGGCCUCAGAUAUCGAAGCCUCAACAUGCGCCUUGUUCUUAACCUUUUUUUUAGAUUAAACAAGUACCUGCAUUGAAGUACAAUUCAAGUAUUUUCAAUUAAGAAAAACAUAGAAAAUACUUUAAGAUAUGAAUUCCAUUGCAACUGUAAUAUCUCACCGUUCGAAUGGGUACAUCCAUCUAUACUGGACCGGUCCUCCAGCUUUUGCCUCGAACGGUAGAUGUAUAGGGAGAUGCUCCAUUGAGUCAAAAAAUGAAGGAGGGAAUAUCAUCUCAAGUUUGCAUAGUGUCUCGAUGAUAUUCGUUUGAAGCAUCUCAAUGUGCUCAACAUUCAUCUUGCUGGAGCAUAUAUCUCUGAAGAAAUGACUGAUCUCCGUUAGUGCAUCCCAUAUUCCCUUUGGCAACAAAUCACGAAAAGCUAAUGGGAUGAGUGUUUGCAUAAACACGUGGCAGUCAUGACUCUUCAUUCCAUACAAUCUGCAGUCCUCUAUGUUAACAAGCCUUGAUAUGUUCGAUGCAUGUCCAUCCGGGAAACGCAGACUCUUAAGCCAUUUGUAGACUAGCAGUUGUGCGUUUUUCUCUAACACGAAGCUUGCCCUUGGUUUUGCAACCCGUGACUCGUCAUAAACCAACUCCAUAUUUUUACGGUUACAGUAUAAAGCUAUAUCCAAUCUAGCCUUCAUGUUGUCCUUUGUCUUCCCCUUCACAUCCAUGACGGUGUUGAAAAUAUUCUCAAACACGUUCUUUUCGAUGUGCAUGACGUCAAGGUUAUGGCGGAGAAGAUUAGUCUUCCAAUACGGAAGCUCCCAAAAGAUACUUCGCUUUACCCAAUUAUGGGUCAAACCAAAACCAGGAAACUUUUGCUUACCUGAUUGAAGGCCAAACACAAUGUCACCGUACUCUGAUACAACAUGAUGCAAUUCUUCACCAGAAAGACGCGGGGAUGCAACAUCUUUUUCAACUCUACCAACAAAGAAAUCUUUUUGUUCUUUCUGAACCUGUGAUUAAGUGGCAAGAAGCGACGGUGACAGUAAAAAAAGAAGCUUUACCUCCGUUUGCUAGCGUGAAUGCCUUGUUGUUUUCCAUGCAGUAUGGACAUGCGAGUUUCCCAUGCGUGCUCCAACCAGAAAGCAUUCCAUAAGCUGGAAAAUCACUGAUAGUCCACAUCAAAGCCGCCCUCAUAAGGAAAUUUUGUUUCCUCGAUAUAUCAUAAGUCAGAGAUCCGGAGGACCACAACUGCGCCAGCUCAUCAAUCAAGGUCGAAGACAAACAUCUAUAUUCCGCCCCGGGCUGCUUGGACCGGGUAUGACAGUAGAUAAAAACAUGAACUCCGGCCUCAUACACAUUCCCGGUGGCAAGUUAUAAACUGUGAGUAUGACCGGCCAACAAGAAUAGGGAGCAGCAAAUGACCCAAAUGGGUUGAUCCGUCUGUACACAACCCAAGAUGGACAUUCCUUGAUUCAGCUGAAAAGUCAGGAUGCACACUGUUAAAGCGUUUCCACGCUUCGCCGUCAGAAGGAUGCACCAUCACACCAUCAACCGCAUCAUGUGUUUGGUGCCAUGUCAUGUGCUCAGCAGUCCUUCGUGACAUGAAUAACCUCUGCAGUCUAGGUGUGAUCGGGAAAUAUCUAAGUUUUUUAUACGCCACUAGAGUCUUUCCCCUGCUAGUUCUGGGUUUGUAACGCGAAUGCCCGCAUGUCAUGUACUCGGUCAUCUUAGCAUUUUCAAGGUAGUAUAACAUGCAGAAUGUCACGACCCGAAUCCUGGAUCCGUGAACGGCAACGUAGGAGCGGUGUCGAAAGGACACCUCACCUACGCUAAGCCUCAGAACGGACAUCAAAAGAAUAAUUUGUUCAAAAAUACGCAGCGGCUCAUAAUAUUCAGAAAUAUUAUAUUAUUCAAAUACUGAUGAAACUGAAAGAUAAUUAUUAACACAAAAAUAAUAAUUCAUAAUACUCAUUACAUUGUCAAAAUCCAAAUUUAAUUAAACCAAGGUAACAGUGGAGCGUCUAAGACAUCAAAUCAAAACUGAAAGGAAAGCCUCGCGAACAAGCAAGGCAUACCGACCAGAACUGAAGAAGCGGAAACACUCAACAAAGUCCCAGAAACUAAGAACCUGAAAUAAUAUUAAGAAUGAGGGUGAGUUCAACCAACUCAGUGAGGGAAUAACAUUUAAUAUACAUUUCAGAUAUUAUUUGCAAGAUGAUUUAUCUUGAUAUACAUAUACAUAUACAUAUACUUACUAAACAUAAUAUCAUAACGUAAUAUAUUAUCAUAACGUAGUGGAUUACAUGUCAGAGAUCAGAUGACACCCGAAGGUGACCAGAUGACACCCGUAGAUGACCAGAUGACACCCGUCGGUGACCACUGUGGGAUGAUCAAUCGCCACAGGUUGAUGCCUCUCUCACCAACUAGGUAUACAUAAUAUGUGCACACAGGCUAACUAUUCUCCGUUAGCAUGGAGUACUGACAAGUCUCAUAUCAAGGCAUAACAGAUAUUCACAUAAUCAUCAAAGAAACGUAUAUCAUAUCAAAUAGAAUUUACUUUAACAGAUUGCGAGUGCAAAUUCAAUAAUAAAUGAGUACUCGGAAAAUAAAGCAACAUAUAUAAAUAUUCAAAAAAUUUACUAGUUGUACUCAUUGUAUAAUCAUCAUACAUAUUUAUUUAUAUUAUAUGCAUAUUAAAGAUUAUUUCACUCACCCGGAAAAUACUGAACUAAAGGAAUGUCAGACGAAAGACCCAAAAAUCUAAUUAAGGAUCGUUAGGAGAACCUACAAUAAAUAUAUGAAAUAUACUCAAAAACAAAUCAAACAAAAGAUCCCAAUGCAUAAAAUAAAACCGGGCUUAAUCUCCUAGGUUUAGGGACUAAAACGACAAUUUUCCAAAACAGGGACCAAAACGUAAUUUUACCAAAAUUUGAGGACCGAAUUGUAAAUAUAUAUCCAUACUGAAAUUUAUCCAUAAUUCGUCCUUAUCUUUUUCCAGAAUCUUGAAUUAUGCCCCAAGGUCCAAAAUGUGAUUUUAUCAAAAUAUUAGGGGUCAAAUCGUAAUUUGUCAAAUUAGAGGACCAAACUGAAAAUAUUAAUUAUACUGGAAUUUUGUCCUUAAAUCAUCCUCAGUUCUGUUCAGAACCUCAAUUUAUGCCCCAGGGACCAAUCUGUAAAAUUUCCAAAGUUCGAUGACUAAACUGCAAUUUUCACAAAUUGAGGGACCAAAUUGAAUUUUCGUCAUCUUCAACCUCAAACUCAGAAUUUCAACAGAUCACCUACUGUUAUCCCCUGAUUUCUAACACAAUUUCACCAUUUAAACAAAAUCAUAACUCAAAAUCAUUAUCCUUCAAUUCAAUCUCUCAAAAUCAACUAAUUAAUCAAAUACCCACAAUAAUCAACUCCUAACCUUCAAAUUAAUUCAUCAAUUAACUCAAAAUACAAACUUCAAAACUCUACAAUUAAUCAAAACCGAAAUUUAACAUAUUAUACACUUCAAACCAUAAAUCUUACCUUUUUACUUAUUUCCUCUACUUCUCUUCUCCUUCCUUUCCUUCUCUCCUUUCUUUUCUUCUUCUUCCUCUUUUCUCUCUUACGGUUUGUUCUUCCAAUAUUCAGAUCCCUCUUUUUUUUUUUCUUAUUUAUAUUUAUCAACUAUUGGUCAAUUACCACACUACCCUUCAAUCAUUUAUACUUACUCUUUAAGCCACCAAGGGCUUAUUGUAUUUUCCAAUCGUUUUAAUACAAAACAUCACACAGAAGUUAGGGCACAUGUCAAUUUUCUGGUAUCCUAAACCGAAGGGUUUCAUCAUGGACUUCGCAGCAUAGAAGUUCUCUUUCAGCCUGUUCCCUUCAGGUAAAAUGCUUCUUGCCCAAUCAAUAAUUUUUUCAUACCCGGCCUCACUCGGCCCGUGAUCUGACUUGAUGGGGAACACUUGUGCCACAGCUGACAAUUUACUGUGGUUUGUGCAGCCAUCCCAUAAUGGUUUGUCAGAAUCUUUCAACAAAUCAAAAAACCUAGCUGCCUCUGCAUUAGGUUCUUCUUCUACGAUUGGACAUUGACUGACAUUACCUUGAUUCAUUCUCAUUGCAUCCAUAACCAUGUUUCUGUAAGGAUUAGUGUUGUCAUUUGCCGCUUCAUGCACGUUGCUACCACUAGAAGUUGACUCAACCACCAUUUCUCUUAUUCUCCUAUUACUAACAAAUACCUCUCCAUGUGCAUACCAACACUGGUAAUCCUCCACAAAUCCUUUGUGUAGAAGAUGCAUCAUUACAACAUCUGGAUGGAUAUACUUUUUAUUUUGACACUUCCUGCAUGGACACCUAAUACCGUCUCCAGUAAAAUUUCUGGGAAUAGAUGUUGCGAAAUUAAUAAAACCCUGAACUCUGUUACAAUAAUCCAUCCUCUGCAAUCCUUGGGGUGAAUCUAGAUACAUCCAUGAACGAUCAUCCAUGACUUCUAUCGAACCUCUAUAAAAUUAUGAUGACAUCAUGUAUAUAUUAAUUAACUAAGUUAGGUAAAUAAACUUGUACAUAUAUUACUUUACCUCGAAAUUAUCCAACAAACCAAUCACAACUUCUCAUAAAUAUUAAAUAUCCAUUAUCAUUUAUCAACGUCCAUACAAAUUAUUAUAUAUAUAUAUAUAUAUAUAUAUAUAUAAAUUAACAGAAAUUACUACUUUGCAAUACCAUCGAUAAAACUUAAAAAGGACUCACUAAGCAAGCUAUUAAUUAUUUCAAAACAUAACAUGUAAUUCGGUAAUUCCACAAAGUUUUAACAAUUUACAAACAAAUACAAUCUUACAAAAUCUAAAACAAACCAUAAUAGGUAUAAAAUUAUACAUUCAUAAACUACAAGUUUGUUUGAGAAAUAACAAUAAAACAUGUACAUCUACUAAUAAAAAUACAUAUACUAAAAAAACAAUAAAAUUGACAUUUAAAUGUUAAAAUUUAAAAAGAUAGAAUUACUUACAAAAAUUGAUAAAAUCCGUCGGUAAAUCAGAACACGGAUGUUGUGACCACAAAACUUCAAGAAAUACAAUUGCUGAGAUGAGAAAGAUUUUUGUUUGGGGGCGAGGGGGGGCUGGUUAUUUGCAGAUGGGGAGACUUAGGAUUAGGAAGAAGGAGAAAUGGGGAGGAGAGUGUCGGCAGGGCGGCCAUAUAUUCACUUUUUCUGACGGACUCACCGACGGAAUAACACCGUCGGUGACUCCGUUGCUAAUUGUGACGGGGAAUCGACACGUCACCGCACGGACCGCUUUUUCAAAUCCCUCGGUAUUUUUUUACGGUGAACGUGUCAUGUCACACGUACAGAUCUGGCAUUCAAAUCCGUCGGUGAUUCCGUCGGUAUUUUUGACGGUGAACCGGUCACGUCACCCGUAUGGGUCCCAGGGUUUGAAUCCGUCGGUGAUUCUGUCGGAAAAAUCACCCGCCAAAACCUCCGCCUCAGGUACCCGCCGUUUUUUCAUUAAUUCUGAACUUUCCGUCCAUAAUUUGGUCGGUAAUUACCGACGGUUAUAUUCCGUCGGUACUUACCGACAGAAUUACGGACGGAAAAAUUCCGUCAGUAAUUUCGAUCGAAAAAUACCGACAGAAAUAUGCCGUCGGGGAAUCCGUUGGUACUUUUGCAUGCUACAUGGAUAGGAUAGUCGCCUUGACGGUUUGUUUCAUAAGCACCAUCGUGAAACUUCUUUAAUAGGAAUCGAACUCCUUCCAGAAAUCCUAUGGAUGAUGCAUAAUGCAGUGAAUUUCCAAACUCUUCCUCGGUGAGACGUAAUAGCUCU
rnacentral:lncRNA from 1 species